rnacentral:lncRNA from 1 species
UUUUCAACCAAAAGCACUAACUUACCAAAAAACAUAGUUUUCCAUUCAACCUCGGGAGCUGUAUGUGCAGGUGUACUGUACUUUCUGAUAUUGUCUUCUUCAAUGCCCAUUUCUUCAGGCUUCUUAAAGUGCUUAUGAUUGGUGGAGGUGCUUCCAAAAUUACACAACUUCCAUAAUCCAUUAGGGCCCAAUAGAAGAUUCUCAGCAUUUAUAUAAGAACUUUAGGGUUUAUACCAAUGAUCAUGUUACAGUAUAAAUCAUAGUGAACUGGUGGAAUUUGAUCAUUUAGCCAACCUCAUCAAAAAACUGUUUCACAGUUGAGGGGAUUGUUAACCUUCCCAUGGGCCAAGCAGCAAUUUCUGAAACUGAUCCUGAAAUCAAAAAUCCCACACAAGUAGAUAUUUAACAGAAGAGGAUCCGAAUCUCUUCAAUUGAUUAAUGUAUAAAUGAAAUAAUAAAAAAUUUUAGAGAUAAUUAUAGGGAGAUGAACCUUAUACCUCUGAGUUUCUUAGUCUUCUUGAACAGAGCAAUGAGCAUCAAGUGUUGAGCACCCAGGAAUCUCCCUUCCUCUACAGGGAAAAUCUGAACAAUCUAUCUUUCUUCAUAUUCCACUUCCUUGCAAAAGUCAAAACAUGAAGAAAAUAUCAUCAAAAUUGAGACAAAAAUAAGUGCAUCAACUGUCUCAAGAAGAGAUUUAUGCCUAUUGCUUACCUUUUGCAGAAGUCCACUUGGUUAGAGCACAUUUUACAUGGACGCCCAAUCACUGCAAGCUGCUGAACCAAAGGAGGUUCAAACAUCUAAAAAAUUUGACUAACUCAAGUAUCAUAAAAAUGCUUCACAUGAAUUCCAAAUGAUCUCAUAUCUAAAAAACAUUGGCAUAAAAUUAUUGUUGUUUACCUUACAUGUUUCUUCCAUGGUCAUAAUUGAAACUUUGUUUAUCAUAACAAAUCUUCUAUGCUCAUCCUGAUUACUUACAAUGAACACUGAAAUGAAAAGAAAAAAAAAACACAAAAAAUGACGAUUAGUUUGGUUUGAUAAAUUUAGCACACACAAUUCCCUUUUUCUUGUAUGAAAAAGGAAAGAGUAAAAAAAAAAAUGAAUUUAAUAAUUUUUUAAAACUAGCAAUUAUAAAACUAGUUUGGUUCUCAGAAAAUUUAUGGGAAAGCAGGGAAAAAAAAGUGUAAACUUUUUCUCUUGUUUGAUUGUUUAUGGGAAAAUUGAGGGAAAAACAAAUAUUUAUGAGGAAUCUAUUUAACACUUUUGAGGAACAAAAAAUGUUUUAGAUGUUGUCAAAUCGAUAAUUUAAAUGUAUUUAAUUCCAAUUAAAUAAGUUUAAUCAAACACAUGAAAUGAAAUUGUGAAUAAAAUUAUUUAAAAGCAUUGAAAUUCAUGUCAUUAAAGUUGUCCAUAAAAUUUGGUAUAUUAAAGCAAGAAAAAAACAAAGCAAUUUGAAUGACUUGCUAAUAAAGCAGCUAACUAGAAUAUGCCCUAGAGUUGUUCUAUGUAUAUAAGAAAUAAACAGAGAACACAAUAAAUAAAUAAAAAACCAGAAAAUAAAAUACAAACAAACGAAAAUAAACAGCGUUGUUCAAUGGUUAUAAAUGGUUAUUUUUGCAAACCACCAAAUCAAAACAGAGCAUGAAAACGUGUUCAAUAUUUGUUUCAGGCUUGAAGCAUCAAGAAAAAGAAAAUCUUAAAUCAAAUAAAUAGGACUAGCGAAUGAAUUGGAACUUGAAAGAAAAGUUCAAGUGCAAAAGAAUUACCUGACUCUAUAUUGGCGGAGUGGCACUUUGAUUAAUAUAGCACACCAUUGAUCAUUAUUUUUGGAAUGUGAGCUAUAUAACGCCAUUCUUCCCCUUUCUCAAAUUGACACCGUUUUUCCAGUAGAGGACACCCGUAGAUCCUCAGAAAAGAGAGGGAGUCUGAAAGUCUCUCUUUUGUCAAGUAUUUGAGCUUACGACAGAUCAUGAUCUCCAAUGUUUUAAGAGAGGUGAGGUGUUGAAGACCCACUUUUUUCAAGGAUUGGAGCAUUGGGCACUCAUGGAUCCACAAACUUUCAAGAGAGGUGAGGUGUUGAAGACCCGCUUCUGUCAAUGAUUGGAGCCUCGAGCAUUGACAAAUUACUAAUCGUUUUAGAGAGAUAAGGUGUUGAAGAACCGAUCCUGUCGAGAACUGGAGCUUUGGGCAGAAGUAGAUCCUUAAUUCUAAAAGAGAGGUGAGUUGUUGAAGACCCCCGCUGUCAAGAGACUUGAGAUUUGGAAGAUUCCAGAUUUGAAGAGAAGUCAGAGAAGAGGGCAGCAAACACUCUUUGGGAAAUAAUUCAAUGUCUUCACAUCCACCUUUGAUUAUGAAAUGAGUAAGAGAGGUCAGCCUUUGCAAACCCCACUCCACCUGGGGCGUGAGUUGGUUGCACUUCUUAAUUUCAAGUUCACGUAGGUUGGAAGGCAAACCCUCUCUCUGAAACAACAAUUCUGGACAAUCAUAUAAAUUCAAGUACUGUACAGAUGACUGUCUGUGUGCCAAUGACCUGAGCUUGGAGCACCUAUGAAUCGAACAAGACUUCAAGUUGAGAGCGCGUAAUUCGAUAGAUUCAAGAUCAGAGCAACCUCUUAGACGCAGGGAACAUAAAGAUGUGGGAUCACCCUCUGAAACCAAAAUCGAGAGCUUCUCAAGCCCAUUAAGACCAUUGAUUUCGAAAUCAGUCAACUUGGGGAAGAUGCCUAAUGAGAAGGAUAACGACAGAGAAUCAUCGAUAACACCACGUUCGAUGAUUAGACGUUCAAGGACUGGGAGAUGGCAUCUGAACAACUCAGGUACGAGAAACGCUAAUUUCGAGCAGUUAUAGAUUAACAGUGAUUUCAGUGUAGUGGGUAAACCAACUUUGUGCAGGGAUCUAGAAAAAAUACAAUCACAGAUUUUCAGAUCAUGAAUGUUGGUUUGCGAGAUUUCCUCCUCUAGCAGAGACUCCACAUAAUCACAUUUUCUAAUUGACAGCUGGUGUGGUGCCAUUGGAAGUUGACUCCACUGAGACACAUCUAAAAUUUCAAUUUCUGAAGUUUGAAGAGGUGUGAAGUCACAACCUGGCAUUUGCAACCGCAGUUUACCAAAAUCCACCAUCCUCAACUGACGAAUUGCAGGAACUGUGAGUGAAGCCAUAAGCAGCUGCGGACAUCCAUCAAUUUGAAGUUCCACCAAUGAAAGAAGCUGUUCUGGUAAUUUCCCAGUGAGUUUGGGACACUUUCGUAUAAAAAGCUUUUGGAGACGAGGGAAUUCUCCACAACAUAACCAUUUCUCCCAGUUCUUCAUAUCCUCAAAUGAUAGUGUUUCUAGGAAUUGAAAGGAAGCAUUCUCAUAUAACUCAUCACCCACACACUCUACUCCAUUCAUCCUUGAGAUUUGCAGAUAUUUAAGCUGGGUUAGCUGUCCAAGUGGUGGCAAUGUUGAGCAAUUGCCACAACCCCGAAGCUCAAGGGACACGAGAUUCAACACUGAAGGAUCUCCAAGCCAAUUUGGAAAUCCUUCACCAGGAUAGUUUGUGAUGGAGAGUUGUUUUAAAUUUGGAUGAGGUUGUAACUUGUUGAGUAUAUCAUGCGUUGUUGCACCACUUUGUGUAACACCACUGGUACCCCAACCAAAGAUUAACUCAUAAAGAUAACUUUUAUCCUUCAUAUUAGCCCUUAAUGCAUCAUUAACACUCACCACAUUCUCCAUGUUUGAAAUACAAAGUUUUCCUCGAAUCUCUGACAGCUCCCCCAAUUCUCCAAUUCUUAAUCCAUCGUUUUGGCCCACAAUAAAUUGAGUCAACCUUUGUAAACUUUUUAAUCGACCAAUUCCAUGACUUGACAUUUCUCUCAAUGAACCACAUCCAUCAAUAUCAAGAUAGCGCAAAUUAAUCAAUUUUCCCAUCUUUGAAGGCAAUUCAUCAAGUUUUGAACAAUUUCUCAGCAUCAUCGUUUGUAAAUUGCAUAAACAACAUGCUGAUUUAGGUAAUUUUUUAAUCCUCGUGGAAGACAAAUCCAAGUAACGCAAAUGUUUUAAAUUACCUAUCGAUUUAGGCAAAUCAGUUAUUGUAUAUGCACAUAAUGAUAACACGCGUAAACACCACAUUUUUGGUAAUAUAUCUUGCAAAACUCUUUUACUCAACUUAUACAAAGGAAGAUCAACCCAUGGCUUCACUCUUAAGAAUGUCCGAAGAGAUUUAGCUUUAGGGACAGCCUCAAAAUUCUUAAAUGCAACAAGCCUGGUAUCAUCACUAUUAAAGUACAAAAAGUGGCGAGCCUUCUCAGAUACUUCUGGUGGUAACUUAUCAUCAUCUUCCACUCGAGCACAAAAAUCUCCAGACACGUAUUGAGCCAAUUCAUGUAUUAGAUCAUGCAUUACAAAGCAUGAUCCUUCUAUUCCAAUAGAUUUUUGAAAGAAAGACUUGGCAAGAAGCUCAUCAAAAUAUGACUCACCGAUCUCUUCCAUUCUCCUUCCUUUGUUUUGUUGUGCAUGUAAAAGACCUUCUGCCAUCCAUAAUAAAAUCAGCUCCUCUUUGUUGAAUUGGUGGUCCUGGGGAAAAAUAGAACAAUAAGCAAAACAAUGCUUCAGAGGUAAAGAAAGAUGAUGGUAGCUUAAUAUCAAAGACGGAAGAAUUUCGGAGCCACGCUGCGGAUGCCAUAUUUCACUUCUCAACACAUCGUCCCAUUCCCUUUUUUCGUCCUUAGAAUACAAGAGACAGCCGAGUGCUUUCACAGCCAAAGGCAAUCCUUGGCACUUGUCCACAAUCUGUCUGCCUAUGCGUUGAAGCUCAAGGUAUGCGUUGGGGUCUCUAUCUUCAAAUGCAUGCUUUUUAAACAGGGACCAACUAUCUUCAGAGCUUAAUUCCCCAAGAUGAUGAGUAGGGACUGCUCGCAUGGUUGUUGCAACAGAUUGAUCACGACUGGUCACGACAAUCUUGCUUCCCUCUGCUGCGAGGAGUGGAGUUCGUAGAAUAUUCCAAACUUCACGAUCACUAAGCUCCAUAUAACCUUCAUCACGAGGCUUCAAAUUCCAGACGUCAUCAAGAACAAGCAGAAAUUUCUUGUUACGAAGUUGCUCUGUGAGUUGAAGCUGAAGCAAAUUUAGGUUGUCAGCGGAAGUAGGUGGAGAACCAAUUUCCUCAAGAAUUGUUUUGGUGAGUUUGAUAAGGAAAAACUCAGUGGAAACACAGACCCAUGCUUGCAAGUCGAAGUGUUUCUUCACUUCCUCAUUUUUAUAGAGACGCCGAGCAAGCGUGGUCUUGCCGCUGCCGCCCAUGCCCACUAUGGACAUCACCCCCAUUUUGUCGCCUGUUGUAUUGUCAGAACGCAACCACUCCACCAUCUCCUUCUGAAUUCCAUCCCUGCCGACAAAAAUGGAGUCAUGCUCCAAAGAAGUGGUUAUUGGUGAUCUUGGUCUUGGUGACCGUUUCUCGCCCCCACCUUCUGCCAGCCCCAACCCAACUUUUUCUAGUGCGAUUUUUUCCAGUUGAACAAUCAUGCCCCUGACCCUGGACUCCAUGCUUUUGAUAGCAAAUGGGGCCUUCACAGAAGCAGAGAACUUCUUCCAUUUCCACGCCUUAAGAGUUCCGUCGGUAACGAUCUCGUCCAGCAGGUCUUCCGCACCAUACACAGCAUCCUUGACAGGGACGAGCCACUCUUUGACAUUUGGGUUCGAAAAUUGCUUCACCUCCGCAUCAUCGAGCACAUUGUGAACAACCACGAGUUUCCUCUUCAACUCGUUGAGGAGUUCAUCGCUAAGGCUCCGUCGCCGAAUGAAGUUUAUGAGCUCUGGAGAAGCCAACCUUUCGAAUAGAACUUGAAGCGAAGUUGAGAGGAGGGCGUCCGCCAUAUCUGUGUCGACUGUUGCUUUGCAAUAGGAAUUCAGAGGAUUGGUUUCUGUUACCGCGAUACCACCAAACUGCAAAAGACUGGGUUUGGAUUACCACACUGCAGAAUGCUUGAAGGAAUCAUUAUUGGUGGUGGACCCAGCUGCCAGAUAUUGGUGGUGGACCCAGCUACACUGCAGAAUGCUUGAAGUUAUUGGUGGUGACCCAGCUGCCAAUAUUUGUCAAACACCAUAGUGGUGAGAAAAAGAACAGGAAAAGCGAGUGGGAGGUAGAUGCGCUUUCCCCAAGGAAAGCAGAAUCAACAACAGCAUUCGGUAUUUUUCUUUUUCAUCUACGCAUUUCUUCUUUCUUUCUUCUAGUAUUAUUAUUAGUAGACAUAUACACACAAAUAUUUGUUUAUAACAUUUUCAUUCUUAAUAUUAUAAAAUUUAUUAUUAAUAAUAUUUAUACUAAUAUUAUUUUUUAAUAAUUAUAUUAGUAUCAGGAUUUUAUAAUUAGUAUCCUUACUUUUAUUGCUUAUAAUAAUAAUUAUUAUUAUUAUAUUAUGUUAUUAUUAAAAUUUAUUAGUAUUUUCACAUAAACAAUGAUAUAUGCAUAAGACAUAUUAAAAUUUUGAAUAUUAUGGUUAUUAUUAUUUAAUAAUAAUAUUAUUAUUUGAUUCAAAAAAAGUUUAUAAUAUAAUAAUAACAAAAAUAAUUUUUUUAAUAAAAUAAAUUAUAAAAAUAUAAUAAUUUUAUUAUUUAUAAAAUACAUUUAUUUUAAUGCAAUUAAAAAAAUUAAAAUAAUUUUAAAAAAUUUAAAAAUUUUCAAAAAAAAGUUAAAUGGGACGGGAUUAGGAUGGGAUCGAUCCAUCCCAAUGUCGUCCCGUUGUCAUCCCUAACUCAUCUUGUGAUAAUUAAGGCCAUUUUUUAUCAUUGUUUUUUUAAAAUGGUCUUUUAUCCUUAAUAUAUAUAUAUAUAAUAAUUAGAAAUAAAACAUAAUUUUUGUUUUUAAAAAUAAAAAAUAAGGCAUUUUUAGAUCAUAUCCUUUUAGUUACUUUUAUUUGUUUUUAAAAAGUAAUUAUAUAAAUAUAAAAAAUAAAAUAAUUUAAAUAAAAUUUAUUUUUAAAAUAUAGAAAAUUAGUUAAUAACACUUUAUCUUCUCAAGCUCUUGUUUUAUAAAAUAUCAUAAAAUAAUUUUCAAAAACUUUUUUUUUUCACAAUUUUGACAAACAAAACGUGUUGCAAUAAUGCACUUAAAUUCAAUGAACCUAAAAGCCAAAUGUGCAGUGUUGACUUUUCAACAGAGAGUUCACACAUGCCCAUUUUUUUAAUUAAAGCACUAUUGAUAUAAAAUAUAUAUUUAAAUAAAAAUUAGACUUUUAAAAAAAUUAAAAUAUAUUUUUAAAAUUAAAAUAUAUUUUUAAAAUGUUAAAAAAAUAUUUACAAUAUUUCCUUAAAAAAAACAUCUUCCAAAAACAUUUCUUUAAAAAAUACUUCCACCGAUAACAAUUUAGACACACUUGUGAUUUAAUAGUUAAAUAUUCUUUCCAACAGGAAUUCAACUAUCAGUUUGUAUUACCACGAUACCACCAAACUGCAAAAGACUAAUUUUGGAUUACCAAAAUGCAGAAGAGCUGAAGGAAUCAUUGAUGGUGGACGACCCAGAUGUCCACAUUAUUUGUCAGACACCAUAAUUGAGUGAUGAGGAAAUGAAAGAAAAGAAAAUAAAAAACAAAAAAGGUGAUGCCAAACAUGGUCUUAUAAGGUGGGUGGAGCGAAAGCAACAAAGGAAACUAGCAGGAUUUUUCAUUGCUAUUCCAUACCUUAAAGGACAAAUUUUGAAUUACCAAAAUACAAAAGACUUGAAGGAAUCAUUGAUGGUGGUGGACCAGAUGUCCACAUUAUUUGCCAAACACCAUAAUUGAGUGAUGACAAAACAAAAGAAAAAGCAAAAAAGGUGAUGCCAACAUGGUCUUGUAAGGUGGGUGGAGCAAAAGCAACAAAACAAACUAGUAGGAUUUUUUUAUUGCUAUUCCAUAUCUCAAAUGACUAAUUUUGAAUUACCAAAAUAUAGAAGACAUGAAGGAAUCAUUGAUGGUGGUGGACCAAGAUGUUCACAUUAUUUGCCAAACACCAUAAUUGAGUGAUGAGAAAAUGAAAAACAAAAAAGGUGAUGACAAACAUGGUCUUGUAAGGUGGGUGGAGCGAAAGCAACAAAGUAAACUAGCAAGACUUUUCGUUGCUAUUCCAUACUUCAAAGGAUUGAUUUUGAAUCAUCAAAAUACAGAAUACUUGAUGGAAUCAUUGAUGGUGGUGGACCCCGAUGUCCAUAUUAUUUGCCAAACACCAUAAUUGAGUGAUGAGAAAAUGAAAAAAAAAAAAAAGUUAAGAAAAAACAAAGAAGUGAUGCCAAACAUGGUGUCGUGAGGUGGGUGGAGCAAAAACAACAAAACAAACUAGUAGGAUUUUUUGUUGUUAUUCCAUACUGAGAAAAUAAAGGGCUAUUCUAAAUAGAUAAAAACACCCAAGAGAGGAGGUGAAUAGAAGUUAAAAAAUUUCUUUUUAAACACAAUAAAAUUAAGCAUAAGAAGUACAAAUAUAAAGAAGUAAGGUUAUAGAAAGUAAACUCAAAUUUAUAGUGGUUCGACACUUCCUUACUUACAUCCACUCUCCUCAAGCUCCUAAUCGAGUGAGGGUUCCACUUAUACUUGAAGUUUCAACCAAACUUCUAAUCACUUUUUACACUUGGAUUCCAUCUCCAAUGGACUCUUACACAAUCUUUUCAAGUCUUUACUCACUUGAAGGUUUUAACACUCAAUUAACAAGUUUGAAUCUCUCAACCUAGCUCAACAAUGACUCAAAUACAACUCAAGGCUAGGAUGAAUCACUAAGGUGCACUAAAGAAUAUGCAAAUGAAAAUUUAAUGCACUAAUAAAAUAAUGAGAGCUUUUAUGGCAAUAAUAAGUAGGUAAACAAAUAAAUGCAAGUGUUCUCUUACUCAUAAAUGAGGUAGAGCUCUCAAUUUAUAGGUUUCUAACCUCAGGAGCUAAAAAGCCAAAAAACAGUCUCAACUGGUUGAACUGGGGGUUGACUGGUUCAUUAGCCGUUGGAACAUUAAAUGCUUGGCAGGUGACCGUUACCCUCGACCAAACCUUAACUGAGAAGGCAAAUCCAUCAACCAGGAAAGAAAGGCUACUAGAAGAGAGAGAAUGUUUUUCACAUCUCUCAACCGGACCUUGACAUAGAAAGAGUAAUCGGUAGACCGAUACCUUAGCUGAUUGAGCCGAUUGGCCAGUGCCUCGACUAGUUCACCAUUUUUAGUCUGAAAACCUAUCUUUUUCUGGUCUUUUUGCUUCUAGCACUUAGGUAAGGACUUUAGAUAAAAUAAUAUGUCAAUUUUGAAAUGUUUUGCCUAAGGUUCAUUUGAUAGAACUCGGAUUUUGAUGGAAAUGUAACUUUAAUGCAUAAACCGAGUUUUAAAGAUGUAUGAAAUGAUAUGAAUACCCUAAGUACACUCAUGCAUUCAUCUUACGUAUGUUUCCUAUGAUUAAAAGGUCGUUCAAAAGUCUUGAUCUUGCAUUCAUUAGGUCCUUUAAUGAAUUUCCAAAUUAACACCUGAAAUUCUUUAUAAUUCAAAUCAAUUAGUAACUUAACCAUGAUUUGUUAUAAUCAAAACAUGAUUAGGAGAAUCAUUGGGCUAACACAUACCUCAAAGGACUAAUUUUGAAUUACCAAAAUAUAGAAGACUUGAAGGAAUCACUAAUCUUUUUAUAAUUUAGAAAAAUAAGUAAAACGAGUUUGAAGAAAUGUAUAAAAAUAAUUUAUUAAAUUUAAAUUUAUUUCUUAUUUUCCUUCAUUUUUUCUUUUUUUCUACUUUUUCUUUCUAUUUUCUUUCCUUCUCGUUUUCCCUCAAAUUUUCCAAGAGCCAAAUAUAGCUUAAAGGUUUAGAAUCUUAUGCACAAGACUUUCAAUUUUUUUUACAAUAUUAUUUUAUUAGUUAAGAAUUAAAAUUUAAUGUACCAUAUCUAACACUAACAAAAAAAUUUAUAACAACCAAUCUUAUCUUUUAAGAAUAUAUUGUUUAAAUGAGAUUAAAAAUUAAAAAUAAAUUUUAAUUCAUUUAACAACUAAAUUAAAAUGAAAUUUAUAUAUAUAUAUCAUAAAUUUAUACAAUUUUGAAUCAUUUUAUAUGGAGGAUUGAGAAUGGAGAGAUUGAAGAAUUGUUUGGUGACGAGGAGAUUGAUCGAAGAUUUUAUAGUCUUAAGGUUCUAUGGGAUGAAAUUUUUUGUAAAGAGUUUAAAUUUUUGUAAAAAAUAAAAUUAGUUUUAUGUUAUUUGAUUUCAUGGAAAUACAAAGUUUUAAUUCAAAGAUUAUGUUUUAAAAAUAUUAUUUUUAAAAUAUAUUUAGUAAAGAUUUAUAAAAAUUUAAAAUUAAAAUUAGUUAAUCUAUCAACUAAAUUAAAAUAAGAUUUAUAUAUUAUUUUUAUAGAUUUACAUGUGUAAAAUCUUUAAAAUGCCUCAACUUAAAAUAUCCUUACAAAAUUUCAUUAAUCUACUAGCAAUCUGCAUAUUGUCUCUACAUAGAGUCAAUUUGCAUUAGGAUGAAUACCAUCAUAAUAAUAAUUACGCUCCACAUAUGAUGUAUCUUAACAUCCACUUGGAGGUUAAAAAAUAAUUAAAGUAAGGGAAACUAAUAUAUUUAAAAUUUAAAAAUCAUUAUGAAGAUUUGGACAAUAAUUCAAGUAGGCAUCUUUGAAAUUUGGCUUCCAAAUCCCUUUGUCAAUAUACACCACCCUAUGACAAUUAAAUAAAUUAAAAGAAGGAAAAAAAAUGUUAAAGGAAUGACAAAACAUAGGGAACAAUUAUAUUUAAGGAGUGGAUGGAGUUGAUAAUGACUAAAGGGUACAAAUCUUGCAUAAUUGAACUAAAAAGGUAGAAAAGGUUUGUAGAUUGUUGUGGAAGAUAUAAACCCACUUUGUGAGUCAAAAAUGCUCAAAAUACCCUUAAGGGUGUUUUUUAAAAAAGGACAAUUAAGUACUCAUGAUAAUUAAUAUAUUAAGAUUUCAAGAAAAAUUAAUAAUAAAUAAAAUCUUUUUCUAAAUCUAUUUAACAAUCAUAUAGUUUUUAUUUUAUUUUAUUUUUUCAAGUGGCAACUAUUAUCUUAAUUUAUUUUUCAUUUUAAGGUUCAAUUAUUAUUAUUCUUUAUUUUGAAAUUUAAUUAAAUGAAACUGUAUAAGACAUGUUUAUAUUAAUUAGCUAAAAAGGAUAGAUUUUUUAGCAAUAUGAUUAAAAUAAAUAAAAACAAGGAAUUUGAUUUUCUUUAUAAAAUAGAUUAGGAAAAGUAUAUUUCGAUACAUUCGUAUGAAAAAAAAAUUCAUAAAAUAGGAACUCAAGUUUAUAAAAUACAAAUUUUAAGCAUUCAUCUAAAAAUAAUUAUCAUUUCAUGCAUUUUUUUUGUCAAAUAUAUUAUAUUUGAUAAUUUAGGUAUUAUAUUUUAAUAAUAUAAGUAGUACCUUUGACCCCCAUAAAACUUGAAUUAUUUUAAAUAGUUUCUAUUAUAUAAUUAUUUAACCAUUUGAUAUAAAUAUUAAAUAAUAAAAAAUAUAUCAUUUUUUAAAGAAUUUUAAUUAUAUUUGACUUUCUUUUGUAUUUUCUAUGGUGUAAUUCACAUAUGAGAAAAUCAUUUUCUUUAACAUUUUUUUUUCUUUCCUUAAUAAUUUUCGAGAACCAAACAAGGCUUGUAGGUUUGAAUUAUAGGGUAUAGAUGCCAAAAAUACCAGAAUGAGUUUGGGUUUUCAUGCUAAAUGUCUUUAUUAUUAUUUGGUAGCACUUUUCCAAAAUUGUUCCAUUCCCAAAACCACUUAAUUUGCUUAAAUAUUUUUACCUCACGAUAUCAUAACAUUAUAAUGGAAUAGAUUUUGUUGGUGUUCAAAUCAUGUCAACUCAAUUUCCAAACCAUUCGGAUUGUCAUUUGGUGAAAAAUAGAAAGAAAUUUUACUUUAUUGAAAAGCAUUUCAUUUUGAUUUGAAUAUGCUGCAAUGAAAUAGUUACUAAACCAUGGGGUAGCAGAAGAAGUAAUCGAGAAAAUGAAGAAGGAUGUUCAAGAAUUCUUUAUGCUGCCAUUGGAGAAGUUUUCAAGAUUUCUCCUGAGUAGAAAACUUAAUGGUAAGAGUACAAUAAGUCAUAUGAAAUUGGAGAACUGAAAGAGCAUAAGAACCAUGUUUUAUUAAAAGACCUGUGAAAGUUUAAUCAGUCAUGGAACUACUAAGAGGGGAUGAAUUAACAGUUUUCUUAAAUUUUGUCCAAAGUUAUGAAUUUUUAUUUUUUAUAAUUUUUUUUUACUUAAAUUGAAACUUAUUAAUCAAGGUAAGAUUUCAGCCACAUCGAGAAACAAUUUACGUGAAAAGGGACUGAUAAAAUCUUGAGUUUACAGAUGUAAAAACCAUAAGGCCAAAGACUGUAGAACUCCAACCCACUGAAUCAAGAAUAGAAACACAAAUUUAUCUACCAACCUACACUAAUCUCAUAUCUACAAUGCAACACCAUCGUACUCUUAAGUGACUUGAAAGGAUGUGAAUAUUUCUCACAAACUUCAUAAUGAAAUUCAAAUUAGCUCUGAGAGUUUUGGGUUAGGCACAAAGAGUAAUAAUGCAUAGCUUUUGUGUGUGAGUUUUUAAGUGAACUUAAGACUCAAUUUAAAGCAUGUAUUUUACUAAAAAUAAAAAAAUAAAUUUAAGAAACUUCAAGAAUUUUGGAAAGAUAAAUUUUAAAAAAAAUUCAAAGAGAGUCAGAAAAUGUUUCCUUUUUAAAUUCUCAAUUUAAUUUAUUUUCAAAUUUAUUAAGAGUUUAAGAAAUAUUUUCUUUUUAAAUUAUCAAUUUAAAACUCUCUUUUAAAUUAAUUUUAUUAUUAAUUUUCAUGCAAGUCUACUCUAUACAUUUUACAUCGUUAUUCUCAAUUAACUCAACAAUAUUAGAGUGUAACAUCCCCAAUUGAUUUUGCACCAACCUUAAGUCUUCAAAGACAAUGAUUGAGGCAUUUCUUCUCCUAUUUUCUCCGAUGUAGAAAAAAAACUUGAAUAAGGUUAAAGCUGGUCUAUAGCAAAAAGUCUUAAUUUGAGUUAGCCUCUUUUUUUUUUUCCAAAUGAUAUGCAGGUCCAUCUAGCCUUCAACUCAAAUUUUUUAUUCAAAAAUCACAUGUGGAUAUGUGAACAAGUAAAAGUUGAGUUUUACCUAACAAAUCAUUUUGAAAAUUAGGAAAUUUAAAAGGUAUUAGUUUGUUAAACUCACCACCCCUGUCUAUUCUACAAAACAAGAAGAUUAGCAAAGAAAAAGUAUUCAUAUUUGUACUACAAAAUAAAAAGAUUAGCAAAGAGAGAAAUUGUACCCAUGAGUGCAGAGUUUUGGGUUAAAACAACCCUUUUGAUGGGAAAAAUAUUAAAUUUAACCACUUUGUCAAACUAAUGUGUAAAAUGAUCCUUUUAUUAUCACAUAGGAGUCAUAUCACUAAUAUAUAUAUAUAUAUAUAUAUAUAUAUUUAAUUUAAGUUGAAGCCUCAAUUGCCAAUUAAGGCUUCAAUUAUCAAUUAUGACUUUAUUUUUAACCCGAAACCUUACUUGCCAAUUGAGGUUUCAACUAAAAAAAGAAACCUCAAUCGUCAACUAAGACUUAAUUUUUUAAUUGAAGCCUCAAUUGACAAUUGCGGUUUUAUUUUAAAACUGAAAUCUCAAUUGUCAAUUGAGGCUUUACUUUUGUGGAAGGAUUAUGUGACACUCACGUUACUAGAAAAAAGCCAUACUGAAUAUAAGUUUCAAAAGUGGCUUAAAAGGUAUAAAUUUUAUGAUCAAAGAUGCCAUUUUGACCCAAAAUCCCAUGGGUGCAUGAGACUCUAGUUAAUCAUAGAUUUCAUAGAUAAAAAUCAGAGUUAGGAUGAUUCAACCCCUAAGCGUCAAGAAUUCUUUAACAUAAUGUUAGAACAUUUUCCAAUUUAAAUUCGAGAGUUGACUUUAUUUGAAUGUGCUUUUGAUUUUUUUUUUUAAAUAAGCUUCAGUGUUUUUUUUAAAAAGAAAUAAAAAUAAAUAAAAAUAGGAGCUUCUAUAUAGAAAGUAAAAAUUUUAUCCAACAAAUAUAAGGCUCACCUUAUAUCCUUAUAAAAUAAAAAAUUUUAAAUUUUUUAAUACCUCAAAAUUUUUAAUCAAUAUUUAAAUAUCAUUAUAUUUUCAAUAUGAUUCCUUUAAAAGUUAAAAUUACUUAUAUUUUUUAUUUUCAAAAAAAAAAUAUAUAUAUAUAAGUAAUUUUAUGUUUUUUAAUUAUUAAGAUGGAUGAAAUAAUCCCAAAUUUGCAAAAAUAACUUCUUCUAUGUUUGAAUUUGAAAAAUAACUCAUUUCCAACAUAAAUACUCUUCAAUAUUUGGAUUAUUUUAAUAUAAAUUUUAGAAGAAAGUGUUAUUUUGACAGGAAAACAUGAAAGACAUUUUUGUUAAAAAUUGAUCUUUUUUUAAGGCUAAAAUAUAUAUAGGUUUAUAUUUACAAAUUUGAGACUAUUUCGUCCUCUUAAUCAAAUAACUUAAAAAAGAAAAGAGUUAAUUCCACAAGUGGGUUUAAAAUACUCACAAAAUUGCAAUAUAUAUAUAUAUAUAUAUAUAUAUAUAUAUAUAUAUAUAUAUAUAUAUAUAUAUAUAUAUGAAAUUACAAAUUUACCCUCGUGUGUUGAGCACAUGACACUUCCAUUCAUUAAAGCUAACAUUGUUAAAUAACAAAUGUACAUUGCAACUAUUUAAGAAGUAUGAAGGGCACAUUGCUUGAUUUUAGUACAUGGUGAGAAACUUGUUGAACAAGUUAUGUGUAAAGUUUUAUGGUUCAUGUAUGAUAGAAAAUACAGAUCUACUACAACACUGGAUUUGCAAUUUGGGUUAAUAUUUAAAGAAAAGACCAUAGGACAAAAAGAAUUAAACUUUUGGUGGAAAACAAUAAAGAAAGGACUACAUGGAAAAAGGGAAGAGAUCAUUAUAAAGGAAGAUUAUUGAAUAGAAAUAAUUCCAAGAACCUAAGGCAAGACAUAGAGUAUCACUACUACUAUCACAAAAAGGGGUAUAUCAUAAAAUUUAUGAAAUUUUGAAAAAGACCUAAAAAAUGAAGAAAAAAAAAAACAAAUCAAAGAAGCCUACAAGUGUAACUAGUGUUCUUAAAGUUGCGAAAUGAAGGUAAUAAAUCAAAAGUAGAUUUGUUAAUAGUUUUUAAAAUGCUUGAAUUAGGAAUUGUCUACUUGUACCAUACAAGCCCUUGUAGAGACUGGUUUGACAUGUAAAUUGUUUGUAAAAUCAUUUUAAUGGGCAAUAAUGCACCAAGUUGCUCCACGAGAAGGGGAGGGGUUUGUGAAACCAUCACUUGUCAUGACAUACAUCGUCGGGUAAUCACGGAUGAGGGCAUCCACGGGAGGCCAAUGUCUACCCUCGCUCCACACCCCUCUAGUACAAGGCUCUAGGAGGGAGAGAGGCAACAAGUGUGUGACACCAAGGUAAAUAUGCUUGACCUUAUGGCUUUGGGAGCAACUUGCAUUGAAAGACUUGAUGAUUCACAAGAUUCUACAAUUCAUACAAAGUAUUGCAUUUUGCGACGUUCUUCAUCAAUAAGAGAGCCUAGAUAUCCAUUGUCAAGAAUUCUUUAUGUAUGAAAACAAAGGCGCCUAACCGACAUGCCCAAGAUCAAGGCAACUGGAGCGUGUUGCUUCGCCCAAGUUACUUAGCGCGUUUUGUGCCAAAGUUUGUUGUUCGCUCAAGAGGGCUUUUGUGAAUCUUUGUAAUAAAGGGAUAAUACAGAGUGGGCCGUAAUUUAGCAUCUUACACGCUUAGUUUCUUCCAUUGGUGGCAUAUAUUAUUUUGUCUGUCAUUGGUGAUUAUUUAAUAAAACUAUGAGAGUAUUUCAUGAAAUAUAAAUAAGAGGUUUUUAGGAUAUUUAAUCGAUGGUAAACAAAAGUUGAAAACUAAGUAGGGAGGAAGAUAAAAUAUUUUAGAUUUGAUAGUGGACUUGAGCAUUAGAACAAGAAGUUCACAAAGUAUUGCGAGAAUUCUUAUAUUACUUAACAUCACAUGUAAAGAAAUUACAAAGCAAAAUGGAGUGGUUGAAAAGAUGAAUAGAACACCAUUGGAAUGACUAGGUGGCUAAGAUUAACCAUUGGGUUACUUAAGAAUUUAAGGGCUAAAGCUAUCAACAUAACUUAUCAUGUAAUUACUUAGUUGUCAAGUUUUACAAUUAUUUUCAAUAUUCCAAAAGAAGUGUCAAGUAAAUCAAUUGACUUUUCAUCUAUUGAAAUAUUUGAUUGUUGCACUUAUAUUCAUAUAUAGGUGAAAAAAAAAUUCAAUCCAAAAUAAAAAAGGUAUAUAUUCCUUGGGUUUGAAAAAAGGAUUGAUUAAAGACUAUAGACUUUGGGAUCCAACAAUUAAAGAAAAAAAAGUGGUGAGCAGAGAUGAAUUCAAUGAAAAACAUAUGUUAAAGAAAGAUCAAGGACAAAUGAAAUUGGUAUUGAAAAAAAAUUCAACUACAUGACCAAUCAUCGAGAUGAAAUUUGAGAAAAAUGUCAUUAAAUAUGAAAUCCCUCCUAAUUGAUGUCCCUAUUAGAACUUUAUAUGGGCAUCUUUCUCUAUUGCUCUAAAGAAUCAUCGAAUUGGGUAAGGACAUCAAUUUUAAGAUUUUAAUUUUUUUUCAUUAUUUAUUGGAAUAGGAGAUCUUUAAAUUUUUUUGGGGCUCAAUUAGGAAGGAUGAUAGUUAUCAAUGUGUUGGUGCUAUGUCAAAUGAGAAUCCAAUGCACAUGUUGACUAAAGUUGUUCUUAAGGAUAAGUUCAAGCAUUGGUUGAAUGUCAUUAAUUUUUCAUUUUGUAGAACAUGGAAGGUCAAUUUUAUCGAAGAGCCAGGUCAAUCAACUUCUAUUAGGACUUCCAUUGAUUCUUGAUUUGACUAGAGGGACUCCUAGCAGUAAAUUUGUAUGAAGGGGCCCUACGGAGAUGCAAGAGCUGCCAAUCGGAUCGACCAAUAAAUGAUAGGCCCAUGCAGAGAUGUCCCUGAAAUAGGGGAUUGGUUGAUUGGAAAGCUUAGGCAGAGUAUAAAGGAGAACAAUUUAGCAUUUUGGGAAAAGCACAUAUGAAGAUGUUUACAAGUUUGGAAAUUUGAGUUAAAGAAGAGAUGGUCUAAAAAUGUUUCAAAUUUCAAUUUUAUGUUUUUCUAAGUUUGAUAUAUCCUAUUUGGAUAUUUGGGAAGUCUUCUCUUGUUACAUAAGGUAGUCCUAUGAUGAGAUUUGUUAUGAAAAUAGGUUCUUCCUCGUGUGAAAUAUUCCUAUGAAAUUAAGAAGGAAUAUAGGAAGAGUUUUUAUUGAAAUUAUGAAUCUUUUUUUUAUGUAAUUAGAACUAAAAUAUGAGAGUUUUAGAAUUGUAAUUACACCUUUGAAUAUAAAUAAUUGAUAAUAGUGAAUUAAUUUACCUUCUCCCUCUAGAUGUAGGUAAAUGCUAAAUUAUGUUAAAUCUUGUAUUCUCAUAUGAUUUUUUUUUUCAUUUAUUUUUCAUUUUCUUGCCCAUUUCUAACUUGCUACUACAUAAUAACAGGUGGUAUCAGGCUUUUUGUGUUUGCACAACAAAUGGUCUCAGUUUUUCCAGCACCACAAAAAUGAUAUUUUACUUAAUUGCUCCUCAGUGGAAAAGUUGGAAAGAAAAAUUAAAUCAUCGACUACACCUUUUUUUUUUUUUCCAAAACUUUUCUUGUCUUUGUGCAAGAAAAUUAGUAUAUUUUCUCUUUAGUAUUUGUUUCUCAUUUAUAUAUAUAUAUAUAUAUAUAUUCAAAUGGAACCUUAAUCAUCUUUUAUAUGAAGUAUAAAAGAAUUAGAAAAUAUUCAAAUUUUAAAUGAUUUUUAUUAUACUUUGUCCACUUCCUAUUUCAUAUAUCAAAUUACAAUAGAAUUUAAAAUUCUUUUAUAAGUUUUUUCUCCCUUUGCUACCACAUAAACGCAAAGACAGUAUGUGAGUUAAAUACCUUAAAAGAAAAAGAAAUUAAAAUGUGAUACAAAACAAAAGUAACCUCUUUAAAUUCAAGGAAACAAAACACUAAACUUUUUCAUGUAUUUUAUUCCAUUUAUAAAUGCAACAUGACAAAAAUAGACAAAAAUAUAAAUGGAAACCCUUUGGGUCCUUUAUUUUAUAUUUUAUCAACUUCAACCAAUUCUAUUUCUAUAGCACAACCGAUAUUAUAAAGUUCAAUGAGUAUAUAAUAUAUAAAGAUACUAAUCAAUACGAAUUAUUCUUUCUUUCAAAUGGCUACUUGUAUUAAAAAUUAAAUGUAAUUCCUCCUAAACAAUAAAAUAUGUUGACACGAUUUCAAUGAAUAUACAGUACAUAAAGAUAUGACCAAUUAGUACGAAUUAUUCUUUCUUUUAAAUAGCUACUUAUACUAAAAUAUAAGUAAACAUAAUUCCUCCUAGAUAAUAAAAUAUGUUGACACAAGGAGGAAUAUAUUUACUAAUUAUAUCAUUUGCAAUAGCCUCAAUCUCGUGACGUUCUUCGAACCAACCAUAGACUUUAUUGAGAUAGGUUAACCAAGGGAGCUUCCACUCUCAUAACUCGUAUAUGAAAAUUUCAUCUUGUACAACUCAAAUAGAAACCCAUAAAUACCAGUUGAAACCAAAAUGUAAUAAAUAAAUAAAAACAUAUUUCAAUGGAUCCAAUUAGUAUUUUUCUGAUCUCGGAUAAACAAACAAAUUUUUCUUCAUUUUGUUUUUUUUUCCAUUAAUCUUUGUAAGUAAAUUAUAUUUUAAUUUAACAAAGCACUAAACUUUACUUUAAUUUUCAUGCAGGAUCAACUAGCUUAUCAUAAUAAAAUUUAUCAAUAUAGCUGAGCAGAGAUUUGAUGUAAUAAUACCAUACAAAAUUCAAGUAAAAUUAAAUUAAUCAAAUAGGACACUACGGUCAUAUUUGGAUACAUAUUCUAUUUUUUAUUUUUAAAAUUAAAAUUUUGAUAUAAAAUAUGACAACCCUUUGUAUAAAAAAUAAAAAUUUAUCCUAUAAUCUUAAAACUACUUUUCAAUAUUAAAAAAAAAUGAGGACGUGUCCUAAAAUUUUAAACAAAUUUAAAAAUAUUUUUAAAUACCAAGAUAUCCACUUUUUUCUUUUUUAAUAAAAAUUCCUAUAUUUGAUAUAAAACUCUAUUUUAAAAAAUGAAAAAUAAAAAAUGUAUCCAAACAUAAGCAAAAUUGUUAGAUUUCAUUGUGAGAUUUCUUAGAUUCUACAAUUCAUAGUGAAAUGAAGACGAGAGAUAACUGACUGAAUUAUGAAAAAAAAAAUUAACAUUGAUGAGAUUCAAAAAUGCUAGUUAAUGAAAGAGUUUCUCCGCCAGGAUGACUAAGAAAAAUGCUGAAAAAUGUGUCAUGCCCAAAGCAAUGUUACAAUGAAGAAUAGAAUGAGAGCUAACCCGAAACAAAAUCCGACAAUCGCCAUGAAAGCCUGGAUGCAGAGGAAAUGUAACUAGAGACAUGUAAGGAAUCAUUAAGCAAGUGAGAACAAUAUCAAAAUCUCAUGUACGACUUACUUACCUUUCCCUGAGAUUCAAACUUGAAUUUUACUGUAAACCAUGACAAUCCUCUAUCUACAAUAGGUGCAAGUGCAAGGGCCCUGCAUGAGAAGCACCUCUACAAAAAUCACAGAAAACCCAAAGGAAAAAAAAAAAAAAAGAGUAAAUAAAUAGAAACUAGUCUAUCAGAAACCAGGAGGCUGCAACAAAUAAUCUCCAAAUGUCAGAUUUAAUAUUUAUUUACAAAUGCCACUAAAAGGCCUUUUCAUCAGAGAAAUCUAGAAUAAAAAAGGAUAAGGAGCCAUUUGGAUUACAGAGGUCAAAGAUUGGGUUGGAUGGGAGCAAGUUUAACCUCCUCAGUGAAAAUGAAAAUGCAAGGCCCAUCAUCAACGCUAGGUUCAAAAAUUGACACCAUUUCUUGAAGACUUUCUUUUUUCAUUCUUCAAUUGUCAUUUUGAUUCAAAGAAGCAGCAGCAUGAUAGACUAAACAAUCAUCAUAAACCCAGUUGCAAGUUAUAAGGAUAAGAAAGAAAAUGAACAGAAAACAUAUAUGAGAGAACUGAUAGGCCAAAAAAAUCAUUGUUGAAGGAAUCGAGCAUAAAUCUCUGAACAAAAUUUAGCUGAAAUUCACUGAUUUUGGGUUAUUUUGUGAUAAGAGCAUUGCAAUAUCCCAAUAAACUGUUACGCUAACUAAAGAUUUAAAACAGAAUUUAGCUGCUUACCCUCCAGCUCUGACAAGUUUAGUGACCUGGCUGCCUGCCCACACCAUAGCCAUGAUUUUGACAAAUCUGCCAAUUGGAUUCCAUGUCAAGAUAUUUUGAAAAACUUGUGCAAAAAGAAACUUUUUGGAAUAAGUUUUUACCUUUCAACUGCCGCCAAAUAACCCAUCCUUCCUGGUGCUGGAGCAAUAUAAAACCUAGAAGCAGCAUAGUGAAUUCAGAGUUAUACUGGUUAUUUGAAAUCUACUCUGAACACCUAUGAUAGAGACUGCAGGAUGUGGUAAAACACUAAGGCAUAUUUCAAACUACAUUAUAAGGUAUUUGAUUAGAAAAUUAAAUAAAUAAAUAAAUAAAUAAAAUAACAUAACAUAAAAUACAAAAAAGAAAAAAAAAAUUAACAAACUGAAUUUGUCCAUAUGCAACAAUAUGCAAUUGUUAGCCAUGAAUCCCAGUUAUGUCGGUUUCCAGUAUUAAUAAUUAAGCAUGAUGUUUAUGAACUAGACCAGCAUUCUAAUAACUCUAGAUUGAAGGGCAUGGAUGUCACAUUUGUAUUCCAUCAUGUGCAACUAACAUCACAUUGAAAUAAUAUCCACUAAAGCAAGUUAAGACCCAGUAUAUCAGAUUAAAUUUUUUCUACCAUGAACAUAAGCUUGAUAAAAAUGAAGAUGGAAAUGCAAUACUUCUUUAUAUGACAUAAUGAAGGGAACCAAAUACAAGGACUCCCCAUUCCAGAUGCAGAAAGCCAAGUUACAACCUUUGCCAAAUAAAGAGAUCCACCAUAAGUUCAUUUUUAGACAUGCUAUAGUUGAAUAUGCCAUCAGUAAGUGAUCAAAAGCCAAUUCAGAUGGGAAUAACAGCCACAAUGUUGGGAAGGUCAAUAACAAAAGCAUUGACUUGAAUGUUGGCAGUGUCAUUUACACUGGCCAUAAGAACCAGAGGUAAUGCAUACAGUUGGUAAGGUGGGGAGGAGGAGAUGAGAAAUUGAAAAGUCUUGAAUUUAUUUGUUUCAUGCAAUUCCGUUUUCCAAUACUCUAUACGAUAAUAUACAUUGUACAGCACAAGAAUAGGGUUGUUUUAAAAUUUUGAACAAAUAAAAAUUUCAUAUCAAUAUCUAAUAUUUAAUAAAAAAGAAUGAAACAAGAGUAAGUACAUUCUCUUCUCCUUAACAUGGUAUUAAAGCAGUCUCCAAACUCUUAACUCCUAGUUGCAUACUUGAUUUGCACUGGAAGUUGCAGUUUGCUCAUUUUGUUAUUCAAGUAAGUUACUUCAAUCUAUCAUAGUUUAAAUGACUUGGGACGGUAGUUGUCAUGGGCACGAAUUUUCCCACAAAUUUUUCGCAUUCACACAGCGCUUAGAAGCCCUCUAAGCCAACAUACUCAAACCCACAUGAGAUUGCAAUCAAGAAAAACCUCACAAAGACACACAAGGCUAUGGAGCUCAAUCCCUAACUUGUAUUUUAUUUCUUCUCUAAAUAACAAUACCAGACAUAGCUUAACAAGACUUCCACAAUCUCUUUGGUGAGUUCAUGCUCUCUCUCAAGCUAUGUAUAUUCUCUAUGAUCUCCAGAUUGCACGAUAAUUCAAAGGGCACUCCAGUCCUCCUUUUAUAGGUGUGACACCAACCACUCCCUAUUUGAUAAGGAGCAACGAAUCCUAGUUCUACUCAAACUACAAUUAAAAUAAGAAUCUAAACUCCUAUUCAAACUCAAAUUACAAUAACAAUUUGAAUUCAACUCUGAACUUUCAAAUGUCUUCGGCCCAUUCCUCUUUCAUUUGAAACUCCUUGUAUCAGGCCACAUAUCAGCCCUUCAAUUCCCUGGUUUGUGGUGCAAUAUAUCUUCCUUAAGCUUGUCCCAAUGCCAAGACAUCUUUGUUGUGUUCUGCCUGAAGUCUACCCACUCUUGUGCCUUGAGUCAGUCCAUUCAUGCAUUUGAAUCAGCUGAUGCAUCCGAUCAGCUUGCUAUAGCGUCUCUAGGCAGCCUACUACAUGUGUCUCUAUGCAACUAGUGUGCAUGCCAAGCCCUCUCUUAGCCUACAGAUCUAGCAAUUUUCCUUGGUGCCAAUCUUUCCUUUGGCUGUAGCCCCUUGUUGUUCCUUGAGCGUGUCAGUCAUGCUCAUAUGUGUUCCCGCAUCUGGAUCACGUCCAUGCUGAGGCAACCUGCCCAAGUUUGCUCUGCCUAGCUGUUGUUAUGGCAUCAUGCCAUGCCCAAGCCCUCUUCUUGGUGCAGCAACGAGUCAUGGCAUUGCACCCAUGACUCCUCAUCUCUAUGCACAAGGCAUUGUGCCCUUGUGCCACGCCACCUCAUUGCACAAGGCAUUUCCCCCUCAUGCUACCGUUGGGAAGGGAAGACUGCAUAGCACCCCAUGUCGUUGCAACCUUGAGUUGCACACCAUCACAUGUCAUGGAGCCCAUAUAUGGUUGCUAGCAAGGCUUGCCCAUGUGCCUUGCUCAUGUUUGAGGACUUGCACCAAAGCCCCUAAGUGUGGCCAUGCCCAUGCCACCUCGUCUCCCUUGAGUCACCCCCACCCUCACCCCCCUUAAAAGAGCAUUUUAAGCCCUUUUAAUUAAUUCAAGAAAAUCUAGAAAAUUUUGCUUCCACUUGGAGUCUCCCUUUUGAAGGUUCCUAUAAAUCUUUUAUCUCUAAGCGAAUUAACCAAGUCACUUAAUUGUUUUGCAACAUUCCUUCCCUUCCCAUAGUGUAUUUCAAGAUCUCUUAAUGAACAAGACAAUUGGUGGAGGGCAUGAAGUAAGUGGAAUUUAUCACCAUAUUGGCCCACCUUUUACUCCAAUUGCUCUACGUACUUCCAUUUCUUCUAUGUAGUGGCACACCUUUCACUACGCAUCUUUAGCAUAUGGGACUUCUAGUUAUAUUGGACUCCAAGUUAAAGCACCAAGUUUGUGAGUCAAGCAAAUAGCAUCACCAUAGUGUUGUUCUAGUCCUUUUUGUUCUAUAAUCAAUAAGAGGAGUACUAGUCCUUUUCAUCUUGUUCAUUUAGACAUUUACAGUUUAUGUAGUGUUGUUCCUAAUGUUGAACUAAACUUUUUUAUUGCUAUUUUAUUAAUUAGAUCAAUGAAAAUGGUAUGAGCAUAAAGAGGCUGAAUAAUAGGUACUAAUCUCUUAAAAAAAACUAUCUUGUAGAAACAUCAUCAGGUGACUAUGCACAAGUAAAUGGUCUGACAAGGCGUGAGAAAAACAUUCAUUUUUGUGCAACAACCAAGUAUUUGCAUCUUAAUCAACCAAAGAAUAAAUGGCUGAAGACAAUAAAUGACUGAACAAAAAGAAAAUCAUAAGUUUUAGGCCAGACACUUUUUUCAUCAAUUAUAUACAACAACAAUAAAUCAAAUAGUCCUAAAUUUCAAAAGAAUAAUGCUCAGCAGCUAUGCAUACUCACAAGUCACAAAUACCUCAUCCUUGACUAAUUUACAUGAAUGAAUUAUUUACUUACCAUACCAAGAGAAACGUUGUAAGAUAGUAUGCAGUAUUCAGGAGUCCAUAGGAUAAUAUUCCAGAAAUUCCAUAUCUCUUCAGUUUCUUUAGAAGACUGAAAGGUUAAGCAAGAAUGAGCUCUCAAUGUAAGUAGACAUGCAUUUCAGCAUACAAAGGGCAAAAGGAUUGAGGUAUCACUUCUUACAGAUUGUUUGCAUGAAAUUCAGUAGUAGAAGAGAAAUUAAAAUGAUUGGGACAAGAUCACUCAUCCAAACAAUAGUUUAUUUACAGAGAAAAGGUCUAAAGCAUAAUCAUGCAGUAGACAAAAUGAAUCUUUUGUGUCAUGUUCCAAUAAUGUUAACAAACUACAUUAAAUUCAUAAGGUUACAUAGAAAAAGAAAGAAAAGACAUUGUUGCAAUAGUUUGGUUGUUACACUGCUAGCACCCAGACUACGACCAAAUCCUUGCAUUGAAAUUGAAUUUCAAACUCCCAAUGUGAAAAAGGAAGAUACAAAAAAGAAAAGAAAAACAGGAGGAAAAAAAAAAAAACAGAGGGAAAGAAAAGAAACAUGGGAUUUCCAUGUAUAAUACAUACAUAUUAUAUCUAUAGAUAAAUGCAUGUAUGUGCAUAUGUCAUAGAGGCUGGUCAGACACAUUUCAAGAAGUUUCACAACUUGCUUUGGAAUGACAAACACGUGGAUCAAUAAAUGGCUUGUCUCCAUUAUUGAGAAAUUGCAGGUAAAUUUCAUCCACUACAGGCAUGGGGUGGCUGGACAAAGUUAUGCCAUUUGGUGGGAUGUAGUGGACUUAAGACAGAAAAUUCUCAAUCAUUCUUCUGUCCCUUGUGCAGUGUUGAAGCUGACAAUAUUAUUGAGCAUACAAGGAAUGUGAUGUAAAACAUCAUUGAGGACCAUGAGCUGCGAAGGCAGGGAGAAAUUAAGUUAUGAUUAAGUUUUGGUGAGGGAUUUUCAGAUGCAGAUCAUAUGGCAAAUUAACUUCAGAGAAUUGCAUGUUUUUAUUCAUUUCCAUACACAUUGAAUAAUCAUAUUUAAAAUCCCUCAUUCACUUGUUUCGCUUCCAUUAGUGCUCCUUCCACAUGCCUAUUAGCAGCAUAGACCUCAUGAUAGUUUGGUAAAGGUAAGACAAUAAAAUUGAAAAAUACAGCUAAAGCCUAAAAUAUUGGCUCAUAAAGAGAGAAACCAUCCAAGUUCUAUCUUAAAUGACUCUACAAGUUCUAAACAGGGAGACAAGGACUUCAACCUGGUCCAUCAAUGCAUAUAAAUGGGUAAUCAUUCCAACAACCAUUACGUUAGAAGUACACUAAAAGAAAAUUAUUAAACAAUGUUGUUUCCAAAAAUUCCAUGUUAAAGAAUAGAAGAACAUACUGCUAUAAAUGAAAUUCAUUCAAAACAGUUCAAACAGUAAAGUUAAGAAUUGUGACUGCAUAUUUUUUUUUAAAAGAAACAAGAAUUGUGACUGCAUAUCACCACACUUGUUUUAUUUAUAAUCCACACAAUGUAUUCUUCCCUAGCAUGUUAUCCCAUUAAGUAACCUCCAGAUAAAAUUCCCUUUCUGACUCUGUCAAUCAGCCAAAAAAUUUGAUGUAAAAUGUAAAAUACAUGGGUACACAAAAACAACUAUAUAAACUGCCAUCCCAUCAUUAAUAAAUCAUUUGUCUAUAACAUAGACUAAUAGCACUGUAAGGCAAGUAGGAAGUACUCUUUUGAUGUGUGCAGUUCUCCUUCACCAUUUUCGCCCUUUGCACUGGAGUCUAUAAAAAUAUGUAUAAGUAGAUUUUUAGAAAUAUCAAGUUUAUCAAAUGUAAAAUAUGGUAUCACAGAAAGCUACACCAUUUUUCUAGUUAUCAUUUGAAAGAUAUUGAUACCUUCAUGGUUGGCAGAGUAGUCAUGACCAUUUGACAUGCCAGAAGCCUAACCUACAACAAAGGCAAUGUUGAAAAAGCAAUAUUCAAAAUUCAAUGAAAAAAACAGAAGACAAACAAAUGAACAAAUAGCAAAUCAUCACACUCAAUUGUUUUCCAAAAAUGAAAAACCAAAUGAAAGGAACAAGGAAUAUAUUGAGAAAAAAACCUAUGAUCAAUGGAUAUGCAGUUGCAUUCUAGCACAUAUAUAGGAUCAAACAAGUAACUAAUCUAGACAUAGCUGCAGCAAAUUUGUGUAUCUCUGAAUGCGUGUCUGCUUUUUGUGGGGGGAUAUUUAUUAUGACAUGUUCUUAGUGCAGACAAACCAUCUGCAUUUACUUGAGGAUUAGGUAAACAUACUUUCCAUUUAAAAUGAGGCCUUGAACAUCAAGCCCCGGUGAGUUUUCAAAUAAGGAAAACAUAAUAGCUUUACAAUGAGUCCCAUAGCAAGAAGGCAUGCAAUUCCAUUCAUCAGCAUACCAGAAUAUAGAAUAGUGUGGACAUGUGGACACAUGCCAGAAUUAGCAUUGGACACACUAACAUGCCAGUCAUACAUAGAAAGACUUUCCAAAGAUAUUAAAGUAAAACACUGGUAGUAAGCAAAUUAGACCCAGAAAAACAUGCAAGUAUAGGCCAAGAUCAAAUCUUAAUUUUAAUUUCCAGAAAAAAAAUAAAAAAUUAUAUCAACCAAUAGAAAUGGUAUCAUCAGCAAUUAACACCAAAACACACCAACAUAUCGGAAUGCAUAUCACGUGUACCAAUCUCCAAUCAGCAUUACACCUGUACAAGUUAGCCUGUAGCAGGUCAUAAUAGGUUCAGACUAUAAAACCUUCCAAAUCUUCCUUUGCAGGGCUUAGAAACUAUUUUCUAAGUAAUUUGCAAUUUUAAAAGCCUGUGACAAAAUUUUGGAUGAAGAGCUUAAACUAUAUACUCACAAACCCACUCCAAAAUUUCCUUAAGGUAAUACACAUUUUUUGAAGUCCUUUCCAAUGUCUUCUCUUAUUUGAGUUAGAAAAGCCAAUGUUUUUAUGAAUUGACUACUACGGCUGUUGAGGUUUGAGGUGUAUAACUAAUUUCUUAAUAUAUCAUAAUUUACAUCAGUCAUUAGAAAUUAAGGUUCCAUCCUUUUACACUAAGAAAAUCCUGAGAGCAAUUAAAAAAUACCUUCUUUAAUAUUAUUAAAUUUAAGUUUCCUUUAGGUCUUUGAGUCUAAUAGAAAUUAGUAUAAAAGGAAUUUUAAUUUUCUUACACUAAGAAAAUAAAAAUAAUAGGCAAAAUAAUUUUCAAAUUUUGGAACUUUAUAGGUAAUGCUUAUUAAAAUAAAGCAACAAAGUUUGUCAUUUGCCAAUGAAUGAACCAAUUGUGGAAAACUAUGCAAAAAAUUUUAUUAGCAUGGAAUUUUUUUUUUCUGCCAAUAUAUAGAAUUCAAUUUCAAACCUGCCCCUCCCAACCCACCACUUGCUACUUGAGGCAAGCUUAGAGGCAGAAAACUAUUUACAAUUCUACGUAUGGAUAAAAAUUAUUUCUUAGAUUUUAUGCCAAUUCCAUAUUUAUAGGUAUCAAUUUAUUAUUCUACUGUUGUCAGAAGCUUCAAUUUUGGGCGUCCUCAUGGCUAUGCCACCCUUAAAUGAGAACAACUUUGGUCUUCUGUUUUUCUUUUUGAGCUCUUCAAAUUUUUGCAAGUUACUUCUAUCCAGGUUCUAGGAAACACCCAUUUUUUUAAAUCUCCAAUAAUUUAGGGUUCUGUGGCUGAGGGAAUAGACUUAUUUUUGGUUGAAGCACAUAAAAUUCUUGGCUAUUUUUUUAUUUUUUAUUUUGCCAUCAGGUCCUUUUAGGUUGAUUUUUCUACUUAUUUUUCACCCACCAAUUAACAUUGCCCUAACUCUGUUAUCUAUCCGAACAAAUGUUUAUGAACUAGCAAAUCAUACUAAAAUUUCUUACUAGUUGACAUGUGCAUCAUCUCAGCAUGUCAUUCCAACACCAAACUACAACCAUAAUCUCACUAACAUCCUAACUGCCUCAAUGAGUAUGGAUUACAGAAAUGCAAUUAAAAUAUACUUCCCUAUUUAAUUUCAUAAUUUUUAUAAUAAUAUUUCAGCAAUAUUUCCACAUAGUAGCUUAUGUGAGAAAUCCCCAUUUCCGUAUAAAAUCGAAAAACCCUAUAGCUUGCGCAUGUAAAUAGAAAAAAAAAAAAAAAAGACAGAUUUUGCAGAAUUGGGAGAGCAGACUCACACCAGCAUGGCCAUUGAUUGAGCAGAAACGCAGAUGACGAUGAUGGUGGUGGAAUUGGGAGAAAUUGUUGAGUUUGUGGAAUGUGGGAACCCUAGGAAUGCUGGGAUUGAAACCCUGGAUUGAAACAAGAGGAUUGUGAGAGAGAAUUGGAAAUUGAAGAAUCAAACACAAAAAAUAAAUCCAAGAAAUAAAAAAGAAGCGUAAAAAUGAAAUAGAGAAGAGUGUGUAUGACGCACCUGAUGAUGUGAAAGCAGCUUCAGCUGGUGAAGGCAAACUUUCGACGGGAGAGACAUGAGCAUACCGGCCUCCGACAACAAUCCCUCCAAAAUAUUCUUUCUAUACCAUUUAUUAUUAUUAUUAUUAUUAUUAUUAUUAUUUUCAGGUUAUUUGAAGUGCAAUGUCUAGCUAUACCAUUUAUUAUUAUUAUUAUUAUUUUAUUGCUAUUAUUAUUUUCAGGUUAUUGAAGUGUAAUGUCCACCAUACCUUAUAUGCCAUCCAUGAUGAAGGCCUUAGAACUCUCCAUGGAGCCUAAAUCUCGGGAUGCUAAUCACCCUAUAAUAACCAGCAUAGAGUAUAUUCAAAGUAUCAUUAAUGACAAAUUUCGAACUUAGGACCAUAUGUCAUUUACUGAGACCACACUUCUUAAUGUUCAUCCUUAGCGACACACUCAUAUGUACCAAAUCAUCCGAUAACCUGUUUUUCCUAUUUUCUCAUUUUUACAAAAAAAAAGAAAAAAUAAGAAUAACUUCUAUUUUUAAAAUUUUAAUUUUUUUUAUAAGUAAAUUUUUGUUCUCAUUAGGACCUGUGGAACCUCCCACAAGUCCUCCCGAAUCAUUUACCACUUGAGUCAUGCCUUAAUGGCUUGUUUUUUUAAAAAAUAAUAACAACUUUUAUAUAAAAAAAAAUACUUAUAAAAAAUAUAUACAUGUCAUUAAAAGUUUAAAGAAAUUUAAAUUUGAUAAUAAUUUUUUAAAUAAUUUAAUGUGUUAAUUGUUCUUAAAAACCGUAAAUAACCUAAAAAAGAACAGUAUGUUUGUAAAUUGACCAAAUUGUUAUAUGGUUUUAAAUAGUCACCUUAACAAUGUUACAAGUGAGUUGAUUAAUUUAUGGUAGAGAAGAAUUACAAUAGAAUUCAAUUAGUUAUCGCAUUUGAAGUCUUUGAUUAUUUGUUGAAUAAUAUUUGCAGCCAAUUAGCUAGGGUUGGCUAACCCAAGCCAAACCUAGUUACCAAUAUGUCCAACCUAUGCUAAACUCGAUUCAAAGUAAGGUUGGUAGUUACUAAACUCAUUAACAACUAAAGUUUCUAUGGAUUCCCACGAGUUUUCAUGGAUUAUCAAAUAAACCACAUAUAAUGGAAUCUCCUAAUAUAUAAAAGACAUAUUUCAAAUUAUAAAUUAAACCAUAUUAUAAAAUAAAAUUUUAAAAGCUAAGUAUAUAUCAAAGUCAUAAAUUAUAUUACUAUUCACUAAUUUUAAUGGUAACAUGAAACACAAGUGUGAAUAUUUAAAAAUAUUUUAGUAAUUAAACAAAAAUGAUAGACUUAUAGUGUAAUGUAAUAAAACUAGCAAAAGUUAUAGUUAUUUCAUUAUCCCUUUUAUAAAUUUCAUAUUUUAAAUAAACUAAUAAAUAAUAUAAUAGUAAUGAAUUUGCUUAGUCUUCAUCAUGUAGAACCAAUUUGAAGAAUUUUUUUUUAACAGGACUGAUUAAUGACUUAAUUAAGGGUAGGUUACAGCUAAAAUAUUUAGUAGGACUGAUUAGUGACUUAAUUAAGGGUAAACUACAGCUAAAAUUUUCCUAGUAGUCUUCCACUAUGGCAAAUUGUGGGAACUAGUAGUGGCCUGUCCAACCUAUAGAGGAAACAAAUAGGUGAGUGAGUUAUUGAAUAUGUGGCUGAGAGUGACCAACCAUUGAGGCUCACAUGAAGUUGUAGUGGCUGAAAGGAAGGGAUAAGAGACCAAAAACAUGCUCAGAGAGAUUCUUGUUAGGAUCAAAUUGGGGGCAUAGAUAUAUCUCUUUGGUAAGAGUUCCCAUAAUUUAGGUAUUAAUGAAAUAGGUAUAAAAUAAUUAUAUAUCUUGAUAUGAUCAUGUUGUUAAUGAUGAUCUAAUGAGUUGAAAUAUUAUGUUUUCAACUGUGUAUAUCUAAUAAAUACAUCAAGUGCUUAAACUUUAAUAUAGAAAUGGUCCACAAUGGCUUGUAUGACUCAUCGUCUUAUAAACAUAUUAUUUAGAUUAGGCUAAAGUGGUCAAAGUAAGAAGAAAAAUUGAUACUUGAUUUGAAGUAUGAAGAAUUCUUCUUAGACUUUGUGUGUAGUGUUGUUAGCUUAUUGUUGUGUUAAAGUCUAUUUUGAUGUAUUUUGGAAAGAAUGACCAACUAGAACCACAAUAAGAUGUUGCAAAACUUAUUUAAACAAGGGCUUGUGAGCAAGAUUUUUUUUUUUCCCUUUCAUGUACAAAUAGUAUGAUGAAUGAAAAUUUGAUUCUCGAUUGUAAUUAGUGUUUUCUUUAAGUUUUAAAUCAUGCAAUGAAUACUUAAAAUUAGCUUACGAUGUCAAAGAAUGUAAGUAAACAAGGUUUUACAUGUUGGAUAUAUAAUAAAUUCAAAACCUUUACCUUCCACAUUGAAUGAUUACAUUUUUUCUUUAAGUGCCCUUUAAUCAUUCUCAUUUUGUUUAAUCAUUUUCUAUAAUGUCUCGAGCAUAGUAGAUUUCUAUAAAUUUACAUGAGCAUUCCUUAACUCUUCUUGAGUGAUCCUAAACUUAGCAUUGAAACAAUCAUAAUUUAGGCGAAGAUGCUUAUACGUCUUCAUAAUCAUCCUUGGUUGCUAGCCAUUUUUCCUUAAUUACUUUAGGAUGUUUAGUGAAGAUGAUUACAAAUAUUAACUAGUUCACUCAAACAUUUUUGUAUGAGUGUAGAACAAUUUUGCAUUCUUUCCACAUCACUUAUGCAUCUUCGUUCCAAGAAAUAAGAUAUAGAACUCUUAUGUUUUGCCUACACCACUUGGUUCUCCAACCCAUUGUGCUUAUGCAUCCUUUUUAUAUCACAUAUGCGACUUGCUUCUCAUUAAGAUAUUUCACUUACAUGUUCUUGUAUAUGCAUAAUUUAGGAAAAAAUAUUUAAAAAUAGAAAAAUAGAUUUUAAUACAUAUAUUUGGAACAAUUAAACUCAAACUAUGCAAGUGACCUUGUCUACUAUGUAGGUGACUUUGUUUACUACAUAGGCAAAGUAUAUGACAGUGAUAGUCAAGGAAGCUAUGUGGUUGCAUGGUUUAGUGGAGAAUUUAAGAGUAAAGCAAGAUCACAUUGUGAUUUAUUAUGAUAAUGGGAGUGCCCUAAAUUUAUUUAAGAAUAAAAUUCAUCACUCAUUGGUAAGGCAUAUUGAUGUCUAAUUUCAUUUUAUUUAAGAGAUUCUAGAAGAAAGUCAUACCUUAUUUUAGAAAAUUACUGAUGUUAAUGAGGUAGGUCAUAUUUAAAUGUGAUCCAUGUUGAAAGGAUCAAUGUACCUUUAGGUGUGUAGUAGCAAAAUCUUUAAAGAUUGUUUGGUUAGCUUCAUUUAAAUUACUUAGUUAAAUAUUACAUAGUCAAUUAUAUGUUUGACUUUUUGAACUAGAACAUUUAGAUUUUGGUUGUUGUAGUUGUUAUAAUUACUAUUUAGGUUUUUAAAAAGGUAUAAAUUUAUAAUUUUAGUUGGUUUUAUUAGUUUCAUUUAAAAUUCCCAAGAAACUUCAGUGAAGGAAAACAGAGCAAGAGAGUUUUUGAGAAUUGCUUAUAAUUCUUGUAUAUUAUUUUGAUAUCUUUAGUGCAUUCAUCUUAUCAUUACCAUAGAUGAAGGCAUAUUGUCAAACCAUAUAAAUUGUUUAUCUCUUUGUCUAUAUUGAGCUGCCAAGAUCAGUUCCUUGUAAUCCAAUGGCUUAUUUUGAUUCCACGAUGCUACAAUGUAUUGAAUUAAGCAUAGGGAUUAACAAUUCCAAUCAUAAACAAUAAGAGAUCCUCCCCAACAGCAUAAAAAACUUGAGAGACCCGAGGCUCGCAUCUCAGAAUAUGCUCUUGAACUAACACUAAAGAUGCCUAGAUUCACCACCACCCUUUCCACCCCAAUGUUGUUAGAAGUAGAAUCUAAUCAAAUGAAGAGUUCCUGAUAGUUGCGAGUUCUUAUGAUUUUUUUCCAUCAUUUUCUGACUUUUUUUUCAUCCAUUACGUACGUCCUUCUGAGUGGAGUUCUCCUUUCAUGGUAUCAGAAAAUCAUACUCAAUGAAUUCGUUAUAACCAGACCAUAACCAGAACCUCCAUGGCGUGUUUUUCCUGUGUUUUUUCUGAAAAUAUAGCUACAUUUAUACAUAUUUUUAAGAAUAUUAAAGGCAUUAUCAAAGGAAGAAACCGAGAAAACUGAUUGUAUAGAAAUCUAUAAUUGUGCUUACUUUCAGUCCUAGUCACAAAGUUUCAACCAGAUAAAUCAUGUCGAGAGAUGCCCAGCAAGUGGUGGUGGUCCAGGAUGCAUCCAGAGAUGUUAGUUCAAGAGCAAUCCUUAGGAUUCUCCAUGACUUAACACUUAAGCCUGGAGAUGACCUUACACUCCUCGGAGUUCUUCACCAGGUUAAUAAUCCUUGUACGCUUUCUUUCAUGGGAGGUAGGAAAAUACGUAAAAAUUCAUGCCUUUUUUUUCUUUUGAGUACAGAAGAAAAAUCCAAGAAGAAAGAAAUAUUAAACAUAGCACCAGGAAAAUGAUAUAUACCAAAAGGGAAAUUGUGCAGGUUUAUAGAUUGAUGAAUGAUGUGUCAGAUUUCCCAAUACAACUAUUUUAUUCUAAGGUAUACUUUGAUAAUAGAGACAACUAUUUUAUGAUCAAAUGAAAAAAUGAGGUAUAACAAUUAACCCAAGACAAAUCCUUAAGUGAUACUUUAGUUUUUUAUGAAAUAAAUGUUCUUUUUAUAUUAGUAUAAAAGAUUAUUUUUUCUUAGUUUCAUUUAGGGAAAAUUUUGAUUUUUUAAAGUUUUAAAGUUGGUUAAUGUAAAAUUUGUUUUUUAUCUUUUAGAUUUUCUUUUCCAUAUUUACAAAAAUAGAUAAUUAAAUAAACUUAGAUAAAAAUAGAAUUUUCAUGUUCACUUGUUUGCCUUAUGAAUUUAUUUUACUAUUAAAAUAGGUGCUUCUUAUUAUUUAAUUUUAAAAGUGAAGAUGCAUGUUUUAAUAAAUUCUAAGAGAGGACAAUGUUUAAAAUAAAAAAUUGAAAUAUCGUGGAAAUUAAUAUUUUAUUUUAAAUACAGACAAUUUCCAUGUAAUUUUGUUUGUAUAUUAUCACUACAAAUCAACGAUGACUCCAAAUAGCCAUUGGCCUUAAGAGAUGUCAAGCUCACAACAAAAAUAAUGUUCUAAGUUCUCUAAAAAUAUUUUAAUUAAACACAAAGGUAGUCCAUCAUCUAAUCAACAUUUGCAUAUACAAAACCAUUUUAGCAAAAGUUACAUCAUCCGUUAGUAUAAGCAAACAUGAAUAAGUAUUUCCUAAUUAAGAAAAAUAUUAAUUCAAAUAUUUUAAAUUGGCCAACAAAUUAGGAUAUUGAAAUAAUGGUCUCUAUAUCAAAUGAGUUAUAAGAAAAGGUAACAUUAUCUUUCAUCUAAAUUUCUAUGCUUUCACAAUCUUCAAAAUUAAUAAAACAAUAAGUUAUCUUUCAUUUGAUGCCAUUGGCUAUAUUGUAUUUUCUCGUGACAAAGUGAUGAUUAUCUUUUUUUUUUUUUUAUGCACUUGAUUGAUUUGGUUUCCACCAAUGUGACUUUAGUGAUUUAUCCUUCGCCGGUUGUUAGGAUAAUGGUAGUGGUUAAUAUGAUGUCGUCAAUAGAAUAACUACCUACUCUAGGUAGUAUGUUGGAUAUGAUGUUAUAAACCUACUUAUAGAUUAAUAUAGUUCAACAAAUACUAAUUUGAGAGAGAGAGAGAUAGGUCUAUGGUGAGUUGUAGUGAAAGGGAAGGAUUAAGGCUAGGGUUUGUGUGGGUAUGAAAAAGAUAAAAACAUUUUUAUUUUCAUAUCCAUUUUUGGAUUUUAAAAAAUAAAAAUAAAUAGGUGGAUAUAGAAAGAGUUCAAGUGGUUCGUUUGCAAUUUCCCUUCAUAAAACAUCACAGUUGUCAAUGAGAUCUAUGCACUAAGUAAUUUUAACAACCUUUGUUUGUGAAUUGCUUGUUACUGCAUUAAGUUUUGGUAUUCUCCUCCAUGUAGGUGAAACAUAUCAUGUUUAUGUAGAAUCAUUAAUAUAGUGUUUAACAGCUUCCAUGAAAAAGAAAGCGUGAGAGCUUGGGGAUAUACUUCCCAACUUAGAGGACAUCUCAAUAGCAAUGAAUAGAUUUUCAUAUAAAUGGUUAAAUAGUAUAUAAAAUAAUCGAAGAUGUCUUGUUUUAGUUUACCUCCUAGGUAGAUAGCCUAGUUACUUCAAGUAGUUUUGGCAACACCAUUUACUAUCAUCUUCAACGAGUAUAUAUCCUUCAAGGCAAGGCCUCACUUUCUUAGCUCAACAAAAAGUUUAUUAUGAUAAGUUAUCUUGAUAACUAAUGACUAAUCUUGGUGUAUAUAUAUAUAGUUAAGAGGGAUGUGAAUCAAUGAGAAAUAGUUUCCACUUUGUGCUAAUGAUAGGUUUGAGUCAAGGUUCAAAUUUUCAUCCAUGGAAGUAUGAAUGUUGAUCAAUAUGAAAUUCUGGUCCAUCUUGUGAUAACAAAUAGUUUAUCAUAUGUAACUCAAAAUUAUUCUUUCUAUACAUUCAUCUUGUGCACCCACCUUUCUGUUUCUUUAUUGUACGUAUCACUUUCUCUUAUUCCAUAAGGAGAAGCCACUAGACUUGAGAAAUCAAUUAGAGAAUGAUACAAUUCCAACAAGAUCGAGUAUGAAACAUUUCUUAUCAAUCUUUUCAUAGUGACUCAUAGCUUGUAGUAAAUUAAUGGGCUAUUUGUUUUUUAACUUGAGUUUUGAAGCAAGUUGUUUUAAGAUUUAAGAUAAAAGUAAAAAAGAAAUUUACUUUUUCUAUUAACACAAAAUUAUCUUAGAAAAUAUGAUACGUUAAAAAAUAACCAUUUUAAAAAUGACAAAUCUUAUAGAAAAAAAUAAUAUAAAAAAAUAACACUUAACACUAUUAAAUAGUAUUUAGUUUUGAGUUAUAUUAAGGUAUAUAUAUAUAUAGACACACACCACCUAAGGUGAUGUUUUACUUGUUUGUUUGUUUUUUCUAAAAUCUAAAUAGAUUUGAAUUUGGAUUGAAUUUAAAUAGAGCAAAAUGUCAUAAGUGUUUAGACUCUUUGUGCUUUAUUGUAUUUGAAAUAUGUUAAGUGUUAAAUUGUUUAUUUUUACUUAUGUCAAAAUACUAUAAGUAUUAAAUUUAUUUAUUUCACUUGUUAAAAAUGUCUACAAAAUUAAUUAUAGUAUUUGUUAUUAUUUUAGUUUUAAAAAUUUACAAUUUUUAAAAUAUAUAGUAAUUUAAAUAUUUCCAAAAUAUCAAAAUUAUUACGAUAAUAAACAUUUUAUAAUAAUUAAUAUUGUAAUUAUUUAAGCAUAAUUGGAUAAUAACAAGGAUUUCCUAUUAUGCUUGGUUACUAAAAAAAUAUUUUAAAAAAUUUCUAAUUUGACACUUAUUUCUAUAUGGUGUGUCUUCAUAUUUAAAUUUAAAUAUUUUCCAAAAUAUCAAAAUUUAUUACUAUAAUAAAAAUUUUACAAUAACUAAUAUUGUAAUUAGUUAAGAAUAAUUAUAUAAUAAUGAGACUUUCUAAUUAUGCUUGAUUACUAAGAAAAUAUUAAACAAAACUUCUAAGUUAACAAUUAUUUCUAUCUGGUGUAUCUUUGGAUUUAUGGAUUUGUAAUUGAAAAAUGUGUUUUAUUAUUGAGAUUAAUUCAUUAAUUUUUAUAUUUUAGAUUUUCAACAUUAAAUCCUAACAUUUUAUUUUUCAAAAUUAAUUAUUAUUGCUUAUUCUAAUAAUGUGGACCCCGCAUUUCGGCUCAUGCACUUCCACUCGAUGGCGAGCUCGAUUUUUAUUUGAAAAACGAUUUUAUUUAUUAGAAAAUGACUUGGAGUCACCACUUAUUUUUGUUUUAUUUUUAAAGGGUAAACAAAAUACGAAAGAAAACCCUAAGUGUGACUCCUUAUUUUGGAAAAGAUAAUCCACGAAAAACCGGAUCGGGCUCGGGGGUCAGGUUACUUAUCGGGAAGGUAUGGUAAAGACCGUAGCACCCCUCUAAGUCCCUAAAGUCGGGUCUCUACUAAUAAAAUGAAGCUAACGUGGCAAUUGAUGAGGGAAUCAAUGAAUACUUAGUGUAAUCAUGCACAAGUGAGAAUUAAAACAUACAUAUAGAAAGACCAGAAUGGGAGUAGAUGCGUACCUGGGUGAUGAGCCACAAUGCGCUAUCAAGAAAUGGGAUUAGUGCAUAGUAAUGAACAUAAAAUGUGUCAAUCUUAUCACCAAACAAGAGAAAGAACCACCAAUAGCACGCAUGACAUUUCGUUCAAAUUCAUUUUUAUUUUAAAGAAAAUUUAUUUGAUGUUGGGCCCCCACCAUAGCCCAUCUACUUUUGAGUGAAUCGAUUUCGUAAAUUCCAUCAUCAAGAAUUACGAAAAAUAAAUUCACACUUAUUUUGAAACAUUUUGAAAAUCAUGGAAAAUUCAAAAGUGGCUCGCCGGAAAGGAAAUGGUGGCCAAAUUUCAUUGAAAAUGGGAUUUUUAGGUCCUAAAAAUAAACUAAGGAUGAAAACUUAAAAAAAAUGUCAAAAUUAUUUGAAGAAUUUAAAAUUUGAGAAACCAUUUGAAAACUGGAAUAUGAUGGAUUAUUUUAAAAUCAAGGAUGAUGAAAUGAAAAGAGGUGGUACGUGGUCACCAAGACUACAUGUCAAAAGUGACCAUGCAACUCAUGCAAGAGUAGGUCUACGGGUAAGAGUACUGGAAUUGGGUAUAAGAUAACCAAUAGGAAUGGGGUAAAUUAAGAGACCCCAGCGGCAAGCAACUUCAUGAGGCCUUCCUUUGUUGAUGUGUACCAGAACCAACCUUCUUUUUGCCUUUUACAAACUUCUGUAAAGAUCCACCUCUACAAUUCUGAGCUUUUAUGCAUGAUUCAAAGAUAGCAUGAUGUUGUGCUUGGAUGUUCUCUUGGCUAUUACUGCCUUUUCUCCUUGUUGACCGAGAAUUAGUACCAUCAGGCAUCAAGUUAUGCAUUUCUUCCCUCAUCCAAACAAACAAGUUUUCUCUUGCAACUUUAAGAUCCUCUAAUAAGGACUCCAUGAAGAUUUUAAAAUCAUCCAAUGUUGCAGGAUCACAUGCAUUGCUCUUACUCUUCUUCUUAUUAACUUUCUUGAAAGAAUCCCUCUUCGUCUCUUUACUAUAUAAAUUAUUCCUCUUGCUUGAUCCAAUCUGCAUUUUGUUAGCUUUCCCAAUUUUGAAUUGAUCCCCUGAACUACGAUCAGACUUACCUUCUUGUUGAGAUCUAGGAGUACCACUGGUUUCAUCAUUUUCAGGCGAAAUAAGAGAGGAAACCAGUUUGUGCUUCUUGAGAACUGGCUCACCACUGGAACUCGAUUUGGAAUUAUCACUUGAAGAAUCAACGUCACUGUCUCUCCUCCUGAACUCCCACCUCUGCUGAAAUUUCAGGUCUUCACUCAUGUUAGUACUUGGGGAUAUAAUCACAACUGUAUAACUAUGUGCUCAAUCCUCGGGAGAGUCCGACCAUAAACGACUAGACCCACUUAUCAUCAAAGUUUCAACUGCUUGUUUGGAGAAUGAAAUCAGUUUGAUGGAAGGAUUUCCACUGCAACUGCACCUUGAACUCGUUUGAAAGAUUGUACCAGUGAUUCUAGCAGCACCCCUCCUCACAAAUCAAAUUUUGUGAAGAGACACCAUGAUUAAACCGCUCCAUCAUUCUCUUUCAUACACCCAGCACAAGAGCAUCCUCUGUGGAUGAAGCCCAACCAUUGCUCUGCAUCCACUUGGAACAAUCUUCUUAGCCCCAGAUGGGAGCUUGAUCCUGCUGGUGCCAUUAUCAGGGUUGUGGCUGACGACAAUAGCUCACUUGCCGGAUGCCCUGGCGAAGACACCUCGAUCACCAACGUGAUCUUCAACGUUACAGACCUCGGCACCUUCGGGAGUAGAGCGCAGGGGCAGAACGUUAUCGGCAAUGAGGGUGGCUUUCUUACUGCAGCAAACGAACUGGCCCGUGUAUAUGCUCUCAGCCACCACGAUAGGUUCAUCAUGACUGCAACUCCUACUAAACCAUAUCCCUGUCUCAGCAUCAAUAACCAGCUAGGUACUGCAUGUAUCACCAACACCACUAUCGAGGUCCAGGCUAUCACAAGUUCUGUUGCUAGGCAGAGCAGCAGGAAGUUGGUUAUCAAAGACAUGGUAAAUUUUAUCACCACCUAGGCGCACGCCAUCGAGAUGCUCUUUGUAUGUCUGAUCGAAGACACAAGAAAUUUCCAUGAUCAUGUAUAACUUUCUUCCAUUCUUCUUCAGUUGCACCAGUACCAAAUCCAUAUCAGCCAAGGACCCUUCACGCACAAGUAGCCACAGAUCUGUCAGAGAUGCACUUGAUACAAUUUUGCGAGCAACUGUAUGAUGAUUCUGCUUUUGGCCUGGAGGUGGAACUAAACCUUCCACUAAUCUAUAUUUUUCUCAAUAAUAUAUAUCCUCUAACCUUGACAAAAUAAUAACUUAAAUCCCAGUGUUGACUCCUUGCUUCUCGCCACUUAAGCUAACAAUGAUUAUGCCUUGUCACCAGAUGACUUCAAGAGCUAGGUUGUCCAAAAUCCUGUUAAGAAAUUAGUCCACACCAACUGAUAACAAGCUGAUGUGGCCCUCGAAGACAUUGAUUGAACCUAGUCCAUGUUGUAGUCACUUUUUGAAUUUCAUGAUCAAGAAAAUGAAGAGGAAGCCAUUUAGAUGCAUGGUUGAAAAUGGUCAACUGUUAUGCCCCCAUCAUCAUCACCUCUAGUAUUAUGAACACAAACCAGUUGCAACCGCCAUUCACAGACUCCCAUCACAGUUCAUGGGCCUGAAAUGAAUCUCCAACUAAUGGUGUAAGCAACAAGCUGAAUGUUGUUAAAAAUAUGAGAAAUGGGUGGAGAGUUGUGCGUUAAGAAGCAGAGAAUGGAAUAAGGGAAUAUACCCCUUCCCUCAAAGGCACAGAGAUGGAAUCAAGUAAUUGAAGCCGAAGGAAAGCCUUUCGGGUAGCCAAGAAAGCUUGAUUUACAUAUUCUGCAUUACUUUCAGCAACAUUGGCAAUCACAUCCCUGUCUGAGAGGCCAACUGGUUGUCCUUUGUGGUGAGUUCAGUGUCAUUUUAAACUUCUCCAUUGUAUCAAGGGAUAGCCAGCACAAGAAAGAAAUGAUACAAUGAAGCAGACAUGAGGCAUCUUUAGAAAUCCUCUGUGGAUGACAUUUUAAAGGCUCUGUGAUAUUCUGAAGCAUUGCUACUCAACUAUGACCUCCAUCCCUGAUAUAAAACACUAAACCAACCUCAAUCUACUUAACAUGCAUCUCGGGUACUCCAUAGAGAUUAAGCAUCUGUAAUCAUAGCUUCCGCUCCUUGAAUUUGCGUUCUCAGAUGGAGAUGCACCAAUCAAAGCAAACCACAGACAAACACCAAAAACAGAGACGUAUAGAGAAGAAAAUUGAUAAAACAAAACAGGGAUAGGUGAAAUGAGAGUUUGUUAAGCAAAACCUGGUCCCAUAAAUUAUCAACAGGCUUACCAGUUAGUGGGAGGGGAAAUGGGUUUAAGGAGAAAUGAUAGGAGAGAUACAUUCAGACAUCACGCAAUAAAACUGGACAAGAUUCAUACUAUUUCUCUCAACUAAAACCCAUAAACAAUAGAUGGAUAUAUAGUCAUAGCAAAUCCAGUGGAUGCUCAGAGAUCAACAAAAGUAGCCAUAUGAUAUCCACACACAAAUAGCUAAAUAACACCCACUAAUGAACAAAAGAGAAUGAAUAGCAAGAGAAAAAAAUAGAGAUGGAUAAGAAACAUACCUGGAAAUACCCCUCUCCAGUAAAAUCAGCUGAACUGCUAGUCCAUUGCUCUCUCCCCCUUCCUCUGGUUCCCCUCAAGUUAAAACAAUACCCUUCUCAAAUAUCUCCGACCAAAAAACCUUCUCCAAAAACUUCCCUUUCUCCUCUGCCAACCCCCCUCCAAAAAGCAUCUCCCUCUUCUCUACAACUGGCAGAUACGCUCCUCCCAUAACAGAAACGUUCUUCUCUAAACGUCCCUUUGGGAUCUCUUAUCAAACCUCUAAUGACUCUCAAGACUAGGUCACCGAUAUGUAGUGGUAUGGGCUUGACCCGCUUUUUGAAAGCGCGGGCCAUCUUCCUCUAUUAUGCACGAACAUGGUCUGUUGCUCUCAAUCUCAUCUCAUAUAGGAGAUUGAGCUGAUCAAAUCGAGCCUGAGCCCAAUCCGCCUCGGGAAUCUGCUACUUUAGUGCUACUCUCAAUGAACUCAUCUCGAUCUCAACUGGUAGCACUGUCUCCAUACCGUAUACCAAUGAAUAAGGUGUGGCUCCUGUAGAGGUGCGAAAAGAAGUCCGAUAUGCCCACAAUGCGAAAGGGAGCUUCUCUGACCAAUCCCGAGAAGUCUCAACCAUCCUCCGCAAUAUCCUCUUAAUAUUCUUAUUCGCAGCCUCUACUGCCUCAUUCGUCUACGACCUAUACGCAAACGACCUAUGAUGUCGGAUGUCGUAUCUCUGUACUAAGGUAUCAACCUCUGCUCUGAAAUGUACCCCUCUAUCUGAAAUCAACUCAUGAGGGACUCCAUAGCGACAGAUAAUGUGUGAUCUGAUGAAACUAGCAACUCCAGCUGAUGUCAAUCUCUCAUAUGAGGCGGCCUCCACCCACUUGGUGAAGUAAUCGAUGGCGACCAGGAUGAACUCAUGACCACUGGAAGAUUUCGGUGAAAUCUUUUCGAUGAUGUUAAUACCCCAUAUAGAAAAUGGCCAUGGUGAAGUCAAUGCGUGCAACUCAGAGGACGGCACGUGAAUGAGAUCUCCAUGUAUUUGACUCUUGGGACAUCUCUGAACAAACUGACAACAAUCUGUCUCCAUGGUCAACCAAAAAUAGCCAAUCCUCAUGAUUUUACGGGCCAACAUAUGCCCUCCCAUAUGUGGUCCGCAGACUCCCGCAUGAACCUCUCACAUCACUCUAUCGACAGAAGCGUAGUCCAAGCAUAAUAACAGCAUCCCAUCAGGUGAUCGUCUGUAUAGUGUCUUGCCACAAAUCACGAAUCAUGCAGCCAACUGUCUCAAUGUUCUCUUAUCCUUGGCCGUGGCGGCCUUAAGAUAUAUGCCAAGUCUCAAAAAGUGAUAUAUGUCAUGAUACCAUGGCAAACCAUCGUCUAUCUCCGUAUCAUCGAUCAGAAAACAAUAUGUAGGAGCAAAUCUGGACUUAAUCAGUAAAUGACGAAUAGUGGCAUCAGCAGGAAUGUCAAUCAUGGAAGUUAGAGUAGCUAAGGCAUCAGAAAACUAGUUAUGCGCUCUAAGCAGAUGUGUGUAUCUCAAAUCAUCAAAUCUCCCAACCAGUAGCUCCAAAUAUGGCGGUAAGGCCUAAGUUUCACAUCUCUAGUCUUCCACUCGCCCUGAAUCUGUCUCAAAACCAGAUUGAAGUCGCCAAACACCUCUAUCUAUCUAAUCCCGAGCUCAAGGGCCGUCUCUAAUCCCAAGAUACAGACCUCAUACUCAACAAUGUUGUUUGUGGCCGGAUGUCGAUCCAAGAAUGCCAAACAAAUAGAUCGGGGAAUGUGAUCACCAUGAGGGGAUAUCAACAAGACGCCUAUCCCGUAUCCAGAAUGGUUGGCUGCACCAUCAAAGUACAUGUGUCAACCUGAUAAACUAGUCACAACAGCGACAUCCUCGCCUGGGAAGUCAUCAUCAAUGGCUCUACCAUUGGAAACUAGUAAUGAGGCUAAGUGAUCUACAACAAUGCUCCCUCUUAUGGACUUCUGAGUGACAUAAUGGAUGUCAAACUCGGUCAGAAGUACCAGCCAUCUCAUGAGACGACCGAUCAAAGCGGGUCUGUCAAAAAAAUAUCUCAGAAGAUCUAGAUGGGAUAUCAAGUGCACUGAAUACUCGGUCAUGUAAUGUCUUAGUCGGUGAGUGGCCCAAACCAAUGCCAAACAGUAGCGCUCAAUCAUGACAUUCCUUGCCUCAUAGUCUAGCAUCCUCUUACUCAAAUAAUAAAUGGCUUAGUCAUUGCCUGAAUCAUCAAGCUGAGCUAACAUGCACCACAAUGCUACAUCUGAAAUUGACAGAUAUAGGAGUAAGGGACAACCUGGUGUAGGAGGCGCCAAGACUGGAGGUGACAACAAGUACUUUCUGAUCCUCUCAAAUGCACGCUGACACUGAUCAUCCCAAACAGUAGGUUGACUCUUCCUCAAGAGUCGGAAAAUGGGCUCAUAGAUGUCUGUCAAUCUGAUGAUGAAUCUACUGAUAUACUGAAGUCUACCCAAGAAGCCCCUGACCUCUCUCUCUGUCCUCGAUGCAGGCAUGUCAAGGAUGGCUCUGAUCUUAUCCGAGUCUACCUCUAUGCCUCUCUCUCUGACCAUAUACCCCAAGAGUUUCCCAGAAGUCACUCCGAAAGUGCACUUCUUGGGAUUCAGUCUCAAUUUGAACCGUCGGAUCCUCUCAAAGAACCUCUCUAGAGUUGCUAGGUGAUUUGGUCUGUCUUGGGAUUUCACUAUCAUGUUGUCUACAUAAACCUUGACAUCCCGAUGCAUCAUGUCAUGGAAGAGGGUGGUCGUCGUUCUCUAAUGGGUGGUUCCUGCAUUCUUCAAUCCGAAUGGCAUGACUCUAUAGCAAUAAGUACCCUACUCGGUAAUGAAGGACGUCUUCUCCAUGUCCUUUGGAGCCAUCAAGAUCUUAUUGUACCAAGAAAAUCCGUCCAUAAAGGACAACAUCGAAUGACCUGUCAUACUAUCAACCAACAUAUCGAUGUGUGGGAGAGGAAAAUCAUCCUUAGGACUGGCCUUGUUGAGAUCUCGGAAAUCAACACAAACUCUCACCUUGUCGUCCUUUUUGGGAACAAGGACUACAUUGGCCAGCCACUCCGGAUACUCGACCACUGACAAAAAUCCUACACUGAGUUGCUUCUGGAUCUCCUCCUUCACUUGCAAGCUCCAACGAGGGUGCAAUCAUCUCAACUUCUACUUAACCGGUCUAGCAUGGGGCAGAAGUGGCAAACGAUGUUGGACGAUAGAUGGAUCAAGGCCUGGCAUGUCCUCAUAGGACCAUGCGAAAACGUCCAAGUAUGCUCUGAGCAACUGGAUGAGGUUGUCCCUCUCAUCAUCAGAUAAAUCUGAUCUGAUCCUCAACUCCCUAGGCUGAUAUAUUGUGCCGAAAUCAACAAUCUCCAUGUCCUCUAUAGCAGGUGAAACUCUCUGAUCAAAGGGAUCCGAAUCGGAAAUAGAAGAUGAGUCAUCAUCUGAGUCGUGUUGUGCAAUCUCAUCAUCAAUAUCAAAAAUCUGUGAUGUGGGUGAAGAUGGUGCAGAUAAAACAAUAUCGUAAAAGAGAGGCAAAUUUUAAAAAAUGCUCAAAUCCAUAGAUGAAAAGUCAGAAACAUAGUCAUGAUGGGAGACAAAUCCCGAUAAAACAUCAAAUGAAAGAGGUGAGUCUACAAAGUCGAACAUUCCCUCAACUAGGCCAAUAGGGCCAUCAAGAAAAUCAUCAACAGCUAUAAUGUCCUCAGUAAUCUCCGAAGUAGGGGCAGUCUGGAUCUCCUCAGCGAUCUCAAUGAAAGACACCCCGAAGAGAUCAAAUGGUGAAGUGAGCUCAGGCUGGACUAUCUCCUCAAUCUGGCUCAAGCUCAAUGCAAGCAUCUCAUCGACGUACUCGUCACAUGGCAUAGCUCCGUCUACUAUGUCGCUAAUCUCAACAAAUGUCUUGUGAUCAUCGAUCUCAUCCAAUAAGCAAAGCGUCAUAAGGCUCGUGCGAUCUGGAGAGGCAGGAGCGAUCAACGCAGAAGUCGAAGGAUCAAGGGCUCCGUUACUCAAUUGUAACUGCUGGACGAGGCGCUGAAGCUCGGCCUCCUUGGUGGUGUUGAAUCCUCUGAUGAUCCCAUCAGAUGGUGCAUGUGACUCCGAUGCCCUCACAAAGUAAUCUGCCAGGCUCAUGGUGUAUGGGCGAACAGGAUAAUAAAAGAGCGUAUGAGUCAGUCGAGCCCUCACCCUCUCCUUGCUCAAUCGCGCCAUAUAACGAUAAUCGGCCUCAGUGGGGAUGAACCUGAGUCCGAAUGGUACGUCGUGAUCAGGGAUGGCUAUGAACUCACUAGGCCCAUGCUGACACUACCCUAACCCUAUGCCGGGAAAAUAAGGCAUACUCUGCAUCAUAUCGAGCACCACCGUGCUACUAUGCUGGUCAAAGGACAUGGCUACGAAAUCUCGGUAGAAAUCUUCUAUCUCCACGGUUUGUACCUCAUCAAAGGUGAAUCCAGUCAGAAAAAGAUCGUCAUCAGUGUGACUAAUCUCAAGCACAGGCUUGGCAAAAAUGAACAUAUCUCCCACAGACUGCACCACGACGACCUGGCCAUCGUGAAUAAACUUCACCUUUUGAUGAAGGGAAGAAUGAAUGGCCCCAGCUCUGUGGAUUCACGGUCGGCCCAGAAACAGGUUAAAGGAUGUAGGAAUCCUCAAAACCUGAAACACGGUGACAAAAGUGGCCAGAUCAAUUAGUAGUUCAAUCUCUAGUGUGCCCAUGACCUCCCUUCGAGUACUGUCAUACGCGCGAACGGUCUAAGUGGAGGGACAGAAAUCAGAUGGUGCAUAGCCGAGGGCAGUGAUGGUGGCCAGAGGACAAACGUUCAGGGUCGAGCCAUUGUCCAGAAGGACAGAUGGGACUCGACGGCCUGAACAACCAACAGAUAUAUAGAGUAGACGCGUGUGGUCUGAGCCCUCUGGUGGCAAGUCAUCAUCGGAGAAUACAAUGCAUGUGGCUCUACCGACCGUCAUCAUAUGAAUCAAUCCCUCAUGGGAGGUGGUAGUCUUAACUCUAAUCUGGCUCAGGGCUCAAAUCAGAGCAUCAUGGUGAGUGGUCAAGGAUGCCAACAAACUCCAGAUGGAAAUACGAGCCUGAGUGCUCUAUAGCUGCCUCAAAAUCUCGGCGUCCUCUACUCUGACCUCAUCGGGAACAGAUGUACCCUCAACUGGCUUAGCUGCUGCGCGAGGUGGCUAUCGCAACACUCUACCUCCUCAAAGAAUAUACUAAACAUCCAAAGUUUGAGAAUCAUCAACAUGCGGAGCUUGAACCUCCUCAACAUUCGAGAUCAAGAUGAAUGGCGUCUGGACGCUGUAAUAUGGAAAAAUCAAUGGCUCAACAGUGGUAGUCUGUACUAAUGCCACCUGGGGAACUAAUCCGAAUGAAAUGGGCAUCUGAGGCCCCAAAGUCGCUCCGUCCAUCUCAUAAAUCCCAUUUGACAUGAUAGGCUCUGGCUCAAUGUCAUCACAGCUCAACAUAUGGAUAUAGUCAUCAUGAUCAAAGAACUCCAGGAAAUGUAUGCUAUCGACCGGUGGGGGGACCACAUGUGUAGUGUGGGCAAGUAAUGGGUUUGUGGUUACACUCGGCUGACCCAAGUGCACCAAACCCUGGUCGAUCAGAUCCUGGAUGGCAUGCCUCAAAGUGGUGCAGCGAUCGGUCUCGUGUCCAGGCCCUUGAUGGUAUGCACAGUGCAAAUCCAUCCUGAAUUAAGGUGGAAUCGGCUGAGGUGGCAGCCUGGGAGUGAGAACGGUCAAUAACCCGGCCUCUGUAAGCUUCCGAAGAGCCUAGCUCAAUGGCAUGCUUAAUUGCGAGAACUACCUCUGUGUCCUCAAAGCAGAUGGAGCAAAAGUCUGCUGAGCUUUGGGUUGAGGAUAAGGCGUUGUGGGUCUCGCAGUGAAUUGAGCAGCAUAGCAUGGCUGUCCUAUGGCCGUGUAGGAAAUUGGGGGUCUCUCAAUGUCCUGGGUGGCAUAAUAAGGCAAAGCCAAAGUCUGUGGCAUGUAGACUGAUCAUAAGUCGGGUGAGGCGCUCGUGGCCUAUACUGCUGAGGUGGAUAUGAAGAAUGAGCCUCAGGAAGCUAUGGGAUCGGCUGAUGGCGCCUGGGAGGUCUCUAACUGGAAGAACUAAUGGCGCUCACGUCAACUGAUCUUUGUCCUCCAAAGGGCUUCUUCCCCUUAACAUCACUAGGGGAAGAAUCUGUCCACAAUCCUCUAGAGAUGUCGUCCUCGACAUCGUAUAAAGUCAAAACCAAUGAACCAAAAUCUGUGAAUGGUACCCUAACCACGUGUCUGGCGAUCCUGGGCUGUAAACUCCUCAAGACCAUCUAUAUCUGAUCUCUCUCUGAAGGUCUAUCAAUGAUCUCGACAAUCUUCCCACGCCAGCGGGAAAUGAAUGAAGAAACUAACUCAUCUAUUAUCUACCUCAGAGCCUCGAGCUUUCUCCUCGAUACAUCCACGACAGUGUUAAAUGAAAACUGUCGUAAGAACUCCUGGGCCAAGUCGUCCCAUGUUCGGCGUCGUGAGGACUUCAAGGAUGCAAACCAACGUUGGGCCGUCCCACUCAGAGAUAGUGGAAAUAAAGUGAUCAUCUGAGACUCAUCCAAUCCAUGAGCCCUCAUCACUGUGCUAUAGAGUCUGAGGUGGAUGCGUGGACAACUAAUGAUCGUAUAUCUCUUGAUGUCUGGCAUCCUAAACUUAGCCGGCAAACUGGCUAUCGGCAUACCCUCGAAAUCAUCCCAAACAAUUGAUCUAUCUGACACUCUCAUCUGCCUCAUACGCUGUUUAAGACAGUCCAUACGUGCAUGAGCAUCAUCAACGACAGUGGUCUGGACAACAGCGGGUGGAACAAUCUCAGAAUGUCCAUGUAAUAUAUAGGGUGAGGCCUGAGGCACUGAAGGAACGGGUGGUGGUGGUGGAUGUGGAUGUGAGUCAUACGACGUCUCAUCCUGAACUGUUGGUGGUCUACUUUGCUGACCACUGAUCUCCUGCCUGAGGCUAGCCAAAGCCUCCUGGAUAGAAGCCAUGGUAGCCGUAAACUGAUCCAUUGUAACAACCUGCUGAUCCAUACUCGGUCUCUCUGAAUACCGGACUAAUCUCCCCUCUACUCUGACCCAAGAAGGCGUAUCCAGACUGUGAACGAAGAUCCGAUCCUGAUCGAUUCUUCUCCUACUCCUCUCCUCAAGUCUCUCAAAACCAGCAUCCAAAAGCACCUCCUUCGACCUCUCCUAUCUUCACUCCCCUCAAAAGCACCAGAAGUCUCUCAAAAAUCUCUUUUGCCCCUUGCCAAAAAGCCCCCUCCUCUCCAAAAUAUCUCCCCACAAAACGCCCCCUACGCUUGCCAGAAUAUCCUCUCUCUCAUCCGAUCCUCCUAACAGACUGCGGCCUCUCUAGAAUGUUCUUUCCACGUGUUCAACUCUCAUUUGCUCCUCGAUUCCACUACCUAAUUCUCUGUCCACCAACCACGAGGUGAUACGUGGCUCCUUGAGAGCCUUCCACCUGGCAAAAUGAGUUGCAGAAAAUGCAUGAAAGUGAGGCCCCAAAAUGAGGGUCUACAAAUAGGUUUUUAGAUGAGUGUGAAUUGUGUUUUGGAAUUCUAACUAAAAAAAAUUCAUUAGAAUUGAUGAUAGUUUAUUUUAGUCUUGUUCUACUAUAAGAGGUUGAAUUAUAAAAAUUUGUAGUACAUACAUUUCUAAUAAAAAUGUUUAUGAUUUAAGUAUUGUUAAUUUUAUUAUUAAAUGAGGAAUCUACAAAAAUUUAUGAAAUUUAAUUUUGUUGAGAAUUUGAUGAAUUAUGAAGCAGAAACAGUAGCUAAAUGUGGUAGAAUUUUGAUUCAAGUUUUGGAAUUUAUGAAUUUAUUUAGAUUAAUUUGUUACCCAAAUUAAGUUACUUUUAUGUUGUUGGGCUUCUUUUAAUAAAAAAAAAAAAUCAUUAAAAUUUAUAUCUAAAUUUUAUCAAGAAUCAAGAGGAAAAAUGGACAAAAACAAAGCAUAUUUCAAUCAUUUCAUUUUUUUUUCUUGAUGACAACUUUGUUAAUUUAUAAUAUAUUCAUUUUUCUUCCAAAUUACACAAAAUUGAAAUAGUUUAAUUCUUUCUUCAGAUAAAAGUUAUCUAAAGUCAUAAAAAAAAAUGAAAUUGAUUUUAUUUUAUGUGAGGAAUUAGGUCUAAAUAUCAUAACACAGUUAGAGAUCAAAAAAAUAUAAAGAGAAAAAAAAUGACUUUUUCUAUUAAUAUAAAAGUUAAAAUUAAUUCAUUUUUUCCUUAAGUAUAUAUAUAUAUAUAUAUAUAUAUAUAUAUAUAUAUAUAUAUAUAUAUAUAUAUUUUAAAAAAAAAAGUAAUAAGCUGAAAAAUAAAUAGUUCUAAAAUGUAUUCAGUCUUGAAGCAACUUACUUUAACAUUUGAGUAAAAAAACUAAAUAAAAAAUAAAAAUAGAAAAAAUCAAGCCCUAAAGCAUUGGAUGAGCCAAUGAUCGGAUACUUGAUUUUAACUAAGCAGUUACUUGUCAAUAAUUGUGUUCAUGUUCAUCUCUGCCAAGUACCUUAAAAUGAAAAGGAACAAGUUCAUAUAAAAUCCAAUUUGUCUUUCUCACCCAACACAAUUGCAACCAUCCACCACCAAUUCAAUAUCUCGAAAAACCUUCAAUGUCUCUAAUAGAACCAAAAUCAUGUUAUAUUUGGGAACAUUAAAAUCUUGAUGUAAUGCAACAUUUCAAAAGAAUUUUUCACUUUGAUCUAUGCUCAUAUCAACAUUUCUCUUUGAUAUAGGCAUUUUUCAAAAGAAUUCACCUAUCUUUUCUUGCUAAAGCCUUAAAUUUCUCUCUUCUCUCCAUAACAAACCUUGAGCAUGCAACUUACUAAAUAGACAUUACAUAGGAUUCAAAAUUAAUUUUCAACAAUUCUCAAGUAUAGUGCCUAUUGCAUAAGCAAAUAUACUUUUAAAGAUAUUGUUGAUAGCCUUCUCUAUGCUAAUAGCACUUUUAAUGCUUGGGUUGAUCUUUAUGAUUGAUUCCACCAAAGCAAUGCCCCACGAAUCUUCCAAAUCGAGAAGCACAUAGUUGUUCUUGAGCAAAGAUCUAUGGAUGUCAACACAUACUACACUAAGCUCAAGGUCCUCUAGGAUGAGCUCAAAAAUUAUCAACCCAUUCUUGUCUAUCACUAUGGAGGCACAAAGUCUUGGUUAGACACCAACAAUAGGAGUACAUCAUGCAAUUUCUUAUGGGUUUGAUUGAGUCAAAUGCUUAAACUUGAACACAGAUCUUAAUGAUGUCUUUGCACUAGUUGUCCAAGAAGAAUGCCAAUGUACUAUUAAUCAAGGCUCUUUUUUUCCUAUCGAUUCUCUUAUGCCCAACAUUUCAAAUUCCUCUGCUUUUGUUACAACAACAAAUUUUUCUCGAAAUUCAACUUUAAAACCCAAGUGUGAGUGACCCUAAUAUUCCCACUGUGGCUUGCAAGAACAUAUUGUAAAUAAAUGCUAUCAUCCUGGCUAUAAGUCAAAAUCAAAGAAACCUGAAGUAAAAAAUUCAAGCCACCUAGGCCAAUGCAACUAUUAAUGAGACUAUUAACUCUGGUUCACCCCUUGGAUCUCUUACUUUAGCUCAGUGUCAUCAAUUGUUUGCAUUCUUGAGCUCUCAACUUCAUAACAACUUUCUUGUUAUGCUAGAAUCUCAAUAGCUAGAACCCUUUGUUUCCCAGUUCAAUGGUAUACUAUCUUUUUCUUCUGUCUCAUAAUUUUCCAAUUUCUUUUUCCACCUGGAUUUUGGACAUAGAAGUCGCACAUCAUGUUUGUUGUUCAUUAAGCACAUUUACACAAUCUACUCCAGCACAAAAUUCUUUUGUAACUUUGCCUAAUGGUCAAUCUGUUGUUAUUAAUCGUAUUGGUUAUGUGUUUUUGUCUCCUGAUCUCAUCCUUAAUAAUGUCAUGUUUGUUUCUAAUUUCCAUUUCAAUCUCCUCUUUAUCUGUUCGCUCACUCAAAGUUAUAAAUCUUCUAUUAAUUUUAUGGUUGAUUCUUGUACUAUUCAAGGCCAUACACGGACCAAAAUGAUUGGGAUGAGUAGAAGACAUGGUAGCCUAUACUUCUUAAAUAUAGUCAAUUUUCAUUCCACUACACCACAAAUUUUCAGUCCUUGUAAUAAUGUUUCGUUGUCUCAAAAUGAAAUUUGGUUUUACCAUUUAGGUCAUCCUUCUUAUGUAACAUUACAAACAUUCAAAAAUGAAAUAGAAGUUAAACCAAAUUCUGGUGAUUCAAGUCAUUGUUUAGUUUUCCAUUUAGUCAAAAGAUGCAAAUUACAUUUUAUUUCUCACAAUUAUUUGUCUGUUUUGCCUUUUCAACUCAUACAUUGUGAUGUUUAAGGUCUCCUUCACACAUUUACCAUUGAAGGUUAUAGAUAUUUUUUUUACUAUUGUUAAUGAUUGUACUCAUUUUAUUUGGGUGUAUCUUUUGCGUGCUGAGCCUGAUGUUACUGAAGUUAUUCCUAUUUUUUUUUCUCAUUGAUUCAAACUCAAUUUGGAACACAAAUAAAAUUUGUUCACUCAGAUAAUCCUCCUGAAUUGGCAUUUUUUGACUUCUUUCAUGCAAAAUGAGUCAUCUCAUUUCAUUCUUGUGUUGAUUAGCCUCAACAAAAUUCAAUAGCAGAAAGAAAGCAUCAACAUAUCUUAAAUGUUGUAUGGUCUUUAUGUUUCCAAUCACAUAUUCCAUUGGUUUAUUGGGGGGAUUGCAUUCUUAUUAUUGUACACUUAAGAAAUAAAACUGCAUUCCCACUUUUGUCCAAUAAAACAACCUUUGAACUUCUUUGGAAAAAGAAGCUUGCAUAUUCACAUCUUUGUAAUUUUGGUUGCCUAUGUUAUGCAUCUACUUUAGAUCGUCAUAGGACAAAUUUCUCACCUCAUGUCAUUCCUUUUGUCUUUCUUAGGUACCCAUCUGGUUAUAAAGAAUACAAAUUAUUGAAUCUAGUCACUAAUUCUGUGUUUAUCUCCCAUAAUGUGGUAUUUCAUGAGUCUAUAUUUUCUUUCAAAACUAUUCAAACUUAUUCUCCUCUUCCAAAUAUUUUCUCUGAUACUGUUUUACUAUUUCCUUCUUUUUCUUCCAUUCUUGAAUCUACAUCUUUGCCAAUAUCAACAAUUCCUACUGUUUUCAUACCUUCUACGUCUCAUUGUCAUCCUAAUCGUGUUCGUAGGCCUCCUUUUUAUCUAGCAUAUUACUACUGCUAUUCUUGUUCCCACAGCACAUCUUCUACCUCACAUCCUCUCACACAUGUCCUUGAUUACACAAAAUUGUCAAAUUCAUAAAAAUAAAAAAAUGAAUAAAAGUUUGUGUUAUUUCCUAUAAUUUUGAACCCACCACAUACUUCAAGGCUGCUACUAUUCUAGAUUGGCAAGAUGCAAUGUCUGCUGAGUUAGGAGCUCUUGAACAAAAUGACACUUGGUCUUUAACUACUUUGCCACAAGGAAAACAUGCUAUUAGGUGCAAAUGGGUGUACAAAAAUAAGUAUAGAGUUGAUGGAACUAUUGAACAAUACAAAGCUCACCUUGUAGCUAAAGGCUGCACACAACAAGAGGGCAUAGACUAUCUAGGUACCUUCUCUCAUGUUUUCAAAUUGGUUACUGUUAAGGUUUUGCUUGCUUUGGCUACCAUUAAUGGUUGGAGCCUUCCUUAGAUGGAUGUCAAUAAUGUGUUCUUACAUGGUGAUCUUUUUAAGGAAGUUUAUAUGACUCUCCUAGUUAUCACCUGAAGGAAAAUCAUUAUCCUCACACUCUGUUUACAAAAUUCAAAAGUCUUUAUAUGGCUUGAAACAAGCAUACGACAAUGGUUUUCCAAACUCUCCAAUUUCUUACUUGUUGAAGGUUUUUAAACAUUCUAAUGCAAAUCACUCUCUUUUUGUCAAAGUUGUCAGUACUCACUUCAUUGCUCUGUUAGUUUAUAUGGAUGACAUUGUCAUUGUUAGUAAUAGUGAUGAGCGAGUUGAGAAAUUAAAAGUUCUAUUUAGGAAAGCUUAAAUACUUCUAAGGCCUUGAGGUGGUGAGGUCUAAUAAGGAAAUUUCCCUUAGUUAGCACCAUUAUGCCUUACAAUUACUAUCAGAUAUAGGCUAUGUUGGUUGUAAAUCAAGGAAAACACUUAUAAAUCCAAAUGUGAAGCUCACACAAGACAAAGGUGAUCUAUUAAAAGAUCUUUUAUUUUACAGAAGAAUGAUAGGCAAAUUGCUUUAUCUAACCGUAGCAAAUCCAGAUUUAUCAUUUUCAGUACAUAAAUUCAAUCAAUUUCUUGCAAAGCCCAGAGUUCUUCAUAUGUGGGCAAUACAACAUGUGCUUCAGUACUUGAAAGCAUGGUUUGAAAUAUUGGUAAACACGGAUAUAUCGAUACUUGGAUUUUAUGAAUAUGUUGGAAAUAUUGGUAAAAUAUCGGUAAAUAUUGGUAAAAUAUCGGUGGAUAUUUUGGCAAAAAUAUUGGUGAAACAAAAAUUAUUCAAAAUUCAUGGAAAUGUUUGGAAAACUCUAAAAAAAAUGAUAAAAUAAGCAAGAAUACAUAUGUUAAAGUUAUUGUAAGUGGAAUUGACAUAAAUAUGGUCAAUGAGAAAAAUAUGGAGGGAUAUAUCAAACUUAAUAAUUUAUUAUUUAUCUUAUCAAAUUAAUUUUAAUUUAUAAAAUAUUAGAACUUCAUUAUUUUUUUUAUUUUAGUAAUGUUUUGAAUACAUUUAUAUUUUUAAUAUUUGUAAAAUAAAAACAUUCAAAAUUAAAUAAAAUUAAAAGGAUAAACAUAAAAAAAGUGAACUGAUAGCAAUUUUUAAAAAUAAGAUUAAUGAGAUAAAUGAUGAUACAUUUAAUAUUAAAACUAUAAUUUAUUUAAUUCAAAUACAUUCAACAAUGUAAAAUAAAUUAUGAUGCAUAUAUAAUUUUUUUGAUAUUUAUAUUUUUUUUAUAUAAUUGUCAUAUAAAUGAUAUAAAAAAUAAAAUAAAAUAAAAGACUUGUUAAGAAAAUUAUAAUGAUGGUUUUAUACUUUUAUUAAAUAAUUAAAUAAAAUUUUAAAUAAAAUAAUUAGAAUUAAUUUAUUUAUUCUUUUAAUGAUGAAUUUUACCAUAUUUAUUGUGAACAUAUAUUUACAAAUGUGGACUUGGCCCAAUAGUAGUCAGGCUUCACCCAAGCCUUUUGGCCUAGGUUUGAAUCCCCUUGGAUGCAAUAGAAAAAAAUUUGAAGGAAUUUACCCGAAUAUCGACAUCUUUUCGAUGAAGUUGAUUGACUUUCGGUGUACAAUAUCAUGUCGACUCUCCCUGAUAUUUUGACGAUCAACUUUUAGUGUGGAAUAUUGUGUUAGCUCUCCCUGAUAAGCAAAAUAUCGACAAUAUUUCAUCAAAAUUUUGCAACAUUUUAGUGUGGAAUAUCAUGUCGACUCUCCCCAAUAUUUCAACAAUCGACUUUCAGUGUGGAAUAUCGUGUUAGCUCUCCCUGAUAAGCAAAAUAUCGACAAUAUUUCGCCAAAAUUUUGCAACAUUUCAAACCAUGCUUGAAAGUUAUGCAGGACAAGGUUUUUUUUUUUUUUUUUUCAUUAAUAGAGUUGAAAAGGUUUGUUGAUUCAAAUUGGGCAACUUGUGUGGUCUGUUAAUGAGUUUUGCUUUUUUUUAUUUAUUUAUUGUUGAUUCCUUAAUUUCCCAGAAAUAAAAAAGGCAGCAUACAGUUUCAAGAUCUUUUGUUGAAGUUGAGGACAAAUUUAUGGCAAAUGCAACAUGUGAAUUGAUGUGGUUACUUUCUUUAUUUAGAGAUUUGCAUGUAUCUCGUCCUAAGCCUGCCUUGCUAUUUUGCAACAAUCAAGCAACUCUUUAUAUUGUAGCUAAUCCAAUUUUUCACAAGCACACUAAGCACAUUAAGAUCGAUUAUCACUUGGUUAGAAAGAAACUGCAAAAUGGAAGCUUGAAGACACUACAUAUUUCAUCUAAACAUCAAGUGAGAGACUUGUUGACCAAACCUUUUUCUUCACCUCAAUUUCUUUUUCUUCUUAGUAAAAUCGAAAUUCACAAUAUUCAUUCUCCAUUUUGAGGGGGAGUAUUAGAAUAUUUGGGUAUCUUGCAGUAUGGUUACAAGUUAAGUAAAGAAUUGUUAGUUUGUUAAAUAAUUGUUAGCUUUUUUUUUUUUUUUUUUUUUGCAACUAGAUGUGUCUAUUCAAUAACUUCAUAUGGUUAUAGUUAAUUAAAGAAUCCUUUACGUAUUAACUGUUAAAAUAAUUUGUUUCCAACUUUCCUAUUAAAUUUUCUUCUGCUCAAGAUUUCAAAAAUUAUAGUUCAAGAAAGCUCUUUCGAUUUCUAUGUUGCACUGUAUCUUCUUAUAUGUUAGUACAAAUCAUACUCCUCUUUUUACCUCUUCAAUGAAUCCUUUUAGGAGUAAGACCACCAAGUGAGCACCCUUAUAUUGAUCCACAAGCUUUUUAUUACAUAUUUUUUGUUUGUGCACACCACCUCAAAUUUAAGUGGCCCAUAAAUUUUAUACUUUGGAUACCUUACCAUCCAAUCAUAAGCAUAAACUAAAUUUGAAAGGAUAAGAUUAGUUUAUUUUAGAGAAAUUGAGCUCCAAGUCCCCUAGCCAAACAUGAAGUUUUGAAGCAUGAAAUUUUUGUGAUGGGACAUAAUUGCAAUCCUUAUUAAAUUGAUCAAUUGUGUUAUGCCAAGAAUGCAAAUUAUGCAUGGCAAAGUGGUUAGAAAGUGUACAAAUGCACCAUCUUUUUACUUGUUUGUUUACUCAAAUUUCUCGGUCAAUUUUUUUUUUUCAUUCUUAUCCCUCUUGAUUGAGGCAAACAUGUUUUGGCUAGUGCUCUCAAAUUCCUUAAAUAUAUUCUUUUCAAUAUUGUAAACAUUUGGCUUGGUCAUUGUUAUAGUUAUCAAUUGUGUCAACUUUUACUUUCUCUCAUCCCCAAUUACAUAUGCACUUUGUAGCUUUAAUUUUUUUUUAGUGAUUAAUCUUAGUUUUUAUCUAAUUGUUUGCCUUAUAGUCUUUGACAUAACUAUAAGUGUAACAUGUACCUCUCACAAACCAAAAGACAUCACUUGUCUUCUUUAAUUUAAACAUUUUUGCAUCUGUGUAAGAUCUGAAACUAGAAUUUCACAACAUCGCGUAGUCAUUUUCUCUAGUUGUUUCUCAAAGCUCUCUUCAAGAUUUAGUUCAUGUUCAAUUACCAACUUUGAGUUUUCACUUUUUUUUUUUCCCAUGAGUCAUGAGGAAAUGAAUUUCAACUGUGUUUCAUCUAUCCAUCUCUCUUAAAUUGUUUUAUUCGAUAGUUACCAAUUGUAGAAUUGUUUUUAUAUAUUCUUUUCAUAGAUAUUGUUAAUAAAUUAUGCUAAAUGAGUAGCUUCCUGAUGUGGUGAGAGCUAAUUUUGUUAUUGCUAGGAUAAUAUCUUUUUAACUUUCUUAACUUUUUCCGAAUUAUAAACCACUCAUGCUUUGACCAAUCUCCAUGUGUUUUUCAUUUGUUUGGAUUUAUGGGCUUUUGAUUCUAUUUGGUGAAUAGAUAAUAAGGAAUUAAGGAUCUGAGAUUGACAUUACUUUAAGGAUGUUUGAAGAUGACAUAGUGAAGCAUAGAAUAUUUUUUUGGGUUGUAUCUCCUCAUUUCCCAUACUUAUGGUGGACAUUGAUGAGUUGGAUUAUUUGAAUGAAAUGAGCUUUGGAAAAAUACUAGUAAUUACAUGAAUUGUUGCAAUAUAUUUGAGUGAAAAUAUUAUGUUAGUGUCUCUCCAUGUCACUAAUUCAAACCUGUUACUUUCCAUUGUAAGUGGUAGAAAUAUAUUUUUUAUUUUCUAGAAAACAUUACUCUAACUUGUGAAAAAGGUUCUUAUGCCUCCAUAUUAAAUGUUAUAUGAUGGAAAAAAAACUUGAAUCUCUCUGUUUCCUCAGUCUGGAUCAGGUUAGGAAUAUGCAUAACUAUCCUAGGCUUUUUCUAAAUUCUAUGCACAACAAAAAAAUUAAUUUUUUUUAUACUUUAUAAGGAUCUAGAAAGUGCUAACGAAAACUAUACCUCAAAUUCGGAUGCUCCCGAGUCUUCCGCUCGAUGACUCAAACCUUGAUCUUGGCACACUUCUAAUGGGGAGGAAAUGAGGGUGGAGGCUAUAGUUUUCUCUCUCUCUGGAUGGUGGACGAUAAAAGCUAUGGAACCCCUAACCUCUAGGGGGUAUUUAUAGGGUUCCUAAGUGGGCUUAAGUGACUUGAGCCCAUACAGGCUUGGGUCACUUAAUCUAACCCAAAAUGAGUUCUAACUGAUUAAUUAACCCAAUAAGGCUUACUAAUUAAUCAAUUAGCCCAAUCAAGAGACCUUGUUCACUUACCCCUAUACAACCUUGCGUAAUUAUCAAAAUGCCCUUAUGCACAGAAGUGAACUUAGAGUCAAUUCAACCCUCAUAACCCAUGCCAACAAGGUAUAUGAGUUCAAAGUGGGGACCAUUGGGACCCAUAGAAAUACUGACUCCCUCAAAAUCAAAUUCUAAAGUUGAUUCAAUAUCACACUAUAGAGAAUCAACUAAACUCCAAUAUCUUAUGUAAAUAACAACGAGACACUAAGUGAUCGGGUCUGUGACUUGCUAUCCAUUGUGUUCAGUCUCCCCAUGAACUAAUGUCCGUAGUUUAAUAAGGUGAAAGCUAUUAGUCUUUCAAGACUACCUCUACCUUCUAUUUUGUGUUCAAUUGACAUAUCUUAGCUCUCAAAGAGCCUAUGUCAAGUUCCAUUUAAUGAACUACAUGACCAUAGUUUCCAUGAACACACCUCCUUAAGAUCACCCAAGGGGACACACUAUCUCAAUCCUAAGAGAUAUCAUAGUGCCUCUAUUGAAAAUACCUAUUACUACCAGCUUCUAUCAACAAUGACCCAAUCCAUACGGAAUAUAUGAUCAGCUUACGAUUUCACCUGUAGGUCAAAGUCAUUGCCAACUUUAGCACAAGCUUAAUAUUCUCUCAAGGUUGAGAGACAACACAAUGAAACAGCUUGGUGAGGUCAUGACUCAAUAAUAGCCUUAAGUCAUGACUCACCAUAAGUCUUGUCCAAUGUGUAACCAUACAUACUAGUGCACUCACCAUGGGAAACCCAUCCUGAUAACCAAGACCAGUGAUCCCUCCAAUUAGGAGGUGGUGCACUACAACCUUUAAUGGGUUGCCUAGACCCAUGAACCAAUUGUAAACAAGUCAUCUAUUUGCAAGGAACCCAUGACUUAGAUCUUCUGUGCAACUCCUAAUGCACCUAAGUCACGUACAAUACAAAAAAUGCAGACAAGAAUGCUCAUAAAGUAUAAUAUAUGGAAUAAGAAUAGAUAAAAGUGAAACUGGAACAUCAUUAAAUAAAUAAUGAAUUCCAAAUUUAUUACAUCAUGUCAUGAUUUUAAGUGCUUUAUCCUAACAUUAUAUAUUUGAGAUAAACAUGAUAUAAUGAGAUUUAUGUUUCUUUGUUAUAAUAUUUCAAUAAGUAAUUGUGUUUUAAUUUUAAUAAACUAUGCAUGCAUGAAACAAUUCAAGUAUCAUUAGCAUCAUUGGUAUCAUUGUGAGACAAAAGUUUCUCUUAUUACAUACUAAAGAGAUUUAAGUUAUCAAAAAGUGAAAACGGUUUUAUCUAGGCUAGUUUCAAGUUGACAACUUUUAAAUUGUUUAUCAUGUGAUAAAGAACUUUUCCCUACAAAUGAUACUUGAAUUGUAUAAUUAGACAGUGUAGGAAAACAUAAUAUCUAUGAAGUUAACUGUUUAUUCUUAAUUCAAUUUUUAGAAAUUUUGGUAGUCUUUCCUCUUAUUCUCUGGGUGCAUAUUUGGAUAAAGUUGCAUAGUAUGCCUUGUCCAUUUUACAUACUUAGAGAACUAUAAGGAAAUUCUACUAAAACUUCUUUAAAAUGAAAUUGACCACAUUGGUCAUUGACACAUAGAGAUUAUGUAUUUCUAUAUGGGAUAGGAACUACUACCGAAUUUAGGAUGUUGGAGAUGUUAGAAUGCAUAAAACAUGCAUCAAAAUUUGACAUACUCAAAUGAUUUUCUUUAUUUAGUAAAUUAGUAUAGAUAAUGUUUGAUGCAAAGGUCAUGGACAAACCCAAUAUAAUAAUAUUAAUAUGCACUAGUUUUAUUGAGGUUAUACAUCCCUUUUAAUGCAAGUAUUCAUGGUCAACAACAUUUAUAACUUAUUAGUCACUACUACAAAUAAGAUAUACCAUGACCUUGUUUUUUCCUUGGCACUUUUAAAAAUGUUAAUAAUUAGCGUGAUAUUUCAAAAGUGUAGAUCUAUGUUCAUAGAUCAAAAUGGUUAGAACAAUGCUUACUUUUUUUCUUUUAAAUUUGGCAUCUUAAAGAAAUGUUGAACUACACUUUCUUGAUUAUUAUUUGAACAAAAAAAAAAGGUUGUUAAACGAAUAGCAUAGAAAAUGUUGCUAUUUUCUUCAAUUUGAAGUUUGAUCACUAUUGAAAGUUUGUUCUUAAAAAAUGGAUCAUUUGUGGAUUUCAAAGGAUAGAGGACUAAAGGAGUAUGGGGAUGGGGUAGAACAUUUUUAUCACAUUUGCAAUAUAAAAUUCUGCAUAUAAAAACUCCAUUAAAUGUCCAUGCUUGUAGAGUGGUAAUAUGAUAUUUCAUACUCCUCAAAGAUUUCCUCAAAGAUUUCCUCAAAAUAUUAGAGAGCAUAUGUUUUUCUAUAGAAUUAAUCAGAAUUACCAUAUAUGUUAUUGGCAUGGGGAAGCAACUCCAAGUGAACCACCAACUAGAAGGGUAGAACAUUAUAAUAUGGUUCAAUUUAAUGAUGUAGAUAGUACAAUAGAAAUGGUUGAAGUUGUACAAGUUGAAUGUCAAAAUGACCUAAAAUUGCUUGAAAGAUUACUUCAAAUUGUUGAAAAACCUUUUAUAUCCUAGUUGUAGAAAAUUCACACAAUUGUUUGCAUUGGUUAAAUUAUACAACUUGAAAACACACUAUGAGUGGUCUGAUAAAAGCUUUUCAGAGCUUUUAAAAAUGCUUAGAUAUAUGUUGCCUCUAAAUAAUGAGUUACCCUUGUCUAUGUAUGAGACAAAAAUGGCAUUGAAUACAUUAGGAAUGGAAUAAGAAAAAAUACACGCAUGCCCCAUGAUUGUAUACUUUACAGGAAUAAGUUGAAAGAUGCAUUUCAUGUCCUAUCUAUGGAACUUCAAGGUGAAAGGUAGAUAAUAUAGGAACUAAAAAAAUGACAGGAACUCCUGGGAAAGUAAUGUGGUAUUUUCCUCCAAUUCCAAGAUUUAGAAGAAGGUUUCAAUCAUAAAAAAUCGUAAAAGACCUCAUAUGGCAUACCUAAGGAAGAGAUUUAGAUGACAAAAUGUGUUAUCCAGCUGACUCUCUAUCAUAGCUAAUUGAUCAUAAAUGGCCCAACUUUGUUUCAAAACCUAGAAACUUGAGACUUCCCAUUUUAGCAGAUGGUAUAAAAUCCUCACAAUUCAUUGAUUAGCAAAUAUAGUUGUUUGUCCUAAAGAGCUCGAAGCAGCAACUAUGGACAAUGUUUUUUUUAUCAUAAAGAGUAAGUUAUGGGCAACACUAUGGCUGUAAAUAGAGGUAAAACCUUUAACUUGUUUUUAGUUUGAUUUUUCUUUUCUUUCAUAAUGGAAAUAGAAAAUCAUCUAAACAAAUAGGACCUUAAUAAUUUUUUUUUUCUACAAUUUAUUUUUGAAUAAAAUAAUUUAAAAGAUUCCAUUCUUAUAUUUGUUAGACUUUUUUUUAAUGAAGAAAAAAAUAGUCUCCCUUUUAGCAUAUAUAUUAUAUAUGAUUAACAAUGGGUAUAAUAAAAUUUAUUUAAUAAAUAAUUGAUGUGACAUUCUAAAUUGAAAGUCAUAAAUUAGCUCAUUAGUUUGAUGUUGGCCCUAAAACUACAAGACUUGAUUACAUACUUAGAUUUUAUUCUUGAAAUUUAAGAGAUAAUUGAUGUGACAUCUUGAAUUGAAAGUCAUAAAUUAGCUUAUUAGUUUUAUGUUGGCACUAAAACUACAAAACCCAAUUACAUAAAUUUUGUUCUUGAGAAAUGUCAUUAUGGUUCAUAGUAAGGCUUAGUUUGGUGUGUUAGACCAUGCAUGCAUGAUAUCUCUUCACAUUCUCUUGUUUUUUGACAAACAUGCUACCAUACUUAAGGUGUUUGUCAAGGCUCAUCUUGGACUACUCAAAACUUUGGGGUCCUUUCUUUGAGUUCACAAGCUUCUUUCCCCUAGUGUCAACCCCAACUCCCAAAAUCCACUCCUUAGUAGUGCACUGACGAAAUCUACAAAUGCACUAUAAAGUGAGAAUGGCAUCAUGAAAAUGUAUUAAUGCAUCGUAGAUGUGGGAACUUAAAAAUAUAUAUAUAUAUAUAUAUAUAUAUCUAGAGUUUAGACUUGUUUCUAUUAAUUAGAAAUUACUAAGCAAUGAAUCUUGCUAGUGUGGAAAGUACCAAUAGAUUGACCAAGGAAGGUAUAUGUAAAAAAGAUUGACAUUGUCAAUUGGAAAAAUUCCUUUACAAACGUCAACCCUAUCUUCCUAACCAUCAUGGAUGUUGAGAAGUAGAUAUCGAUGACUAUGAUGAGGAUCACAAAGGAUUAUCAUACCAAGGAGUUAGACAUUUGUUGGGUUAUCAACAAUUUUAAUGAGGGUGGUAUUAACUAUUUGGUUGUUGAUAGUGUAUUGCGUAGUUCCACCAAGCCAAUCUGCUCCUGCAUUGAGAUCAAUCUCGAUGAAAAGGUAGCAUAUAUUUUUCAUUUCCUAAUUCUAUCAAUUGCUUCAUGGUGCCUUUGUCUAAUAAGCUUAACAGGUUCUUCUACAUUUUCACCAUUUAAUUCUCUAACGUUCAUCAUGAUAGGGUUGAAAUUUCAUCAUCAAAUCAAAACAUAUCCUCCUAUAAGAGGCCUUUGAAUUCUGAAAUAAUCAAUUCACUUUAUUCUCAUAUUGGCAAAGACAAGCUUACACUAUUGGAAAGACUACCCCUAACCUUUGCCCUCCCAAAUAGCAAAGAUGAGAGAGAACCUUUCACAAAAUCACAAGAAUUAUUCAAGUUUGGAAUUCAUAGGCAUUGUUAUUGAAUUUCAUUUGUAUAAAAUUGGUGUGUUGUGUUUAUUUUGUUGGUAUUAAAAUUGAAUUUUUUUUAAUUGCAAAUUGAUGAUUUUUUUUCUCUCUCACAUUUAUACCCAUUAGAGUUUCUUAUUAGGGUUUGUGUUUGAAAUUUGGAGAAAGUAUGGUGCAAUUGUUCAUCGGUGUGGUGUACCAUUUUGUUUGUUGUAUCUAAUAUUUGGGUAUUUGAUUUAAUUUUAUUGUUGUUGAAAUUGAAAGUUGAAAUCCAAGUUAAUUGUUUAACUAGCUAUUUGUAGUUGACUUGUUUUGCACCAAUCUUGAUUACCCAUUUCAUGGGAAUAAUCGAUUCCAAUUUUCCUUCAUGGUUACUAAAAAUAUAUUGUAGGUGAAGGACUAUUAUGGAGUAUAUUAAUUCACAAGAAAAAUGUUCCUUUAGUUAGUAAAAACUUCAUUCAUGUGGUCAUUUAUGAGCAUCAUAAUAAUCCAUAUUAAAAAUAUUUAAAAACAUUAAUGCACUAAAACAUUGAUUUCAUCAACAAAAAUACACUCAUUCUUUUGACUUAUAGCAUUCAAAGAUGUUUAAAAAUAUAUAUGUACAAUAAAACAUCAUCGAAUUUAUUAACAAUUAAACUUUUAACCCCAAAACAAUCCGUUACUUUAGUAGAUAAGACACUAUUGGAAUAACAUUAUUUUUAGCUCAAGUUAGAAGUUAAAAUGAUAAGGUUAAAAGAACAAAACCAACAAAAAAAAAAAGUUAUUUUUUGUCAAACUUGACACUAGUACAAUUUAAAUAAUGUAGCUCAAUGCCCUAUUGAAUUGAGUCAUAUAACUAGACUCCCUAAUUAUAUAUUAUGAUACACACACAACCUUUGGUCUAGUAUACAUGAUUAAAUUAAAUGCCAACCUAGUUUGCAAAGCUAAACUGGAAUCCCAAAUCUAGUUCAUUAUAAAUACUCUUCAACCAACUUGCUACAACAUUCAAAUAAGACAAUGACAAUGAUAGAAAACCAAAAAAAUACCUAAUAUAUCAUUGAAAACUCCUUCCUAAAGGAGGUAAAAAAAAUCAUGAAGUAACUUUCUUCUAUUAAUAAAAAUGGGAAUACAAUGAUCUAUAUAGUGUUUUAACUCGAAACUGAUGGUAUUACAAAUAUUAAAGAAGAAAUUUAAAACACACACACACACACACACAACAAGCAUGUUGUCAAGCUUAUAAGAGUUGGAGAAAUUUCUCCAUAUAAAUCUUCAAAACAUGAUGGAGAGUAACCUUGACAUUUAAGUCAAUAAUAUACAAGGAAAGACAACCCAAAAAGAUACAACUUUGAGAACAAACUCUCCUUUUUGCUUUUUUACAUAACCUUUUUUUUUUUUUUUUCCUUUUUGAAAACUUCUCUCCUUUCCUCUAAUUGUUACACCAUACAACAAUCCUAAAAAAACAGAGUUUAAAGGCUUGUUUGAUAACUGUUUUUAAAAAUAAUUUUGAAAAAUAGUUUUUGAAAAUUAUUCUCUAAUGUUUAAUUUGUAGAACAAAAGUUUGUUUGGAAACCCAAAAUAUUUUUAACAUGUUUUUAAUGUUGUUAAAUAUGUUUUAAAAAUAAUUUUUAUGUUUAGUAUUUUAUUUUUAAUCAUUUUAUAUGUUUAUAUAAUUAUUUUUUAAGGCAAACCUUAAAAAAUAAGUGAAAAUAACAUAAAACACUUAAAAGAUAUUAUCUGAAAACACCUUAUUUUAUUGUAACAGAAAAUAAAAAGCGGUUUUUGGUUGUCAAACAUGUUUUCUUAAUUUUUUAUUUUGAAGAAUAGAAAUUUGUUCUUGAAAAUAUCUAGUUAUCACAUUAGUUAUUGCCCAUUUUAUGAUUUUAAUUAUUGCUUAAAAACUAGUUUUUCAGCUAAAAAAGAAGGUCCACUACUUAUGGGUCAAACCUUCAACUUUCAAACCCGAACACAAAGUUAUAGUCAAGACUAAUAUUCACAUAUUAGUAUUAAUAUAGUUCAUUAAAUAUGAAUUUCUAUUGAAGCCAAAAUCGAGUUUUUAGGGGAAGUAACAUUCACUUUCAAUUAAGCAAUUUUUAACUCAUAAGUUAGUACUUGUAACAAAAUUUCUUAAUAGAGACUUUAAUUGAGUUUUAAGAAGAAUUUUUUGUUUGUUAAAAACCAAUUCAAACAAAAUCUAAAACUAAUAUUAUUAUCUAAAAGACAUAAUGAACAACAUAAACCAUAAACCAAAGUGGUAGUGACAACCAAUAUGUAGCGUCAAUGAAUAAUUGAAAAUAACCUCAUUUUCUAAUGACCUCGAACCUAGAAGCUCUAAAAUUCUUGCCUAAUUCCUUGUGAUGACUUUGGUUCAACCUUAAUGGCGAGGGCAAAAUUCUAAAUAAUUUUUGUCACAACUCAUAAAUUUAGAAGAAAAAAAUGAGAAUAAAUGGAAUCCCUAAUGAGAAAUUGUUAUUUUUCCCCUUUAUGACAAAAAUAGUAACCUACUAGUAUUAUUAAAUAACAUGGAAAUUAUUAUUUCAACUUUAAUACCAUGUAUGACAUAACUUUAACAACCUUAAUUUAUAAGAUUAUUUAAUUUAAAAGGAUAAAACAAUUACAUAUUCAUAAGAAUCGCUUCUAUUUUUUAAAAACAAUAAAUUCCAUUUUUUGGACAAAAAUACCCUCCAUUGUUUUUAUCAACAUUUCACAAUCAAACACUUAUUGGAAAAAAAAAAGUAUAAGGGUAGCUAUAUUAAAAUGAGGUUAUAAUUAUAAUACUCAAUAAGUGGAGAUUUUUUUUCCAAAUAUUGGGAUCAUCUUCUCCAUUUGACACAAAUAUUUAUAAUUUAUAUUAUAAUUACUCUUAUAGUAAGAGAGAAAGAGUAAUUUCACAUGAAAUGGACCCAUAAACAUAGAUUUAUUAUGAGGCAUGAUACUAUAAUAAUAAUAGGAAAUAAGACGAGACGUGAUACCAUAAUAAUAGAAAAUAAGAUAAGUAAUUCAAUACUUAAUGAAGGUCUGAAAUAAUUAUGUUUCUCAUUAAAUGAUAUUAAAGACGAAAAAAAACUUAUUAAUUUUUAUUUUAAGUAUUAAGAUUAUUUAAUAAAAUUAACUUAAAAUUUAUUUUAAAUUAUCAAAUUGAUAUAUUUAUUUUCAUAGAUUAUAACUAAGGUAAAUGAAAUCAAGUAAUAAUGGAUGUCAUGUAGUGAAAGAGAUCCUAGAGGCAACGGGACAAAUUGUGGUAAAAAAUGUCAAAUAAAAAUACGAACUUAAGAACAAAUUAAUUGUUUGUACUUAUUACUUAAAGUUGUUAUUUAUUUUAUAUUAUUAAAUUAUUUUACUAAAUAUGCUUAAUUUAUUUAAUGACUUAAAUUAAUUUAUUAGUCACUUUAGGCUAUUAAAUCGGGUUUACCAAUCAUAUCGAAUACAUUUGGCUAGUAGGCCAAGACUCAAGAAUAUUGCUAUCAUAUGUUUUAUGUAUUAAGGUGCCAAGAAUAAUUCACCACAAAAUAUAUGAUGAGUUGAUAAGUAUAGGAUACAAUCUAAAAUAUGCACUUGAUUUCAUCAUCUAAAUAAAUGCUCUCGGCAAAUGGAUCAUCCUAGCUGAUACCAGAGCACAAGCCGCCAUGGACAGGAGGCAACGGAGAAACCCUUCUGCUUCUUCUUCUGCCUUUUCAUCUCCAGCUUCAUCCUCAUCGCGUUUCCGCUCAGAGAAAUUCUCCUCGAAUCCCCCAAAAACUAGUAACUCCCUGGAGGAUGCUCACCAAUUGAAAAGCAAAUGUGGGAAGCCACAAAGACCAAAGCAAGAGGAGGAAGGAGAGCAAGAUCCGAACAAUCUUCUCUCCUUAGUUGGAACUUGCCCAUUCAUGUGCCCUGGUAAAAAUGCGUGCUUAUUUUUCCAUUUUUUUAAAAUUCUAUUUUCCUGUUAUUCUGUGUUUGGUUUCCGAGAAAUUGGAGGAAAACAGUAGAAAAGAGAAGUGAAUCUGGAGUUUCUGUGUCAUUUUUGUGGCUUUUACAUAAAUUUUACAAAUAAAAUUGAUAUUUCUCCCCCUUUAUUAGAUACCAAUCUGCAGAAGAUGUAGGAAUCCCAAAAAAAAAUUCGCUUUUGCCUUUACUUCCCCCAAAUCUUUCAUAAUGGAAAAUGGACUUACCACCUCUUUUAUCACUUUUCCUUUACCAUGUCAGGUUUACAUGUAAUCAAACACUGUAUUUGGAGUAGGGCACUUAUUCUAAUGUCAAAUGGUGUUGAAAACUUGAAUUACUGGAUCUUAAGACUCCAGAAGAAAUUUGAUUGUUUAUGAUUAUUGCUCCAUGAGAAGGGAAAGGGAUUUCUUUUGUUUUUGCUCACAUAUAUGGCCAAAUUGAUUUAUCUCCUUCUCAUACGAACAAAAUAAGGACAUUUCUUGUCUUGCUGCCUUUUAUGCCACCGGUUCCACAUGCUGAUGUGACAACCCUUUUGCUAUUCUGUACAAAUGGUAGGAAAAUUCUGGUAAGACUGGUGGCCAGCCUAUCAUGUUCAGGGAAUAAAUUCAUUGUAUAUCUGGAAUUCACUCUAUAUCAGCAUAGGGUGUUGAUACUGAUUAUAAAUGACAAAUUCAAUUUAUUAUCCUUACAUUAGGGAGUGCUAAAAGGAUGCAAAUUGUUCAUGUUAUACCCAAAGACAUACAAGUGAUGCUAGAGAUUUUCACAAUGUGGAUAAUCAUAGAGUAGAGAUGAACACUAUGGAGUCUUUUGGCAUGUGUUCAUUCCAUGUACGGGAACAUGCAUUGGAAGAUUAUGUUUCCUCCUCCCUUCCCCUCCCCAAAGUUAAUACUAUGUUGUCAUGGCAAGAACUUUGGUGACAUGCUUCUGAGUGGAAUAGCCUCCUAGAAGUCCAUUUAUGUGGCAGUUGGCAAGUUCUUCCGGUCAAUGAGAACUUUGUGACUGUCUGAUUGUUGUACUAAUCAUCAUCAGAUUUUUUUUUAAGUUCAAGUUGUAAAUAGCCUUUCACAGUUGAAGGUAGCGAUGAAGAGGCCUGUUGACAUAAUUAUUUCUUCUGCUUGAAUGGAUUAAAAUCAGAUACCACACCUUCAGCCUAGAAAACUAUGGACUUUCCUAUGUACCUGCAAUUGGCUGAAUACUGGUGUGGCACUGACUAAAGGCUCUCUGAUGCUGUUAUUAAUUUCCUGAGCAAAUUAGAGAAAACAGAGAGGUCAUAAUGUGAAUCAGUUACCUCUUGAGUAGGGAUGAAGGCUUUUUAUAACUUUUUACUUUCUGGUUAGGCCUUGGAAGCACUUCUGUGAACCAUGAUUUUGUACUGUAAAAUUAGAUGGGAUGGAUAGGUCACCUUAACUCUACUUUUGGAAGUGAUUGGGGAGCGCAUGACUGUAUGAAUAUUGAUGUGUUCUCCCCAUACAGAGCCCAACUUCUUUUUGAACUAGGAAGCAUGAAGGGUGGGUGGAUGUGGGCUGAGGAAGGAAGAUUUGACUUGUGUGCCGCAGGCCUGCGGUACCAAUUUGUUCCAGAACUUGAUAAGGCCCAUAAACUGGUAGGCAAGUUUCAUUAUUUGGUCACCACUGAAUUUUGGCAGUAUGGCCACAAGGAAGGUAGGAAGGAGAGGGAGAAGAGAAAACCCCAAUUGCCAAUUGCAAGCUUCCGGUUGGCACAGUGCUCAUUGCUGACAUUUUCAUUUGAUUUUGACCUUGCAACAGAUACAGCUUAACAUGAUGGACCAGUUUUUCACAAUCUUGUGAUUCAUUACCCAACUUCUAGUAACAGUUUCUCAGCAGAUGACUCACCUAUGACAGGCUGAUGAUGUCUGCACACAACUUGAAAGGUAUUCAUGCCAAGGUGUGAAAGGUAAUAUUGUGACACCAUUUUGCCUAUUCCAGAAAAUGUAACAAAUGUAUGGCUGGUUCUUGACCUAAAAAUGCUGGCAUUGGUCACCAAGUGCUAGGGUGAUUCUUGACAAAAAAUGUUCGUAUUGUUCAGAACAAUGAUUUACAACUUCAGAUUGGCCAUCCAGUUAACGAUGAUAAUCACUUGUUUUACAAAGUUCAGUGUCAUAAAAGCAAAAUAAUUUUGUCAACAAAUAUGCGGAUAACUUUAUCAUAAUUACUACUUAUGGAAGUUAAGGAUAAGUUGGGUAAUGUGAGAAAGUUUUGGUCAGAGGAUAUGAGGAUAAAUUUGUUGCAAUUGCUAAGCUUCACCUCCUAGGACUACUAGGAGAAACGUAUGAGCAAUAGAACAAAUUUACAGUCCAUCCCCAUUAGCUGCAUGGAGAGGUUGGGCUUAUUGCUGCUAUGGUGGAGGUCACCUUCUUGUAGACUUUGAAAUCUGCGAAUGAAGAGGCAGAUUUCUUAGAGGAAUUGGUAGGACUCCAAGCCCCCCAAAUGACAGGGGGGUGGGGAGGAUGGGGGUGGUGGGGGGCCAUUUCUAAUUUCAUGUCUUCUCAAUGUGGAUUUGAGGUUUAACGAGAUUUUUGGGAAAUCAUUAAGGUUAAAAGUAAUUGAAAGAGUGUGUCUGUGGAGAGCAAGAGGGGGAAAUGUUUGGUUCCCAACUGGGGUUGCUUCAUCUGACCGUUAAUCUCACAGCAAACACCGACGGAGCGUUGUUGUUGGAGGCUUCCAGGUUCUCUGAUCAAUUCUCUUGUUCUUUGUUUUCUUUGGGGAAGCGGGAAACCUCUCUUUCUUCUAUUCCUUCUGGGCGGGAUGGGGAAGGUGUUGCCAUUGCCAGGGUUUCCGAUCAGGGCAGUGGUUUAGAAGCCGUAGGGGGAGCUGUUAUGGGCCCGUUAAGGAUGAUAUUGGCGGAUGGGAGGGAGGCCGAGGUCUCAAAUUUGGCGGGUAGGGAGUUUGGGACUUUCGAGGAGGCGUCAGAGGGGGUUUCGAAAAGGGUCUCCCAAGAGGAUGAAGAAGAGAGGGACAAAGAGGGGGAACUGUGUUGGCAUUCUAGUAGCUUGGCUAAGUUCAGCCGCUAUCUUGGAAUGCCGAUGGAGGGCUUCGAAGGGGAAAUUUUGUUUUUGCUUAAAAGAAUGAAAGAGAAGAAACUUCAAAAAGGAAAGUUGAAUGGCAGAAAAAGGAAAAAAUUGGAGUCAUCAAAAUUCGAAAUAGAAUUGAGAAAGUUGGAAUGGACAGUGAAUUAUCUUGGAGGAGGAGGAGGAGAGGGGGGGGAAGUACGAGCAGGUCUAAAUGAAGCUCCGACUGCUCACUUGGAAUGUAAGAGUGACCAAUAAUUGUGAUAAGAGGAAGGUGAUCAAAGCGUUGAUAAAGAAGAAUAGGGUGGAUCUGGUUUGCCUAUAGGAAACCAAGAUUUAGGAAAUGUCAAUGGGCAUUAUCCGUAGCUAAGGAGUGGGAAGAUUCCUUGAAUGGGGAGCUGUAGAUUCAAGGGCACAGCUGGAGGUAUAGUGGUGUUUUGGGAUAACAGGGUGUUGGAUUUGGUUGACCUUCAAAAAGGAUUGUUCUCUAUUUCUUGCACUUUUAAGAGUUGCGAGGACGGUUUCAUAUGGACGUUUACAAGGGUUUAUGGCCCAACAUUGAGGAGGAAUAGGGAGAGUUUUUGGGAGGAGUUGGGGGCCAUUAAGGGGCUUUGGAAUGGGCCGUGGUGUGUUGUAGGGGAUUUUAAUGCCAUUCUAAGUCCGGAAGAGCGCAACAGAGGAGGGAGCUUGAAUUCAAACAUGAGAAGGUUCUCAGAAGUUAUAGAAGAUCCAGAGUUAAAGGAUCUGCCUAUGGUUGGGGGUCCUUUUACUUGGAUUGGAGGGGUGAAUAACCAGUCUUUUUCAAGGCUGGAUCGUUUUUUGGUUAAUGAGGGGUGGGACAGUCAUUUUGGUGAUGCGAGGCAGUUUGUUCUACCAAGACCUGUGUCCGAUCACUUUCCGGUUCUUCUGGACGGAGGGGGCCUGAGAAGAGGCCCUUCCCCAUUUAGAUUUGAGAAUAUGUGGCUGAAACUGGAAGGUGUUAAGGACCUUUUGAAGCAUUGGUGGGAGGAAGGUAGCUUCAGUGGAUCCCCAAGUUUUAUCUUGGCCGAAAAACUAAAAUUUAUGAAGGCUAAGCUGAAGAAGUGGAACAGAAACACAUUUGGUAGGGUUGAAUAUAGAAAGAAUUUGGCUUUGGAGCAGGUGGAGUUUUGGGAUACCAAGGAGAAAAUUAGCAGACUGUUGUUGGAAGAGCUGGAAGCUAGAAAAGAAGCGAGGGAAGAUUAUAAAAAAUGGGUCUUACUUGAAGAAAUCACGUGGAGGCAAAAAUCUAGGGAAGUGUGGCUGAAAGAAGGGGAUAGAAAUACCGGUUUUUUCCACAAGAUGGCCAAUGCUCACAGGAGGAGGAAUAAUGUGGACAGAAUUAAGAUUAAUGGAGCCUAGCUUACAUAGGAGAAUGGAAUUAGGGAAGGGAUUGCCAAUGCUUUUAGGUUGUUGUUGUCCAAUCCGGGGGAAUGGCGCCCUUCUAUUUUCGAGCUGCAGUUUGAGACUUUGGAGCCUUUGGACGCUAGUGCCUUGGAGAUUCAUUUUUCGGAAGAGGAGGUCUUCGAUGCACUAUUGGGCUGUAAUGGGGAUAAAGCCCCGGGGCCAGAUGGAUUCUCUAUGACCUUUUGGCAAUUUGCUUGGGAUUUCGUGAAGGCUGAUGUGAUGUGUUUCUUCAAGGAGUUCAAUGAAAAUGGCAAAUUUGUUAAAAGCCUAAAUGCAACUUUUAUGGUCCUAAUCCCAAAAAAAGCAGGGGUUGAAGCCUUAGGGGAUUUUAGGCCUAUAAGCUUGGUGGGAAGCUUGUACAAGUGGCUGGCCAAGGUCUUAGCUAAUAGGCUAAAAAAGGUGGUUGGAAAGGUGGUCUCCAAGGCUCAAGGGGCGUUUGUGGAAGGUAGACAAAUCCUAGAUGCAGUGUUGAUAGCUAAUGAAGCCAUUGAUUUGGUUCUCAAGAAUAAUGAGAAUGGCAUUCUGUGCAAACUGGAUAUAGAGAAGGCGUAUGAUAACAUGGACUGGACUUUUAUUCUCACAGUUAUGCAGAAAAUGGGUUUUGGGGAAAAAUGGAUCAGGUGGAUUAAGUGGUGUAUAUCCACUGCAGGUUUCUCCGUGUUGGUCAAUGAAACCCCUACGGGUUUCUUCCAAAGCUCCAAGGGUUUGAGACAGGGUGAUCCCCUUUCCCCUUAUCUCUUUGUGAUAGUUAUGGAGGUCUUUAGUGCUUUUCUUAAAAGGGCUGUAGAGGGAGGUUUCUUAUCGGGUUGUAGGGUGAAGGGUAGGAGUGAAGAAGGGGUCCUAAUUUCCCACUUGUUGUUUGCUGAUGAUACACUGGUGUUCUGUAAACCUUCACAAGAUCAAUUGACUUAUCUCAGUUGGUUACUUAUGUGGUUUGAGGCCGUUUCGGGAUUGAGAAUAAAUUUGAAAAAAAGUGAACUCAUUCUAGUAGGGAGGGUAGAGAAUAUGGAUGAUCUUGCUUGGGAAUUUGGUUGUAGACUGGGUAGCCUUCCAACCACCUAUUUGGGGAUGCCCUUGGGUGCUCUUUUUAAGUCAGUUACAGUUUGGGAUGGUGUGGAAGAGCGCUUCUGAAGAAGGUUAGCCAUGUGGAAGAGACAAUAUUUAUCCAAGGGAGGAGGGCGACUCUUAUUCGAAGCAUGUUAUCGAAUUUACCCAUCUAUCUCAUGUCAUUGUUGUGCUUACCAAGCUCAAUUAGACGGAGAUUAGAGAAAAUCCAAAGGGACUUCCUUUGGGGUGCAAUUUGGAGCGAAAGCCUCAUUUAGUAAGAUGGGAGUUGGUGUGUUUAAGUAAGAAGAAAGGAGGUUUGGGGGUCAAAUGCCUUUCCAUUCUCAACAAGGCUCUUCUUGCUAAAUGGAAUUGGCGUUUUGCAAAUGAGAGAGAAGCUUUGUGGAAUCAAGUGAUUAGGGGGAAGUAUGGAGAAGAUAGAGGGGGUUGGUGCUCUCGGGAAGUGAGAGAGGCUCAUGGUAUGGGGUUGUGGAAAGGAAUAAGGAUGGAUUGAGAGUUGGUGAGCGAUAGGAUGGUUUUCAUUGUUAGUAAUGGGAGGAGGGUGAGAUUUUGAAGGGAUAGAUGGUGCGGGGAUUCUCCUUUGUGUAUGUCUUUUUCUUCUCUUUUUGAUUUGACUGUUGAAAAGAAAGCGUGGGUGGCAGAUUUUGGGACCCUUUGGCUAAGGGGGGUUUGGGGGGGGGGGGGGGGGUGGGAACCCCGUUUUUUAAAACUUUUCAAGAUUUGGGGGGAGAGGGAGGGGAAAAAUUUUUUGCGAAGGUUUCUGGUUAAAAAAUUUUUUGGGNNNNNNNNNNNNNNNNNNNNNNNNNNNNNNNNNNNNNNNNNNNNNNNNNNNNNNNNNNNNNNNNNNNNNNNNNNNNNNNNNNNNNNNNNNNNNNNNNNNNAAAAAAAGGGUGGGGGGGCAAUUUUUGGGCCCUUUUGGUUAAGGGGGUUUGGGGGGGGGGGGGGGGGUUGGAACCCCUGUUUUUAAGAGCUUUCAAUGAUUGGGAGGUAGAGGAGGCGGAAAGAUUUUUGCAGAGGCUUCAUGGUAAGAGAGUUAUUGAGGAUGUGGAGGAUAUGGUGUCUUGGACUGAAACUAAGAGUGGUAAAUUCUCGGUCAAGUCUCUUUAUGUUGCCCUUGAAGCGGGUUGUUCAUCUCUGUUUCCUUUAAGCUAUAUUUGGAAUGUGAAUGUGCAGCCCAAGAUUAGUUUCUUUACAUGGGAGGCUACGUGGGGCAAAGCCUUAACCUUGGAUAUGGUCCAGAAAAGAGGACGGGCAUUGGCAAAUAGAUGCUUUAUGUGUCUUGAGAAAGAGGAGACCAUAAACCAUCUGCUCCUUCAUUGUUCAAGAACAAGGGUGUUAUGGGAUCUACUUUUUACUUUAUUUGGGGUGUCUUGGGUAUUGCCUUCUUCAGUUAGAGAGACCCUUCUAAGCUGGAAUGGUUUUUUCGUGGGCAAAAAAUGCAAAAAGGCGUGGAGAGUUGCUCCUCUUUACAUUUUCUGGACGGUUUGGAAGGCGAGGAAUAGAUUGGCUUUCAAGGAUGAUAUGUUGUCAAUUUAGCAACUGAAACACUCUUUUAUCCUUUCUUUUUGGUCCGAGAUUAAGUUGUUUAUAGAUGAUUGCCCUCUAACUAUAGCUAAUUUUAUUGAUUGGUUGGGCUCUAAGUAGGAUUGGGUUGUUGGGCUAUCUUUGUUUUUUAGCCUUGUUGGAGGCGGGUGUAUAGGUAUUGUAUACCUUGAGUCACUUUUUUAGCGUUUCUUUUAUAUAUGAAAUCUUAUUUACUUAUCAAAAAAAAAAAAAAUGUAAUCGAAGACUUUCACAUUAAUGAGGUAAUGAAUAACCACUGAUACUUCUUCACCCCAAAGUUCCUUCACAAAAAUUUGGUAAGUGAAGAACCAUUUCUGAGUUGUGAAGCACCAAUUCCACCUUCAUUAUCUUGAUCUUUAGAAAGAGGGAUCCAACUUGAUUUGGGAUUUUAUACCUGUCAACCCAGUCACUAAUUUUUAGGAGAAUACUUCCAAUUUACCCUUGGGUUGCUUUAGAAAGUUUCUUAAUAGUGCCAUCUCUCUAGCUUAAGGGGCUUUUGUUAAUGGAAGGCAAAUACUAGAUGUGGUUAUCAUUAGUAAUGAAAUCCUAGACAAAUACUAGAUGUGGUUGUCAUUAGUAAUGAAAUCCUAGAUGAAAAAUUCUGUUCUAAGGACGAAGGGAUGGUUUUUAAAAUAGGUUUUGAGGAAGUUUAUGAUCACAUAGAUUGGGGUUUCAUGUAUGAUACAUACUUUGAAUAGGGAAGGCCUUGAACCUGGAUGGCACAAAGGGACUGGAUAUUUUGAGGUUGUUUUUCAAACUGCAGGCUCUUUAAUGGUGUUAUUGAAGCUGAGUGUUUAGCACUCGAGGAAGAUUCGGAUAUGGUUGUUUGCCUGGAUGUAAUGAACCUCCAUAUUGAAGGGGAUUCCUUUGUUAUUGUCUCAAAACCUUCUUUGAAGGCAAAGGUCCUUAGUGGAUUGCUCAUCAGAUGGGGUGGCUUCAUAAUCAUGCUAGAGACAUUGCUUGUUCUUCUCUAUUGAGGCCCAGAUCAGCUAGCCAGGUGCAUGGCUAUAUUUUUCUUAUAGGGAUGCUAAUAUCUGAAAAUUUUUAUUGAGAACACUUACUGCUCUUUGAUUGGUUUGAGGCAUGGAGUGGCUUUUCUGUUCUCUUCUUGCCAUACAUGCAUAUCAUCCCUCUUUUUUAUCUUGUUUAACUCAAUAAAUUCUCAUUUGUUAUAAGGAAAAAAAGAGAUAUUAUGUUACAUGAUGGAAGGACUUUAUUCUGUUAUGGAAUAGGCAAAACCUAGAUCUAUUGGCUAGAGCUAUACAGUAGGUUGUUGGGCUGUUCAGCAUUGUCUUUUUUUUGGAUAGGUUUGGCCAAUGCCCCUUGAUGUUACUUUUUGGUAAUGUAAUUUUCUUUGAUUUUUCUUGAAAAUUCCUCAUUUUUCAAGCUUGCUUGUAUAUCUUUCCUUCUUCCAUUAAUGAUUGUUUGAUUCCUUACUAAAAUAAAUAACAAAUUAUGAUGCAAAAGGAUUACGUUUAUGGAAAAUUUUGAGAUUUUCACCAUAUUAGAGUCUCUGAAGUUGGUACUUGUCUUGACACAGAUAAUAGGAAUCAUUUUCCCCCCAAACUACAUAAGACAUGUCUGCUACUUGGUAAUGUUCCAUUGGCAGUUAUAAACUCUCCUGUCAAAAGUGAAUCUGUUGUAGCAUUCCAAAUGGUGUAGUGUCGUACAUAGAUUGGUAAUUGAGGACUUUAUUAUGGAUUUUGUCCUGUUGUGGUUGUGCCAACAAGUUCUAUCCUGUUCUUUGUCUUGCUGAUUUGGGUGGUUGUGCAUCAUGUUCCUACAGCUGUAUAAUUAUGCUUCAGGAGCAUAGUUAUUCUGGUUUUACCAUCCAGAUGAUGGUAUUAAAGUAUUUGUAUUCUAGAUUGCGCAACUCCUUAUAUGGGAUAUUUUUGCACCAAAUGCUUAGUGAUCAAGAGAACUCUCAUAUUAAACACAGUCAUCUUCUAUUAAACUAAAUUCCUUAAGUAUGCAGUCUCACAACUACAUCAUACCAUUCUUUUCCUUUUUUAUUCCUUUCUUGCUAUUACAGGUUGGUUGCCACUAAUAUAGUAGAAAGCAAAUUACACGACCCUGCUUCCAUAAGACCUUUCUUAUUCCAUAGGUUGAAAUAGAAAAAACACUCGAUGGGACUAAUGUUUCUCUUUGCAACCAAGCAAAUUAAAAUGUUUUGAAACCCAUGCUGCCAUGAUCUUAGCUAAUUUGCAUUUUAUAUCUCUACCCCUUUCUAUUUACCAUAAUGAUGCAUGCAUCUAGUCAAAUUGUGUAUUUCUUAUGCUUAUAUUUAUUUCCUGAUGAGUUUAUUCUGACUCUUUGAUCAGGAUUUCUGCAAUCACAUUGCUUGCUAUUGAAUUUUCAAUGGCUUAAUAUGAAUUAUUAAUAAAGAUGUUGUUUAAUUAUUUCAGCAGCUUAUACUUGGUAAUUUCUUUUAACAACUCUUAUCUCUGAUGUUCAUUUGUAAUAUAUAGCUGGAGAAAGGGCCCAACGUGAACGCCUUCGGGACUUGGCUGUGUUUGAGAGGUUACAUGGAAAUCCUGGGAAAACAUCUCCAAGCCUUGCUGUCAAAAAGGUAAACCCUACAUCUCAUUCCUCUAUACCGCAUCUUAGCUUCUCAUCUUGCAUCGGACAAUGAUACUCUUAUUGAAUCAUCUUUACCAUAUCAGCCAUCAACAUGUGCACUUAUUGAGCGCUAAUUCAGGCACUGAUACUUGUGCUUUUGUUUUGUUUUGUUUUAUCUUGUCUUGUUUUGUUUUGGAGGUGAUUGUGUUGGAUGACCUAUAUCUGUGUUAGACACCAAAGCCUAUCUUAAUGCUACUGUAAAGUAAGACUAUGCUAAUAAGCUAUUGAUCUGUUACAGGGUUUAUGCCAAACUGAUUUUUUAGUUUCUCUAGUAGAAAACUUGUUUUUUCCCCUGUUAUAUCGGUGCUAUUGUUGGAUUUGUGUUUGUUGUUGAUCAAGCAUUUGCUGAAACCUUUUUUUUUUUCCUUUGCUUCUUGAUGUGCAAAGCAUUAUUGUUUGAAUUUUAAUGAUCCCAUUUGAUUCACUAUUCAAUAUUUUUAUUUGAUAUUACAUCUAUCUCAUUUGUUUUCUUUUCUUAGUUUGUUUGUUUGUUUUUUUUUUUUUUUUUUUUUUGAAUUUGUGACAUUUGAAUUUGAUGGAGCCACCAUUAAUUUAUUUUUCCUUAUUAUUGUGGGGUGUGCUUUAUUUUGUUCAAUUGUUGUUGCACUAUUAUUGUCAUGUAACUUUUCUUUUUUGUUUUGUUUCUAUUGUUCCUAUGAGCAUUAAAUGCUUCUAAAAUGUAUGGAACAGGCUAAACCUUUCUAUAGUUUUUUUAAAAAAAAAACUCAUUUAUUAUCUAUUUUCUUGUGCUCAAAAAAUUAUAUUUUUUUAGUAAAAUUGAAAAUUUAGGGAGCGCUUAGGCCUCAGCGGCUCAACCCCUUGAGGGUUUAGGCCUGUCAUAGCAAGAUGUAAACCCCCUUGCCUCUUAUGCUUUUACCUUAUGAAACUAUACCAAGAAACAAACACCACAACUCCCUGCUGCCAUCAAAGGAUACUUCAAAGUUUGCUUCAAAUCAAUCUUAAGGCCAAUUAUCAUAGGCUUGUCAUCAUGUCACUAAAAUUGGUAUUGUAACCAAAGUCCUAUUGCGAAAUCUUCAAGUUGCAGCUCCUCCUUUUCUGUUGGCUCUUGUAUUGUUAGGUGGCCGCAACCUGUUGCUUUUCUUAUGCUUUAUGAACUACUCCAGUUAAAAUAAUGCUUCAAGUAGAUGCUUUCUGGAUCUUGAUUCUAGCAAGAGGCUUAUAUUGCAAAUUUUUUUGUGGAGUCCUAGAUAGGUUAACUAGGAAGACAAUAGCUUGCUUAAGAGGAUUGCCACCUCUCCUUUUGGGUUUGUAAAAAUUUUGGUUCUCCCUUGACCUUGGGAGUCCUAUGGUUUCAAUUUUGGAUGUGCUCUAGGUUGUAGCCUGUGUUAUGCUUUCUAAAUGGUAAUCUUCUUCUUGUUUUAGCUGGGAUGCUUUUGUUUAUUUUGCUCGUUUGUUUUCUUUGUUUCUUUAUUGUGGCUGUAGGAUCACCAAUCAACUUUUUAUUCUCUGCAAAAACUGUUUAUGUUUCAUAACGAAAAAGGAAAAAACAAAGGCAAGUUAGCCUAGAAUAGGUUUUAUCUUGUUUCUUCUUUUACCAUUAGUGUGGAUUCAAACUCAGGAAGAGGCCUUCAAACAAGUGGCAUUUGUGUUUUUUAAACAUAUAUCUUUAUUCAAUCAUUGUUAAGUGUUUGUUGUCUUGUCUGUUCUUUUGGUUGUUUUUGUCUUUGUCAAAGUGUAUAAUUAUAAUAUCCCACAUUGUAUAGAGGAAAAAGUUUCUAACGCUAUAUAUGUAUGAACUUUUUUUAAUCUUGUUGAUUCGUUUUUAAGCCGCGAGGGUCGUUUAGGCUCAAAGCAAAUAAUAUCCACACAACUGGGAGUAGGUUGUUACAAAUGGUAUCAAAGUCAAUCCUCGACCUUGGUAGGAGAGUUUGCUUGGCCUAAAAUGGGUGUCCGUUUAUUUGACCUUACAAUCCUAUGGGACACAAUAAGGACGUUGUGUCUGCAUGAGAGGGUGAUUGUAAUAUCCUACAUUACAUAGGGGAAAAAGUUCCUAACGUUAUAUAUCAUAGUUUUAAAAGGCUCAAGGCGCACCAAGGCGCAAAGUAGUCCUGGAGCCUGAGGCGCAAGGCGCAUCUAAGGCGCGGGCUUUAGUGAAGUGAGGCGCACCCUAAUUUACAUAUAUAUUUUUAUAUAAUAUAAUCAAAUUUAACAAUCAUUUAUUUGUCCUAAACACAUAAAUCAUCAAAUAUCAUCCAAAACUUCAAUUUAAUAAACAAAAAACAUAAAAAUAAAGAACUCCAAGCAUAAAAACAAAUCCAAAUCCAUAUUGCUAAUUGCCUAAUACAUAUCCAAAUCCAAAGUUUCCAAACCUAAAGGUCCAAAACAUGAAAUUUGUCCACAAUUCAAAAACAUCAUUAAAAAACACUUAAAUCACAAAUUUGUCCACAACAAGCAAUCAUCACUCCUCCUCUAAAUCAACAAAAUCAUCAUCAUCAUCAUUUCCAUCACCACAUUUGUAGCCUUCCCCAUCUUCUUCAUCUGCUGAAUUAACCAUGUCUCCAUCUUCAUCUUCAUCUAUUAGUGAAUAAGAAGGCAAAGUUCUAGAACUUGAAGCUAUCCCCCUUGUUGGUGGUAUUAUGCUUGAGCUUGCUCUAGCUCUAGCUCUAGUAUCAAACCUGGCCUCCUCAUCUCCAGCAGCUCUAGCAACAUCACCCCAUGUCAAAUUGUCAUCAUCAAAUACAAAAUCAUCUUGUGCACCUCCAUGAGAAUCCUCAUCUUCCAUUCUCCCUAUCAACCAUUCAUUGCUAUCAUCUAUAUCUUUCAAGGAAAUUGGGUCAAUGGUGUUACGUUCAUUGUAUCUUCUCUUCAAGGCUCGAUUAUACUUGAUGUACACCAAAUCAUUCAAGCGUUGAUGAUCUAACCUAUUUCUCCUCUUGCUAUGAAUCUGCAAAAAUUCAUAAGCUCAUAAAUAUAUUUUAAAAUUUUAACUUUUAAGUUACAUUCAAGACUCUAUUAGACUAUUACUUGUAAUUAUUUUGGAUUUGGUCACUCACAUUCUCAAAGAUGCUCCAAUUCCGUUCACAACCCGAUGCACUGCAUGUUAAGUUGAGGACUUUCAUUGCAAACUUUUGCAAAUUUGGAGCUGAAGCUCCAUAUGCAGCCCACCAUUCAGCUGUAGUAUAGAUAUUAACAAUUUAGUGAAACAAUUCACCUAUUUUAGCAAAAAUACAAUCUAAUCAUUUAAAUAAACAAAACUAAAUAACUAACCUGGUGCUCUAGUCUUUCUUGUCCUAACAGCUAACUCAUUCCCGAAUAGUCCUUGGGCAUUUGUGAACAAACUCACUUCGGCCACAACUUUUUCUUGCUUAGCAGGGUCUCUUGUUAGCCUUAAGAUGCAUUUAUACAAAUCACUCAUAAUCUCGGCAUCAUGCUCUAUUUCUGGCUUAUCAUAGAAGAAUUCCGGGUUCAAAAAGUACCCUGCUGCAUGCAAAGGCCGAUGAAGCUGAAUCUCCCACCUCUUAUCAAUGAUGUUGAAGAUUUCUUUGUACUUCUCUUCAUUUCCAUUAAAACUUCUCACAAUUGCAUCCUUAGCUCUAUUCAUGGCCUCAUAGAUGUAUCCCAUAGGAGCUUUUUUUUCACCAUCAACCAAACGAAGCACACGAACUAGGGGACCCGAAACCUUUAAGCAAAACACAAUAGUGUUCCAAAAUGAAGGCAUUAGAACUAUGUUGGCUAUAGUUUUCCCCUUCUACUCUUUUGCCCAUUUACUAUCUAACCAAUCUGAGCUUGUAAACAUCUUCCUCAAAUUGUUUUUUUGUUCAUGCAAUCGCGAUAAUGUGAUGAAAGCAGUUGCAAACCGAGUCUUAGCAGGCCUAAGCAAUUCCCUUUGUCCAGUAAACCGCCUCAUCAUGUUGAGUAGCCCUGAGCGAUUAUAAAUAUACCGAUUUAGUGAUAUAGCCCUCUCCAAUGUCCUCUUGAUGUUUGGUAGCUUUCCAAUAUCUUCCAACAUCAAGUCAAGGCAAUGUGCAGCACAUGGUGUCCACUACAAAUGUGGACGCUUUAAUUCUAACAACCUCCCUAUAUGAAAUUGUAGAUAAUAAAUUUACAUAAGUUCUCAAGAUAAAUAAUUCAAAUUUUAAAAGUAAAUAAAAAUUCAAGAAAUAGUAUUUAUUACUUGCUAUCACAUAACUUGAGUGAUUAUCUGUUAUAACUUGAAUAACAUUCUCUUCACCAACUUGCUCUACCCAUUUGUCAAGUAAUUCAAACAUCUUUUCUCCCGUCUUAAUCAUUGAAGAAGCAUCAAUGGAUUGCAUGAACAUGGUUCCCUUUGAACAAUUAACCAAAAAGUUCACCAAAGUUCUCUCUUUCCUAUCGGUCCAUCCAUCCGACAUAAUUGAACAUCCAUUUUUCCCCCAUUCCACCAUAUGAUCUUUCAUCAAAUCUUUUGUGAGAGCCAAUUCUUUCUUAAGGUUAGUAACUCUUACCUCAUGAAAAGUUGGUCCCUUCAUACCCACACCAUAUUGGCCAAUAGUCUCAAUCAUUGGUUGGAAACUCGGAUAUGUGACUGCAUUAAAUGGAAUAGCAGCCUCAUACAUCCAUCUUGUGAUAAGCGUGCAAGCUCUUUCUCUUGCUUCCUUUUUGUAGGCAUCAUUGAUGGUAGUUUGAUUCAUCUUUCCACUCCUUUGAUUUUGAACAACCAUCUCUGCAUUAGGAGUGAAAAAAUGAUCCAUAGGACCUUUUUGUCUUGGUUUUUUUGAAGAAAACGUCCUACCACUACUUCCUCCUCGGUUACUACCUCCACUAGAAAUGUUGGUGACAUUCGUUCUACUAUUAAUCUCCUCACCAAUAUCUUCAUCUUCCAAACCAAACAAAUCUUCAUUAACAUAUUCGCUCCCCAUAUUCAUUUGCUCUUUUUGAUUUUUCUUGGAACUCAUAUACUCUUCCAUUUCUUCUCUAACAUGUUCCGGACAUUUUCUAAACUUUUUAGCAUUUCUAUAUCCACCAACAAGAUGUUGUUUGUGUCUAUAGAUGCCUCCUUUGGUUACUUUCUCACAAAAAAUGCAUAUGAUGGUGUUCAAAUCUUUUUCAUUAACCAAACGACCAUAUUUCCACCCCGGAUCUCUUCUUCCACUUGCACUAGAGUCCACUUGAGUUUCACUCUCAUUAUCCAUCUUGCAAACAAAUUAUCUAUACUCCACAAUAAAAUAAUUAUAAUUAAAUUAAGAAAAAAAAUUGAAAAAAAAAUGCAUAUCACAUUAUCAAAUAUCACAUUAACAACAAAUAUGCAUGAGUGCUUUUUAUUUAUUUAUUUUUAUUUUGUAAAAUUUUCAUGUCAAAAACUCAAAAUAUAAUAUUUAUUUUUAAAAAAAAAAAAUUACCAAUGAGAGUUAUGAGGUAAGAAUGGAAAAAAAUGCAGAAAAGUGAAGAAAAAAGAAAAAUACCGAGGUUCGGAAGGUACGUGACUAUUUCCCCUAUUUUUCUUCUUCUUUUUCUUCUUCUUCUUCACUUCUCCAGCACAGAAGAGGCUAAGGCAAAAAAUGGCAGUGGUCUCGGGUUGAGAAAGACCAGAAAAGGGGGCUGGAUGGAAGGAACAAGUCAAAACGGCGUCGUUUUGGUCCCUGUUCACUUAAAUGAACAGGCUCCAAAACGACGUCGUUUUGGGCCCAAAAAAAAAAAAAAAAAAAAAGCUAGGGCUGCGGGGCGUCUCUGCAACCCGACUGGAGGAGGAAGAAGAAGAAGAAGAAGAACAAGGAGAAGGAGAAGGAGGAGUGCGUACCUGGUCGGACCGUCGGAGGCGACUCGGGCGAUCGCCUCGCGCCUUGCUGGAGGCGAGCGCCUUGCGCGCCUAAGCGGCGCCUUCGUGAAGGGGCGUCGCCUCUCUUCAGGCGAGGCGCCGAGGGUGGCGUCGGGCCGCCCCGAGCCUAGGCGCGCCUUUCAGAACUAUGUUAUAUAUAUAUAUAUAUAUAUAUAUAUAUAUAUAUAUAUAUAUAUAUAUAUAUAUAUAUACUCCUCUUAACCUUGUACACGUAUUUUAAAGUCAUGAAGACCACUUGAGCAUAGGAUGGAUAAUAUCUAUACGGUUGGAUGCAGGUUGUUACAAUAAUUACUUUUGAUUUUCCUUUCAUAUGUUUAAUUGCAUAACAUUAUUAUAGCAAAAUAUUAAUCUAUCAUAAUGCAACGUCUUGUAAAGCUUAUGUUGGGUGUCAUGAUUUGAUCUCUUGUCAUUUUUAUUAUUCUGAUUCAACAUCAUCUUAGCUUAUAAUCAUUUAUACACUUGAUGCAUGAGAAAUGAAGAUGCUAUAAAUUGUAGGAUCUUUUUCUCCAAUUUGUUCCUUGAUAUUUUAUAAUGCCAUGAAAUGUCUAUAUUUUGAUGCAGAAAGCCGUUCACACUCCAUCUCUCUCACUAGUUUUGCAGAACCAUUGCCACUAAGCACAUGCAGGCGUCAGAUGUGCGGCCACUUCCAGUGUUGGAAGAGACUUUGAACUACCUAUUAAACCUGUUGGAUGCCACAGAACAUCCUUUUGAAGUGGUUCAUGAUUUCGUCUUUGAUAGGACAAGAUCAAUAAGACAAGAUCUUAGCAUGCAGAAUAUCAUUAAUGAUCAAACAAUUCAUAUGUUUGAAGAAAUGGUAUGAAUUUCUUGAAACAUAAUCUCAAUUACCUUUUUUUCUGAGCAUUCAUCUCCUCAACAUACAAUAAGUUAGCCAACCCAUUGCUAAACACUCUCCUAGUUGGAGAAAAUAAUCAAAGUAUACAAGAGAUAAAAUGUUGAAUAAUUGAGUCAUUAUCCUCUCUUUUUGCUUUAUUGAAUAAGAUAAUUUAUUCGAUGGAGUCCAAAUGAGGUGAAACUGUGAUCACACAACUUGAAGCCUACUUUACAAUGGAUAAAUGAAUGGUCUGAUUUUGAAUCUUUCUUGGCACAUUAGUUAUUAUCCAAUCCAUUCUAAUUAAAUUAUCCACUAUUAAGUGUCUAUUUCCAGUCACCCUCUAAGUUAUGAAAGACCCAUAGAACCAAAGCAACUCACACCACCUGUGAUAGGAAUUGGUGCUCUCUUCCAUAAUGUCAAGUUUUCCAGUACACUUGCUGACUUUGUAGAAUAUGCCUACAAAAAGGGCUGCCACCUCCUAAUUCCCAAUCAUAGAAGUUUCUUAACCAUAUUUCAAAAGUUGUAUUUCCUGUUCCCUCUCUUAAAGUUUUUUAAACCUAUAUAUCUUUAUCCUAGUAAUUCGGAAAAAUGAGGAAAUUAUUUAACAAGAACUCCAUCAAUUUGUUCCUCAAAAUUUUAUAUAGUUUCUCUCUCUCACUUUUGAUUCAAAUUCUUGAAGCAAAGGAACAAAUUCAUGGCCAGUAACAUUUUUAGCCAAGCAAUAGAAUGCACGACAAGCAUGUAUAUGAAUGAAUUGUGUUUUUUAAUGAUAAUAGAUCAGAUAUUUUAAUCUCAUCCUAAAACCUUUGAGUUAACUAAAAGCCGCAUCUUAUGUUCUGACUUGUGGUUUGUUUCAUAAUAUAGGUGAAAUUUCAUAUUAUAUCCCACCACAAGCUUCACAGUUGUAGCAGCAAGCCAAGUUUUUCUUCAGUUCAUUACCUCAAUAUGGAGCAGCUGAAAAAGUGUCUAAUAUCUCUAUAUGCUCUAUACAAAGAAAAUCGAAAUUCAAAUUCUAUUUACAAGAAUGAACCUGAGUUCUACUCAUUUCACGUUCUUCUUCAUCUUGGCUCUAACAACCAACCAUUGGUGGAUACUUGCUUCCGUUGUUUGUUUGAGUUCAUCUUUUUCAGUAUCUCUUGCUGCCUUGUACUGGUUUCUGAAUAUGUUACUAUUUCUGUUUUGAAGGGAGAGUCACUCUCUUUGUGGUUGGGUCGUGUACCUUCUCUCAUUUUAAAGUCAAAGGAAAUGUGUUUUGCUCGGAGACUUUUAAGGUGACCGUAAAGCUAUUAUAGAUUCGACUUGCAUUUAAAUUGUUUAUAUUCAUUUUACAUUUAACUCAAUGUAGAGUGGUUCUGUUUUCCAAUCGAUUUUUUUCUCUUCUUUUAGUACCCAAUGUUAAAAAUUUUGUUUUCAUGAACUGAAAGAUCUGUCUUUUCUUGUAACAGAUUAUUUCGGAUGGGCAAUUAUAAGCGUUUCCUUUGUACUACAGCAACUGAGGCAUCUUAUUUACAGUACUACAUAAUUGAACCUUACAUCAAUGAGGUUGCUUAAAUAUGUUGAUUUUGCUAGAUUUUUCAGUUUGAAAAAUAUAUGCUUCUUUGUUCAUUUAUUGUUUUCCAAUUUCAUUUAUGAGAAUAUAUCUAAAAUCUAGACUCGAGUACUUGUGCUUUUGGGUUUUAUUUUUCUUUCAUUUUUGUUAGUAGUUGUACUUCAUUAUUCUUAAAUUUCUCACAGUUGUUUCUUUAUGUGGUUUAUUGCUCCUCACUUUCUUCAUUCAUCUGAAGUGUUCAAAUUCAAUUUGCUUGUUUCAUAAACCAGGUCUUAUUUAGAAGUUCUUCUCAAUUGCCUUUUUUAGUGCUUUUAAAGGACAUGCCUGAUUUAUAUAUAUUUUUGUUGGUUUUCUUUUGACCGUAAAAGGUUCGAGCAUUGGCAUUGUCAUGUGUAAAUUAUUGUGGCUACAAACUUCAUCCGUAUCCAAUUGCACACUUGUCCAAACUCUUGAUGAUGAAGGUAUGAUUGCAUUUACUAGCAUUAAAUUGCUAAAAUUUGUCAUCCAAAGUUCCAAUAUCUUUUGAACCUUGAAGGCUUCAUUUGCAUUUUUGUAGGAAUUAGAUGUGGAAUCAUUUUGCAAUGCUUGUGGUCUUGAGACCAGCACUGAUGAACGGGGAAAUAAGUUCUUAUCAACCAAGCAAACAAACUUCCAUUAUCCCAAGGAAGUCUUUCCAAGCUAUUGCCUUCUGGGUUUGGAACACUUUUAGAGGUAACAAUCAAUUGGAACUAGUUACUCUUUCAAACUUCUUAUUGUACAAAUAUAACCUGCAUGUGCAACCAUUUCUGAUCCCAUAAUUUCAAGAAUUUAUGACACCUUCUAGUGGUUAGUUUUUCUGGGAAUAGAGUAAAGCAAUCUAUUCACUCCCAGAAACUAUCGUCAAAGGAACAGUAGAUAACCCCGCAAGACCAAAUUUAUGUGUGUGCAUGGAGAUGCAUGUUUUCUGCAUCCCAAUCAUGCAGUGUUGUGCCAAAUGGAAUAAUAGCAGCUGAUGAUAAGUGGUAUUUCUAAAAUCUUCUAAGAGUAUUCCAUCUAUUGUAAUAUUGUUUUCUCAAAAUUGUCUUUGAGUCUUAUAUGUAAAUAUUAGACUUGACCUCUUGUAAGCUAUCAACUGAUGUUGUAACUUAACUUGAAAGGGAAAUUCUAUAAAUUUAGCCUUGGUUUGGCUGUUGGAAAGCAAAGAAAAAUUAGGUUAAUAGUGAGUUGAUUUCUUCCCUUCCCAUGGAUGUAAGCACAUUCUUGAAUCAUGUUAAUUACUUUUUGGUUUAUUUUGUUGUUUUGUUGUUUUGUUGUUUAUUGUUCAAUUGUCUCCGCAUAACAAGUGGUAUCAGAGUUGUUUCCAACACAACAGAUGAUUCCUGUGCUAACACAAAGUUUGAGGCUAAACGUAAGAUGGUAAAAGUUUCUAGAAUAUUUCCCUAUGACAACUGCCAAUAAAGGAUGUACUUAACAGAAAGUUCAUAAGGUGUUACAUGGCAAGUUGAACAAAACCAAUAGCUAGAGAUAUCUGAAAUAUUUGGGGCCACUGAUCCAACAAUAGCAGAGAAUAACACAAGAAGAGACCCUCUAAUCACCAUUUUUUCUUUGAUUCUUCUCUACAAAGCAUCAUCUUCUUUAUACAAAAAGACAACCCAUUGCUGAGCCCACAUUAUUCUCUACAUAUCCCAAAAAAGCCCUCUAAAUUUUAGGGCAUGGUGCUCUUUUUAGGGGUAUUUUGGUACUAAAUUUGUGGUAGUCUCUCAAAUACCUAAACUACCCUCCAGAUUUUAAGGCAUGGCCCACUCUUUGAGGUGGUAUUUUGGGUACUAAUUUUUGUUAGGAGAGGUUUUGGUGUGGAAACUGGAGGGCUUUACACACGUUGCAUGUAUUUUCUUUUGCAUGCAUUACACAUAGAUUGGAGUUUAUGCAGUUACUCACUUUUUGUUCGUCCAACAAUACUAUAGUGCCACGUCACCAUAUGAUGGGCUCUUUAGUCUUUUCAAACCCAAAAAAAAACACUAAAAAAAAAAAAAACUAAUACUAAAAGGAUUGCUAACUAGCUAUGUGAAGAUGAACCUCUAUAGCUAGCUUCUUAGAGGGACCAUAAUCGCUUAGGCCAGGGAAGUUUGAGGUGAUAAUAUGUCUGUGAUGCCCUUAGAUGUUUUAGGCACAUGUGCGUUACAUUAAUGUAUUCAAUGAGUCUAUAACCUUGAUUGACAGGUCCGAGUAAUCUUUGAAAUUUCAUUGUGGUGGGAAGGUUCCAUGUGAACAACACUUGCACAUGGGUUAGUUAAUCUUAAGAGACGGGGGAAGCUCAUCUAACAGCACACAAUGUGCGAGCUUUGAAAGGCAAUCGGGUUAACAUUUCUGAAUUGGGACAUGACAGCGGACAACAACAUUAGGUAGUCCAAAGAUGUCGUCAUAUUAAUUGUUAUCAAUAUUUUUAUUUAUUCAAUAGAGAUUGAGGAUUAAAAAAAUACCACAAAAAUUAGAAAAAACAAAAUUAAUUACAUGGCUUACAUUUCAAAUAUUUAAUAAAAUAUUGUAUGAAAGUUGAAUAUCAUACACUAUUAAAUGGUUGGAUUCUCUUCUUUAAUUUUUUUAAUUGUCUCAUCCUAUUAAAUUACUCAUCUAAUAUUAAUUUAUUUUAAAGGUGAAAUUAAUUAUAUUGUAAAAAACUUUUAACUGACCAGAGUUUGUGCACAACAUCUAAUAUAUACUUAAAUAUAAUCCUCCAACUAAGAAAUGAAAUCAAAACUUAAAAAUCAUUUAUAUAUAUAGAUAUAUGUUAUCAAGUUUAGGUAGUGAAGCAAUUAAUGUGGAUAUAAAAUUAAUGCCAAAACUUUUGAUUGUUCCUUCACAUUCUCCACAACCAAACAAAGGAUAUAAGAAAAAUAAAGAAAGAAAUUUAGGGUAGUUUGAUUUUUGUUCUCAUCUUGUUGUGAAGUUAAUAGAGGAAUGCUUGGGUUGGUGCUCAAUAGUUAAGUGACAGCAGGGUAUAAUGAUUCUUCCAAUCGUGUAAAUAUUAUUUGUUUUAAUUUCAAUGGAUCAUCGUCACUUUAAAUUGCAUCCACAUGGUUAAGAGCAACUCAUAUGUAUAUAAUAUCAUGAAUUUCUUCUUAUUCGAUACGGAAUAUCAAAUUAGGUAUCUUUCAAUUUUAGGUAUUGUGUAAGUGUUUCAACUCAAAUGACUUGGCUUAAUGUAUACUCAAAGCCUUGACAAAGGAGCGUAUAUGUAAUAAAGUGAAAAUUAAACCUUGUCGCCCUUCUAUCUCUAGUACUCCAUUAUCCCUUAAACAUGUGCAAAAAAAGAUAUACACCUUUGAUACAUUAAUUAAAAUAAACGAUAGAAAAAGAGAUUUUAUAUAUCCAUGUACAUAAUUUGAUUAGAUUUGUUAUAUAUGAGAGAGAGAGAAAAAAAAAAAAACUGUUUAGAUUAAGGAUCUCAUUAAUUAAUACCUAGAAAAUAUAAAAGAAUAAAAAAAGAUUAGAAGGUGUGAAUCAGAAGAUAAGACUACAUUUUUUAAUUAGAUUCAUCGAAAGAUGGCAUAUUGUAUGAACAUUUUUACUCUACAUAUAAAAACUUAUAUUAUGGUUGAGAUGUAUUAAUUUGUCAUAUUUUUGGACAUUUAAAGUAAUGAGUAAUUACACUAAAUUAAAUUAUUGACCUUAUUAAUCAAUACCUCAAAAGUAUAAAAUAGUAAUAAAUGAAUAAGACAAACUUCAUCGAAAUAUUUUUAUGGGCACAUUACGUAAAUAUUCUUAUUUAAUAAAAGUUUAUAUGUCAUUAAAUGAAUAGAGAAUUUUAACAUUAAUUGCAGUGCUAAGUAGAGGAGAUCUCAUAUUUAAGCUGUUGAUUAAGGCUUAUUACUUAAUAAUUUAAGUUGACUUUAAGUUAGAUUAUAUUUAAGUUAUUUACGUAAAAUUUAUUAUUUAUUAUUUAAUAUUUACUUUAAGUAUUAAAGUUAUUUGAUAAAGUUAAUUUAAAAAUCAUUUUAAAUUAUCAAAUUGUCAUAUUUACCUUCAUUAAUUUGAUAACUAGAUGCAGAUAAAUGAAACAAAAAAAAAAUUGAGAUUAAGAAUAAGUUAAUUAAUUUGAUUUAACACUUAAAAGUAACUUUAAGAUAUAAUAUUAAGUUAUUUUAUCAAAUAUAUUUAAUCUAUUUAAUAAUUAAAUUAAGUUAUUAAGUUAAUGAAUGAUUACCAAACACCUUAUAAGACCCAAAAAAUCGAAUGAGUUUUAAUAGUUUCCAGGAUGGGCAUGACUAGGUGGUGGUUCAAUGCUGAUUAAUCAUAAUUCAAUCAAGGCAAAAUAUGUAACAAAUACAUGUCAAACUGCACCAUCCAAAUGGGCGCCAAGAACGUUACAUUUGACAAAUGCCAUUAAACCUCGACAGCUACCAAUUACUUGAAGCUCAUUAACUUCAUCUUAAUUUGAUCCAAAUUGCAGAAACAUGUGAAACUCCAUGAAUCUAUGGUGCUAUGGUGGCCUACAUUCAUAUAACUGGGGACACUUUGGUUUACACUACAAUGACCCCAAACAGGGUUUGUAGAGACUUUAUCAAGAUCACUAGCUUCAAAAGACUAAGGAAAGAAAGAUGUUCUCAAAACUUGGAGUCAAAUUGCAGAUAAAGACCUAAAACUCCCACUUAACGUGUUUGAGGAAUUGUUGUUUCAUGGGGAUAAGCUGUUUGGUUUGUACAUGUCUCCUUGGUGAUACUUAGAGUUCGGCGAAGUAUACGUAUCCUUUGUGAUCUGGUUUGUAUAUGGGCAGAUGAAUGUUGAUGCCAGGUUCAUAUAUGUUUCUGAUAUAUAUCACCCUGGAAGGAUCUAGAUCAAGGGGAUGAGUUUCAAAAGCUUGAGUAGGUUUAAGAUGUUCCGAGAAUUGGUGAGCAUGAUAUAUAUCAAUAUGAUAUUGCAGAAGACAACAGAGCUUCUGAAAUUAAUAUGUCAGGUUCAAUAGUGGGAAAUCUUAUCAGCUGUCACUUACUGUAAUCGUAUGCUCUCAAUAUUCAUUUGUUGAAGAAGAAAAAAAAAAUUGCUUUCACACUAUUCAAUUACAAGAGAAUGUUCAAUUAUAGAAGAAAAUAAUAUUCGCUAGUCUCUUUCAACUUAAUCAACAUGCAGAGAAAAGCAGUGAAUAAUAACUUACAUACAUUGUCUCUCUACCCCUACUUGUUACUCAUCAGCCAAGCUUAUGGUAAUAUAAGCUUGGGUUCAUCUCUCUAUGCCACUGAUGAAAACUCCACAUGGGCUUUGCCUUUCUGGUGAUUUUGCAUUUGGAUUCCGACCCUCUCCAAGUGAAGAGGACCUAUUCCUUCUUGCUAUCUGGACUGCAAAUGGAAGUUAACUGGUGCCAAGAGGAUCAAAAGUUUGGGCUUACCACCAAUGGACAGCUUGUUCUCUAGAGGCUAAGAUAUAUGGAAGACAAAGACUGGUAAUGUGAGCAGCGAACCAGUGCAUGGUGCCAUGCUUGGAGAUGGAAAUUGUAUACCAGUAUAUGGGAGAGCUUCAAGCACCCAACUAAUACCAUAUUGCCAAUCCAGGGAUUGGUGUUGGAGCCUACUGUGCAGUUGCUAUUUUUGAGGACCUGAGGUUUGCAAAUGGAACUGGAAGCUGUUGGAGGAAAAGACUACCUCUUUCAAAUGGGAGGUUGGAUCAAACUGCUGUUUCCAGAAGUGCUCUAAUCAAGAUAUUGAAGUCCAGUGAACUAACUUCAGGCAGAUGCAAGCAAAAUAAAGCAAUUCUAAUACUCUCAGUCCUCUUAGGCCCCUCUGCGUUCUUCUUCUUCGUUUCUCUAGCUGCAAUUUCACUAGUUUUCUACUGCUUGAACCUCAAAAAUCUGCAGCUUUAUCACAGAAUCCUGAGUACAAGCGAUGGUAGAAGCCUUUGGCACUGUCUAUAAAGGGAUAUUACCAUCAGGUUCUGGAAAUUCUGUUGCUGAAAAGUUGGAGAAGGUGGUGGGAGAAGAUGAGAAAGAAUUCAAAGCAGAAGUGAAUGUGAUGGGCCAAACUCACCAUAAGAAUCAAGGACACUUGCUGCGUUACUGUUGUGAGGGUGAACACUGACUACUGGUGUUUUUUUUUUAUGCACAAUGGCUCUUUAUCAAGCUUCCUUUCUGGAGGCGCCCGAAAGCCCUCAGAACACAACUCUUGGAUGAUUCUUUUACAGCCAAAGUUGCAAACUUGGACUGGGAAAGCUUCUGAUAAGCAACCAGACUAGAACACUCACAGGCAUCAGAGGGACUAUGGGGUAUAUUCAGACAACUCGGGCAGCCUAUGUCUCUUAUAAUAACACGUUAUGAAGCAUCAGCUCAAUGCUGGGGUUCAAUCUGCAAAGCAAGGGAUUCAUCAAUGUUUCCUUCAAACUAAAUAAUAAGGAACAGAAAUGGAUCAUUCUGCAUUUUCAGUGGUGUUUGUUAUAGCAUUUAUACAAGAACUCUAGGGGUUUCUAUGUAUAACUUCAUUCCCAUUUUGUAUAAUCCAAAUCUCUUCAAUCGAUUAAAUGUAUAAAUGAAUCCUAUUCAUUGUUUGGAGUAACAACAAAAUUCUGGAAGACUGGGAAAGUUUCAACACUGGAGAGAAAACAAAAUGACAAGACCAUAAAUUCUGGAAGAGGGCUUUGCUUUCUAACCAUUACCAUAAUUUUAGAGCUCAACCCGGAUGAGUAAAUUAUAUUUCAGAAUGUUCAGGAGAUAAUUCUAAAGUGAUGAACCUUCUACUCACAGUUUCUUGUUCUUCUUGAACAGAGCAAUGAACAUCAAUAGUUCAGCACCCAGGAAUCUCCCCUCUCCAAUUCCUCCACUGGGAAAAGUCACCUUUCCAGUUAAGAAAAUCUUCAGGAUUAAUUUGAGCAAAACAUCAGAGUAUACAUCAAGAAAGCCUUGAUCAAAAUCAAAAUACAUCAAGAGCUGCCAUUUUCUUCUAUUUCCUCUUCCUUGAAUGGAAUGCCUUUUGGACUGAGGUGAUCAAUGGUAACAGUCUAACACACUCCUUAAGCUUUGAUUGAGGUCAACGGGGAUUGGCACAUUUAAUGACUUUGAAAUCAUAGCUGUGUGAAGGGAGGCAAACAUGAAUCUCAGGAUAAUCAACAAGUCAACAACUAUCAAUCAGUAAGGAAAAGGAAAAGGAAAUACCUUUGGAUAUUUACAAAUAAAAAAUUUGAGAGAGUCCAGCUGCUCUGUACAGAAAGGCUUGAGCUUAUUCCAUGGCCAGGCUUUAGAUGGUUCUGAAUUACGGAUGAGAGGAUUGAGUUUUCUUUCAUUCUGCAAUAAGAUUAAAAACAUCAAUGAAACACUAAAAGUUUAUAUAUAGAAGCCCUUUAAAGAUGAGAAUUGGUAAGAGAGCUCACCCAUGGUCUAGUAAAACAACAUCUGUUAGAUAAGUAACCACCAUUCGAUUGUCCAGCUAAUGCAUUUAGACAGUCCAAAAUAGCUAAAGACAGUCCAAAAACUCAUUUGACUAAUAAUUUUCUAAAAGCAGUAACAUAAAACCUGGAUGAAGAAUCCACCCCUCUACCUGACACCACUUCAAUACCAAAUAAAAUGUUACGAUGACCAUUUAUAGUCUUAAGAGACAGUGGGUGUUGUUUGGGCUCAAGACCAUCAAAAUUGGCACAGAAACAAGUACAACAACUAUCUAAUAAAGAGAUUUAUGCAUGUAACAAAUGCAAAUGAAAUAUGAUACAAGAAGUUCAUAGAUUAAACAAAAAUAGAUGGCAAAAUAGAAGGAUAAGGUCACAGACAGGACAAUAUUAAAAGAAAUUAUUAUUUUUCCGACCUGAAAAUCGAGGCAUUUAGAACAGUACAAGUUUGUAAGUAGUCCAUGGAAACCAGGGAACUUAUGCAGAUGUUGUAUUCUAUUGCAUAAGGCAAACACUCAAUACUUACAAGCAUAAUCAUGCCCAGAAAGCCAUGAAUCCCUUUUUGUUUUGCUUUUUUACCUAUUCUCAUCUCUUAUUGCCAGAAGUGCCCAGGAUGAUACAACCUCACCAAAUAAGUUAGAAACCAGCCCAUUCAGCAGGUUGAGUAGCCAGCUUGCCCUCAAUCUUCUUUGAGUCAACAAACAGUUGGGCAUUAUUGCCUCCAAUGGAGGGUCUGGAAAUAUUAGAGCCGGCAGCAGGGGUGGCUGUAAAACUCUCUGUUCCAAAACCCCAAGUUUCAGGGCCAGAAGUUCCUUCUUUGGCUGGUUUGUUGUGAUGGCCAUUUCGGGUCCUACCAGACUUGCUAUUGUUGUCUGGGCACCUGCCUCAGAGAAAGCCUGCCAAAGAUUAGAGUCUGGGCCAGGGGAAACGGAUUUUCUUUGCUGGAGUUCCCAGUCUGUUGCUUCAAUCUUUUCUCUGUGCUGUUACGAGAAGAAAACCUAUCAGACACAUGAAUGGGUACAAAAAGGUAAACUUCAGGUUUUGGUUGUAUUGAAAAGCACAGGAAACUUCACAAGAGGCAAAUUAUACCCCAGACUUAUUGAAGAAAAAUGAAGUACAAUUGACUUACCCAAAUGUCUACUUCCUCAUUUAUAGAUUUCCUCCUAAACAAAUCCCCACAUCUAGGACAGGAAAAGGAAGAAGCUGGGAGUCAACAUUUUUUCAACCAAAUGUCAGCACUAACUUAUCAAAAAACAUAGUUUUCCAUUCAACCUCGGGAGCUGUACUUUCUGAUAUUGUCUUCUUAAAGUGCUUAUGAUUGGUGGAGGUGCUUCCAAAAUCACACAACUUCCAUGAUGCAUUAGGGCCCAAUAGAAGAUUCUCAGCAUUUAUAUAAGAACUUCAGGGCUUAUACGUAUGAUCAUGUUACAGUAUAAAUCAUAGUGAACUGGUGGAAUUUGAUUAUUAGCCAACCUCAUCAAAAACUGUUUCACAGUUGAGGGGAUUGUUAACCUUGCCAUGGGCCAAGCAGCAAUUUCUGGAGAAGCUGGGUGACAAAGAGUACCAUCAUUUGGACUAGUUUCAAUGGAAAUUCCUCUGUUUUUAUACAUGAUAUCUUCAGCUUCAGCUUUUCCUUUUGCUUUUGACAUGGCUGAAACUGAUCCUGAAAUAAAAAAUCCCACGCAAGUAGAUAUUUAACAGAAGAGGAUCCGAAUCUCUUCAAUUGAUUAAUGUAUAAAUGAAAUAAUCAAAAUUUUUAGAUAAUUAUAGGGAGAUGAACCUUGUACCUCUGAGUUUCUUAGUCUUCUUGAACAGAGCAAUGAGCAUCAAGUGUUGAGCACCCAGGAAUCUCCCUUCCUAUACAGGGAAAAUCUGAACAAUCUAUCUUUCUUCAUAUUCCACUUCCUUGCAAAAGUCAAAACAUGAAGAAAAUAUCAUCAAAAUUGAGACAAAAAUAAGUGCAUCAACUGUCUCAAGAAGAGAUUUAUGCCUAUUGCUUACCUUUUGCAGAAGUCCACUUGGUUAGAGCACAUUUUACAUGGACGCCCAAUCACUGCAAGCUGCUGAACCAAAGGAGAGUUCAAACAUCUAAAAAAUUUGACUAACUCAAGUAUCAUAAAAUACUUCACAUGAAUUCUAAAUGAUCUCAUAUCUAAAAAACAUUGGCAUAAAAUUAUUGUUGUUUACCUUACAUAUUUCUUCCAUGGUCAUAAUCGAAACUUUGUUUAUCAUAACAAAUCUUCUAUGCUCAUCCUGAUUACUAACAAUGAAAAUUGAAAUGAAAAGAAAAAAAAAACACAAAAAAUGAUGAUUAGUUUGGUUUGAUAAAUUUAGCACACACAAUUCCCUUUUUCUUGCCCGAAAAAGGAAAGAGUAAAAAAAAAAAAAAAAAAUUAAUAAUUUUUCAAAACUAGCAAUUAUAAAUCUAGUUUGGUUCUCAUAAAAUUUAUGGGAAAGCAGGGAAAAAAAAGUGUAAACUUUUUCUCUUGUUUGAUUGUUUAUGGGAAAAUUGAGGGAAAAACAAAUAUUUAUGAGGAAUCUAUUUAACACUUUUGAGGAACCAAAAAUGUUUUAGAUGUUGUCAAAUCGAUAAUUUAAAUGUAUUUAAUUCCAAUUAAAUGAGUUUAAUCAAACACAUGAAAUCGUGAAUAAAAUUAUUUAAAAGCAUUGAAAUUCAAGUCAUUAAAGUUGUCCAUAAAAUUUGGUAUAUUGAAGCAAGAAAAAAACAAAGCAAUUUGAAUGACUUGCUAAUAAAGCAGCUAACUAGAAUAUGCCCUAGAGUUGUUCUGUGCCUUGUAUAUAAGAAAUAAACAAAGAACACAAUAAAAAUAAAAAUAAAAACCAGAAAAUAAAAUACAAACAAACGAAAUAUCCAUGGUUCUUCGUUAUUUUUUUCUUAAUUUUUCAAUGGUUAUUUUUGCAAACCACCAAAUCAAAACAGAGCAUGAAAAUGUGUUCAAUAUUUAUUUCAGGCUUGAAGCUUCAAGAAAAAGAAAAUCUUAAAUCAAAUAAACAAGACUAGCGAAUGAAUUGGAACUUGAAAGAAAAGUUCAUGCGCAAAAGAAUUACCUGACUCUAUAUUGGCGGAGUGGCACUUUGAUUAAUAUAGCACACCAUUGAUCACUAUUUUUGGAACGUGAGCUAUAUAACGCCAUUCUUCCCCUUUCUCAAAUUGACACCGUUUUUCCAGUAAAGGACACCCAUCGAUGACCAGAAAAGAGAGAGAGUCUGGAAGUCUUUCUUUUGUCAAGUAUUUGAGCUUACGACAGUUCAUGAUCACCAAUGUUUUAAGAGAGGUGAGGUGUUGAAGACCCACUUUUGUCAAGGAUUGGAGCAUUCGGCAGUAUACGAUCUCCAAAUUUUCAAGAGAGGUGAGGUGUUGAAGACCCCCUUCUGUCAAGGAUUGGAGCAUUGGGCAGUGUUUGAUCUCCAAAUUUUCAAGAGAGGUGAGGUGUUGAAGAACCGAUCCUAUCAAGGAUUGGAGCCUUGGGCAGUAUAGGAUCCUCAAUAUUUGAAGAGAGGUGAGGUGUUGAAGAUCCGUUUCUGUCAAUGAUUGGAGCCUCAAGCAUCCAUAAAUUCCUAAUUCUUUUAGAGAGAUAAGGUGUUGAAGAACCGAUCCUGUCGGGAACUGGAGCUCUGGGCAGUUUCUGAUCUCUAAUUUUAGAAGAGAGGUGAGUUGUUGAAGACCCCUGCUGUCAAGAGACUUGAGAUCGGGAAAUGAUUCAAUUUGAAGAGAAGUCAGAGAAGAGGGCAGCAAACACUCCUUGGGAAAUAAUUCAAUGUCUUCACAUCCACCUUGGAUUCUUAAACGAGUAAGAGAGGUCAGCCUUUGCAAACCCCACUCCACCUGGGGCGUGAGUUGGUUGCACUUCUUAAUUUCAAGUAUACGUAGGUUGGAAGGCAAACCCUCUCUCUGAAACAACAAUUCUGGACAAUCACAUAAAUACAACUCCUGUACAGAUGACUGUGUGUGUGCCAACGACCUAAGGUUGAAGCACCUAUCAAUCAAACAAGACUCUAAGUUGAGAGCGUGCAAUUCGAUAGAUUCAAGAUCAGAGCAACCAAUUAGACGCAGGGAACAUAAAGAUGUGGGAUCACCCUCUGAAACCAAAAUGGAGAGCUUCUCAAGCCCCUUAAGACCAUCGAUUGUGAAAUCAGUCAACUUGGGGAAGAUGCCUAAUGAGAAGGAUAACGUGAGAGAAUCAUCGAUAACACCACCUUUGAUUUCUAGACUUUCAAGGACUGGGAGAUGGCAUCUGAACAACUCAGGUACGAGAAUCUCUAAUUUCGAGCACUCAGAGAUGAAUAGUGAUUUCAGUGUAGUGGGUAAACCAACUUUGUGCAGGGAUCUAGAAAAACUGCAAUCAUAGAUUUUCAGAUCAUGUAUGUUGGUUUGCGAGAUUUCCUCCUCUAGCAGAGACUCCGCAUUAUCACAUUCUCUAAUUGAGAGCUGGUGUGGUGCCAUUGGAAGUUGACUCCACUGAGACACAUCUAAAAUUUCAAUUUCUGAAGUUUGAAGAGCUGUGAAGUCACAACCUGCCAUUUGCAACUGCAGUUUACCGAAAUCCACCAUCCUCAACUGACGAAUUACAGGAACUGUGAGUGAAGCCAUAAGCAGUUGCGGACAUUCAUGAAUUUGAAGUUCCACCAAUGAAAGAAGCUGUUCUGGUAAUUUCCCAGUGAGUUUGGGACACCUUCGUAUAAAAAGCUUUUGGAGACGAGGGAAUUCUCCACAACAUAACCAUUUCUCCCAGUUCUGCAUAUCCUCAAAUGAUAGUGUUUCUAGGAAUUGAAAGGAAGCAUUCCCAUAGAACUCAUCACCCACACACUCUACUCCAUUCAUCCUUGAGAUUUGCAGAUAUUUAAGCUGGGUUAGCUGUCCAAGUGGUGGCAAUGUUGAGCAAUUGCCACAACCCCGAAGCUCAAGGGACACGAGAUUCAACACUGAAGGAUCUCCAAGCCAAUUUGGAAAUCCUUCACCAGGAUAGUUUGUGAUGGAGAGUUGUUUUAAAUUUGGGUGAGGUUGUAACUUGUUGAGUAUAUCAUGCGUUGUUGCACCACUUUGUGUAACACCAUUGGUACACUCGUCACCCCAAUCAAAGAUUAACUCAUCAAGAUAACUUUUAUCCUUCAUAUUAGCCCUUGAUGCAUCGUUAACACUCACUACAUUCUCCAUGUUUGAAAUAUAAAGUUUUCCUCGAAUCUCUGACAGCUCUCCCAAUUCUCCAAUUCUUAAUCCAUUGUUUUGGCCCACAAUAAAUUGAGUCAACCUUUGUAAACUUUUUAAUUGACCAAUUCCAUGACUUGACAUUUCUCUCAAUGAACCACAUCCAUGAAUAUCAAGAUAGCGCAAAUUAAUCAAUUUUCCCAUCUUUGAAGGCAAUUCAUUAAGUCUUGAACAUUUUAUUAGCAUCAUCGUUUGUAAAUUGUAUAAACAACAUACUGAUUCAGGUAAUUUUUUAAUCCUUGUAAAAGACAAAUCCAAGUGACGCAAAUGUUUCAAAUUGCCUAUUGAUAUAGGCAAAUCAGUUAUGUCAUAUGCACAUAAUGAUAACACGCGUAGACACCACAUUUUUGGUAAUAUAUCUUGCAAAACUCUUUUACUCAAAGUAUACCUAGGAUAGUCUUCCAUUGGCUUCACUCCUAAGAAUGUUCGAAGAGAUUUAGCUUUAGUCAUAGCCUCAAAAUUCUUAAAUGCUACCAAAUCGUUAUAAUCAUCACUAUUAAAGUACAAAAAGUGGUGAGCCUUCUCAGAUACUUUUGGUAAUUUAUCAUCAUCUUCCACUCGAGCACAAAAAUCUCCAGACACAUGUUGAGCCAAUUCAUGUAUUAGAUCAUGCAUUACAAAGCAUGAUCCUUUUCUUCCAAUAGAUUUUUGAAAGAAAGACUUGGCAAGAAGCUCAUCAAAAUAUGACUCACCGAUCUCUUCCAUUCUCCUUCCUUCGUUUUGUUGUGGAUGUAAAAGACCUUCUGCCAUCCAUAAUAAAAUCAGCUUCUCUUUGUAGAAUUGGUGGUCCUGGGGAAAAAUAGAACAAUAAGCAAAACAAUGCUUCAGAGGUAAAGAAAGAUGAUGGUAGCUUAAUAUCAAAGAUGGAAGAAUUUCGGAGCCACUCUGCGGAUGCCAUAUUUCACUUUUCAACACAUCGUCCCAUUCCCUUUUUUCGACCUUAGAAUACAAGAGACAGCCGAGUGCUUUCACAGCCAAAGGCAAUCCUUGGCACUUGUCCACAAUCUGUCUGCCUAUGCGUUCAAGCUCAAGGAAUGCGUUGGAGUCUCGAUCUUGAAAUGCAUGCUUUUUAAACAGGGACCAACUAUCUUCAGAGCUUAAUUUCCCAAGAUGAUGAGUAGGGACUGCUCGCAUGGUUGUUGCAACAGAUUGAUCACGACUGGUCACGACAAUCUUGCUUCCCUCUGCUGCAGCGAGGAGUGGAGUUCGUAGAAUAUUCCAACCUUCACGAUCACUAAGCUCCAUAUAACCUUCAUCACGAGGCUUCAAAUUCCAGACGUCAUCAAGAACAAGCAGAAAUUUCUUGUUACUAAGUUGCUCUUUGAGUUGAAGCUGAAGCAAAUUUAGGUUGUCAGCAGAAGUAGGUGGAGAACGAAUUUCCUCAAGAAUUGUUUUGGUGAGUUUGAUAAGGAGAAACUCAGUGGAAACACAGACCCAUGCUUGCAAGUCGAAGUGUUUCUUCACUUCCUCAUCGUUAUAGAGAAGCCGAGCAAGCGUGGUCUUGCCGCUGCCGCCCAUGCCCACCAUGGACAUCACCCCCAUUUUGUCGCCUGUUGUAUUGUCAGAAAGCAACCACUCCACCAUCUCCUUCUGAAUUUCAUCCCUGCCGACAACAAUGGAGUCAUCCUCCAAAGAAGUGGAUAUUGGUGAUCUUGGUCUUGGUGACCGUUUCUCGCCCCCACCUUCUGCCAGCCCCAACCCAACUUUUUCUAGUGCGAUUUUUUCCAGUAGAUCAAUCAUGCCCCUGACCCUGGACUCCAUGCUUUUGAUAGCAAAUGGAGUCUUCACAGAAGCAGAGAACUUGUUCCAUUUCCACGCCUUAAGAGUUCCGCCGGUUUGGGAGUCAGCAGCUUCCAUCUUGCAACGCAAAGCGUCGGUAGCGAUCUCGUCCAACAGGUCUUCCGCAUCAUACACAGCACCCGUGACAUGGACGAGCCACUCUUUGACAUUUGGGUUUGAAAAUUGCUUCACCUCCGCAUCAUCGAGCACAUUGAGAACAACCACGAGUUUCCUCUUCAACUCGUUGAGGAGUUCAUCGCUAAGGUUCCGUCGCCGAAUGAAGUUUAUGAGCUCUGGAGAAGCCAACCUUUCGAAUAGAACUUGAAGCGAAGCUGAGAGGAGGGCGUCCGCCAUAUCUGUGUCGACUGUUGCUUUGCAAUAGGAAUUUAGAGGAUUGGUUUCUGUUACCGCGAUACCACCAAACUGCAAAAGACUGGGUUUGGAUCACCACACUGCAGAAUGCUUGAAGGAAUCAUUGUUGGUGGUGGACCUAGCUGCCAGAUAUUGGUGGUGGACCCAGCUUCACUGCAGAAUGCUUGAAUACACUGCAGAAUGCUUGAAGGAAUCAUUGUUGGUGGUGGACCUAGCUGCCAGAUAUUGGUGGUGGACCCAGCUUCACUGCAGAAUGCUUGAAUACACUGCAGAAUGCUUGAAGGAAUCAUUAUUGGUGGUGGAUCCAGCUACACUGCGGAAUGCUUGAAGGAUACAUUAUUGGUGGUGGACCCAGCUGCCAAUAUUUGUCAAACACCAUAAUUGAGUGGUGAGAAAAAGAACAGGAAAAGCAAGUGGGAGGUAGAUGCGCUUUCCCCGAGGCGAACGCAAGUGGAAGCUGGAUGGCGCAUGCCCUACAACAACAACAUUCGGUAUUUUUCUUUUUCAUCGACGCAUUUCUUCUUUCUUUCUUCUAGUAUUAUUAUUAGUAGACAUAUGCACACGAAUAUUUGUUUAUAACAUUAUCAUUCAUAAUAUUAUAAAAUUUAUUAUUAAUAAUAUUUAUACUAAUAUUAUUUUUUAAUAAUUAUAUUAGUAUCAUGAUUUUAUAAUUAGUCUCCUUACUUUUAUUGUUUAUAAUAAUAAUAAUAAUUAUUAUUAUUAUUAUAUUAUAUUACGUAUUUUCACAUAAACAAUGAUAUAUGCACAAGACAUUAAAAUUUUGAAUAUUAUGGUUAUUAUUAUUUAAUAAUAAUAUUAUUAUUUGAUUCAAAAAAAGUUUAUAAUAUAAUAAUAACAAAAAUAAAUUUUUUUAAUAAAAUAAAUUAUAAAAAUAUAAUAAUUUUAUUAUUUAUAAAAUAUAUUUAUUUUAAUGUAAUUAAAAAAAUUAAAAUAAUUUUAAAAAAUUUAAAAAUUUUCAAAAAAAGUUAAAUGGAAUGGGAUUAGGAUGGGAUCGAUCCAUCCCAAUGUCAUCCCGUUGUCAUCCUAACUCACCUAAUGAUAAUUAAGGCCAUUUUUUAUCAUUGUUUUUUUAAAAUGGUCUUUUAUCCUUAAUAUAUAUAUAUAUAAUAAUUAGAAAAUAAAACAUAAUUUUUGUUUUUAAAAAUAAAAAAUAAGGCAUUUUUAGAUCAUACCCUUUUAGUUACUUUUACUUGUUUUUAAAAAAUUAUUUUAAAAAGUAAUUAUAUAAAUAUAAAAUAAUAAAAUAAUUUAAAUAAAAAUUAUUUUUAAAAUAUAGAAAAUUAGUUAAGAACACUUUAUCUUCUCAAGCUCUUGUUUUAUAAAAUAUCAUAAAAUAAUUUUCAAAAACUUUUUUUUUUUCACUAUUUUGACAACCUCAACUGGAAUAAUACACAACAAAAAUAAAUAAAUAAAAAUAAAAAGGUCCAAAGAAAGACAAACGUGUCCAGUAAUGCACUUAAAUUCAAUGAACCUAAAAGCCAAAUGUGCAGUGUUGACUUUUCAACCGAGAGUUCACACAUGCCCAUUUUUUAAAGCACUAUUAAUAUAAAAUAUAUAUUUAAAUAAAAAUUAGACUUUUAAAAAAAUUAAAAUAUAUUUUUAAAAUGUUAAAAAAAUAUUUACAAUAUUUCCUUAAAAAAAACAUCUUCCAAAAACAUUUCUUUAAAAAAUACUUCCACCGAUAACAAUUCAGACACACUUGUGAUUUAAUAGUUAAAUAUUCUUUCCAACAGGAAUUCAACUAUCGGUUUGUAUUACCACGAUACCAUCAAACUGCGAAAGACUAAUUUUGGAUUACCAAAAUGCAGAAGAGCUGAAGGAAUCAUUGAUGGUGGACGACCCAGAUGUCCACAUUAUUUGUCAGACACCAUAUUUGAGUGAUGAGGAAAUGAAAGAAAAGCAAAUAAAAAACAAAAAAGGUGAUGCCAAACAUGGUCUUAUAAGGUGGGAGGAGCGAAAGCAACAAAGGAAACUAGCAGGAUUUUUCAUUGCUAUUCCAUACCUCAAAGGACAAAUUUUGAAUUACCAAAAUACAAAAGACUUGAAGGAAUCAUUGAUGGUGGUGGACCCAGAUGUCCACAUUAUUUGCCAAACACCAUAAUGAGUGAUGAGAAAACAAAAGAAAAAGCAAAAAAGGUGAUGACAAACACGGUCUUGUAAGGUGGGUGGAGCAAAAGCAACAAAACAAACUAGUAGGAUUUUUCAUUGCUAUUCCAUAUCUCAAAGGACUAAUUUUGAAUUACCAAAAUAUAGAAGACAUAAAGGAAUCAUUGAUGGUGGUGGACCAAGAUGUUCACAUUUGCCAAACACCAUAAUUGAGUGAUGAGAAAAUGAAAAAAGAAAAGAAAAUGCCAAACAUGGUCUUGUAAGGUGGGUGGAGUGAAAGCAACAAAGUAAACUAGCAAGACUUUUCGUUGCUAUUCCAUACCUCAAAGGAUUGAUUUUGAAUUAUCAAAAUACAGAAUACUUGAAGGAAUCAUUGAUGGUGGUGGACCCCGAUGUCCACAUUAUUUGCCAAACACCAUAAUUGAGUGAUGAGAAAAUGAAAAAAAAAAAAAGUUAAGAAAAAACAAAGAAGUGAUGCCAAACAUGGUGUUGUGAGGUGGGUGGAGCAAAAACAACAAAACAAACUAGUAGGAUUUUUUGUUGUUAUUCCAUAUUGAGAAAAUAAAGGGCUACUCUAAAUAGAUAAAAACACCCAAGAAAGGAGGUGAAUAGAAGUUAAAAAAUUUCUUUUUAAACACAAUAAAAUUAAACACAAGAAGUACAAAUAUAAAGAAGUAAGGUUAUAGAAAGUAAACUCAAAUUUAUAGUGGUUCGACACUUCCUUACUUACAUCCACUCUCCUCAAGCUUCUAAUCGAGUGAGGGUUCCACUUAUACUUGAAGUUUCAACCAAACUUCUUAUCACUUUUUACACUUGGAUUCCAAUUCCAAUGAAGUCUUACACAAUCUCUUCAAGUCUUUACUCACUUGAAGGUUUUAACACUCAAUUAACAAGUUUGAAUCUCUCAACCUAGCUCAACAAUGACUCAAAUACAACUCAAGGCUAGGAUGAAUCACUAAGGUGCACUAAAGAAUAUGCAAAUGAAAAUUUAAUGCACUAAGAAAAUAAUGAGAGCUUUUAUGGCAAUAAUAAGUAGGUAAACAAAUAAAUGCAAGUGUUCUCUUACUCAUAAAUGAAGUAGAGCUCUCAAUUUAUAGGUUUCUAACCUCAGGAACUAAAAAGCCAAAAAACAGUCUCGACUGGUCGAGCUGGGGGUUGACUGGUUCACUAGUCGUUGAAACAUUAAAUGCUUGGCAUGUGACCGUUACCCUCGACCAAACCUUAAUCGAGAAGACAAAUCCAUCAACCAGGAAAGAAAGACUACUAGAAGAUAGAGAAUGUUUUUUACAUCUCUUAACUGGACCUCGACAUAGAAGGAGUAAUCGGUAGACCGGUACCCUAGCUGAUUGAGCCGGUUGGCCAGUGUCUCGACUAGUUCACCAUUUUUAGUCCGAAAACCUAUCUUUUUUUGGUCUUUUUGCUUCUAGCACUUAGGCAAGGACUUUAGAUAAAAUAAUAUGUCAAUUUUGAAAUGUUUUGCCUAAGGUUCAUUUGAUAGAACUCGGAUUUUGAUGGAAAUGUAACUUUAAUGCAUAAACCGAGUUUUAAAGAUGUAUGAAAUGAUAUGAAUAUCUUAAGUACAUUCAUGCAUUCAUCUUACGUAUGUUUCCUAUGAUUAAAAGGUCUUUCAUAAGUCUUGAUCUUGCAUUCAUUAGGUCCUUUAAUGAAUUUCCAAAUUAACACCUGAAAUUCUUUAUAAUUCAAAUCAAUUAGUAACUUAACCAUGAUUUUUUAUCAUCAAAACAUAAUUAGGAAAAUCAUUAGGCUAACACAUACCUUAAAGGACUAAUUUUGAAUUACCAAAAUAUAGAAGACUUGAAGGAAUCAUUAAUGGUGGUGGACCAAGAUGUCUACAUUAUUUGCCAGACACCAUACUUGAGUGAUGUGAAAACGAAAGAAAAGCAAAGGAAAAACAAAAAAAGGUGAUGACAAACAUGGUCUUGUGAGGUGGGUGGAGCGAAAGCAACAAAACAAACUAGCAGGAUUUUUUGUUACUAUUCCAUACCUCAAAUGAUUGAUUUUGAAUUACCAAAAUACAGAAGACCUGAAGGAAUCAUUAACGGUGGAUGACCCAGAUGUCCACAUUAUUUGUCAAACACCAUAAUUGAGUGAUGAGAAAAUGAAAGAAAAACAAAGCAAAGGAAAAAAAACGUGAUGUCAAACAUGGUCUUGUAAGGUGGAUGGAGUGAAAGCAACAAAGCAAACUAACAAAAUUUUUUGUUGCUAUUUCAUACCUCAAAUGACUGAUUUUGAAUUACCAAAAUACAAAAGACCUGAAGGAAUCAUUGAUGGUGGACAACCCAGAUGUCCACAUUAUUUGCCAGACACCAUAAUUGAGUGAUGAGAAAACAAAAGAAAAGCAAAGGAAAAGCAAAAAAGGUGAUGUCAAACAUUAUCUUAUAAGGUGGAUGGAGCGAAAGCAACAAAGAAAACUAGUAGGAUUUUUCAUUGCUAUUCCAUACCUCUAAAUCACCAUAAUAAUAAUAAUAAUAAUAAUAAUAAUAAUAAUAAUAAUAACAAUAACACCAAAUUUUAAGGUUAUUUUUUGUUAUAAAAAAAUACUAGGAAAAUAAAAAAAAAUUAAGGAAAAUGAUUUUUUUCAUAUUUGAUUUCACUAUAGAAAAUAUAAAAGAAAAUCAAAUAUAAUUAAAAUUAAUUUGAAAUUUAUAUAUUUUAAAAGUAUUUAAUCUUUUUAUAAUUUAGAAAAAUAAGUAAAACGAGUUUGAAGAAAUGUAUAAAAAUAAUUUAUUAAAUUUAAAUUUAUUUCUUAUUUUCCUUCAUUUUUUCUUUUCUUCUACUUUUUCUCUCUAUUUUCUUUCCUUCUCAUUUUCCCUCAAAUUUUCCAAGAGCCAAACAUAGCUUAAAGGUUUAGAAUCUUAUGCACAAGACUUUCAAUUUUUUUUACAAUAUUAUUUUAUUAGUUAAGAAUUAAAAUUUAAUGUACCAUAUCUAACACUAACAAAAAAAUUUAUAACAACCGGUCUUAUCUUUUAAGAAUGUAUUGUUUAAAUGAGAUUAAAAAUUAAAAAUAAAUUUUAAUUCAUUUAACAACUAAAUUAAAAUGAAAUUUAUAUAUAUCAUAAAUUUAUACAAUUUUGAAUCAUUUUAUAUGGAGGAUUGAGAAUGGAGAGAUUGAAGAAUUGUUUGGUGACGAGGAGAUUGAUUGAAGAUUUUAUAGUCUUAAGGUUCUAUGGGAUGAAUUUUUUUGUAAAGAGUUUAAAUUUUUGUAAAAAAUAAAAUUAGUUUUAUGUUAUCUUAUUUCAUGGAAAUAUAAAGUUUUAAUUCAAAGAUUAUGUUUCAAAAAUAUUAUUUUUAAAAUAUAUUUAGUAAAGAUUUAUAAAAAUUUAAAAUAAAAUUUAAUUAAUCUAUAAACUAAAUUAAAAUAAUAUUUAUAUAUUAUUUUUAUAGAUUUACAUGUAUAAAAUCUUUAAAAUGCCUCAACUUAAAAUAUCCUUACAAAAUUUCAUUAAUCUACUAGCAAUCCGCCUAUUGUCUCUAUAUAGAGUCUAUUUGCAUUAGGAUGAAUACCAUCAGAAUAAUAAUUACGUUCCACAUAUGACAUAUCUUAGCUUCCACUUGGAGGUUAAAAAUCAUUAUGAAGAUUUGGACAAUAAUUCAAGUAGGCAUCUUUGAAAUUUGACUUCCAAAUCCCUUUGUCAAUAUACACCACCCUAUGACAAUUAAAUAAAUUAGAAGGAAAAAAAAUGUUGAAGGAAUGACAUAAGAAUAAUUUAUGUAUGACUAGAUUUAAAGUUUAAUUAUAUGAGGAAUCCUUCAUUAUGAAAAUAUAAGGAACAAUUAUAUUUAAGGAGUGGAUGGGGUUGAUAAUGACUAAAGGGUACAAAUUUUGCAUAAUUGAACUAAAAAGGUAGAAAAAGUUUGUAGAUUGUUGUGGAAGAUAUAAACCCAUUUUGUGAGUCAAAAAUGCUCAAAAUACCCUUAAGAGUGUUUUAAAAAAAAGGACAAUUAAGUACUCAUGAUAAUUAAUAUAUUAAGAUUUCAAGAAAAAUUAAUAAUAAAUAAAAUCUUUUUCUAAAUCUAUUUAACAGUCAUAUAGUUUUUAUUUUGUUUUAUUUUUUCAAGUUGCAGCUAUUAUCUUAAUUUAUUUUUCAUUUUAAGGUUCAAUUAUUAUUAUUCUUUAUUUUGAUUAAUUAAAUGAAACUGUAUAAGACAUGUUUAUAUUAAUUAACUAAAAAGGAUAGAUUUUUUAGCAAUAGGAUUAAAAUAAAUAAAAACAAGGAAUUUGAUUUUCUUUAUGAAAUAGAUUGGGAAAAGUAUAUUUCGAUACAUUCGUAUGAAAAAAAAAAAUCAUAAAAUAGGAACUCAAGUUUAUAAAAUACAAAUUUUAAACAUCCAUCUAAAAAUAAUUAUCAUUUCAUGCAUUUUUUUUGGGUCAAAUAUAUUAUAUUUGACAAUUUAGGUAUUAUCUUUUAAUAAUAUAGGUACUACCUUCACCUGCAUAAAACUUGAAUUAUUUUUAGAUAGUUUAUAUUAUAUAAUUAGUUAAUCCUUUGAUAUAAAUAUUAAAUAAUUAAAAAAUAUAUCUUUUUUUUAAGAAUUUUAAUUAUAUUUGGCUUUCUUUUGUAUUUUCUAUUGUGUAAACCACAUAUAAGAAAAUCAUUUUCUUUUACAUUUUUUUUCUUUCCUUGAUAAUUUUCGAGAACCAAACAUGACUUGGAGGUUUGGAUAAUAGGGUAUAGAUGCCAGAAAUACUGGAAUGGGUUCAGGUUUUCCAUGCUAAAGGUCUUUAUUAUUAUUUGGUAGCACUUUUCCAAAAUUGUUCCAUUCCCAAAACCACUUAAUUUGCUUAAAUAUUUUUACCUCACGAUAUCAUAACAUUAUAAUGGAAUAGAUUUUGUUGGUGUUCAAAUCAUGUCAACUCAAUUUCCAAACCAUUCGGAUUGUCAUUUGGUGAAAAAUAGAAAGAAAUUUUACUUUAUUGAAAAGCAUUUCAUUUUGAUUUGAAUAUGCUGCAAUGAAAUAGUUACUAAACCAUGGGGUAGCAGAAGAAGUAAUCGAGAAAAUGAAGAAGGAUGUUCAAGAUUCUUUAUGCUGCCAUUGGAGGAGAAGAAUGCUUACACACAGCUACCAAAUAGCAUUGAAGGUUAUCACAAAGAAUUACUCAUUUUAUCAAUUUUUUAGAGUUUUCUUUUCAAUAUUUUUAUGAGUUUUGAUAAUUUUCAACAUUUUAAUCCUUACUUGAUGGCACUUUGCUCGAGUUUCCACCUUGUAUAUCAGGGCAAUCUUAGAUGAGUAUUGAUCAGAGCUCCAAAAGGUUUCAAUUUGCCUAUUAAAGUUGAUGGCCAAGAACCUUAAGAUCAAUCCUAACCAGCUCACAAAUAUAUUUGAGAAUGGAAGACAACAUGUGAGGAUGAAUUAUUUCCCCCUUGUGUGCAUGCAAGAAAGGUUGUGGGCAUUUAUAAACCUAUGAGCAAUGAGGAGUUUUCAAGACUUCGCCUGAGUAGAGGAAACUUAAUGGUAAGAGUACAAUAAGUCAUAUGAAAUUGGAGAAUUGAAAGAGCAUAAGAACCAUGUUUUAUUAGAAGACCUGUGAAAGUUUAAUCAGUCAUGGAACUACUAAGAGGGGAUGAAUUAACAGUUUUCUUAAAUUUUGUUCAAAGUUUAUGAAUUUUAUUUUUUAUAAUUUUUUUUACUUAGAUUGAAACUUAUUAAUCAAGGUAAGAUUUCAGUCACAUCGAGAAACAAACAUUUUAUGUGAAAAGCAACUGAUAAAAUCUUGAGUUUACAGAUGUAAAAACCAUAAGGCCAAAGACUGUAGAACUCCAACCCCAUUGAAUCAAGAAUAGAAACACAAAUUUAUCUACUAACCUACACUAAUCUCUUAUCUACAAUGCAACACCGUUAUAGUCUUAAGUGACUUGAAAGGAUGUGAAUCUUUCUCACAAACUUCAUAAUGAAAUUCAAAUUAGCUUUGAGAGUUUAAGAGUAAUAAUGCAUAGCUUUUGUGUGCGAGUUUUUAAGUGCUCCCCCAAAAGACAUAUUUAUACCCAAGUGAACUUAAGACUCAAUUUAAAGCAUGUAUUUUACUAUAAAAAAAAAUUAAAUACAAAUUUAAGAAACUUCAAGAAUUUUGGAAAGAUAAUUUUAAAAAAAAAUUCAAAGAGAGUCAGAAAAUGUUUCCUUUUUAAAUUCUCAAUUUAAUUUAUUUUCAAAUUUCUUAAGAGUUUAAGAAAUAUUUUCUUUUUAAAUUCUCAAUUUAAAACUCUCUUUUAAAUUAAUUUUCAAAUUUCUUAAGAGUUUAAGAAAUAUUUUCUUUUUAAAUUCUCAAUUUAAAACUCUCUUUUAAAUUAAUUUUCAUGUAAGUCUACUCUAUACAUUUUACAUCGUUAUUCUCAAUUAACUCAAAUGUAACAUCCCCGAUUGAUUUUGCACCAACCUUAAGUCUUCAAAGACAAUGAUUGAGGCAUUUCUUCUCCUAUUUUCUCCGAUGUAGAAAAAAAAAAAAAAAAACUAGAAUAAGGUUAAGGCAUUUCUUCUCCUAUUUUCUCCGAUGAAAAAAAAAAAAAAAAAAAACUAGAAUAAGGUCAAAGCUGGUUUAUAGCAAAAAGUCUUAAUUUGAGUUAGCCUUUUUUUUUUUUCAAAUGAUAUGCAGGUCCAUCAAACCUUCAACUCAAAUUUUUUAUUCAAAGAUCACAUGUGGAUAUGUGAACAAGUAAAAGUUGAGUUUUACCUAACAUAUCAUUUUGAAAAUUAGGAAAUUUAAAAGGUCUUAGAUUGUUGAACUCACCACCCUAUCUAUUCUACAAAACAAGUAGAUUAGCAAAGAAAGAAAUUGUACCCACGAGUAUAGAGUUUUGGGUUAAAACGACCCUUUUGAUGGGAAAAAUAUUAAAUUUAACCACUUUGUCAAACUUAUGUGUAAAAUGGUUCUUUUAUUACCACGUAGGAGUCAUAUCACUAAAAUAUAUACAUAUUUUUAAUUUAAGUUGAAGCCUCAAUUACCAAUUAAGGCUUCAAUUGUCAAUUACGAUUUUAUUUUUUAACCCGAAACCUUACUUGUCAAUUGAGGUUUUAACUAAAAAAUGAAACCUCAAUCACCGACUGAAACUUAAUUUUUUAAUUGAAGCCUCAAUUGAUAAUUGCGAUUUUAUUUUUGAACUGAAAUCUCAAUUGUCAGUUGAGACUUUAUUUUUGUGGAAGGAUUACGUGACACUCACGUGACUAGAAAAAAGCCAUAUUGAAUAUUAGUUUCAAAAGUGGCUUAAAAGAUAUAUAUUUAUGAUCAAAGAUGCCAUUUUGACCCAAAAUCCCAUGGGUGCAUGAGACUCUAGUUAAUCAUAGAUUUCAUAAAUAAAAAUAAGAGUUAGGAUGAUUCAACCCCAAAGCAUCAAGAAUUCUUUAACAUAAUGUUAGAACAUUUUCCAAUUUAAAUUCGAGAGUUAACUUUAUUUGAAUAUGCUUUUGAUUUUUUUUUCUUUUUUUAAAAUAAGCUUCAGUGUUUUUUUCAUAAAAAAAAAAAUAAAAAUAGGAGCUUCUAUAUAGAAAGAAAAAUUUUAUCCAACAAAUAUAAGGCUCACCUUAUAUCCUUAUAAAAAAUUUAAAAUUCAAAAUUUUUUAAUACCUCAAAAUUUUUAAUCAAUAUUUAAAAAUCAUUAUAUUUUCAAUAUGAUCCUUUAAAAGUUUAAAUUACCUAUAUUUUUUAUUUUCAAAAAUACAAAAAAAAGAAUGAUUUUUUUUUUUUGUUUUUUAAUUAUUAAGAUGAAUGAAAUAAUCGCAAAUUUGCAAAAAUAACUUCUUCCAUGUUUGAAUUUGAAAAAUAACUCAUUUCCAAUAUAAAUACUCUUCAAUAUUUGGAUUAUUUUAAUAUAAAUUUUAGAAGAAAGUGUUACUUUGACGGGAAAACAUGAAAGACAUUUUUAUUAAAAUUUGAUCUUUUUUUAAGGCUAAAAUAUAUGUAGGUUUAUAUUUACAAUUUGAGACCAUUUCGUCCUCUUAAUCAAAUAACUUAAAAAAGAAAAGAGUUAAUUCCACAAGUGGGUUUAAAAUACUCACAAAAUUGCAAAAUAUAUCUAUAUAUAUAUAUAUAUAUAUAUAUAUAUUACCCUUACUUAAUCAAUUCGUGUGUUGAGCACAUGACACUUCCGUUCAUUAAAGCUAACACCGUUAAAUAACAAAUGUACAUUGUAGCUAUUUAAGAAGUAUGAAGGGCACAUUGCUUAAUUUUAGUACAUGGUGAGAAACUUGUUGAACAAGUUAUGUGUAAAGUUUUAUGGUUCAUGUAUGAUAGGAAAUAUAGAUCUACUACAACACUGGAUUUGCAAUUUGGGUUAAUAUUUAAAGAAAAGACAAUAAGACAAAAAGAAUUAAACUUUUGGUGGAAAACAAUAAAGAAAGGACUACAUGGAAAAAGGGAAGAGAUCAUUAUAAAGGAAGAUUAUUGAAUAGAAAUAAUUCCAAGAACAUAAGGCAAGACAUAGAGUAUCACUACUACUAUCACAAAAAGGGCUAUAUCAUAAAAUUUAUGAAAUUUUGAAAAAGACCUAAAAAAUGAAGACAAAAAAAAAAAAAAAAAUCAAAGAAGCCUACAAGUGUAACUAGUGUUCUUAAAGUUAAGAAAUGAAGGUAAUAAAUCAAAAGCAGAUUUGUUAAUAGUUUUUAAAAUGCUUGAAUUACAAAUUGUCUACUUGUACCAUACGAGCCCUUGUAAAAACUGGUUUGACAUGUAAAUUGUUUGUAAAAUCAUUUUAAUGGGCAAUGAUGCACCAAGUUGCUCUAUGAGAAGCGUAGGGGUUUGCGAAACCAUCGCUUGUCGUGGCAUACAUCGUUGGGGAAUGACGGAUGAGGGCAUCCAUGGGAAGCCAAUGUCUACCCUCACUCCACACCCCUCUAGUACAAGGCUCUGGGAGGGAGAGAGGCAACAAGUGUGUGACACUAAGGUAAAUAUGCCCAACCUUAUGGCUUUGGGAGCAACGUGCGUUUAAAGACUUGAUAAUUCACAAAAUUCUACAAUUCAUACCAAGUAUUGCAUUUAACGACGUUCUUUAUCAAUGAGAGAGCCUAGAUAUCCAUUGUCAAGAAUUAUUUAUGUAUGAAAACAACAACACCUAACCGACAUGCCCAAGAUCAAGGCAACUAGAAGCUCAAGUUACUUAGUGCGUUUUGUGCCGAAGUUUGUUGUUUACUCAAGAGGGCUUUGUGAAUAUUUGUAAUAAAGGGAUAAUACAGAGUGAGCCGUAAUUUAGCAUCUUACACGCUCAGUUUCUUCCAUUGGUGGCAUAUAUUAUUUUGUUUGUCAUUGAUGAUUAUUUAAUAAAACUAUGAGAGUAUUUCAUGAAAUAUAAAUAAGAGGUUUUUGGGAUAUUUAAUCGAUGGUAAACAAAAGAUGAAAACUAAGUAGGGAGGAAGAUAAAAUAUUUUAGAUUUGAUAGUGGACUUGAGCAUUAGAACAAAAAGUUCACAAAGUAUUGUGAGAAUUCUUAUAGUACUUAACAUUUCACAUGUAUAGAAAUUACAAAGCAAAAUGGAGUGGUUGAAAAAUGAAUAGAACACCAUUGGAAUGACUAGGUGGCUAAGAUUAACCAUUCGGUUACUUAAGAAUUUAAGGGUUAAAGCUAUCAACAUAACUUAUCAUGUAAUUACUUAGUUGUCAAGUUUUACAAUUAUUUUCAAUAUUCCAAAAGAAGUGUCAAGUAAAUCAAUUGACUUUUCAUCUAUUGAAAUAUUUGAUUGUUGCACUUAUCUUCAUAUAUAGGUGAAAAAAAAAUUCAAUCCAAAAUAAAAAAAAGGUAUAUAUUCCUUGGGUUUGAAAAAAGGAUUAAUUAAAGACUGUAGAUUUGGGGAUCCAACAAUUAAAGGAAAAAAAAAAGUGGUGAGUAGAGAUGUAUUCGAUGAAAAACAUAUGUUAAAGAAAGAUCAAGGACAAAUGAAAUUGUUAUUGAAAAAAAAUUCAACUACAUGACCAAUCAUCGAGAUGAAAUUUGAGGAAAAUGUCGUUAAAUACGGAAAUGAAAUCCCUCCUAAUCGAUGUCCCUAUUGGAACUUUAUAUGGGCAUCUUUCUCUAUUGCUCUAAAGAAUCAUCGGAUUGGGUAAGGACAUCAAUUUGAAGAUUUUUAUUUUUUUUCAUUAUUUAUUGGAAUAGGAGAUCUUUAAAUUUUUUUGGGGCACAAUUAGGAGGGAUGAUAGUUAUCAAUGUCUUGGUGCUAUGUCAAAUGAGAAUCCAAUGCACAUGUUGACUAAAGUUGUUCUUAAGGAUAAGUUCAAGCAUUAGUUGAAUGUCAUUAAUUUUUCAUUUUGUAGAACAUGGAAGGUCAAUUUUAUUGAAGAGCUAGGUUAGUCAACUUCUAUUAGGACUUCUAUUGAUUCUUGAUUUGACUAGAGGGGCUCCUAGCAGUAAACUUGUAUGGAGGGGCCCUAUGGAGACGCAAGAGAUGCAAGAGCUGCCAAUCGGAUCGACCAAUAAAUGAUAGGCCCAUACAGAAAUGUCCCUAAAAUAGGGGAUUGGUUGAUUGGAAAGCUUAGGCAGAGUAUAAAGGAGAACAAUUUAGCAUUUUGGGAAAAGCACAUAUGAAGAUGUUUACAAGUUUGGAAAAUUGAGUUAAAGAAGAGAUGGUCUAAAAAUGUUUCAAAUUUCAAUUUUAUGUUUUUCUAAGUUUGAUAUAUCCUGUUUGGAUAUUUGGGAAGUCUUCUCUUGUUACAUAAGAUAGUCCUAUGAUGAGAUUUGUUAUGAAAAUAGGUUCUUCAUCGUGUGAAAUAUUCCUAUGAAAUUAAGAAGGAAUAUAGGAAGAGUUUUGAUUGAAAUUAUGAAUCUUUUUUUAUGUAAUUAGAACUAAAAUAUGAGAGUUUUAAAAUUGUAAUUACACCUUUGAAUAUAAAUAAUUGAUAAUAGUGAAUUAAUUUACCUUCUCCCUCUAGAUGUAGGUAAAUGCUAAAUUAUGUUAAAUCUUGUAUUCUCAUAUGAUUUUUUUUUUCAUUUAUUUUUCAUUUUCUUGCCCAUUUCUAACUUGCUAGUUGCUACUACAUAAUAACAGGUGGUAUCAGGCUUUUUGUGUUUGCACAACAAAUGGUCUCAGUUUUUCUAGCACCACAAAAAUGAUAUUUUACUUAAUUGCUCCUCAGUGGAAAAGUUGGAAAGAAAAAUUAAAUCAUCGACUAUACAUUUUUUUUUUUUCAAAACUUUUCUUGUCUUUGGCAAGAAAAUUAGUAUAUGAAGUAUAAAAGAAUUAGAAAAUAUUCAAAUUUUAAAUGAUUUUUAUUAUACUUUGUCCACUUCCUAUUUCAUAUAUCAAAUUACAAUAGAAUUUAAAAUUCUUUUAUAUGUUUUUUCUCCCUUUGCUACCACAUAAAUGCAAAGACAUUAUGUGAGUUAAAUACCUUAAAAGAAAAAGAAAUUAAAAUGUGAUAGAAAACAAAAGUAACCUCUUUAAAUUCAAGGAAACAAAACACUAAACUUUUUCAUGUAUCUUAUUCCAUUUAUAAAUGCAACAUGACAAAAAUAGACAAAAAUAUAAAUGGGAGCCCUUCAGGUCCUUUAUUUUAUAUUUUAUUAACUUCAACCAAUUCUAUUUCUAUAGCACAACCGAUGUUAUAAAGUUCAAUGAGUAUAUAAUAUAUAAAGAUACUAAUCAAUACGAAUUAUUCUUUCCUUCAAAUGGCUACUUGUAUUAAAAAUUAAAUGUAAUUCCUCCUAAACAAUAAAAUAUGUUGACACGAUUUCAAUGAAUAUACAGUACAUAAAGAUAUGACCAAUUAGUACGAAUUAUUCUUUCUUUUAAAUAGCUACUUGUACUAAAAUAUAAGUAAACGUAAUUCCUCCUAGAUAAUAAAAUAUGUUGACACGAGGAGGAAUAUAUUUACUAAUUAUAUCAUUUGCAAUAGCCUCAAUCUAGCGACGUUCUUCGAACCAACCAUAGACUUUAUUGAGAUAGGUUAACCAAGGGAGCUCCCACUCUCAUAACUCGUAUAUGAAAAUUUCAUCUUGUACAACUCAAAUAGAAACCCAUAAAUACUGGUUGAAACCAAAAUGUAAUAAAAAAUAAAAAAAAACAUAUUUCAAUGGAUCCAAUUAGUAUUUUUCCGAUCUCACAAACAAAUUUUUCUUCAUUUUGUUUUUUUUUCAUUAAUCUUUGUAAGUAAAUUAUAUUUUAAUUUAACAAAGCACUAAACUUUAAUUUUCAUGCAGGAUCAACUAGCUUUUCAUAAUAAAAUUUAUCAAUAUAGCUGAGCAGAGAUUUGAUGUAAUAAUACCAUACAAAAUUCAAGUAAAAUUAAAUUAAUCAAAUAGGACACUAUGGUUAUAUUUGGAUACAUAUUCUAUUUUUUAUUUUUAAAAUUAAAAUUUUGAUAUAAAAUAUGACAACCCUUUGUAUAAAAAAUAAAAAUUUAUCCUAUAAUCUUAAAACUACUUUUCAAUAUUUAAAAAAAAGAAAAAAAGAGGACGUGUCCUAAAAUUUUAAACAAAUUUAAAAAUAUUUUUAAAUACCCAAGAUAUCCACUUUUUUCUUUUUUUAAUAAAAAUUCCUAUAUUUUAAUAAAACUCUAUUUUAAAAAAUGAAAAAUAAAAAAUGUAUCCAAACAUAAGCUAAAUUGUUAGAUUUUAUUGUGAGAUUUCUUAGAUUCUACAAUUCAUAGUGAAAUGAAGAUGAGAGAUAACCGACUGAACUAUGAAAAAAAAAAAAUUAACAUUGAUGAGAUUCAAAAAUGCUAGUUAAUGAAAGAGUUUCUCCGCCAGGAUGACUAAGAAAAAUGCUGAAAUAUGUGUCAUGCCCAAAGCAAUGUUACAAUGAAGAAUAGAAUGAGAGCUAACCCGAAACAAAAUCCGACAAUCGCCAUGAAAGCCUGGAUGCAGAGGAAAUGUAACUAGAGACAUGUAAGGAAUCAUUAAGCAAGUGAGAACAAUAUCAAAAUCUCAUGUACGACUUACCUUUCCCUGAGAUUCAAACUUGAAUUUUACUGUAAACCAUGACAAUCCUCUAUCUACAAUAGGAGCAAGUGCAAGGGCCCUGCAUGAGAAGCACCUCUACAAAAAUCACAGAAAACCCAAAGGAAAAAAAAAAAGAUUAAAUAAAUAGAAACUAGUCUACCAGAAACCAGGAGGCUGCAACAAAUAAUCUCCAAAUGUCAGAUUUAAUAUUUAUUUACGAAUGCCGCUAAAAGGCCUUUUCAUCAGAGAAAUCUAAAAUAAAAAAGUAUAAGGAGCCAUUUGGAUUACAGAGGUCAAAGAUUGGGUUGGAUAGGAGCAAGUUUAACCUCUCAGUAAAAAUGAAAAUGCAAGGCCCAUCAUCAACGCUAGGUUCAAAAAUUGACACCAUUUCUUGAAGACUUUCUUUUUUCAUUCUUCAAUUGUCAUUUUGAUUCAAAGAAGCGGCAGCAUGAUAGACUAAACAAUCAUCAUAAACCCAGUUGCAAGUUAUAAGGAUAAGAAAGAAAAUGAACAAAAAACAUAUAUGAGAGAACUGAUAGGCCAAAAAAAUCAUUGUUGAAGGAAUCGAGCAUAAAUCUCUGAACAAAAUUUAGCUGAAAUUCACUGAUUUUGGGUUAUUUUGUGAUAAGAGCAUUGCAAUAUCCCAAUAAACUGUUACGCUAACUAAAGAUUUAAAACAGAAUUUAGCUGCUUACCCUCCAGCUCUGACAAGUUUAGUGACCUGGCUGCCUGCCCACACCAUAGCCAUGAUUUUGACAAAUCUGCCAAUUGGAUUCCAUAUGUCAAGAUAUUUUGAAAAACUUGUGCAAAAAGAAACUUUUUGGAAUAAGUUUUUACCUUUCAACUGCCGCCAAAUAACCCAUCCUUCCUGGUGCUGGAGCAAUAUAAAACCUAGAAGCAGCAUAGUGAAUUCAGAGUUAUACUGGUUAUUUGAAAUCUACUCUGAACACCUAUGAUAGAGACUGCAGGAUGUGGUAAAACACUAAGGCAUAUUUCAAACUACAUUAUAAGGUAUUUGAUUAGAAAAUUAAAUAAAUAAAUAAAUAAAAUAACAUAACAUAAAAUACAAAAAAGAAAAAAAAAAUUAACAAACUGAAUUUGUCCAUAUGCAACAAUAUGCAAUUGUUAGCCAUGAAUCCCAGUUAUGUCGGUUUCCAGUAUUAAUAAUUAAGCAUGAUGUUUAUGAACUAGACCAGCAUUCUAAUAACUCUAGAUUGAAGGGCAUGGAUGUCACAUUUGUAUUCCAUCAUGUGCAACUAACAUCACAUUGAAAUAAUAUCCACUAAAGCAAGUUAAGACCCAGUAUAUCAGAUUAAAAUUUUCUACCAUGAAUAUAAGCUUGAUAAAAAUGAAGAUGGAAAUGCAAUACUUCUUUAUAUGACAUAAUGAAGGGAACCAAAUACAAGGACUCCCCAUUCCAGAUGCAGAAAGCCAAGUUACAACCUUUGCCAAAUAAAGAGAUCCACCAUAAAUUCAUUUUUAGACAUGCUAUAGUUGAAUAUGCCAUCAAUAAGUGAUCAAAAGCCAAUUCAGAUGGGAAUAACAGCCACAAUGUUGGGAAGGUCAAUAACAAAAGCAUUGACUUGAAUGUUGGCAGUGUCAUUUACACUGGCCAUAAGAACCAGAGGUAAUGCAUACAGUUGGUAAGGUAGUGAGAAGGGGAUGAGAAAUUGAAAAUUCUUGAAUUUAAUUGUUUCAUGCAAUUCCGUUUUCCAAUACUCUAUACGAUAAUAUACAUUGUACAGCACAAGAAUAGGGUUGUUUUAAAAUUUUGAACAAAUAAAAAUUUCAUAUCAAUAUCUAAUAUUUAAUAAAAAAGAAUGAAACAAGAGUAAGUACAUUCUCUUCUCCUUAACAUGGUAUUAAAGCAGUCUCCAAAUUCUUAACUCCUAGUUGCAAACUUGAUUUGCACUGGAAGUUGCAGUUUGCUCAUUUUGUUAUUCAAGUAAGUUACUUCAAUCUAUCAUAGUUUAAAUGACUUGGGAUGGUAGUUGUCAUGGGCACGAAUUUUCCCACAAAUUUUUCGCAUUCACGCAGCGCUUAGAAGCCCUCUAAGCCAACAUACUCAAACCCACAUGAGAUUGCAAUCAAGAAAAAACUCACAAAGACACACAAGGCUAUGGAGCUCAAUCCCUAACUUGUAUUUUAUUUCUUCUCUAAAUAACAAUACAAGACAUAGCUUAACAAGACUUCCACAAUCUCUUUGGUGAGUUCAUGCUCUCUCUCAAGCUAUGUUUUAAGAAAGUUCCCCCUCUCAAUAUACCUCUGUAUAUUCUCUAUGAUCUCCAGAUUGCACGAUAAUUCAAAGGGCACUCCAGUCCUCCUUUUAUAGGUGUGACACCAACCACUCCCUAUUUGAUAAGGAGCAAGGAAUCCUAGUUCUACUCAAACUACAAUUAAAAUAAGAAUCUAAACUCUUAUUCAAACUCAAAUUACAAUAACAAUUUGAAUUCAACUCUGAACUUUCAAAUGUCUUCGGCCCAUUCCUCAUUCAUUUGAAACUCCUUGUAUCAGGCCACAUAUCAGCCCUUCAAUUCCCUGGUUUGUGGUGCAAUACAUCUUCCUUAAGCUUGUCCCAAUGCCAAGACAUCUUUGUUGUGUUCUGCCUGAAGUCUACCCACUCUUGUGCCUUGAGUCAGUCCAUUCAUGCAUUUGAAUCAGCUGAUGCAUCUGAUCAGCUUGCUAUAGCGUCUCUAGGCAGCCUACUACAUGUGUCUCUAUGCAACUAGUGUGCAUGCCAAGCCCUCUCUUAGCCUACAGAUCUAGCAAUUUUCCUUGGUGCCAAUCUUUCCUUUGGCUGUAACCCCUUGUUGUUCCUUGAGCGUGUCAGUCAUGCUCAUAUGUGUUCCCGCAUCUGGAUCACAUCCAUGCUGAGGCAACCUGCCCAAGUUUGCUCUGCCUAGCUGUUGUUAUGGCAUCAUGCCAUGCCCAAGCCCUCUUCUUGGUGCAGCAACGAGUCAUGGCAUUGCACCCAUGACUCCUCAUCUCUAUGCACAAGGCAUUGUGCCUUUGUGCUAAGCAUUAGGCAUCACAUCUGAGUCGGCUUCCCUUAUCUCUAUGCACAAGGCAUUGUGCCCUUGUGCCAAGCCACCUCAUUGCACAAGGCAUUUCCCCCUCAUGCUACCAUCGGGAAGGGAAGACUGCAUAGCACCCCAUGUCGUUGCAACCUUGAGUUGCACACCAUCACAUGUCAUGGAGCCCAUAUAUGGUUGCUAGCAAGGCUUGCCCAUGUGCCUUGCUCAUGUUUGAGGACUUGCACCAAAGCCCCUAAGUGUGGCCAUGCCCAUGCCACCUCGUCUCCCUUGAGUCACCCCCACCCUCACCCCCCUUAAAAGAGCAUUUUAAGCCCUUUUAAUUAAUUCAAGAAAAUCUAGAAAAUUCCGCUUCCACUUGGAGUCUCCCUUUUGAAGGUUCCUAUAAAUCUUUUAUCUCUAAGCAAAUUAACCAAGUCACUUAAUUGUUUUGCAACAUUCCUUCCCUUCCCUUAGUGUAUUUCAAGAUCUCUUAAUGAACAAGACAAUUGGUGGAGGGCAUGAAGUAAAUGGAAUUUAUCACCAUAUUGGCCCACCUCUUACUCCAAUUGCUCUACGUACUUCCAUUUCUUCUAUGUAGUGGCACACCUUUCACUUCGCAUCUUUAGCAUAUGGGACUUCUAGUUAUAUUGGACUCCAAGUUAAAGCACCAAGUUUGUGAGUCAAGCAAAUAGCAUCACCAUAGUGUUGUUCUAGUCCUUUUUGUUCUAUAAUCAAUAAGAGGAGUACUAGUCCUUUUCAUCUUGUUCAUUUAGACAUUUACAGUUUAUGUAGUGUUGUUCCUAAUGUUGAACUAAACUUUUUUAUUGCUAUUUUAUUAAUUAGAUCAAUGAAAAUGGUAUGAGCAUAAAGAGGCUGAAUAAUAGGUACUAAUCUCUUAAAAAAACCUAUCUUGUAGAAACAUCAUCAGGUGACUAUGCACAAGUAAAUGGUCUGAAAAGGCGUGAGAAAAACAUUCAUUUUUGUGCAACAACCAAGUAUUUGCAUCUUAAUCAACCAAAGAAUAAAUGGCUGAAGACAAUAAAUGACUGAACAAAAAGAAAAUCAUAAGUUUUAGGCCAGACACUUUUUUCAUCAAUUAUAUACAACAACAAUAAAUCAAAUAGUCCAAAAUUUCAAAAGAAUAAUGCUCAGCAGCUAUGCAUACUCACAAGUCACAAAUACCUCAUCCUUGACUAAUUUACAUGAAUGAAUUAUUUACUUACCAUACCAAGAGAAACGUUGUAAGAUAGUAUGCAGUAUUCAGGAGUCCAUAGGAUAAUAUUCCAGAAAUUCCAUAUCUCUUCAGUUUCUUUAGAAGACUGAAAGGUUAAGCAAGAAUGAGCUCUCAAUGUAAGUAGACAUGCAUUUCAGCGUACAAAGGGCAAAAGGAUUGAGGUAUCACUUCUUACAGAUUGUUUGCAUGAAAUUCAGUAGUAGAAGAGAAAUUAAAAUGAUUGGGACAAGAUCACUCAUCCAAACAAUAGUUUAUUUACAUAGAAAAGGUCUAAAGCAUAAUCAUGCAGUAGACAAAAUGAAUCUUUUGUGUCAUGUUCCAAUAAUGUUAACAAACUACAUUAAAUUUGUAAGGUUACAUAGAAAAAGAAAGAAAAGACAUUGUUACAAUAGUUUGGUUGUUACACUGCUAGCACCCAGACUACGACCAAAUCCUUGCAUUGAAAUUGAAUUUCAAACUCCCAAUGUGAAAAAGGAAGAUACAAAAAAGAAAAGAAAAACAGGAGGAAAAAAAAAAAAAGAGGGAAAGAAAAGAAACAUGGGAUUUCCAUGUAUAAUACAUACAUAUUAUAUCUAUAGAUAAAUGCAUGCAUGUGCAUAUGUCAUAGAGGCUGGUCAAACACAUUUCAAGAAGUUUGACAACUUGCUUUGGAAUGACAAACACGUGGAUCAAUAAAUGGCUUGUCUCCAUUAUUGAGAAAUUGCAGGUAAAUUUCAUCCACUACAGGCAUGGGGUGGCUGGACAAAGUUAUGCCAUUUGGUGGGAUGUAGUGGACUUAAGACAGAAAAUUCUCAAUCAUUCUUCUGUCCCUUGUGCAGUGUUGAAGCUGACAAUAUUAUUGAGCAUACAAGGAAUGUGAUGUAAAACAUCAUUGAGGAGCCAUGAGCUGCGAAUGCAGGGAGAAAUUAAGUUACAAUUAAGUUUUGGUGAGGGAUUUUCAGAUGCAGAUCAUAUGGCAAAUUAACUUCAGAGAAUUGCAUGUUUUUAUUCAUUUCCAUACACAUUGAAUAAUCAUAUUUAAAAUCCCUCAUUCACUUGUUUCGCUUCCAUUAGUGCUCCUUCCACAUGUGUAUUAGCAGCACAGACCUCAUGAUAGUUUUGUAAAGGUAAGACAAUAAAAUUGAAAAAUACAGCUAAAGCCUAAAAUAUUGGCUCAUAAAAAGAGAAACCAUCCAAGUUCUAUCUUAAAUGACUCUACAAGUUCUAAACAGGGAGACAAGGACUUCAACCUGGUCCAUCAAUGCAUAUAAAUGGGUAAACAUUCCAACAACCAUUACGUUAGAAGUACACUAAAAGAAAAUUAUUAAACAAUGUUGUUUCCAAAAAAAUUCCAUGUUAAAGAAUAGAAGAACAUACCGCUAUAAAUGAAAUUCAUUCAAAACAGUUCAAACAGUAAAGUUAAGAAUUGUGACUGCAUAUUUUUUUUUAAAAAGAAACAAGAAUUGUGACUGCAUAUCACCACACUUGUUUUAUUUAUAAUCCACACAAUGUAUUCUUCCCUAGCAUGUUAUCCCAUUAAGUAACCUCCAGAUAAAAUUCCCUUUCUGACUCUGUCAAUCAGUCAAAAAAUUUGAUGUAAAAUGUAAAAUACAUGGGUACACAAAAACAACUAUAUAAACUGCCAUCCCAUUAUUAAUAAAUCAGUAGGUCUAUAACAUAGACUAAUAGCAUUGUAAGGCAAGUAGGAAGUACUCUUUUGAUGUGUGCAGUUCUCCUUCACCAUUUUCGCCCUUUGCACUUGAGUCUAUAAAAAUAUGUAUAAGUAGAUUUUUAGAAAUAUCAAGUUUAUCAAAUGUAAAAUAUGGUAUCACAGAAAGCUACACCAUUUUUCUAGUUAUCAUUUGAAAGAUAUUGAUACCUUCAUGGUUGGCAGAGUAGUCAUGACCAUUUGACAUGCCAGAAGCCUAACCUACAACAAAGGCAAUGUUGAAAAAGCAAUAUUCAAAAUUCAAUGAAAAAAACAGAAGACAAACAAAUGAACAAAUAGCAAAUCAUCACACUCAAUUGUUUUCCAAAAAUGAAAAACCAAAUGAAAGGAACAAGGAAUAUAUUGAGAAAAAAACCUAUGAUCAAUGGAUAUGCAGUUGCAUUCUAGCACAUAUAGAGGAUCAAACAAGUAACUAAUCUAGACAUAGCUGCAACAAAUUUGUGUAUCUCUGAAUGCGUGUCUGCUUUUUGUGGGGGGAUAUUUAUUAUGACAUGUUCUUAGUGCAGACAAACCAUCUGCAUUUACUUGAGGAUUAGGUGAACAUACUUUCCAUUUAAAAUGAGGCCUUGAACAUCAAGCCUCGGUGAGUUUUCAAAUAAGGAAAAUGUAAUAGCUUUACAAUGAGUCCCAUAGCAAGAAGGCAUAUAAUUCCAUUCAUCAGCAUACCAGAAUAUAGAAUAGUGUGGACAUGUGGACACAUGCCAGAAUUAGCAUUGGACACACUAACAUGCCAGUCAUGCAUAGAAAGAAUUUCCAAAGAUAUUAAAGUAAAACACUGGUAGUAAGCAAAUUAGACCCUGAAAAACAUGCAAGUAUAGGCCAAGAUCAAAUCUUAAUUUUAAUUUCCAGAAAAAUAAAUAAAUUAUAUCAACCAAUAGAAAUGGUAUCACCAGCAAUUAACACCAAAGCACACCAACAUAUCGGAAUGCAUAACACGUGUACCCAUCUCCAAUCAGCAUUACACCUGUACAAGUUAGCCUGUAGCAGGUCAUAAUAGGUUCAGACUAUAAAACCUUCCAAAUCUUCCUUUGCAGGGCUUAGAAACCAUUUUCUAAGUAAUUUGCAGUUUUAAAAGCCUGUGACAAAAUUUUGGAUGAAGAGCUUGAACUAUAUACUCACAAACCCACUCCAAAAUUUCCUUAAGGUAAUACACAUUUUUUGAAGUCCUUUCCAAUGUCUUCUCUUAUUUGAGUUAGAAAAGCCAAUGUUUUUAUGAAUUGACUACUACGGCUGUUGAGGUUUGAGGUGUAUAACUAAUUUCUUAAUAUAUCAUAAUUUACAUCAGUCAUUAGAAAUUAAGGUUCCAUCCUUUUACACUAAGAAAAUCCUGAGAGCAAUUAAAAAAUACCUUCUUUUAUAUUAUUAAAUUUAAGUUUCCUUUAGGUCUUUGAGUCUAAUAGAAAUUAGUGUAAAAGGAAUUUUAAUUUUCUUACACUAAGAAAAUAAAAAUAAUAGGCAAAAUAAUUUUCACAUUUUGGAACUUUAUAGGUAAUGCUUAUUAAAAUAAAGCAACAAAGUUUGUCAUUUGCCAUUGAAUGAACCAAUUGUGGAAAACUAUGCAAAAAAUUUUAUUAGUAUGGAAUUUUUUUUUUUCUGCCAAUAUAUAGAAUUCAAUUUCAAACCUGCCCCUCCCAACCCACCACUUGCUGCUUGAGGCAAGCUUAGAGGCAGAAAAAUAUUUGCAAUUCUACGUAUGGAUAAAAAUUAUUUCUUAGAUUUUAUGCCAAUUCCAUAUUUAUAGGUAUCAAUUUAUUAUUCUACUGUUGUCAGAAGCUUCAAUUUUGGGCGUCCUCAUGGCUAUGCCACCCUUAAAUGAGAACAACUUUGGUCUUCUGUUUUUCUUUUUGAGCUCUUCAAAUUUUUGCAAGUUACUUCUAUCCAGGUUCUAGGAAACACCCAUUUUUUUAAAUCUCCAAUAAUUUAGGGUUCUGUGGCUGAGGGAAUAGACUUAUUUUUGGUUGAAGCACACAAAAUUCUUGGCUAUUUUUUUUUUUUUUUUGGCAUCAGGUCCUUUUAGGUUGAUUUUUCUACUUAUUUUUCACCCACCAAUUAACAUUGCCCUAACUCUAUUAUCUACCCGAGCAAAUGUUUAUGAACUAGCAAAUCAUACUAAAAUUUCUUACUAGUUGACAUGUGCAUCAUCUCAGCAUGUCAUUCCAACACCAAACUACAACCAUAAUCUCACUAACAUCCUAACUGCCUCAAUGAGUAUGGAUUACAGAAAUACAAUUAAAAUAUACUUCCCUAUUUAAUUUCAUAAUUUUUAUAAUAAUAUUUCGGCAAUAUUUCCACAUAGUAGCUUAUGUGGGAACCCUAGGAAUGCUGGGAUUGAAACCCUGGAUUGAAACAAGAGGAUUGUGAGAGAGAAUUGGAAAUUGAAGAAACAAACACAAAAAAUAAAUCCAAGAAAUAAAAAAGAAGCGUAAAAAUGAAAUAGAGAAGAGUGUGUAUGACGCACCUGAUGAUGUGAAAGCAGCUUCAGCUGGUGAAGGCAAACUUUCGACGGGAGAGACAUGAGCAUACCGGCCUCCGACAACAAUCCCUCCAAAAUAUUCUUUCUAUACCAUUUAUUAUUAUUAUUAUUAUUUUCAGGUUAUUUGAAGUGUAAUGUCUAGCUAUACCAUUUAUUAUUGUUAUUAUUUUCAGGUUAUUGAAGUGUAAUGUCCACCAUGAAGCCCUUAGAACUCUCCAUGGACCCUAAAUCUCGGGAUGCUAAUCACCCUAUAAUAACCAGCAUAGAGUAUAUUCAAAGUAUCAUUAAUGACAAAUUUUGAACUUAGGACCAUAUGUCAUUUACAGAGACCACACUUCUUAAUGUUCAUCCUUAGCGACAUACUCAUAUAUACCAAAUUACCCGAUAAUAUGCUUUUCCUAUUUUCUCAUUUUUAGAAAAAAAAAAAAAAAGAAUAACUUCUAUUUUUAAAAAUUUAAUUUUUUUUUAUAAGUAAAUUUUUGUUCUCAUUAGGACAUGUGGAACCUCCCACAAGUCCUCUUGAAUCCUUUACCACUUGAGUCAUGCCUUAAUGGCUUGUUUUUUUAAAAAAUAAUAACAACUUUUAUAUAAAAAAAUACUUAUAAAAAAUAUAUACAUGUCAUUAAAAGUCUAAAAAAAUAUAACUUUGUUAAUAAUUUUUAAAAUAAUUUAAUGUGUUAAUUGUUCUUAAAAACUAUAAAUAACCUAGAAAAGAAUAGUAUGUUUGACCAAAUUGUUAUAUGGUUUUAAAUAGUCACCUUAACAAUGUUACAAGUGAGUUGAUUAAUUUAUGGUAGAGAAGAAUUACAAUAGAAUUCAAUUAGUUAUCGCAUUUGAAGUCUUUGAUUAUUUGUUGAAUAAUAUUUGCAGCCAAUUAGAUAGGGUUGGCUAACCCAAGCCAAACCUACUUACUAAUAUGUCCAACCUAUGCUAAACUCGAUUCAAAGUUAGGUUGGUAGUUACUAAACUCAUUGACAACUAAAGUUUCUAUGGAUUCCCACGAGUUUUCAUGGAUUAUCAAAUAAACCACAUAUAAUGGAAUCUCCUAAUAUAUAAAAGACAUAUUUCAAAAUUAUAAAUUAAACCAUAUUAUAAAAUAAAAUUUUAACAAAGUCAUAAAUUAUAUUCCUAGUGACUAAUUUUAAUGGUAAGAUGAAACACAAGUGUGAAUAUUUAAAAAUAUUUUAAUAAUUAAACAAAAAUGAUAAACUUAUAGUGUAAUGUAAUAAAACUAGCAAAAGUUAUAGUUCUUUCAUUAUCCCUUUUAUAAAUUUCAUAUUUUAAAUAAACUAAUAAAUAAUAUAAUAGUAAUGAAUUUGCUUAGUCUUCAUCAUGUAGAACCAAUUUGAAGAAAUUUUUUUUAAUAGGACUGAUUAAUGACUUAAUUAAGGGUAGGUUACAGCUAAAAUAUUUAGUAGGACUGAUUAGUGACUUAAUUAAGGGUAAACUACAGCUAAAAUUUUCCUAGUAGUCUUCCACUAUGACAAAUUGUGGGAACUAGUAGUGGCCUGUCCAACCUAUAGAGGAAACAAAUAGGUGAGUGAGUUAUUGAAUAUGUGGCUGAGAGUGACCAACCAUUGAGGCUCACAUGAAGUUGUAGUGGCUGAGAGGAAGGGAUAAGAGACCAAAAACAUGCUCAGGGAGAUUCUUGUUAGGAUCAAAUUGGGGGCAUAGAUAUAUCUCUUUGGUAAGAGUUCCCAUAAUUUAGGUAUUAAUGAAAUAGGUAUAAAAGAAUUAUAUAUCUUGAUAUGAUCAUGUUGUUAAUGAUGAUCUAAUGAGUUGAAAUAUUAUGUUUUCAACUGUGUAUAUCUAAUAAAUACAUCAAGUGCUUAAACUUUAAUAUAGAAAUGGUCCACAAUGGCUUGUAUGACUCAUCGUCUUAUAAACAUAUUAUUUAGAUUAGGCUAAAGUGGUCAAAGUAAGAAGAAAAAUUGAUACUUGAUUUGAAGUAUAAAGAAUUCUUCUUAGACUUUGUGUGUAGUGUUGUUAGCUUAUUGUUGUGUUAAAGUCUAUUUUGAUGUAUUUUGGAAAGAAUGACCAACUAGAACCACAAUAAGAUGUUGCAAAACUUAUUUAAACAAGGGCUUGUGAGCAAGAUUUUUUUUUUUUCCUUUUCAUGUACAAAUAGUAUGAUGAAUGAAAAUUUGAUUCUCGAUUGUAAUUAGUAUUUUCUUUAAGUUUUAAAUCAUGCAAUGAAUACUUAAAAUUAGCUUACGAUGUCAAAGAAUGUAAGUAAACAAGGUUUUACAUGUUGGAUAUAUAAUAAAUUCAAAACCUUUACCUUCCACAUUGAAUGAUUACAUUUUUUCUUUAAGUGCCCUUUAAUCAUUCUCAUUUUGUUUAAUCAUUUUCUCUAAUGUCUUGAGCAUAGUAGAUUUCUAUAAAUUUACAUGAGCAUUCCUUAACUCUUCUUGAGUGAUCCUAAACUUAGCAUUGAAACAAUCAUAAUUUAGGCGAAGAUGCUUACACGUCUUCAUAAUCAUCCUUGGUUGCUAGCCAUUUUUCCUUAAUUACUUUAGGAUGUUUAGUGAAGAUGAUUACAAAUAUUAACUAGUUCACUCACACAUUUUUGUAUGAGUGUAGAACAAUUUUGCAUUCUUUCCACAUCACUUAUGCAUCUUCGUUCCAAGAAAGAAGAUAUAGAACUCUUAUCUUUUGCCUACGCCACUUGGUUCUCCAGCCCAUUAUGCUUAUGCAUCCUUUUUAUAUCACAUAUGCGACUUGCUUCUCAUUAAGAUAUUUCACUUACAUGUUCUUGUAUAUGCAUAAUUUAGGGAAAAAUAUUUUAAAAUAGCAAAAUAGAUUUUAAUACAUAUAUUUGGAACAAUUAAACUCAAACUAUGCAAGUGACCUUGUCUACUAUGUAGGUGACUUUGUUUACUACAUAGGCAAAGUAUAUGACAGUGAUAGUCAAGGAAGCUAUGUGGUUGCAUGGUUUAGUGGAGAAUUUAAGAGUAAAGCAAGAUCACAUUGUGAUUUAUUAUGAUAAUGGGAGUGCCCUAAAUUUAUUUAAGAAUAAAAUUCAUCACUCAUUGGUAAGGCAUAUUGAUGUCUAAUUUCAUUUUAUUUAAGAGAUUCUAGAAGAAAGUCAUAUCUUAUUUUAGAAAGAUUACUAAUGUUAAUGAGGUAGGUCAUAUUUAAAUGUGAUCCAUGUUGAAAGGAUCAAUGUACCUUUAGGUGUGUAGUAGCAAAAAAAUUCUAUUUGGACCUAUGUUUUUCUCUUGGAACCUCAAUUCUUUAUUUUUUUUAAAGAAAAAGUGGACAUAUCAAAUUAAGCAACAUCAGUCUUUUAUUUUUUUCAUUCUUGCUUGGUUUUUGUCUUGAAUUUAGAGUGGAGAAGAUGUAAUAAAUGAGUAAGGAAAGAGGUAGAAAAUAAAGAUAACAUUAGAACUAGGGAUUGUAAAAGAGGAAGAAGAUGAGGACAUUUUUGGCAAUGUUGCAUGUCAAUUUUCUAUUUAAUGAUUCCCCUAUAAUAGUUUUCAUAUUCAUUAACUCUCUCUAAACUAAGCAACAUAUUUCUUAAAUAUUUUAAAUUCUUAUUUAUUCUUAAACUCUUUCAUUCUCAACCGGCCUUUUCACCAUUCUCACAAACCUAAAAUUUGCUCUCAAUUUAUUUCAAUAAUGUUGACAUAAAAGUAAAUAGGUAAGUCAACAUUCAACUUUUUUUUUUUUUUACAAACCAAAAUCUAAUAUUUUUGUUUAGAAACAAAAAUUGAACAAAAAUGUAUAAACUAAGAGAAAGAAAAAGUAAAAACUAGAGACUUGUAAUUGUAUAAAUGUCAAGAUUUCAAGUUAGUAAUUUAUGUCAAUAUUUGUUUUUUUAUUUUUUUUCUUGAUUUUUAUAUACCAUUUUAAUUAAUAUUUUCAAUUUUGUGAUUGAAGUCUCAAGAAUUUAUGUUAUGCUUAUUUUAUUGUUUCCAUGUCAAAAACCAAUGUGAAAUUAGUAUGACAUGUACACUUAUUAUUUUGAAGCAUAGUGUUGAUAUCUUAUUUUGUAAAACCCAUGACGAUCAAUCAUUGUCUCUCAUGUGUCUCAUUUAUGACAUGUGAGUUUGACUAAUUAUAUAGCAUCAUGCCUCAAAGAUUAGUGUUACAUAUCCAAGACAUCUCUCUAAUAAACUUGACAUUCAUUACACUUUUCUUACCCUUAAUCUUUCAUACAUGGAUAGGUCCAUGUUCUACCUUCAUAUCUCCUAUGCCAUAGUGCUACAUUGUUUGAAAAUGAAUUUUUAUCUUCAAUAAGAUCCUAAGUCACAUGGAUGACUAUGAAGCAUGGAUGUCGCCCAUAGUGAAUGUCGAGGAGAGGGGUAGGGGUGUUUCUUACUCUAUUCUUCCUAAAGAUGGUAUCGCGUGCUUCUGAUAAUUGUUUCAUUUUUAAUCUAGAAAAUGCAUGCUUCCUAAAAACUAAUAGUUGUUAUUGGUUUAUGAUCUUUUAUACCCUCUUCUAAUAUGUCAACCUUAAAAUAAUGCCUUGAUGUUAAUAAAUCUACCUAGUUCAUGAGCAAAGCUUAAGGUUAUGAAAUGGACUUUGUGUCAUUAGUUGUAAAUCUAGUUUCCCUACCCAUUAGCAUUUCAAGAUUAGUUUGAGGGUCUUGGUUUAGUAGUUAGAUCUUAUACUUACCAAGGUCGGAUCAACACGCAUUGAUCUCAUUUUAGCUUAAAUGAGAGAGAUGACAAUUGUGUCUUCAUUAUAGGUGUCAUAUGAAGAAGUUUGUAUAUCCUUAUAGAAUAAUUAAUAUUCAAAAUACUAUUUCAGAGCAUUAUAAAAAAACUUCAUUUCUAGCCAAAUGAAAAAGAGUGAUAUUCUUGGUCUCUUUGAUCCUACUACCACCAUUUCCACCCAAUCAUCUACUCUCACUUUGCUUUGCUCUCAUUUUAAACUCUUGGCACAUUUAAAACUUUCAAGUUUUAGUUGUAAGCUUAUAGAUACUAUUUUAGAAAAAAAAUAAAAUUGCAAGUGAGAUCUAAUAUUUUGUUUUGAGAAAAGUAUUGAAAAAGCCCAAGGCUUAGAAACUUUGAUUUACCUAUGUCUAAUUAUGAACUUUCGAAUGAAGAUAACAAUGUUAUAUAAUUUAAUAGUUGAAGAGAGUUAGAAGGUUUUUUCUAAUUUUGGAGCAUGAUGUACAUUAUGAGCCUAAGUCAUGACAACUUAAGUCGCUAGGAAGAUCAGUUGCUUAACAUGCCAAUAGGGUCUUGUUUAGUGGGGGUUUGUGUGUUUGAAUCUCACCUCAUUAUUUCCAUGAUUUAUUGAGCCUCAAUGUAAGUCUAAUAUGAGGUUAGUUGUAUAGGAAAAUUUUUCUCUCCAUGUGUGGUAUGGGGUUGUAGUGAGAGAGAGUGUUAAAGAAUGGGAUUAAAUCUUAAUAGUUUAAGCUUUUAGAAAAAUCAAAAGUUCAACUUGGCAUUAGAGUCUUAUUUAUUCAAAGGUUAUUAGUUUGGACCUCAAGACAUAUUAUUUCCCUAAUUUAUUGAGCAAAAAGAAGGCUAGAUAUGAGGUUGCUGAUGAGAAGUUAAUGGAGGGUCCUGAGUCCAAGUUCUCCCCUCAUUAUUUAUCUAUCUAAUUAUUUAUGACCAUAAAGUGCUUCUCAUGGUAGGUAUGGGCUCACAUAUGGGGGGAGGAGGGGUGUUGGAGCAUUAUAUAUGUUAUGUGCCCAAAUUCUAACAACUUAGUUAAGCUUUUAGGAAAAUUUAUUAUCUAAAAUUAAUAUUGUUUUGUAAUCAAAGUAAAAUCAACCUUAGUUAUUCAACAUAAUAAAAAACAUUAGUUUCCUGAUUGAAAAUGGUAAGGACUAAGUAAACUGAUAUAAAAUAGAAUGUUAUUAUAGUUUAUGGGGUGAAGUAUUAGCACUAUAAAGUUAAGUAACUAAUUUGCUAAAAUUACUAGCUAAAACUUGAAAAGUCUUAUCAAAGUGAAAAAGAAAAUAAAAUUAAACUCUUUAUUUUACAUAAUAGCAUAUCUAUAUCCCCUUAAAUUAUGAAAUUCAUGUUGUUUUUUCAAAAAAAAAAAAGAAAGAAAGAAAGAAAGAAAAAAAAAAAACCUAGAAAUGCCUACUAAAAAAAAGUCGAUUGAUACACUCCCUAACCAUAAAAUUGAGUUGUAAAUAUAAAUUAUAGUUCAUCCAAGUCUUUAUACGACUUUAAGAAAUCAAUAGCUAGUUUCAUUUACACCAUUGGUUCGUUUUUUUUUUUUUAUUCCAUUGAAAAGAAAGCAAUAAAAAUGAAUUGAGACAAAAAUGAGAAUACAAUCCAUAAAAUAUCAAUAGAUUUGUAAACUCAUUAUAAAGUUCAUAAAUCUUUAGAUAAAAAAAGCAAUAUAAAGAGGUAAAAAAUUAGGAACUAUCAAGUUGAAAAAUAGAGUGUAUGGUAAAAAAUAAAAAAUAAAAAGAUAAAACAAACAACAUUUUAAAGUAAGGGUACAAUAGUUAUUAAAAUGAAUCACAAUAAAAGUUUUCUAAAAAUUGAAAAAAAAGAGGAAAAGUUUUUGGUAUGCUUUUAUGGUUUAGGGGGUAAAGGUUCAUAAUACUCGUCAUUUUAUCAUCUUUAUAGGAAAAAAAAUUUAGACUCAACUUUAUCACAACUCAUAUGAGUUAAAAAUUUCUUGAAUGUAUUUUCUCUCAAGUUUCUAAUGGAUACCCCUUUAUCAAAGGUGUGGACAUUGAGCUAAAUUCACCAUUAAAAUUCAUCAAGUUUCUAUUUUCCUUUUCCUAAUUCAUCAAGCUAUAUUUAUGAAAUAUCCUCAUUCUUCAUUAGUAAUAUCAUAUUGUCAAAAAAACCCUUAAUAGAUCUACACCUAUCACCAGUUAAUAGAUAAAAUAACUUAACAAUUAGUUUUAAGUUUUAAGGACUUUACAAGACAAGCUAAGAACCUCAUAUUGUUUGCACACAAUUGACAAGUUGAUUUGUUUUAAAAAGUAAAAUGCUAAAGAAAAUCCACAACACGUGUUGUUUUAAAAAUCUUUGUAUUUAUAUGACAAAAAAAAAAAAGAACCAAUAGUUUAAAUUGGAAAAGUUUAUGCAAAUUAGAUGAGGAAAAUGCAAGCCAUAAAAUAACAUUCAAACGUUAUCAUUCUCUAAGAAACAUCAAGAACAUAUUGAGAGAACCAUUACUCAACAUAAUAAAUUUGUCUUGAAAGGAAAAGAAAAUCAUCAAAGCAAUCAUAUUUGUGAUGCAUUCUGAUUUCCAUAGUGUUUCCAUAUUUACUAUUAGGAUAAAAAAAUGGAAGUUGAAAAUUAUGGCAAUUCCUUGAGACAAUGAAUUAGAGUAGUAGAAAAGGAAAAAAAAUAAAAAAUAAAGAGAAAAAUAUGGUGAGUGAAAAAUAUUUUAACCCCAUAAAUUUUUCUUUCACAUCUCUUUAAAUUUAUUAAUAUCAAUUCUUUUCUAAAUAAACAAUGAAAUUUUUGAAAUUUCUUGAAAUUUAAACAUAUUUACUAGUUGUAUCAUCUCCAGUCACCUAAAUCUCAAGAUGUUCUUCAAAUGAAUUAUAGACUUUAUUUAGAUAGGUAAACUAAGGGGACUCCCCCUCUAAGAACUGUAUAUAAGAAUUUCAUCUCAUACAACUCAAAUAGAAACACCUAAACACUAGAUGAAACGGAUAUAUAAUAGAAAAAUGUAUUUCAAUGGAUCCAAUUGGUAUUUUUCCUGUCUUAGAUAAACAAACAAAUUUUUCUUCAUUAAUCAUUGUAAGUAAAUUAUAUUUUAAUUUUAAAAAGUACUAAACUUUAUUUUAAUUUUCAUGUAGGAUCAACUAACUUAUCAUAAUUAAAAUUUGUCUCUAUGGCUGAAUAGAGCUUUGAUGUAAUAAUACUAUACAAAUUUCAAGUAACACUAAAUUAAUCAAAUAGGAAACUACAGUUACGUUUGAAUACAUAUUCUAUUUUUUAUUUUUAAAAUUAAAAUUUUGAUAUAAAAUUUUUUUUUAAAAAUAUUUUAAAAUAAUUUCAAAUACACAAGAUAUUGACUUUAUAUAUAUAAAAGUUCUUAUAUUUUAUAUAAAACUCUAUUUUAAAAAAAUAGAAAUAAAAAAAUGCAUUUAAACAUAUGCUAAAUUGUUAGAUUUCAUAGAUCCUACAAUUAAUAGUGAAAAUGAAGAUGAGAGAUAACUGACUGAACUAUGAAAAGGAAUUAAAAUUUAUGAGUUUCAAAAAUACUAGUUAAUGAAAGAGAUUUUGUGCCUGGAUGACUAAGAAAAAUGCUGAAAAAUGUGCUAUAGAGUGGCUUUUCCUUUCUCCUCUUGCUAUAUAUGCAUAUCAUCCCUCUUUUUUAUCUCGUUGAACUCAACAAAUUCUCAUUUGUUCUGAGAAAAAAAAGAGAUUAUGUUAUAUGAUGGUAGGACUUUAUUCUGUUAUGGAAUAUGCACACCCUAGAUCUAUUGGCUAGAGCUAUACAGUAGGUUGUUGGCUUGUUUAGCAUUGUCUCUUUUUUGGAUAGGUUUGGACAAUGCCUCUUGAUGUUGCUUUUUGGUAAUGUAUUUUUCUUUGAUUUUUCAUGAAAAAUUCCACAUUUUGAGAUUUUCACCAUAUUAGAGUCUUUGGAAUUGGUACUUGUCUUGACACAGUUAGUAGGAAUCAUUUUCCCCAAGCUACAUAACACAUGUCUGCUAAUUGGUAAUGUUCCAUUGGCAUUUAUAAACUCUCCUGUCAAAAGUGAAUAUGCUCUAACAUUUCAAAUAGUGUGGUGUUGUACAUAGGUUGGUAAUUGAGGAUUUUAUUAUGGAUUUUGUCCUAUUCUGGUCGUGCCAACAUGUUCUGUCUUGUUCUUUGUCUUACUGAUUUGGGUGGUUGCGCGUCAUGUUUCUACAAGCUGUAUUUUUAAGCUUCAGGAGCAAAGGUAUUUUGGUUCUACCAUUUAGAUGAUGGUACUAAAGCAUUUGUAUUAUGGAUUGCACAACCCCUUAUAUGGGAUAUCUUUGCACCAAUUGUUUGGUAAUCAAGAGAACUCUCAUAUUAAACAAAGUCAUCUUCUAUUAGUAAUAAUAAUAAUAAUAAUAAUAAUUGUGUGAUUUGGAUGCUUGUGAGUGACGAACAAUAGGGUUGUUUAGGUGUUGUUGGGUAUUGAAAAGUAUAGUAAUAAUAAUAGUAAUUUUUUUUUUAAAAAGUUUUAAUUUAGUUUAAGUAUACAAAAGAAAUAAAUUGUUAGAAUAGGAUUUGGAAGAAAUAUGAGUUUAUAAAAAAUUUGGAAAUUCAUUAAAUUAUAUUAUUAUUGUUUAAGAAGUUGAAAGUAAUAUGGGGUGGUAAUAAUAUUAUCAUACGAAAUUAAUUAGGAUCCCUAAUACUAAAUAAAAUAUCUUUAGGAUUGUCAAAUUUUUACCUUUAGAUAAUUGUGUAUGAUAUUAUAUUAGGUGGGGAGUAAAUUCAUCAAGCUAAAUACUUCAAGUUUUUGAGUGCUUCUUCAAGGUAAGGGAAAUUAAUGCAGAUUUUUAUAAAAGAAAAUAAUUUUCUUUUUAUAUUGUAUUUUGAAUUGUGUAAAAAUAUUAUUUUUAUCUUUACACAUGGAUCAAAUAUAUGUUUUGUAUGGAAAGUAUGUUUGAGCAUUUUCUUUAUUUAUGAAAAAUGAAAAAUUGAGGAGAUAUGAUGUUUUGUUUUGUAAGUUUGAAUUAAUGAAAUAAAGUGUUUGACUUUGGAUUAUAUGACCCUAGUAAACGAGUUAUAAUUGUUAACUUUUUUUGUCCUAGUCAACGAGUUAUAAUAGUUGAUAUUAUAUGGCCCUAGUCAACGGGUAAUAAUAGUUGACCUUAUGGUCAUAGUCAAUGGGUUAUAAUAGUUGACCUUAUGGUCCUAGUCAACGGGUUAUAAUAGUUGACCUUAUGACCCUAGUCAAUAGGUUAUAAUUGUUAACAUUUGGUUUUGUUCAUCUUAAAUGGAACAAAUUUGAAACUAGUUACUCAAUUGUGAAGUCCCACCUAAUUGGGCACCAUUUAUCAUACGAUAAUCAGAGUAAAGAUAUUUUGAAUGUAUUCGAUUUGGUUUUGAAGAGAAAUUGUUUUGAAAUGGAUAUGAGAAAGUUUUGUUAAAAAGUAUGAAUGUAUUAGCAUUUUGAACUCAAAAGUUUUUAUGAAAAUAAGUAUAUAUUAUAUCUCCUAUUUGCAAGCAUAAUUGAAAACGUUUGAUCCAUGAAACUGUAUUAAUGUUCCUUACUAUGCUUUGAGCUCAUCCCCUUUUGUUGAUAAUCUUUCAAGCAACCUCAGUUCGGGUGAGAAGUGACCGUUAUGAGGGAAAUUCGGCUUUAUUAGGACAUUUUUUUAAACUCUUUUUAUUUUGGAUAUUGUUUAGAUGUUAAAACUUAAUUCUUGUUUGAAUUAUUUUGAGUUUUGAGUUAUUUGGACAAUAACACUUUGGUUGAUGUAUUAGUUUUUUUUUUAAAGGUGAUACUUGGAGAUUUUAGAAUUUUGUCUUACUACUUUGAACAGAGAUUUGAUAAUUGGUAAAUUUCUAGUUAUAAUACGAAUGUUUGUGUCGCUUCCACUUUGAGCUUUUGGACUCGAGGUGUGAAAUGACCGUCAUGUCCUUGAAGUGGGUUUUGGGGCAUGACAUAGAGAGAUACCUAUAAGACUUUUUGGACUAUUGGGUUUGGAAUACUUGAAUUUAUUAUAUAAUUAUCUCGAUAGUCAGUUUCUUAAUUUGGAAAAAACGCAUAGAUUGAUGGUACUGAAUUUAUCACUUAAUUCUUUGUCAGGUCAGAUCCUAGAAAAUAUUUCCAAUCUUUGAAACCUAACGCCAUUGAACAUUUCAUAACAUUGCCUCUUUGGAAUGGUUCUAAAAGAGUGGGGCUAUUAGGAGGUUUCCAAGAGCAUUCGCAGGGAUCCAGAGCUAUUCGUGCAAUCCUUGGAUAAACAAUGUUAGAUAGCACAAGGACAUGCAAGCUUGAAAUAAAUAGAGGUAUUGUAGACCCUCAAUUUUGUCCCUUGACACUUGCAUUUUAUCCUAUGGGUGUCACAUGCACCCAUGCUUUCAUAUGAUUUCUCCAUGGCCUCCUUUUGGCCUUGAUAGGUUUCUGAGCCUUGUGUAGGUUCAUUUGCGGUCCAAUGUAGUGCGGGUGUGUAGUUCAUUUUGGAGUUCCAUCAUGGCCAAGUUCCUAGUUGUCACAUCAUGCUAUAGGGAAGGAAGUGAGGCCCCCCAAAAAUUUUAGUUCAGUUGGAAUUCAUAAGAGCGGGUUUGAAUUCAGAGCACUUGGGCUUGUUUUGAUCAUAUCUCCCUCAUCCGAACUUGGAAUUGCGCACCGUUUUUUUUUUUAUGGACUCCUUAUUCGUCAAGGAAAAUUUCAAAAUUUUUUUUCUCAACCAGCUUGACCGGUUCCCAAAGUUUGAGAUUUUUUCUCAAUCGGAUGAACCGGUUGGGAACCGGUUCAACAGGUGGCUUGGUGGCAGCCCCGUUUUAUAAAUGCUUUGCAUUGUUUCGGCCGGUUCUCCCUCAUCUGGGCUCAGAAUUGAGCACCGUUUGUUUUUUGGAUUCCUUGUUCUUUGAGGAAUCUUCUGGUAAAGUUUCAGAUUUUUUCUCAAUCUGAUGGACCAGUUGGGAACCGGUUCAACAGGUGGCUUGGUGGUAGCCCCGUUUUGUAAACGCUUUGCAUUGUUUCAGCCUGUUCUCCCUCAUCUGGGCUCAGAAUUGAGCACCGUUUGUUUUGUUGGAUUCCUUAUUCUCUGAGGAAUAUUUUUAUAAAGUUUAAGAUUUUUUAUCAAUCGGAUGAACCAGUUGGGAACCGGUUCAGCAGGUGGCUUGGUGGCAGCCCCAUUUUAUAAACGCUCUGCAUUGUUUCGGUCGGUUCUCCCUCAUCCGGGCUCGGAAUUGAGCGCCGUUUGUUUUGUUGGAUUCCUUAAUAUCUGAGGAAUCUUCUGGUAAAGUUUUAGAAUUUUUUUCUCAAUUAUUCGAGCCAGUUGGGAACCGGUUCAACCGGUUAUGCUAGGUAGCUCCAGUUUCAGCGUGUUUUAACCCCCAUUUUUGUUGUGGCUUGGGCCCUUAGACUCCAAGGCACUUGUAGGCCACCUUUAGGGUCUGAAUCCAAAUUUGGUUUGAAUUAAUGUGGGCCUACCUAUGAGUCGAGGGUAUUAUUGGCUAGGAAGGUUAGGGGGUUAUUGUGAAUGUUUGGCUUGGGUACAUUUUGAUGUUUGAUUAAAAAUGCUUGUAUCUAUUGAUUUGCCCUUGUUUGCAGCGCUUGGCUGGGGACCCGAGGUACGUACUUGACUUGUUGGGAAUUGGAUUCAUUUGCAUGCGUGGGGCUUGGAUAUGUUUGCUUGUUGUGUGUUUAUAUUGCUUGACUAACCUCUUAUGUAGCGCUUAGCUAGGGACCUCAGGUACACACCUUUUAGCUUUGAUUUGUGGAGACUAAGUGCACGCUAGAUACUGAGCAGGUUCGUGUGAUCUAUGUCAUUUGUUUAGCCUGAUUGAUCAAUUGAUUUUUGACCCAUAUGCUCCCAUGUGCCCAAUUCAUUAGUAGAGAGUAGAGACCGAGUUCCAGGCCUAAAGAGGUGCUCCCUCACAUGAGGUACCUUCCCAAUAGGUAACCUGAUCCCCGGACCCAGAAUCUAGUUUUCCCAGAUUGCUUUUUCCAUAUUGGAGUCAUUAAGGGUUUUUGUUCUUACUUGAUUUUCCCCUUUAUAAAAUAAAAAUAAAAAGUAAGUGGCGACUCCAAACAAUCCUCACCGGGAACGGAUUUUCCAAAACCCAAAAACACACUUACUUUCUUAUUCUUUUAAAAAGCGUGUCGCGUCGGCCCGUGGAUCGGGUGAGAGUCCACAAAUUGGUGACUCCACUGGGGAUCGAACCUAGGAUCUCUGGUUUCAUAAGAGAAUCAAGCUUGAACUUGAAUUGGGUAUAUUGGAGCACAUGGUUCUCUGAUCAGUAGACUCUUAGGCUACAUAGAUGACUAAUGAUCACGUACUUGAUUGGUAUCUGGCUUGCACCUUUGAUGUGUUGAUGCUUGUGUGUCCACUUGAUUGGUUUUAACAUGCUUGCUCAUUGUUGAUUGGUACUUAGUUAUGAGAUUUGGGAUUGUCAUAAAUGGUCAGAUUGUGUGUAGAUUUUAUGGUAGGCCUUGCCCUUUGCGCAUAACUGUUUGCUGCAUGGCUACACUUUUUCUUGCAUGACUGUUUGCCGCUUGUGUUUUGGGGCGCGCUUGUAUCCCCUUAUUUUCGAAUUACUAGUCUUGGUUGACUAUUCCUCAUUGAUUGCUUGAGUUGUUUGGGAGUCAUUCCCAACUGUUUGCCUUCGACCAAGAUAGGGGUUUGGGAGUAGGGUCUAGCAUAAGGGUUAUAUUGAUGUUUGGGAGCACUAUGAAGAUGAUGGAUAUCCGAGCAAUGAAGAUCUGUAUAGCCCUGAGCUGGAUUUCAUGGAUACAUGCGUGGCCAGUGUGUCGCUUUGAUUGUUGAUUGAUUGUAGGUUAGGAUCAGAAGUUGCGUAUCCCUGUGGGUACAUUCAUCUAGCUUGUAGGACUUGCCUUUUCCCAUUAUUAGCUUUUGAGCCACCUUACUUCUGAGGUAUCACCAUGUCAGAGUCCUGUUCCUACCUGUGGAGCCAUAUAUUGGAUUAGCUGUUGACAUCACAUGUCAGCUCAUUCCUUUAGAGGAUUUAGUUGUAAGAUUGCAUUACUAGAUUGAUUUAAGGAUUAAUAGUCACGGGAACUGACGUACCCCUUUCCUUUUGUAGGAUUGUUGAUCGAGACCGACUUGGGUUCUCGAGCUUGGAUCUAGAUCGGAGGUUGAUUGGUUAGAGGAUCAGAUCUACACAGUCAGUUAGAGCAGAUAUCAGAUCAUAGAGAUAUGGACCCCCAAUACGCCACUAUUGACCAGUUGACUGAGAUUACAGAUACCAUGGCAUCACUCCGGGAUGCUAUAUUGGGAUUGGGUCAGAGAAUAGAUGGGCACCAGGCCCAGCCAUUGCCGGUUCCGGGGAGCACCCCGCUUGACUCUACUGCACCUCCACCUCCACCAUUGCCAUCUAGGCCUACUAUACAGUAGGAUUAUAUAGUUCCAUCUCCGCCACCACCCCCAAUUUAGUCAGCCCCGUGGGCUAGGGCCUUUAUCUUACAUGGUCAGACUGAGACUACGCCACAUUCUGUUGUGUCACCUACACAGAUUGUUGAUGACACUCAGGCCCAUAUCGAUAGGAUUGAGCAGAGGAUCAGGUCUCUACAUGUUUUUGAUGGAUGGGUUGGGACGGAUAUGAUGACUUGCCAGUGGCAGCUUUGCUAGUUGAGUUCUGCAUGUCGGACAUUGAGAGGUACACGAGGAUAGGGUGCCCCUGUAUUCAUUUACAAUUGUAUAGCACUAUUAUGCGCUGGCAUAGAUUGGACAAGGCACAGAUGAUCAUGCUAUUCCUUCUGUCUCUAAGUGGUGCCGCUCAGCGUUGGUUUGCCUCAUUGGACCCUUCAAGGCACCGGACAUGGGCUGAUUUGGCACAGGAGUUUCUUAGACAAUAUUCUUUUAAUACUAUAGUGGAUGUAUCCCGAAGGGAGCUAGAGGCCCUCAAGCAAAGGCCAGAUGAGUCAGUUACUUCAUUCAUCUCCUGCUGGAGGGAGAAGAUAGCACAAAUUAUAGAUAGAUCCUCCGAGCGUGAUCAGAUCAGCAUGAUUAUGUGCAGUCUUCACCCUCGCUUUGCCAAGCAUCUCAUGGGCUUUCCACAGACAGACUUUGGAUCAUUGGUUCAGGUCCUCUAUGGCAUUGAAGAGGGCAUAGCUAGAGGAUUAUGGGUAGACUCUUCCCGUUCAAACUCAAAGGGGAAGAAGCCAGGGUCAGGAUCCAGGCCUUCAGAUGUUGGUACCAUUGGCACGAUAGGGCACAGGUCCCAUCGUCACCCUCCUUCUCAGAGACAGUUCUUAGACACUCUUUACCAGAUGAUACAACACGAUCAGUACAAACCAGUUGCUCCCUAUAGGCCGACAGGGCCUACUUAUCUAUAUCUGGCACCGUAGCCGAUAUAUGCUACAUAGGCUCCUUAGAGGCCACCUGUACAGUUCCAUCAGCAGUAUAGAGCACCGCCUCCACCGAGGUCGGCUAGGCAGUUUACAUAGUUAGAGAUUGGUUGAGGGGGGUUUGAUUGCUCCACUACCACCCAGACCAUCACCACAUCCUACCCCACUAGGAUUCAGGAUAGAUCUUCACUAUGCCUACCAUCAGAGAGCUGGCCAUGAUACAGACAAUUGUGCGAUGCUGAGGCACGCCAUUCAGGACUUGAUUAAUCAGGGUUUGGUUGAUUUAGGACGCCCUGCAGUGACUACAGACCCACUACCUACUCAUGACAUUAGAGCUGUAUCUUCACCCCCGGGGAACGUACAUUUGAUUGAUUUUUCAGGAGAUGAGAUAUUCAUGAUGGGGUGGGACGGAGAGGCUCCUCAACCUAUUAGUCUGUACGAGGACUCAGAUUUUAGUGGAUAUAUCCAUGGACAGUAAGCUCCCAGGCCAUUCAGAUUGAUCCCGAAUGAGAUUCCCCAACAGACAGCAGUAUCGUCGGUAUACUUACAACAUGUUCUGCCCAUGACACCCUUCAUUCUAUUCCUGGAAGAGUAUAGGCCCGUUCACAGAGAUGUUCAGAUUGUUACACGGAGUGGGAGAGUAGCUCAGCCUCUACCCUUUGAUAAGUCUUUUGUUGGCACAGAUGUUAGAGAUGAUGUUUAGAGAGAGGAUGAUGAGAUAUUGCACCAGCUGUGCACCACACAGGCUCGCAUAUCCAUUUGGAGCCUCUUGGCAUUGUCCAGCACACAUAGAGAUGCCUUGGUCAGAGCUCUUAGUUAGAUCAGAGUUGACACUGCUACUACUCCUGAUGGACUGAUUCACUUUCUGACGGUUGAUAAAGCUACAUGCAUUGUAUUUUCAGAUGAUGAUUUACCACCUAAGAGAUCAGAUCAUGUUUGACCCUUAUUCAUUGAUGUUGCUUGUUCAGGUUGUUGGGUGCCGUUUGUCCUGCUAGACAACGGCUCCGCCUUGAACAUAUGUACAUUGGUUACUGCCAUUGCUUUGGAAUUUUCACCAUCCGAUUUUGGGCCAUCUACGCAGACCUUCAAAGCAUACGAUGGGACUCAGAGGACAGUUAUGGGUACUCUCACUACACAUGUCAUGAUAGGGUCGGUCAGAUAUUCUAUACUCUUUCAGGUUUUGAGGAUCCAGACAUCCUUUAACUUACUUCUCGGCUUCCCCUAGAUUCAUGAGGCGGGUGUUAUACCAUCUUCCCUUCAUCAGAAGGUGAAGUUCAUACACGAAGGGUGCAUUAUCACGAUACAGUCAGACAGAGACGUUGUUACCUCUUCCAAGCCAGUGUUACAGAUCAGUCACAAUGAGAAUGACUUGCACUUGACCGGAUUUACUUUUGAUGAGGUUCAGGUUGUUAGUUUAGAGGAUGACAACAGAGACAUGGUACCUAUGUCUUUUGAUCAGUAUAGCGGCACUUUGGUACUCAGUAUGAUGAGAGGCAUGUCCUAUAUGCCUGGCUUGGGAUUGGGUCACCGCCAACAGGGGUCGUGCGAGUUUGCUUUCACAGUUGAUCAUGAUAUACCACAUGGAUUGGGUUACACUCCUUCUGAGGAGGAUGCAUGACACAUGGCGCGAUUGAUCCGAGAUAAGGUGAGAGCUCGCUUGUCCGAGGUUCCAUUCGAUUACCCCCUUCGCCCAUACACUUUUCAGUUGGCUGACUAUUUUGCCAAAGGAUUAGAGCAUGCACCCCACACAAAGGGAGUUGAUCGUGUUCAUGAGGUAGUUGAGAUUCAGGGUAUUCAAUAGGCCUUAGGACAAAUGUGUUUUGAGUUCUGAGACCACCGAGCCACCCAAGGCCAUGGUAGUUGCAUCCCCAUCGACAUUGGUCGUAUCCUUGACACAGCCCCAGGUGGGCCCCAUUAUGCUUUUGAUAUGUUUGGAGUUUCUAUGAUUAAUUCUGAUGGUGUGACACUUUAUGACGCUUGCACUGACACGAUGGACAUGAUCGGCACUGGCCGCAUUUUGGAUACUUCCCCACCUAGGCCCCGAUCCGCUUUUGAUGUGUUUGGGAUUUCUAUGCUUGAGUUUGAUGGUGAUGGACUUGUUGCUACUAAUAUUACUCAUGAUACUAUUUUUGUUGAGGGAGUGUUCGACUCUGUGGACCUACCUCUUUCUUUUGACACUAUGUCCGGGUUUGUCACCCGCUUUGAUGACAUUUCUGAUGGUAAUAAUGACAUGAGUAUUUUCGAGUAUUUGCCUGUGUCACAACAUUUUCCUUUGAUUGCACCACGAGCAUCCACAGCACAUGUAUGUGAUGUUGAUGAUGUGGAAGACACAGAUGACCCACUAAGUGGUCAGUCAGAGUGUGACUCUGAUUCAGAUACGGAGGAUAGGAAAGCUACACCCAUUUCUGGUAUCACUGAGUUGAUAGAUUUUGGGGCACCUAACUAGCCUAGGGAGCUUAGGAUUGGCUCUUCCCUAUCUCCCGAUGAGAGAAGUAGAUUGAUAGACCUAUUCAGGUCAUCCUUAGAUGUAUUUGCAUGGUCGUAUGAGGACAUACCGGGCCUUGACCCCACUAUAGUUCAGCAUCACCUGCCCAUUUUGCCAUAUGCUAGGCCAGUUAAGCAGAAAUUGAGAAGAGUACACCCUCGAUGGAGUUUGUAGGUGAAAGAGGAGAUUCAGAAGUAACUCAGUGUUGGAUUCUUGUCAGUGGUUGAGUAUCUUGAGUGGCUGGCUAAUGUCGUCCCUAUUCCCAAAAAGGACGACAAGGUUAGAGUUUGUGUUAACUUCCAAGAUCCGAACAAGGCCAGUCCUAAGGAUGAUUUUUUCUUCCAGCACAUCUGAUUCGUGCCCAGUCGGUGUAUCAGUUGAUUCAUGUCCAGCUAGUGCUCCUUGCUUGAGGAAGUAAUCAACAAAAUUUAUAACCUAUUACACCAUGAACUAGGGUAGCAAAGACAAAGCUACUAUAGCAUAGUGGCUCUAGGAUUGUUCACUGGGAAGGGUUUUUAAUUCAUAAAUGAUACCAAUUCAAAGCUGAAUUGGUGCCUUUUGAUUUCAAGGUUAGCUUUAAAAGAAAACAUAAUUUUUGGAUGAAAAAGGUUUGGUUUAAACUAACGGUAAAGAAAGUAAUGGAAAUUACUUAUGAAGAAAAACAUUCCUUGAAGGUUUAGGUUCACAGGGGAGGUUCCUCGUGCAAAAACAGAGCUCUGGUCAUUUGGUUCAUUUCCUCGCAUUAGAGAAUUAACAUAUAGUCAAUUCUCUAAUCGGCUCUGUACAGAUGCUUCCCUUUAAUGGGUUCAAACACUAAAUCACUCUCACUGAUGCACCUUGCAAUGGCUCAUACCUCUCACCUAGCACUUGCCAUUCAAGGUGAUCUUUAACCUUGGACUUCCCGUCAAAAGCUCGUAAGAGAUAACUAAUGGAUGUCUCCUUGGAGUCCAAAAGCUUACCAAGUGUUAGCUAUUCUAGAAAAUCCUACCUUCAAACCACCUCCCAAAGGCUCGCAAUAGAUAAACUAGUGCAUCUCAAUGGAGAUCACUUGCCUUAUCAAGUGUUGGCCUAGGUGAUUUAAAGGUGUUUUAAGUUAACUAAAAACAUAGAAAUCAUUAAUGGGUCAUACUUUCUCUUCAUUAAUGGCUGAAACCGCAAAGCUACUAAUUCUUGCACUUGGAACCUUUCCCAGCAACCUUAACUCCAAGGAACUAAAAGUCUAGCCACUCAUUCUCUGAGGAAACAUCCUUAGAGCUUGUUUGGCUAGUAAGAAAAUACAAUUAAAAUGAGAAGGUAAAGCAGAGCAAAACUUUGUAUUUUUCUUCCUUUUAAAAACUAUACAAAAGUUUUUUCGUCGUCCUUUUUUGGGAACAGGCUCCCGAGAGAUAUAUAUAUGGAAAAUUACAAAAUAUCUAUCUGAGGUUAUUCACCCUUUUUCCAAACUUAAUAACUAAGGAAUCCUAUAAUUGGUGGGUUACAAGGAGAUUUUGGGGAUUUAGACAACAAAUAUCUAAAGCAAAAUAUCUCAAAAUAUCCCAAAAUAUCGGUGGCAAAUAUUAGGACGCUUCAGGAGAACACCGCAGCACUGUGCAAAAUGGCUGCUCUUCCAUCCGGGUAGACGCUAUCAGAUGAUCCGGAUACGUCCGUCCGGAGAAGUUGAAACACUCUCCUUUUCUAUCCGACAUCAGAAUUCUGGACGUGAACAUCUGGGUGGAAGUGGUGGCAGUCGGGUACAAAUUGGCGGCAGCCGGGUGCAAAAUGGCGGCAGCCGGGUGCAAAUGGCGGCGCACAUCCAGAUACAAAUUAGCGGCAGUCGGGUGCAGAAUGGCGGCAGCCGGGUGCAAAUGGCUGCGCACAUCCGGAUACAAAUUGGCGGUAGCCGGGUGCAAAUCCUAUCUGGAUAUGUGGUCCGGAUGCUCUCCGAUGGUGUAUCCGGACGCCCUGUCCGGGUAUACUCCUUACAUAGAUUCCAAAUAACUCUCCUCAAUUUCAGAUUUGCUUUGGUGAUAAAAAAGCUAUCAAAACACCAAAACUUAACACAUUUUUUAUUAGAAUUGAUUGCAAGGUCCUUAACAUGCCAAUUGAGUUAAAAGGUGAUAACUACUACUCAAAAGUGUUUAAAAGAGUUAAUUACAAGCUAUGAAAUAGCACAUUUUGAGUAGUAAUCACUCCCCCUAACCGACAUAUUGCUAGUCCCUUAGCAAUGAAAGAGAGAAAAAAUAAAAAUAAAAAGUACUGUAAUUUACAACAUCAUGCUGAUAAAAAAAAAACAAUUUCCAAGCGGCAUGAUGAUCUAACUCUCACAUGGAAUAUUAAAGAAAUAAAACUCAAACUUCAACAAGAGUUAUCAAAAAAUUUGUCUAAUCACAAUUCUUAAAGAGAAGGCUUUAUGCAAAUUUAAGCUUUAAAAGAGUUUCCACUCCCAAAGGGUCAAACCUUACUCUUCCACAAAAAUCUAAGUGUUACUUGAUAGCUUCCGAAUAUAGUAUGUUGAACUAAUCUCUCCCCCCAACCUAACUCUUUUCCAACACUUAGUAAACUGACCAAAUUCAAUAGGCUAAGAACGCACCCUUUUAUUUCACAUUUAAGGUAUUCUUUUCUAAAUUGUCCAUGUAACGGGGGUCCAUCGAUGACUCCCAACCAAUUAAGGUUUAGGGCAUCAAGCUUUAAGGAUCUUUCAACCACUAACUCCUCGAAUUUUACCCCGGACUUUUGAGAAUGAAUUUUUAUACCCAAGCACCUACAGUAUGUUAAACUCCACCUAUUCACCCUUGUAACGAGCAUUGAGGUCGGUGACUCCCAACCAACGAAGGCUUAGGGCACCAGGUUUUAAAGAUUUUCACCAUAUACCCCUCAGACCUUGCUCGGGUUUCAAGGCAAGCAAACAUUUUUUUAUUUUUUUAUUUUUUAUUUUUUUAUUUUUUUUUCCCAAAGGCUCAUUGGCCUUUUACAAGGUGUCCUAACACUAUUAAAUGAGGGCAAAGGUACCAAGUCUAAAAUUUUCUUAAGUCAAGAGGGAAAUAGUUUUUCAUCUUAUACUCGGAACUUAUUGUGCACAGUGUGUGAAUAGCUUAAAGUGGAAGACAUAAGCUUGAAUUCAAUAGAAAUUUCAACAAUUCAUCAACUUUAAUAAGCAUAAUACAAACUCUAAGUUAAGUAAAAAGACAAAAAUUCAAUUUCUCCCAUUUCAUUUUGAAAAUUUUUCCUUAAUAACCAUGGAGAGUAGAAUAAAAACUUAAAAAUUAAGCAAAAAACAACUAAAUUACCAAAAUAGCUUAGCAUUAAUAACAAAAACUUCCUUCCUCAACUCCCCCCCCAACCAAGCUGAACAUUGUCCUCAAUGUGACAAAGCGAUUAAAAAAUAGGGAGAAAGUGGUACCUCCUGAGUGGCGUGAAGUCUGAGAUGUAUAGGAGAAACCACAUGUUUCAAAAAAACAAUAAAAGAUAUGAGUAGAGGAAUUAAAAUAAUAUAAUGCUAAGUGUGGUCACAUACAACCAAUCCCACUAUAUAACACUAAAAAGAUGGGGAUUUCAAAAAGGAAAUACAUAAAGUAAAGUAUGUAAAUGAUCAGAAAUGGGGAGGAUGAUGCUGGUAAGCUGAUGACUCAGGCAUGGGGCUCUGCAGUGGUAGGGGUGAGAUGCUCAAUAGCUGAUGGAAGACCCAGAUGGUGCUGAAGCUGACUCAGGAUGGCAGUGUGCUGAGUCUGGGUGGUCAAAAUCUGCUCCUGCUGAGAACGAAUAGCUGACAUCUCUUGAGCAAGGCUGCUCUGAGUCGCGGUCAGUGUCUGCAAUGUGUGGCAUAGGUCUCUAUACUCUGAAAUGGGUAUGGUCAUUCUAAGCUCGGUUGAAGUAGAAGGCUCUGAUGCAGCUGGAAUAACUGGCGGGGUGCUAUGGGUGGCAGGAAAAGCAGAGGGUAUAUCCUCAUGUAUGGGCUCUGUAGAUGCUCUCCUGGCAGCUGGUAUCUCAGCUGGCUGUGGGUCCUCUGACUGCUGUGGCUGUGGAAGCUCUGGAUGCUUUGUUCUAUAUGCUGUCAUAUUGGUUCACUUGUCGAGAGUGAAUACCUCUCGGCAUAUGCGUUUGCGCUCCAACUGAGGGUCUGAUGGAUACCCCAGAUGCUCCAAAAUUUGGCAUAGCAAUCUCGGGAAAAGAAGUGGAAUAGCAUCUGCUCGCAGCAGCUUCUUCCUAUGCACCUUCUCUUCAUAGUAGAGAAGGACAGCCAUAAUUAGAUGGUGAGGGCCAAAGAAAUAUCCCUCUGAUAUCCUAAACAGGGCUUCUAGCAGAACUCCUCUCCUCUGCACCCAAUGCUGAAGUGGAUAAAUGUUGUGGCGCAAGAGUGCAUCAAUGAAGAACAUGCUCGGAGGAAGUUCCUUCCUCAACAGAUAUGGAUUUGUGGAUGUUCCUCUGGACAAGAGAUGAACCAUUUCAAGCUGGGGAGGAUUAGUCCAUACUCGAUAAUCCUCUAGACGGGCUGGCUCAUAUGGAAUAUGCAGGGCCUCUGCUAUGUGGCGAGCUCCUAAAAUACAAUGACGUCCGUCAAUGGUGAAGUGAAUAAGAGUAGCAUCUCUGACCUGAUUAGUAGUCAUGGACUGAUAGAGUUCCGUUGCUACUCGGGGAUAGAAAAAAUCCCUGGGGGUCAACAAAUGCUCCAUGCGAUAUCUGUGCAGUAGAUGGAAUGAGUCUGCUAGCUCCGGCUGAAGCCUGAAGGUGGCUGUGUCAAAACACAGCUCAGAGUGAAAUGGUCGAGCUCGGCAGUCCAAAUUCCCUUCAAUGGGCAGCUGAGGCUCCACCGGAGGUUCUAAAGACGACGCCAGAGUUGGGUCUGGCGAGGGCUCUAGAGAGGGCUCCGUUAAGUCGAUUGGCUUUGCAUUUACUACCCUGGGUUUCUUUUGAGGGGGACGGCCACCUGACCUGGUCUGAUAACGCCUCGCCGGAUGACUCAACGGCAUGGGCUUGGCCGAAGGUGGGGCGGCUACUUGUCGCGGAGGCUCUAAUGUGGAGCCUUGAAUAGGCGCCUUUCGCAAGACUCUCAUGCGGCUUGACGGAAAUGAUGACUUUGCUCCUCUGGUUCGCGCCAUGGCGGACUGAAGAAAAUGGCCGGAGGUGAUGGCCGAUGGCUCGCGCGGCUUCGGGCUCAGGUGAAAGAGAAAACAGACGGUUGCUCUGAUGUUCUUCCUUUCUGAACCCUUUUGGCAGCUUAAAUGACCGAUUUUUAUAAAAAUAAAGGAAUAUCAAGGGUCGUUUUCACAGCUCAUUUCGCAACUGCGAAAUGAGGGGAACUGUGCUGCGAAAUGGCACUCGUGUGCCAAGAGGGUGCUUCACAGCUGCGAAAAUUUUCGCAGAGAGGGGCCUGAGGUUGCGAAAUGAUUUCACAAAGGCUUCUUUUAGGUUGCGAAAUCUCGCAGACCUCUGUUUUUCCCCUGUUUUACACUCUUUCUUGCUCCAAACGACUUUCCUUUAAUUUCUUUGCAAUUCCUCCUACAUGAGAUCAUUUAGAAAUACUAAGUUACAUAUAAAUACACAACUUAAGACCAAAAAUCACAAGAAUUGAUAAAGCUUGAAAUUAACAAAAUUAACAAAAACAAACAAAACAACAAAAAAAAAAAUUAUGGACUUUGGUGAAACCAAGUCCAUCUAACCCUUAUUUGAUUAGGCUUUCUGUGGCUCAAGGAGGUUGAUUUCCUCCUUUUCUGGUUUGAAUGGCUCAAUGAAUGGCUUGAGACGAUGACCAUUGACCUUGAAAAUGUCAGUGCUUUUGGAAUUUAGUAAUUCCACCACUCCAUUGGGAUACACUUGGUGAAUAAUGAAAGGGCCUAUCCACCUUGACUUGAGCUUUCCUGGAAAGACAUGGAGUCUUGAAUCAUAAAGCAAGACUCUUUGUCCUUUAUGGAAUUCUUUGUUGGAGAUUAAUUGAUCAUGCCACCUCUUCAUCCUCUGUUUUGCAACUUUGGAAUUGAUGUAAGCAUCAUUUCUUAAUUCCUCCAUCUCAUUAAGGUCUAAGCACCUCUUUGCCCCAACUCUGAUCAAGUCCAUGUUUAACUUCUUGAUUGCCCACCAAGCUUUAUAUUCAACUUCCACAGGGAGAUGGCAUGCUUUGCCAUAGACUAGGCGAUAAGGAGACAUACCAAGAAUAGUCUUGUAAGUUGUUCUGUAUGCCCAUAGUGAAUCAUGAAGCUUAAUAGACCAAUAUUUUCUGCUCGUGAUCACCACCUUCAUCAGUAUAUUCUUGAUUUCCCUGUUUGCUAGCUCCACUUGCCCGGAAGUUUGAGGAUGAUAAGGUGUAGCUACCUUAUGCUUCACUCCAUACUUGGCUAAUAGGGUUUCAAAAGAUUUGUUGCAAAAAUGAGUACCUCCAUCACUGAUUAUGGCCUUGGGCACCCCAAAUCUUGAGAAGAUGUUCUCCUUAAGAAAUUUGAGAACCACCCUGUGAUCAUUAUGUUUACAGGGGAUUGCCUCAACCCAUUUAGAAACAUAGUCUACCCCCACCAAGAUAUAAGAGUUACCAAAAGACAUUGGGAAAGGUCCUAUGAAGUCAAUACCCCAAACAUAAAAAAGAUCAACUAUUAGAAUGGGGUUCAUAGACAAUUGAUUUCUUUUUGUUAGCUUCCCAAGCCUUUGGCAUCUAUCACAGCUCCUACACAUGAUGUGGGAAUCUUUGAAAAGAAAUGGCCAAGGAAACCCUGAUUGCAACACCUUCAUGACUGUUUUCUGAGAGGCAAAGUGGCCUCCACAUGCAUUUUCAUGGCAAUGGCUGAGGAUCCCUUGUUGCUCUUCUUUAGGGACACACUUUCUUAUGAUCUGAUCUGCACAAUACUUGAAAAGGAAGGGCUCUUCCUAAUAAUAAGCAUGAAUCUUUGCAAAGAAGUGCUUCAUGUCUUGUGCAUUCCACUCACUUGGAACUUCACCAGUAACUAAAUAGUUAGCAAUAUGAGCAUACCAAGGAGCUUUCUCUAGCAACAUAAGUGAUUCCUCAGGAAAGUCAUCAUUAAUAGGUAAGACAUGGGAAUUGUGUGCUAUAGCCAACCUUGACAGGUGGUCAGCUACCACAUUCUCCACCCCUUUCUUGUCUCUGGUCUGGAGAUCGAACUCUUGUAACAAAAGAAUCCAUCUAAUCAGCCUUGCUUUUGCAUCUUGCUUCGUCAAUAAAUACUUCAAGGCUGAAUGGUCAGUGAAAACAAUGAUGAAAGACCCUACCAAAUAAGCACGAAACUUGUCUAAGGCAAACACCACAGCUAACAAUUCUUUCUUUGUAGUUGUGUAGUUCCUUUGAGCCUCGUUCAAUGUUUUGCUUGCAUAGUAGAUCACGUAGGGCUUCCCAUCUUCUCUUUGGCCAAGUACAGCUCCUAUAGCAAAGUCACUGGCAUCACACAUCACUUCAAAGGGUAGUUGCCAGUUAGGAGCCCUCACUAUUGGAGCGGUUGUUAAGAAUUGCUUCAGUUGAUCAAAGCUAUUUUGACAUCUCUCAUCCCAGACAAACUUAGCAUCCUUAGCCAAAAGCUCACAAAGAGGUUUUGAAAGAUUAGAGAAAUCUUUUAUAAAUCUCCUAUAGAACCCUGCAUGGCCAAGAAAUUGCCUUAUUUCUUUCACAGUUGUUGGGGACGACAAUUUGACAAUAAGCUCCACCUUUGCCUUAUCAACUUCAAUGCCUUUCUCGGAGAUGAUAUGGCCAAGGACAAUUCCUUGACGUACCAUAAAAUGACAUUUCUCCCAGUUGAGCACCAAGUCCUUCUCAAUGCAUCUGUUCAGAACUGCUUCCAAAUUGACUAAGCAUUCCUCAAAUGUACCUCCAUAAACGGUGAUGUCAUCCAUGAAAACCUCCAUAAUUCGCUCCACCAUAUCACUGAAGAUACUAAGCAUACAUCUUUGGAAUGUUGCAGGUGCAUUGCAUAAACCAAAAGGCAUUCUUCUGUAGGCGUAUGUUCCAAACGGACAUGUGAAAGUGGUCUUCUCCUGAUCUUCCACAUCAAUUUCAAUUUGGAAAUACCCUGAGUACUCGUCCAAGAAACAAUAAAAAGGAUGGCCUGAGACUUUCUCUAGCACCUGAUCAAUAAAUGGGAGUGGAAAAUGAUAUUUCCUUGUCACAACAUUCAACUUUCGAUAAUCAAUACACACCCUCCAACCUGAAGUGAGGCGUGUAGCAAUUUCUUCUCCUUUUUCAUUCUGAACCACAGUAAUCACUGACUUCUUUGGUACCACUUGAGUAGGACUCACCCAAGGGCUGUCAGAUAUGGGGUAAAUAAUACCUGCUUGAAGUAGCUUCAGCACUUCAGCUCACACCACCUCUUGCAAAUGAGGAUUCAAUCUUCUUUGAGGUUGACGAAUUGGUUUAGCUUCUUCCUCCAUAUAAAUGUGAUGUGUACAAACCAAAGGGCUAAUGCCUUUCAAGUCAGAUAUUUGCCAUCCUAUUACUUUCUUACACCUCUUGAGAACUUCAAGUAAAGAAAUUUCCUGAUGACUAGUAAGAGAUGAAGAUAUAACAACAGGACAUUGAUUAUUUUCUUCAAGGUAUGUAUAUUUCAGCUCCACAAGCAGAGGCUUCAAAUUGAGCUUUGGGGUCUCUUUUUCAGCAGCUUCUCAUUCCUCUUUAUUGAACAAAGGUAGAAUCUCUUCUCUCCUCCUCCAACCUUGUAGAGUAGCAAGCACAUUAGGGGGUUCAGAAAACCCUUCUUCAAGAUCCCCAAGACUUUCAUUCAGCUUGUCUUGCAUAUUCUGAUUACAGUGCUCCUCCACUAGAGUGUCGAUAAUGCAUACCUCUUCUGGAUCUUCUUCUUCUUCCGGAGUGAUUUGCUUUUUAGACAUAUGAAAAAUGUUGAGUUCAAGUGUCAUAUUGCCAAAAGUGAGUUGCAUGAGUCCAUUCCUACAAUUGAUGAUUGCAUUUGAAGUAGCAAGGAAUGGCCUUCCAAGGAUGAUAGGAACUGAAUUAGCUUCCUUUACAGUAGGAUCUGUAUCAAGAAUAACAAAAUCUACUGAAUAGUAGAAAUUAUCAACUUGAACUAAGACAUCCUCAAUUACCCCCCUUGGAAUUUUUACUCAUCUAUCUGCUAGAGAUAGGGUGAUUGAUGUUGGCUUCAACUCACCAAGUCCCAAUUGCUUAUAGACAGAGUAUGGUAGCAAAUUCACACUUGCUCCCAAGUCUAACAAAGCUUUCUCCACUACCUUUCCUCCAAUCAUGACUGAAAUGGUAGGACAUCCCGGAUCUUUGUACUUCAAAGGAGACUUGCAUUGUAUGAUUGCACUUACUUGCUCAGUCAAGAAGGCUUUCUUGUUCACAUUCAACCCUCUUUUGAUAGUACACAGGUCCUUUAGGAAUUUUGCAUAUGUUGGAACUUGCUUAAUCAUAUCCAGCAAUGGAAUGUUGACCUUCACUUGUCUCAAUACUUCAAGGAUUUCUGAUGCAUUUUUUAUCCCCUUUUUCCCAUGCAAAGCUUGAGGAAAAGGUGGAGAUAUACGUUUCUUCAUCAAUUCUUCCUUAAUAAGCUCUUUCUCCAUAUUUGCAUUCACUGUUGAAUCACGGUCCUCCUUCUCUUCACUAACAUCUUUCUGUUUUCCUUUCAUUUCCUCCCCCUUCUUUGUUUCUUCUUCUUCUUCAACAUGUGGCUUGGGUGUUGGUGGCUCAACCUUUUUACCACUCCUUAGAGUGAUCAAGGCUUUAACAUUUUUCACCUGUGACGAUUCUCCCUCAUGGAUUUCCAUUUCAUGGAUACCCUUGGGGUUUUGGUGAGGUUGAGAAGGAAAUCUACCCUUCUCUUGCACUGUGUUCAAGUUAGUGAGCCUUGAUAUUGAGUAUUGGAGAUUAUCUAUCUUUUGAGAUAGAUGAUUUUGCAUCCCAUUCAUCCUUCUCUCUACACUGUCAAUUCUUUGACUGAGUUGAGCAUUGAUGGCUUUUUGGUCUCCAACAAAAUCUUCCACAACCUUGCUUAGAUUCGCUAUUGCUUUUUCAAGACUUGAAGAUUGUUGAGAUAGUUGAGCCGGUUGAGAUGGUGGAGCCGGUUGUUGGUAUUGAGGUGCUCUUGCCUUCCAUGAGAAAUUUGGAUGAUUCCUCCAACUUGAGUUGUAAGUAUUUCCAUAUGGUGCAUUGUUAUUGGGCUUGAAUUGACCAACAACAUUUGCUUGAUCUCCAAACAUUUCCCUUACAGUUGGAAUUGUAGGGCACUCCUCCACCAAGUGUUCAUAAGACUGACAAAUAGGACACAACUUUACUUGCACUGGUGCUUCAGCAACAGCUUGCACUUCAUGCAUCUUUUUCAGUUCUAGCUCCUCCAAUCUUCUUGUCAUAGCUGCAAAUUUUGCUUUCAUAUCAUCAUCUUCAUUCAAGGUGUACAUCCCAGCCUUAGCAUUGAAAGCACUCGAUUGAGACUUCAUCUUUCCCACUUCUCCUUUGUUGGGUUCAUCCCAUCCCCUUGAAACUUCAGCCACAUAACUCAAGAAAUCCAUAGCUUCCUCAGGAUUCUUACUCAUGAAAUCCCCUUCACACAUUGUUUCAAGGAGUUGCUUCAUUGAGGAAGACAUCCCAUCAUAAAAAUAGCUCACCAACAGCCAUGUAUCAAAGCCAUGGUGAGGACAAGCAGUUAUGGCUUCUAUAUAUCUUUCCCAACACUCAUAGAAUUUCUCAUUCUCUUUAGCUGAGAAGUUUGAAAUUUGCCUUUUCAAGCCAUUUGUUCUGUGAGUAGGAAAAAAUUUCUUGAGGAAUUCAGCUUGUAAGUCAGUCCAAGUACGGAUACUCCUUAGCCUUAAAGAAUUAAGCCAGAUCUUGGCCUUAUCCUUUAAAGUAAAAGGAAAUAGCUUAAGCCUCAUCAAGUCGAUAGAAGCUCCUUCCUCUCGGAAUGUAUUACAAACAUCUUCAAAUUCUUUGAUAUGGGCAUAGGGAUUCUCACUUUCCAUUCCAUGGAAAGUUGGUAGAAGUGGCACAAUAUGAGGUCUGAUCACUAGCUGCUCUGUAGGGGGCACUAUACAUGAUGGUGCACUCAUACGAGGUGGAUGCAUUCGGUCCCUCAUUGAGAUGAAAGCAUUGGGAUUAUCCUGGUGACCAUGGUGACUAUGCUGAUCUUCAGGUGUAGCUUCCAUGAUAUUCAAGCUCAAUUCCAAUUCCUUGUUAUGAGGUUAUCAAGUUUAACAAGCCUUCUUCCACUGUCUCGUAUCUAAUUUGGCAUACACAACUAGUAUCGAUUGUAACUAAGAAAGAAAAACAAAAAUAGAGGAAAACAAAAAAAAAACUACCAAAAAGAGUUCGAUUAACUAAAACUAAAUUAAAAACUAUGCUAGUAUAUAAACGAGUAAAAGAAAAAACUAAAAGAGUUAGUAAAAUGAGAGAAAAUUCACUAAACUUGUGAUGAAAACCACAGGUACCUUGAAAUAAUAUCACUAUGAAGUUGGCACCUUCCCCGGCAACGGCGCCAUUUGAUUCGUGCCCAGUCGGUGUAUCAACUGAUUCAUGUCCAGCUGGUGCUCCUUGCUUGAGGAAGUAAUCAACAAAAUUUAUAACCUAUUACACCAUGAACUAGGGUAGCAAAGACAAAGCUACUAUAGCAUAGUGGCUCUAGGAUCGUUCACUGGGAAGGGGUUUCAAUUCAUAAAUGAUACCAAUUCAAAGCUGAAUUGGUGCCUUUUCAUUUCAAGGUUAGCUUUAAAAGAAAACAUAAUUUUUGGAUGAAAAAGGUUUGGUUUAAACUAAUGGUAAAGAAAGUAAUAGAAAUUACUUAUGAAGAAAAACAUUCCUUAAAGGUUUAGGUUCACAGGGGAGGUUCCUCGUGCAACAACAGAGCUCCGGUCAUUUGGUUCAUUUCCUCGCAUUAGAGAAUUAACAUAUAGUCAAUUCUCUAAUCGGCUCUGUACAGAUGCUUUCCUUUAAUGGGUUCAAACACUAAAUCUCUAUCACUGAUGCACCUUGCAAUGGCUCAUACCUCUCACCUAGCACUUGCCAUUCAAGGUGAUCUUUAACCUUGGACUUCCCGUCAAAAGCUCGCAAGAGAUAACUAAUGGAUGUCUCCUUGGAGUCCAAAAGCUUACCAAGUGUUGGCUAUUCUAGAAAAUCCUACCUUCAAACCACUUCCCAAAUGCUCGCAAGAGAUAAACUAGUGCAUCUCAAUGGAGAUCACUUGCCUUAUCAAACUAGUGCAGUCGGGUACAAAUUGGCGGCAGCCGGGUGCAAAAUGAUGGCAGCCGGGUGCAAAUGGCGGCAGCCGGGUGCAAAUGGCGGCGCACAUCCGAUACAAAUUGGCGGCAGCCGGGUGCAAAUCCUAUCCGGAUAUGUGGUCCGGACGCCCUCCGAUGGUGUAUCCAGACGCCCUGUCCGGGUAUACUCCUUGCAUGGAUUCCAAAUAACUUUCCUCAAUUUCAGAUUUGCUUUGGUGAUAAAAAAGCUAUCAAACACCAAAACUUAACACAUUUUUUAUUAGAAUUGAUUGCAAGGGUCCUUAACAUGCCAAUUGAGUUAAAAGGUAAUAACUACUACUCAAUAGUGUUUAAAAGAGUUAAUUACAAGCUAUGAAAUAGCACGUUUUGAGUAGUAAUCAACAUCGAUAUGCUAGUUGACAGCACUGCAGGGCAUUCGAUGUUGUCCUUCAUGGAUGGAUUUUAUGGGUAUAACCAGAUUGUAAUAGCUCUAGAGGAUAUGGAGAAGACUUCUUUCAUCACUAAGUGGGGUACUUAUUGCUACCUGCUUAUGCCAUUUAGGUUGAAGAAUGCGGAAGCCACUUAUCAGAGAGCUGCUACUACUUUAUUCCACGACAUAAUGCACAGAGACGUCGAGGUAUAUGUGGAUGACAUGAUAGUGAAAUCCCGAGACAGGGCAGAUCACUUAGCAGCACUACAGAGAUUCUUUGAGAUGAUCUGACAGUUCAGGCUAAGAUUGAAUCCCAAGAAGUGUACAUUUGGGGUGACUUUUGGGAAAUUGCUAGGACAGAUCGUCAAUGAGCGUGGUAUAGAGGUUGAUCCCGAAAAGAUCAGAGCCAUACUUGACAUGCUUGCUCCGAGGACUGAGAGAGAGAUUAAAGGCUUUCUUGGCAGACUACAGUAUAUAAGUUGUUUCAUUGCUAGAUUGACAGACAUAUGCGAGCCUAUCUUCCUUCUUCUGAGGAAGAACCAGCCUACAGUUUGGAAUGAUGAUUACUAGCGCGCUUUCCAGAAGAUUAAGGAGUGUCUCCUCUCUUCUCCAGUUUUAGUGCCUCCCACACGGGGGUGGCCUCUGCUUCUGUACUUGUCCGUUUCAGACAUGGCUUUGGGAUGCAUGUUAGCUCAGCUCGAUGAUUCAGGGAAGGAGCGAGCCAUUUAUUAUCUGAGUAAGAGGAUGCUGGAGUAUGAGUGCAAAUACAUUAUGAUUGAGGGCCUCUAUUGAGCAUUUAUUUGGGCCACCAAGAGGCUGAGGAACUACGUGACAGAGUAUUCCAUAUUAUUAGACUCACGAUUGGAUCCAUUGAGAUAUUUGUUUGAGAGGCAUGUCCUGACUGGUAGGCUCAUGAGAUGGUUGGUGCUGUUGACAGAGUUUGAUAUUUAGUAUGUUACACAGAAGUCGGUAAAAGGGAGCAUUGUUGCAGAUCAUUUGGCUUUUUUUCCCGUAUCUAACGACAAACCGAUUGACGAUGAUUUCCCUGAUGAGCAGUUUGUCUUAGUGACCAGUAUUGCAGGAUGGUGGUUAUACUUUCAUGGUGCUGCCAAUCAGUCGGGGUUUGGUAUCGGUAUCCUAUUGAUAUCACCACAAGGUGAUCACAUUCCCAUAUCAGUCCGAUCGGCAUUCUUUGAUCAUCAUCGACUGACGAAUAAUAUUGUUGAGUAUGAGCCGUGCAUUACAGGUUUGUAGACUGCGCUAGACCUUGGAGUCAGAUAGUUGGAGAUCCAUGGGGAUUCCAACUUGGUUAUUCAGCAAACUUAGGGUAUUUGAAGGACUUAGGAUGAGAAGUUAAAGCCCUAUCAUGCUUAUUUGGAUUUGUUGGUUGAUAGGUUUGAGCAGUUGAGAUAUAUACAUCUGCCUAGGGCAGAAAAGUAGUUUUCUGAUGCAUUAGCCACCUUAGCUUCUGUGAUUGAGAUUCCUGCGGGAGUGAUAGUGUGACCAUUGGUGAUUGAGACUAGGUCCGCACCAGCUUACUGUUGUUUGAUUGGGGAUAUUGAGGACCAGGAUGAGUUGCCCUGGUAUCAUGACAUUUAUCAGUUCUUGUUAUGUGGCGCUUACCUUGAGUCAGCCUCAACCAAGGAUAGGAGAGCUUUGAGGCAGCUAGCCACUAGAUUCGUGAUUUGUGGAGAGUCCUUCUAUAGACGAUCACCCGAGGGCUUAUUAUUGCUGUGUUUAGACCAUACCUCUGCAGAUAGAGUAAUGAGAGAGGUUCAUGCAGGAGUUUGUGGCCCACACAUGGGGAGACAUAUGUUGGCCCGAAAGAUUAUGAGGACAGGUUAUUUCUGGUUGACUAUGGAGGUAGAUUGUUGCCAGUUCGUUCAGAGGUGCCCAGAGUGUCAGAUGCAUGGUGAUCUCAUUCACGUGCCACCUUCGGAGUUGCAUGCACUCACAUCCCCUUGGCCAUUUUCAGUGUGGGUUAUUGAUGUUAUUGGAAAGAUCUCACCCAAGUCUUCUAGCGGGCAUGAGUAUAUCUUAGUUGCCGUUGAUUAUUUCACCAAGUGGGUGGAAGCUGCUUCUUAUGCUAGAUUGACAGCGGCCAAGGUGGCCAAAUUCAUCAGGUCACAUAUUAUCUACCGAUAUGGGGUCCCCCCGAGCUGAUUUCUGAUAGAGGGUGUAUUUCAGGGGCGAGGUGGAUAUAUUGAUUAAGGAGUAUAGCAUUUAGCAUCACAGAUCGUAUGCGUAUAGGCCGCAGACUAAUGGGGCAGUUGAGGCUGCAAAUAAAAAUAUCAAGAGGAUUUUGAGAAAUAUGGUCGAGACUUCUCGGGAUUGGUCAGAGAAGCUCUCUUUUGCAUUAUGGGUUUACCGUAUAUCUUUUCGUACUUCUACCGGGGCUAGCCUGUAUUCUUUGGUAUAUGGUAUGGAGGCGGUGCUGCCUGUUAAGAUUGAGAUGGGAUCCUUGAGAGUAGCAUUAGAGCAGCAAAUAUUUGAGACUGAAUGGGCUCAGUCCCAUUAUGACCAACUUAGUCUUCUAAAUGAGAGGAGAUUGAGGAUAGUAGAUCAUGUUCAAGCUUAUUAGAGGAAGACGACUCGUGCAUUUAGAAAGAGGGUUAAGCCUAGGAAAUUUCAGAAGGGUGACUUAGUCUUGAAAGUCCUCAGGGGAUUGAUCAGUGACCCUAGAAGCAAGUUUAGACCGACUUGGAGCGGGCCUUAUGUUAUUCGAGAUUUGACCCGAGAGGGAGCCGCCUGGCUGACGGACUUAGACGAAAAUCAGUUUAAGGAGCCAGUCAAUGUGGAUCAGUUGAAGAAGUUUUAUGCGUGAGAUCAUGGUUAGAGGAUGGGUGGCCAUCAUUUUUUAGUAGCCAUUUUUCUUGUUGCACACCCACACAUUGAUAUAUCCUAUUGCUAGCCUGUUGUGCCUCAUGUGGUUUGUUAUGGCCUAUUCAUUCACUUAGCCUUGCAUACAUUUUCUCACCUGGGUUGGGGGCCUGUCCUUUGCGCUUUACAUUUAUUGAUUGGAUCUGUGAGUAUCGUGAGCUUUCUGUCAUUGUUCAUGUGUUCUUUCUUUGGUCAUUCAUGGUUUCUUCUUUCGUCCAUUGUGCAUUUUCAUUUCAUCUGGCUUUGAGUUCUGUUUCUAUCAUCUCGACUCUAUUCGCUUCUGUUUUCUCUUAUGUGAUGAUAACACGCUCUUGUCUUGGAGCUACAGGUCAGGCCUUUCACACCCUUCAUUCCACUUGUAGUCUUUGAUCUAGGAUUCUUAGGUUGAGGUGGGACCAUUUGGGAUGAGAGUUUUGAGGUUCUUUUGGUUGGACUAUGCUAGUGUGGCAUUCAGCUAGCUUUGGUUAUUUGGCGCAAAAAAAAAAAAAAAAAGAAGUGCUUAUUUGGUAUUUGUUGUUAUACUUGGGAUUAUCAGAGAUCAUUUGGGUUUGAGAGAUUUAUUAUUCCUCUGAGAGUUGGAUGAGAGCAUUGUACAAUCCUUCUCCAUGGAUUUGGGUGACACAUUGGGAGUAAGGUUUGGGUUUCUUUGGCACUCGGUCCCCUGGAUCAUUGUUUACAUCACCUUUCCCAUCUUACAGUGACUUGCUUCAGUCUGGCGUUCUUGGGAUGAGUUGUUCAUCGUUGUCACAUAUUGCUACAUUUUUAUCCUAGCUUGUUCCUCCAUUUUCUACUACAUCCAAUCAUCAUUUGUCUUAUCCCUUUUCGCCUUCUUCUAUCCUCAUCGAAUGUCGUUUAGCUUUAUGAACGACGAGUUCUUUGGUGCACAUCACCUAUUGUUUGACAUUAUUCAUUUGGAUGUAGGUUGAGUCACCUUGCUCACUGAUUUCGUGCCCAGCUGGUGUACCUUGAUUUUGGUCCUUAGAUAGGAGUAAUCAACAAAAUUUAUAACCUAUAUCACCAUGUACUAGGAUAGCCUCAGCUAACAUAGCAUAGUGGCUCUAGGAUCGUUCACUAGGAAGGGUUUUCAACUUGCAACUGAUAAUAAUUCAUAGUUGAAUUGAUGUUUUUUUUCAUUUCAAGGUUACCUUUAAAAGAAAACAUAAACUUUGGUUUAAAAAUGAUUGGUUUUAAGCUAACUAAAAAUAGAGUAACAAAAAUGACUUAAGUGGAGCUAAUAUCCUUGCUUUCUUCUUAGGAGGACGGCUAGUUGACUUCUUUGCACGAGAAGAGCUUGCCCCGAGUGUGGUGGGUGAUCUUCUUGUCUCAUAUCGCCUCGAAUGAGAACUCAAAGGCGCGCCCUCUACUGAAGGUGGGACGACAAGUGGCUGUGAAGGCUCAAUCAUGGAGCCUUGCAUAGGGGCCACUCUUGGUGCUCUGGGAUGGCCUGAGGGAGAUGAGGUCUUGGUUCCUCGGGUUUUUGCCAUGGCUGACUCAGAGAGGUUUGAGAGAGGGUGGUCGGAGGUGCGUGCGCGGCUUGGGCUCAGAUGGAGGUCCUCUGGAAAUGGUGCUUUGGCUUGGCUCCUAUUUUGCACCAAAGGGAGGUUUUCGCAAGGCAAAUGACCGGUGUAAAGUGAAAAAAAAUGGAAUUUAAAAAGUUAAAUUAGAAGCCAAGUGACGGUUGAGAUUUUUCGUAGAGGAGCGGGCAUUUCGCAGCGGAGGCCCAUUUUCACAGCCAAGGACCAUUUUCGCAGCCCAUUUUGCAGCUGCGAAAUGAGAAAGUGGGGCUGCGAAAUGGCACUCGUGUGCCAAAGUGGGGUUUUGCAGCUGCGAAAUGGAGCUUUGGCUGCGAAAUUGAGCUUUUGAGGGCCUUGGAUGGUUUCACAGAAGGUUUCGCAGUUGCGAAAUGAAGGCUUGGGCUGCGAAAUGACACUCGUGUGCGAAAAGAAGGUUUCGCAGCUGCGAAAAUUUUGGCAGAAGAGGGCUAUGGGGCUGCGAAAUUGUUUCGCAGAGGAGGACCCAUUUCGCAGCAAACCCUUGAUUUCACAGCGAGUCCCUUUUGGCUGCGAAAUUAUUUCACAAAGGAUGGUCGUUUUCGCAGGGGGCUAUUUUGGGCUGCGAAAUUUUGCAGGCCACUGAAAUUUCUUGUUUCUGAGCUCCUUUUGGCUCCCUGAGACCUUCCUUCACCUCUUUUGCAAUUCCUCCUAAAUUAGAUCAUUCAAAAAGUCUAAGUUACAUAAAAAUAACAUAAAUUAAGACUAAGAUUAAAAUCAAAACAAUUAAUAAAGUUCUUAAAUUAACAAAAUUAAACAAAAAAUAUGGACUUUGGUGAGACCAAGUCCAUUUAACCUCUUUCUGAUUAGGAUUUCUGUGGCUCAAGGAGGUUGAUUUCCUCCUUACCUUGCUUGAAUGACUCAAUAAAUGGUUUGAGACAAUGGCCAUUGACUUUAAAGGUGUUAGUGUUGUUGGAAUUCAGUAAUUCCACCACUCCAUUGAGAUGCACUUGGUGAAUAAUGAAAGGGCCUAUCCACCUUGACUUCAGCUUCCUAGGAAAGAUAUGGAGCCUUGAUUCAUAGAGUAAGACUCUUUUUCCUUUUCGGAAUUCUUUGUUGGAGAUUAACUGAUCAUGCCACCUCUUCAUCCUCUGUUUUGAAACUUUGGAAUUGAUGUAGGCAUCAUUUCUUAAUUCCUCCAUCUCAUUAAGGUCUAAGCACUUCUUUGCCUUGGCUCUGAUCAAGUCCAUGUUAACCUUCUUGAUUGCCUACCAAGCUUUAUAUUCAACUUCUACAAGGAGAUGGCAUGUUUUGCCAUAGACUAGGCGAUAGGGAGACAUGCUAAGAAUAGUCUUGUAAGCUGUUCUAUAUGCCCAUAGUGAAUCAUGGAGCUUAAUAGACCAAUCUCUUCUGCUCGUGUUCACCAGCUUCAUCAAUAUAUUCUUGAUUUCCCUGUUUGCUAGCUCAACUUGCCCGGAAGUCUGAGGGUGAUAAGGUGUAGCUACCUUAUGCUUCACCCCAUACUUGGCUAAUAGGGUUUCAAAAGGCUUGUUGCAAAAAUGAGUACCUCCAUCACUGAUUAUGGCCUUGGGCACCCCAAAUCUUGAGAAGAUGUUCUCUUUGAGAAACUUGAGAACCACCCUAUGAUCAUUGUGUUUACAGGGGAUUGCCUCAACCCAUUUAGAAACAUAGUCCACCCCCACCAAGAUAUAAGAGUUACCAAAAGACAUUGAGAAAGGUCCCAUGAAGUCAAUGUCCCAAACAUCAAAGAGAUCAACUAUUAGAAUGGGGUUCAUAGGCAUUUGAUUUCUUCUUGUUAGCUUCCCAAGCCUUUGGCAUUUAUCACAACUCCUACACAUGGUGUGGGCAUCUUUGAAGAGUGAUGGCUAACUAAACCCUGAUUGCAACAUCUUCAUGGCUGUUUUCUGGGAGGCAAAGUGGCCUCCACAUGCACGCUCAUGGCAAUGGCCGAGGAUUCCUUGUUGCUCUUCUUCAGGGACACACUUCCUUAUUAUUUGAUCUACACAAUACUUGAAAAGGAAAGGUUCUUCCCAAUAAUAAGCAUGAAUCUUUGCAAAUAAGUGCUUUCUAUCUUGUGCUUUCCACUCUCUUGGAACUUCACCAGUAACUAGAUAGUUAGCAAUAUGAGCAUACCAAGGAGUUUUUUCUAGCAACAUAAGUGAUUCCUCAGGAAAGUCAUCAUUAAUAGGUAAGACAUGGGAAUUGUGUGCUAUAGCCAACCUUGAAAGGUGGUCAACUACCACAUUCUCCACUCCUUUCUUAUCUCUGAUUUGGAGAUCGAAUUCUUGUAGUAAGAGAAUCCAUCUAAUCAACCUUGAUUUUGCAUCUUGCUUUGUCAAUAAAUACUUCAAGGUUGAAUGGUCAGUGAAAACAAUGAUGAAGGACCCUACUAGAUAAGCAUGAAACUUGUUUAAGGCAAACACUACAGCUAACAAUUCUUUCUCUGUGGUUGUUUAGUUCCUUUGAGCUUCGUUCAAUGUCUUACUUGCAUAGUAGAUCACAUAGGGCUUUCCAUCUUCUCUUUAGCCAAGCACAACUCCUAUAGCAAAGUCACUGGCGUCACACAUCACUUCAAAGGGUAGUUGCCAGUUAGGAGCCCUCACAAUUAGAGUAGUUGUCAAGAAUUGCUUCAGUUGAUCAAAACUCCUUUGACAUCUUUCAUCCCAUAUAGACUUAGCAUCCUUAGCCAAAAGUUCACAAAGAGGCUUUGAAAGCUUAGAGAAAUCUUUUAUAAACCUCCUAUAGAACCCUGCAUGGCCAAGGAAUUGCCUUACUCCUUUUACAGUUGUUGGGAAUGACAAUUUGACACAAUAAGUUCCACCUUUGCUUUAUCAAUUUCAAUGCCUUUCUCGGAGAUGAUAUGGCCAAGGACAAUUCCUUGCUGUACCAUAAAAUGGCAUUUCUCCAAGUUGAGCACCAAGUCCUUUUCAAUGCAUCUAUUCAGAACCGCUUCCAAGUUGACUAAGCAUUCUUCAAAUGUACUUCCAUAUGUGGUGAUAUCAUCCAUGAAAACCUCCAUAAUUUGCUCCACCAUAUCACUGAAGAUACUUAGCAUACAUCGUUGGAAUGUUGCAGGUGCAUUGCAUAAACCAAAAGGCAUUCUUCUAUAGGCAUAUGUUCCAAAUGGACAUGUGAAAGUGGUUUUGUCCUGAUCUUCAAUAUCGAUUUCAAUUUGAAAAUACCCGGAGUAGCCGUCCAAUAAACAAUAGAAAGGAUGGCCACAGACUCUCUCCAACACUUGAUCAAUAAAUGGCAAUGGAAAAUGAUCCUUCCUUGUCACAGCAUUCAAUUUUCUAUAAUCAAUACACACCCUCAACCCUGAAGUGAGGCGUGUAGAAACUUUUUCUCCCUUUUCAUUUUGAACCACCGUGAUCCUUGACUUCUUUAGUACCACUUGAGUAGGACUCACCCAAGGGCUGUCGGAUAUGGGAUAGAUAAUACCUGCUUGAAGUAGCUUCAGAACCUCAGCUCGCACCACCUCUUGCAAAUGAGGAUUCAAUCUUCUUUGAGGUUGAUGAAUUGGUUUAACUUCUUCUUCCAUGUAUAUAUGAUGUGUAUAGACCAAAGGACUGAUGCCUUUCAAGUCAGAUAUUUGUCAUCCUAUUGCUUUCUUACACCUCUUGAGAACUUCAAGUAGACACAUCUCCUGAGGAGUAGUAAGAUAUGAAGAUAUAACAACAGGGCACUUUUGAUUUUCUUCUAGGUAUGUAUAUUUCAACUCCGUGGGUAGAGGCUUCAGAUUGAGUUUUGGGGUCUCUUCUUUAGCAGCUUCUUGUGCCUCUUCUUUAUUGAACAAAGGUAGAAUCUCUUCUCUUAUUCUCCAACCUUGUAGAGAAGCAAGCACAUCUGAGGGUUUAGGCAACCCUUCUUCAAGAUCCCCAAGACUUUCAUUCAACUUGUCUUGCAUUUUCUUAUUACAAUGCUCCUCCACUAGAGUGUCAAUAAUGCACACCUCUUCUGGACCUUCUUCUUCUUUCGGAGUGAUUAGCUUUUUGGACAUAUAGAAGAUAUUGAGCUCUAGUGUCAUGUUGCCAAACGUGAGUUGCAUGAGUCCAUUCCUACAAUUUAUGAUUGCAUUUGAUGUAGCAAGAAAUGACCUUCCAAGGAUGAUAGGAACAUAAUCCGUUUCCUUGACAAUUGGGUCUGUGUCAAGAACAAUAAAGUCUACUGGAUAGUAGAAAUUAUCAACUUGAACUAAGACAUCUUCAAUUACCCCCCUUGGAAUUUUCAUUGAUCUAUCUGCUAGAGAUAGAGUGAUUGAUGUUGGCUUUAAUUCACCAAGUUCCAAUUGCUUGUAGACAGAGUAUGGUAGCAAAUUCACACUUGCUCCCAAGUCUAACAAAGCUUUCUCCACUACUUUUCCUCCAAUCAUGAUUGAAAUGGUGGGACAACUCGGAUCUUUGUACUUCAAAGGAGACUUGCAUUGUAUGAUAGCACUCACUUGCUCAGUCAAGAAGGCUUUCUUAUUCACAUUCAACCCUCUUUUGAUAGUACACAAGUCCUUUAGGAAUUUUGCAUAUGUUGGAACUUGUUUAAUCAUAUCCAGCAAUGGGAUAUUGACUUUCACUUGUCUCAAUACUUCAAGAAUUUCUGAUGCAUUUCUGAUCCCUUUUUUCCCAUGCAAAGCUUGAGGAAAAGGUGGAGAUGUGUGUUUCUUCAUCACAUCUCCCUUGAUGAGUACUUUAUCCGGAUUUGCAUUCACUGUUGAAUCAUGGUCCUCCUUCACUUCACUGGUAUCUUUCUUCUUUCCUUUGAUUUCCUCCCUCUUCUCUGUUUCUUCUUCUUCUUUUUCUUCCUCUUUAACAUAUGGCUUGGGUGUUGGUAGCUCAACCUUUUUACCACUCCUUAGAGUGAUCAAGGCUUUGACAUCUCUCACCUGAGAAGAUUCUCCCUCAUGAGUUUCCACUUCAUGGAUACCUUUGGGGUUUUGGUGAGGUUGAGAAGGAAAUCUACCCUUCUCUUGCACUAUGUUCAGGUUAGUGAGCCUUGAGAUUGAAUAUUGGAGAUUAUCUAUCUUCUGAGAUAAGCCAUUUUGCAUGUCAUCCAUCCUUUUAUUCAAUGUAUUCUCUACACUGUCAAUUCUUUGACUAAGUUGAGCAUUGAUGGAUUUUUUAUCUCCAAUAAAAUUUCCCACAACCUUGCUUAGAUUCACUAUUGCUUGUUCAAGAUUUGAAGCUUGUUGAGAUGGUUGAGCUGGCUGUUGGUACUAAGGUGCUCUUGGCUUCCAGGAGAAAUUUAGAUGGUUCCUCCAAUUUGAGUUGUAAGUAUUUCCAUACAAAGCAUUGUUGUUGGGCUUGAAUUGUCCAAUGACAUUUGCUUGAUCUCUAAACAUUUCCCUAGCAGCUAGAAUUGUAGAGCACUUCUCCACCAAGUGCUCAUAAGAUUGAAAAAUAGGACAUGGCUUGACUUGCACUGGUGUUUCAGCAACAGCUUGCACUUCAUGUAUCUUCUUCAGUUCUAGCUCCUCCAAUCUUCUUGUCACAGCUGCAAACUUUGCCUUUAUAUCAACAUUUUCAUUUAAGGUGUACAUCCCAGCCUUAGCAUUAAAGGCAUUCGGUUGAGACUUCAUCUUCUCCACUUCUCCUUUGUUCGGUUCAUCCCAUCCCCUUGAUACUUCAACCACAUAACUUAAGAAAUCCAUGGCUUCCUCCAGAUUCUUACUCAUGGAAUCUCCUCUACACAUUGUCUCGAGGAGUUGCUUCAUUGAGGAAGACAUCCCAUCAUAAAAGUAACUCACCAAUAGCCAUGUAUCAAAACCAUGGUGAGGAUAAGCAUUGAUGGCUUCCAUGUAUCUUUCCCAACACUCAUAGAAUUUCUCACUCUCUUUAGCUGAGAAGUUUGAAAUUUCCCUUUUCAAGCCAUUUGUUCUGUGAGUAGGAAAAAAUUUCUCGAGGAAUUCAACUUGCAAAUUAGUCCAAGUCCGGAUACUCCUUGGCCUUAAAGAAUUAAGCAAAAUCUUGGCCUUAUCCUUUAAAUUAAAAGGAAAUAGUUUAAGCCUCAUCAAGUCGAUUGAAGCUCCUCCUUCUUGAAACGUAUUACAAACAUCUUCAAAUUCCUUGAUAUGGGCAUAGGGAUUCUCAUUUUCAAUCCCAUGGAAAGUUGGUAGAAGUGGAACAAUAUGCGGUCUAAUUACUAGCUGCUUUGUAGGGGGCACUAUACAGGAUGGUGCACUCAUACGAGGUGGAUACAUGAGGUCCCUCAUUGAUCUGAAUGCAUUGGGAUUGUCCUGGUGACCAUGGUGACUAUACUGAUCUUCAGGUGUAGCUUCCAUGAUAUUCAAACUCAAUUCCAAUUCCUUGUUAUGAGGUAUUUCAAGUUUCACAAGCCUUCCUCUACUAUCUCGUAUCCAAUUUGGCAUACACAACUAGUAUCAACUGUAAUAAAAACAAAAACAAAAGAAAACAAAAGAAAACAAAAGAAAACAAAACUACAAAAAGACUAAGAUUAAUUAAAACUAAAUUAAAAAAAAUGCUAAAAUAUGAACAAAUAAAAGAAACAAUUAAAAGAGUUACUAGAAUGAAAGAAAAAUCACCAAACUUGUGAUGAAAAUCACAAGUACUCUGAAAAGAUAAUAUCACUGUAAAGUUGGCACCUUCCCCGACAAUGGCGCCAUUUGAUUUCGUGCCCAGCUGGUAUACCUUGAUUUUGGUCCUCAGAUAAGAGUAAUCAACAAAAUUUAUAACCUAUAUCACCAUGUACUAGGAUAGCCUCAGCUAGCAUAGCAUAGUGGCUCUAGGAUCGUUCACUAGGAAGGGUUUUCAACUUACAAUUGAUAAUAAUUCAAAGUUGAAUUGAUGUUUUUUUUCAUUUCAAGGUUAGCUUCAAAAGAAAACAUAAACUUUGGUUUAAAAAGGAUUGGUUUUAAGCUAACUAAAAAUAGAGUAACGAAAAUUACUUAUAAAGAAAAGUGUUUCUUGGAGUUUUAGGAUCACUGGGAUCAGGCUCCUAAUACAAAAACAGAGUUCCGGUCACUUGAAUCUUUUCCUCGCAUUAGAGAAUUAACAUAUAGUUAUUUCUCUAACCGGUGUGGUACAGAUGCUUCCCUUUUAUGGAUUCAAACACUAAAUCCCUCUCACUGAUUCAUCUUGCAAUGGCUCGUGCCUCUCACCUAGCAUUUGUCAUUCAAGGUGAUACUUAAUCUUGGAUUUCCUUUCACAAGCUCGCAAGAGAUAACUAAUGGAUGUCUCCUUAGAGUCUAAAAGCUUACCAAGUGUUGGCUAUUCUAGAAAAUCCUACUUUCAAACCACCUCCCAAAGGCUCGCAAGAGAUAAACUAGUGCAUCUCAAUGAACGGAGAUCACUUGCCUUACCAAGUGUUGGCCCAGGUGAUUCAAAGACGUUUUAAGUUAACUAAAAACAUAGAAACCAUUAACGGGUACACUUUCUCUUCAUUAAAAGUUGAAACAACAAAACUUCCAAUUCUUGCAUUCGGCACCUUACCCAACUACCUUAACUCCAAGAGACAAAAAGUCUAGCCACUCAUUCUCUGAGGAAACAUCCUCAUUUGUCUAGUAAGCAAAAUACAAUCAAAGUGAGUAGGUAAGGCAGAGCAAAACUCUGUAUAUUACUUCCUUCAAAACUAUACAAAAGGUUGUCUUUAAGAACAAACUCCCGAGAUGUCUGUGUAAAGAAAAUUACAAACCAUAUAUAUGAGGUUAUUCACCCUUUUGUUCUUACUUAUUAACUAAGGAAUCCUAUGAUUGGUGGAUUACAAGGAGAGAAUGGGGAUUUAAACAACAAAUAUUUGAAGAAAAAAAUCUAAAAGAGUCGGUCGCAAAUAUCUGGAAGCACUCAGGUGGAUUUCGCAGGCAUGCAAGAUGGGCUGCGAAAUUUCGCAAGUUGAAAGUCUCCAUUUCGCAGCCAAAGGUUGAUUUCAACUUUUAGCUUGGUGUGAUUGGCUUCCAAUGACUAUAACUCCUUCAUUUCAGCUCCAAUUCAUGCACCGUUUGAAGCGUUAGAUUCCUGACUUCCCAAGCUUCGAAACAACAUAUAGUAUGCAUGAAAUGGACUCUAGAAAGUGCUCUAAAUGUGUCCAAAGUUGUUGUCCUCUUGAAUUCUUCAUGUUAGAUUUCUCUCUUUGCUUUCCCUCAUUGCAUUCAUGAUUUGCUUUUGGAAAAGGACUAUAGAGCUUCAAAACUUGGGUUCUUAAUGUAAAUGAGCUUUCAAUUGCUUUGCCAUGGAUUCUAUAGAACUCUCCUCAAUCUUGAAUUGCUUUGGUGAUAAAAAAGCUAUCAAAAACACCAAAACUUAACACAAAGUGAUUAGAAAUGAUUGCAGAGGUACUUAAUAUGCCAAUUGAGUUAAAAGGUAAUAACUACUAUUCAAAAGUGUUUAAAAGAGUUAAUUAUAAACUAUAAAAUAGCACUUUUUGAGUAGUAAUCACUCACAUGAUUCUAUGAUAUUUGGCAUUGCAUACAGGGGUUUGGCAUUUAGUUAUUGGGUAUUUGGGCCUUUGUGUCCCAUCAUUUCAUUCACCUGUCACCCCUGGCCUACAUUACGGUCCGAGUCGUAAGACCACCCUGAGGCCAUGAGAUCUCGUAUCUGCUUCGAUGCGGUUCAUUCGGAUAGGCUCCAUCUACUGAUUGAGUACGGGAUGUCAACAGGUCUCCAUUGCUUCAGGGAAUAUCGAGGGUCACAUAUUGCCUUUCCAUUCAGUUUGCUUGCCUCAAGUCCAUGAUCAGAGGCAAAUGAUACAGAGAGUUGGGACCGUUGAAAACGUCUUUGCUUGAUGCUUUGACAUGUUCAUACUAGGGCAUACCCUCAUCCUUGCAUACUGGCUUCGACUCUUACACAUGUACGCAGGCAGUUCGUUUCGCCUAGAGAUGUUUUGGAUAUCAGAGUUUAAGUAAGCCCCACAUUCAACUUGGUUUCUUCAUACAGCAGAGUGCUUUUGGGAGCUGACCUGAGAUCAAAUUCACGGUAUUCAUUGACCCAGCAGGAGUGUGCACACCCGGGCAUACCCCAUUCAUUGUCUUGUUCGCUAGCUCAGACAAUUGGGUCUUCAAUGAUGUAUUUCAGAGUUUUCAUUGAGAUAUUUGAGUUUCAGAGGUAAACAUUGGGGCAUACCCCUUAUCAGUUUUUUUGUGGAUAUUGGAUGUUAUGGAUUAGGGUGGAGGGUUUUUCCUCAUGGAUGGAUGUUUGUGAUAUUUCCAGCUUUUUGACUUUGAAUCUAUGUGCAGUUGUGGGUUUCUAACAUGGUUUUGAUGCCUUAGACUGGAGCAUGGCCCUUUCUUUGCACUUUUGGUCACUUUUAAGAGUUGUCAUACAGGGGCAUACCCCCCAUCUUUCUAUCUUGUUGGUGGGGUUAUUCAUUUCUUGUUUAUCGGCGUUUUCUGAUGUCACACUAAGGCACACCCCCUUUCUUUCGUCAUGAUUGACGGGUUUGACUUUUCUCUUAUUUGAUUCAUUUAUUGACAUUUUUCGGACGCCACACUAGGACAUACCCCCCUUUUUCAUGGUGCCAUUACUUUUCAUUUCCUUUCAUUUCAAUGGCUCUCUAGCAUCGUGCCCGGAUCCCCUAGUCAUUUCGGCGGCUCUCUAGCAUCGUGCUCAGAUCCCCUAGUCAUUUCGAUGGCUCUCCAAUAUUGUGCUCAGAUCCCCUAGUCUUUUGGGGGCUUACCCGCAUCAUGCCCGGAUGCCCUGGUCAUUUCGGCUGCUCUCCAGCAUCAUGCUCGGAUCCCCUAGUCAUUCGGCGGCUCUCCGGCAUCAUGCCCGGAUUUCCUAGUCAUUUCGGUGGCUCUCCGGCAUCGUGCCCAGAUCCACUAGUCAUUCCGGCGGCUCUUCGACAUCGUGGCCGAAUCCUUUAUUUUUCGGCAUCGUGCCCGAAACCCCUAUUUUUCGUCAUCGUGUUGGAUUUUCUUUUAUCUUUCUCGGCAUCGCAUACUGAUUUCCUUUGUUUUCUCCGGCAUCAUGCCCGGAUCCACUAGUCAUUCCGGUAGGUCUUCGACAUCGUGCCCAAAUCCUCUAUUUUCCGGCAUCGUGUCCGGUUUCCUUUUAUCUUUCCCGGCAUCGCGCCCGGAUUUCCUUUGUUUUCUCCAGCAUUGUGCCCGGAUCCCCUAGUCAUUCCGGUGGCUCUUUGGCAUCGUGCCCGAAUCCCCUAUUUUCCGGCAUCGUGUCUGGUUUCCUUUUAUCUUUCUCGGCAUUGUGCCCGAAUUUCCUUUGUUUUCUUCGGCAUUGCGCCUGGAUCUUAUAUCUCUCCCGAAAACGCGUCCGAUUUUCUCCUAUCUUUUCUGGCACCGUGUCCAAAUUCCUUUAGCUUUCUCCUGCAGUGUGCCUGGGUCCUUUAGUCCUUCGGUCAUCAUGGCUCAUUCCCUUAGCCUCUUUAUGGUUGUGUGGGGACAAAAUUGUUGGUCAUUGGAAUUCUUCACUAGAGUUCAUUUCACUCAUUCAUUCUUGCACUUUGCAUUCGUGACUCACUCGUUCAUUCACUCUACUAAAGAGGGGCAUAUUUGUAAACCCUCAAUUUUGUCCCUUGACACUUGCAUUUUAUCUUAUGGGUGCCACAUGCACCCAUGUUUUCAUAUGACCCCGCCAUGGCCCCUUUUUGGCCUUGAUCGAUUUCUGAGCCUUGUGUAGGUUCAUUUGCGGUCCAAUGUAGUGCGGGUGUGUAGUUCAUUUUGGAGUUCCGUCAUGGCCAAUUUCCCUAGUUGUUCACAUCAUGCUAUAGGGAAGGAAGUGCAGCCCCCCAAAAAUUUCAGUUCAGUUGGAAUUCAUAAGAGCAGGUUCGAAUUCGGAGCACUUAGGCUUGUUUUGAUCAUAUCUCCCUCAUCCGAACUCGGAAUCACGCACCGUUUUUUUUUAUGGACUCCUUAUUCAUCAAGGAACAUUCUGUAAAAAUUUCAAUUUUUUUUCUCAACUGGCUCGACUGGUUCCCAAAGUUUCAGAUUUUUUCUCAAUCGGAUGAAUUGGUUGGGCACCGGUUCAACAGGUGGCUUGGUGGCAGCCCAGUUUUAUAAAUGCUUUGCAUUGUUUCGAUCAAGUCUCUCUCAUCCAAGAUCAAAAUUGAGCUCUGUUUGUUUUUUUGGAUUCCUUAUUCUCUGAGGAAUCUUCUGGUAAAUUUUCAGAUUUUUUUCUCAAUCGGAUGAACUAGUUAGGAACCGGUUCAACAGGUGGCUUGGUGGCAGCCCCAUUUUAUAAACGCUUUGCAUUGUUUUGGCCGGUUCUCCCUCAUCCAGAAUCAGAAUUGAGCACCAUUUGUUUUUUUAGAUUCUUUAUUCUUUGAGAAAUCUUCUGGUAAAUUUUCAAAUUUUUUCUCAAUCGGAUGAAUCAGUUGGGAACCGGUUCAACAGGUGGCUUGGUGGUAGCCCCAUUUUAUAAAUGCUCUGUAUUGUUUCGGUCGGUUCUUCCUCGUCCGGGCUCAGAAUUGAGCGCCGUUUGUUUUGUUGGAUUCAUUAUUCUCCAAGGAAUCUUUUGGUAAAGUUUUAGAUUUCUUUUCUCAAAUGGUUGAGCUGGUUGGGAACCGGUUCAAUCGGUUUUGCUAGGUAGCUCUAGUUUCAGCGUGUUUUGACCCCCAUUUUUGUUAUGGCUUGGGCCCUUAGGCUCCAAGGCACUUGUAGGCCACCUUUAGGGUCUGAAUCCAGAUUUGGUUUGAAUUAAUGUGGGCCCACCUAUGAGUUGAGGGUAUUAUUGGCUAGGAAGGUCGGGGGGUUAUUGUGAAUGUUUGGCUUGGGCACAUUUUGAUGUUUGAUUAAAAAUGCUUGUGUCUAUUGAUUUGCCCCUGUUUGUAACGCUUGGCUGGGGACCCGAGGUACAUACUUGACUUGUUGGGAAUUGGAUUCAUUUGCAUGCAUGGGACUUGGAUAUGUUUGCUUGUUGUGUGUUGAAUUGAAGCCCCAUUUUAGAUGAAGUGGCACACUAAAACCCAGUGAACAUGAGCUCUAAAAUGCAUACAUUCAAUUUCUUUCCAAACAACCAGCGAUAAGCAGAGCCCCAUGCAAUUCGUAGAGUUCUCCUCAUGCAAUUUAUAUCAGCAAUGUAGUCUCAAGUACAUUCUCGGACCUCACUCUAGCAUUGGCUACCUUGGUGCACCUUACCCUCAUAAUUUUUUUUCUUUUCUUUGUGAUCUUACACAUCUUAAAUCUGGAUUUCAAAACCUUUUUCCAUCAAAAUAACUCUACUUUUCUUUAAAAUUCAUUCCUUAGGAGUUUCUAGGCAUAAAAUCCAAAUUUUAACAUACUAUUUGCUGCAAUUUUCCUUCUAGCACGCGUUCUCACUAUUUUCUACUAAUUUUCUUGAUUUUCUUGUUUUUCCUAAACAAGCAUGAAUAAACUUCAUGAUUCCAAAUAAUGGAACUCAUUAAACCAAUUCAUGCAAAAGUAAUUUGGACCUUGGUGGGUGGCGCGACAUCCAUGAAUUUUUUUUUAGAUAUUGAUUCAAAUGAGGUGUUUGCUUGAUAUUUAAUUGAAAUUGAUCCUCUUCAUGAUACAUGAGUUUGUUUUAUAGUUAUUUUUGAACUAACCAUGCUCCCCAUUAAAGCGCUUAGCUUGCUACUCUUGUACGCUAUCUAUCACCUAAUUUUCAGAAUUCUAUGAAUAUGCAUAUUAUUAUGAGCUAUAUCUAUGUUCAAUUCUAUCAUUGGAUGCCUAAAUGUUUGUUUUAUUUGCUCUAACAAAAUGCAUGUUGUGUGUCAUAUUUGUAAGCUAACUUUGAUGUCUUAUGAUAGUGCUUGAGGAGCAAUCUAGGUACACACCCUAACUCUCCUUUAUGAUUAUGAUUUGAUUUAUUAUUGGGCAUGCUUGUUUUGAAAUCACCUUAGCCUACCUAGGCAUUCAUAAUCAACUUAUUAAUUGCCACAUUUACCUCAAUUUAGUCAAUAGAGACCUUUUUAUGGCUUAGAGAGGUACUACCUCUUUGAGGUACCUUCCCAAAAGGUAACUUGAUCGCCGAACCUCCUUUUAAAAUAAAAUAAAAUAAGCAAUGACUCUAACUUUGACCAAAAUUAAUUUUUCACCAAUAAAAGCAAGUAUCGCUGAUGAGUGGGGACACACGUGAAAAUUGCAGGUCCACAGCAUGCACCUAGUCAAAUUGUGUAUUGUUUGCAAGAGAUGCUUGUAUUUAUUUCCUAAUGAGUUUAUUCUAAUUCUUUGAUUAGGAUUUCUUCAAUCACAUUGCUUGCUAUUGAAUUUCCAAUGGCUUAAUAUAAAUUAUUAGAAAAAUGUUGUUUAAUUAUUUCAGCAACUUAUCCUUUAUAAUUUUUUUUAACAAAUAUUAUCUCUGAUGUUCAUUUGUAAUAAAUAGCUAGAGAAAGGGCCCAAUGUGAACACCUAUGAGACUUAGUUGUGUUUGAGAGAUUACAUGGAAAUCUUGGCAAAACAUCUCCAAGCCUUGUUGUCAAAAAGGAAACCCUACAUCUCAUGCCUUUAUACUGCAUCUUAGCUUCUCAUCUUGCAAUGGACAAUGGUACUCUUAUUGAAUCAGUUUUACCAUACCAGUCAUCAACAUUUGCACUCAUUAAGCACUAAUUUAAGCACUGAUGCUUUUGUUAAAGUUAUUUCCUUUUUUGUUUGUUCGUUUUUGUUUUCUUUUGUUUUGGAGGUAAUUGUGUUGGAUGAUUUAUGUUUGUGUUAGACAACAAAGCUUGUCUUAAUGCUAUUGUAAAACAAGACUAUGCUAAUAAGAUUUUGAUGUUUACAAUGUUUAUGCCAAAUUGAAUUUUUAGUUUUCCUAAUUGAAAAUUUGCUUGUUUUCCCCAUUAUAUCGAUGUUAUUGUUGGAUUUUUGUUUCUGUUGAUCAAGCAUGUGCUAAAAGUUUGUUUUUUUUUUUUUUUUCCGUUGCUACUUCAUGUGUGUGGAAUUCUAGCUUAAAGUUAGUGAGGAAUUCUAGGGUUUGUUAAGGCCAUUUUUGGUAUUUUGUUAUUAGUUCCUAAUUUAAUGUUUUUCCUUAUUUAGUGGAGAUUUUGUUCUCUAAUCAAUUAAGAUUGAAUCCUGGUCCUUAUGGUGACUGAUUGCACUAUUCUCUUGUAUAUAUAUACCAUGUUGUAUUCUAUAGAAAGUAAGAGAAUUAAUAAAUAAAUAAAAAUUAACUUCUCAUAAAUCUUCAUGGUAUCAAAGCCUUCCCUCUAAAACCCUAAUUUUCCACAUCACCAAAUUCGUCAUGGCUAUUGAGAGACAAAUCUCAACCUUUGAAGUGACCUUCAAUCCAGAAACGAUGCCAACGAUGAACAACCAUGGAAGAGCCGAGAACCCAUCUAUGCUCAUCACAGGUCACAAACUCAAUGGCCAUAAUUUUCUCUAGUGGUCUUAGUUAGUGAUGAUGUAUGUCUGUGGAAAGGGCAAGGAUGAAUAUCUCACCAGUGAAGUAGUUAUCCCUGAGAAGACCAAUCCCAAAUUCAGGGUGUGGAAGACCGAGAAUCACAUGGUGAUGUCUUGGUUGAUUAAUUCGAUGAAUACCGACAUAAGAAAGAAUUUUCUCCUCUAUGGAACUGCCAAAGAAUUAUGGGAUGUAGCAAGGGAGACAUACUCAAAUUCUGAAAACACUUCAAAAAUAUUUGAGAUAGAAGCCACUUUACACAACCCUACGGCAGGGAGAUCUCUCUGUUACCCAAUACUUCAACAUUCUUUCUCGUCAUUGGCAGCACCUAGACAUGUUUGAAGUUCACACCUGGAAGUGCCCUGAAGACACUGCAUUGUACCGAAAAAUUGUGGAGCAAAAGCGAACAUUCAAGUUUCUCCUUGGCCUCAACAAGAAUUUGGACGAGGUUAGGGGGAGAGUGAUGGGGACCAAACCUCUUCCAAGUAUUAGAGAGACAUUCUCAGAAGUUCGCCGUGAGGAAAACAUGAAAAAGGUUAUGAUGGGAUCUCAGAAUUCUGCCCUAUCAAUUGAAGGAUCUACCUUUGUAGCACGAGGACUUCCAUCAAACACCAACAGUGAAAAUCGCCAGAAAAUGGGAAACCUUAGUGUGACCACUACCGAAAACUAUGACAUUCCAGAGAAAAUUGCUGGAAGAUUCAUGGCAAACCAGCUAAUUGGAAGCCAUCCAAACCAUUCAAUGAUAGAGAAAGUAGUGUCCAUAAUGUUGCUACCUCAGAAGACAAGCCAACCUCAACCAAGACCAGUCCUUUCAGCAAAGAGCAGCUUGAGAUGCUUCAACAACUCAUAAGUCAAAACUCCCUAUCUCAAUCCAGUAACUCAGCAUCUGGUAUAGGCAUGUUGGCACAAAAAGGUGAUUUUUCAAAUGCCUUUGCAGUAAAUAAACAACACUUGAAUCCUGGAUUAUUGACUCUGGAGCAUCAGAUCACAUGACAAGAGAAGGAACCAUAUUUCAUGAGUACAACCCUUCUAAAGAGAAAUAUACAGUUUGGAUUGUUGAUGGAUCUCUAUCCAAAGUUGCUGGAACAGGCUCAAUCAGGGUUACAAACGACCUUAAUCUAAACCCUAUUCUCCAUGUCCCUAAUUUGGAAUGUAAUUUACUCUCAAUCAGCAAAUUAACUCGUGAUCUUCAUCGUGAAGCUAAAUUUUUCUCAAACUUGUGUAAAUUUCAGGAACUGGAUUCGAGGAGGAUGAUUGGCAAUGUUGAGAUGUGCUCUAGACUCUAUCUUCUCAAGGGUGAUACUCCUCUAAGAAGACGAACUCAAAAUGCAAGUUGUGUGUCGCUUAAGAGUCGGUCAAUUUUAGAUUUUUGUGUCAAUAAAGAUAAUGAGGUCAUGUUAUGGCAUUAUCGUCUGGGUCAUCCAAAUUUUAUAUAUCUUGAAAAAUUGUUUUCAUCUUUAUUCAUCAAUAAAAGUCCAAAAUUUUUCAGUUGUGAAAUCUACCAGCUUCCAAAACAUACUCACAGUAGUUACCCUAGUCUUUCAUAUACACCAUCUCACCCAUUUGCCAUGAUUCAUAGUGAUGUGUAGGGUCCUUCGAGGAAAAACAAUAUAACAGGAGCACGGUGGUUUGUCUCGUCUGUUGAUGAUCACACUAGAUUGACCUGGGUAUUCCUGAUGAAAGAAAAAUCUGAAGUUGGAAAAUUUUUUCAAAUUUUCAAUUCCAUGAUCUAAACUCAAUUCCAGACCAAAAUCCAAGUUCUAAAAACUGAUAAUGCCAAAGAGUACUUCAAGUUUGUUCUAGGUAGUUACCUCAUGAGUCAAGGAAUAGUCCACCUAAGUUCUUGUGUUGUCACCCCUUAAUAAAAUGGGAUUGCAGAAAGAAAAAACCAACAUUUGUUAGAGGUAGCUAGGUUCCUCAUGUUUUCCACUCACGUUCCUAAACAUUUUUGGGGGGAGGUAGUACUUAUAGCCACGUAUCUCAUCAAUAGAAUGCCAUCCAGAAUUCUUAAAUUUAAAACGCCUUGUCAAUCCCUUCUCUAGAUCUUUCCACAUACAAAAAUCAUCUCUUCAUUAGAUCCAAAAAUAUUCGGGUGUUCAACUUUUGUCCAUAUACAUCAGCAACAUCGUAGCAAAUUAGACCCUAAAUCCAUCAAAUAUAUCUUUAUAGGGUACUCUUCACAUCAAAAGGGUUAUAAGUGUUAUUCUCCCAUCACUAAAAGGGUAUACAACUCUAUGGAUGUGACAUUUUUUGAACAUCAAGCUUACUACCACAAAACCGACAUGCACGGGAAGAACAUGAGAGCAUUCCAGUUUUGGAAGACACUUGAUCUUGGGGACACCCUACCAUUACCUCAUCUUACUUCUCAGCCAAUUUUCAGUCAACAACCAAAAGUCAUUAAUCAAAUUCCAGUUCAAAUUUCAAUGUCUUCACAACCUAAACCUGAGAGUCAUCCUCCUACUACCUCACCUCAAACUCUAGUCCAUAAUUACUCUAAAUCACCACUAACUGCAAAUAAUGAGUUUAGCGUCUACAUUAGGAGAAAAAGGCCUAAGAGAACAAUAGAGCAACCAACUCCUCUAAAAAAUGACCAAAAAUCUUAACCUAGUCCAAGUCCUACUCAAAUUCACUUGGGUAAGGGAACUACUAAUCUUGAAAAGCUAGUACCAUUUGUAGAUGAUUCAAAUAUUCCGAUUGCUUUGAGAAAGAGUGUUAGAACUUGCACAAACCAUCCUAUCUAUAGAUUUAUUUCAUAUGAUGGAUUGUCUCCCUCCUAUCAAGAUUUUGUUUUAGUUCUUGAUAGUGUGCAGGUUCCUAAUUCUAUUUAGGAGGCUCUCAAGAAUCCAAAGUGGAGAAAGGCAAUUAGCGAAGAAAUCAAAGCUUUGGAGAAGAAUGGAACAUGGGUAAUCUCUGAUCUUCCUCAUGGAAAGAAACCAAUCGGGUGUAAGUGGAUUUACCAUUAAACAUAAGGCUAAUGGAAGUAUUAAGAGAUUGAAAGCUCGCCUUGUUGCCAAAGGCUUUACUCAGUCUUAUGGAAUAGACUAUCAAGAAACAUUUGCUCCAGUGGCCAAACUCAACACUAUUCAAGUUCUUUUUUAUCUUGCAGCAAACCAAGAUUGGCCAUUACAUCAACUAGAUGUCAAAAAUGCUUUUCUGAAUGGUAACUUGGAGGAAGAAGUGUAUAUGGAGAUACCAUCAGAGUUGGAAACUUCUUUCAACAACAACAGGGUGUGCAAGCUUAAGAAAUCUCUGUAUGGACUCAAAAAAUCACCUCGAGCAUGGUUUGACAGGUUUGCAAAGUCAGUUACAAAGCAAGGAUAUACUCAAUGUCAAGCGGAUCAUACACAAUUUGUGAAGUUCUCUUCAGAAAAGAAAAUAGCAGUCCUCAUAGUGUAUGUUGAUGAUAUCAUCUUAACAGGUGAUUAUGAAGAGGAACUAUUGGGAAUGAAGAAACACUUAGCCAAAGAAUUUGAAAUCAAAGACCUUGGCUAUCUUAGAUACUUUCUCGGUAUGGAGGUGGUAAGAUCUAAGAAAGGCAUAUUUUUCUCCCAACGUAAGUAUGUUCUAGACUUACUAAAAGAGACAGGUAUGCUUGGAUGUAAACCUGCAGACACUCCAAUGGACUCAACCAAGAAAAUAGGAACUGAGAAGAACAGUGCACCAGUUGACAAGGGGAGAUACCAGAGACUUAUAGGACUUCUUAUCUACCUUUCACAUACUCGACCUGACAUUAGAUUCUCUGUUAGUGUUGUGAGUCAAUUUAUGAACAACCCAAUAGAAGAACACAUGGAAGCUGUGAAUACAAUUUUGAGGUAUCUGAAUAUGACCCUAAGAAUAGGACUGUUGUACAAAAAGAAUGAUACUAGAGAUGUUGAAGUUUUCUCAGAUGCAGACUGGGCAGGUGAUGUGUUAGAUAGGCGAUCAACAUCUGGAUAUCGUUCCUAUGUAUGGGGAAAUCUCGUGACUUGGAAAAGCAAGAAACAGUUUGUAGUCUCAAGAAGUAGUGCAGAAGCUGAAUUGAGAUCUUUGGCUCUUGGUAUUUGUGAAGGAACCUGGAUAUAGAGACUGCUGAAUGAGUUGGGAAUAUCUACUGAGAAGCCUAUUAAAAUGUUCUGUGACAACGAAGCUGCCAUAAGCAUUGCAAAGAAUCCUAUACAUCAUGAUAGGACGAAACACAUCGAGAUAAAUCGACAUUUCAUUUCAGAAAAGAUUGAGAAGGCAAUUGUACAGUUGGUCUAUACUCCUACAAAAUCCCAAAUGGCACACAUACUCACUAAAGCUUUUUCAAGAACUAACUUUGAAGAACUGAGUCACAAGCUGUGCAUGUACAAUAUCUAUGCCCCAGCUUGAGGGGAAGUGUGGAAUUCUAGCUUAAAGUUAGUGAGGAAUGCUAGGGUUUGUUAACGUUAUUUUUGGUAUUUUGUUAUUAGUUCCAAAUUUAAUAUAUUUCCUUGUUUAGUGGAGAUUUUGGUCUCUAAUCAGUUAAGAUUGAGUCCCGGUCCUUAUGGUGACUGAUUGCACCAUUCUCUUGUAUAUAUAUAUCAUGUUGUAUUAUAUAGAAAGUAAGAGAAUUAAUAAAUAAAUAAAAAUUCACUUAUCAUAAAUCUUCAAUGUGCAAAGCAUCAUUAUUCAAAUUUUUUGUUUGUUUGUUUUUGUUUUGUUUUGUUUUGUCUUGUCUUGUUUUGUUUUGGAGGUAAUUGUGUUGGAUGACUUAUGUCUGUGUUAGACAACAAAGCCUAUCUUAAUGCUACUGUAAAGCAAGACUAUGCUAAUAACCUUUUAAUGUUUACAGUGUUUAUGCCAAACUGAAUUUUUAGUUUCCCUAAUUGAAAAUUUGUUUGUUUUCCCUAUUAUAUCGAUGCUAUUGUUAGAUUUGUGUUUCUAUUGAUCAAGCAUGUGCUAAAACUUUGUUUUUUUUUUUUCCUUUGCUACUUCAUGUGCAAAGCAUUAUUAUUUGAAUUUUAAUGAUUCCAUUCAAUUCAUUAUUCAAUAUUUUCAUUUGAUAUUACAUCUAUCACAUUUGUUUUCUUUUCUUAGUUUGUUUUGUUUUGUUUUUGUUUUUUUUUUUUAAUUUGUGAAAUUUGAAUUUGAUGGAGCCACCAUUAAUUUAUUUUUCCUUAUUAUUGUGGGGUGUGCUUUAUUUUGUUCAUGUAAAUAUCAUCGUUGUGGCACUAUUAUUAUUAUGUAACCUUUUUUUUGUUUAAUCUAUUGUUCCUAUGAGCAUUAAAUUCUCCUAAAAUGUAUGGAACAGGCUAAACCCUUUCUAUAGUUAUUUUAAAAAAUUUAUUUUUCAUCUAUUUUCUUGUGCUCAAAAAAUUAUAUUUUUUAGUAAAAUUGAAAUUUUAGGGAGCGCUUAUGCCUUAAUGACUCAACCCCUUGAGGGUUUAUACCUAUCUUAGCAAGAUGUAAACCCUCAUGCCUCUUAUGCUUUUACCUUAUGAAACUAUACCCAAAAACAAACACCACAACUCCUUGCCCCGAUCAAAGGAUACUUGAAAGUUUGCUUCAAAUCAAUUUCAAGGCUAAUAAUCAUAGGCUUGUCAAAUUCAUGUUGCUAAAAUUGGUAUUGUAACCAAAGUAAUAUUAGGAAAUCUUCAAGUUUCAGCUCCUCUUUUUAUGUUGGCUCUUGUAUUGUUAGGUGGCUUCAACCUUUUGCUUUACUUAUGCUUUAUGAGCUACUCCAAUUAAAAUAAUGCUUCAAGUAGAUGUUCUUUGGAUCUUCACUCUAGCAAGAUACUUGCAUUGCAAAAAUUUUUUGUAGUCCUAGAUAGGUUAACUAGGAAGACAAUAGCUUGCUUAAGAGGAUUGCCUCCUCUUCUAUUGGGUUUGUAAAAGUUUUGCUUCUCCCUUGACUUUAGGAGUCCCGUGGUUUCAAAUUUGGGUGUGCUCUAGGUUGUAGCAUGCCUUAUGCUUUCUAAAUGGUAAUCUUCUUCUUGUUUUGGCUAGGAUUCUUUCAUUUAUUUUGCUUGUUUGCUUUCUUUGUUUCUUUAUUGUGGUUGAAGGAUCACCAAUCAACUUUUUAUUCUCUGCAAAAAUUAUUUAUGUUUCAUACCUAAAAAAGAAAAAACAAAGGCUAGUUAGCCUAGAACAUGUUUUAUCUUGUUCUUCUUUUACUAUUAGUAUGGAUUCAAACUUGGGAAGAGGCCUUGAAACAAGUUGCAUUUGUGUUUUCUUAACAUACAUCUUUAUUCGAUCAUUUUUGUUAAGUAUUUGGUGUCUUGUUUGUUCUUUUAGUUGUUUUUGUCUCUGUCAAAGUGUAUAAUUGUAAUAUCCCAUAUCAUAUAGGGAAAAAAGUUUUUCGUGCUAUAUAUAUGUAUAAACUCCACUUAAUCUUGUAAAUGUGUUUUAAAGUCACGAGGGUUUCUUAGGUUCAGAGCAGAUAAUAUCUACACAGUUGGAAGUAGGUCAUUACUAAUGGUAUCGGAACCAAUCUCCAACCUCAAUGUGAGAGAUUGUUUAGCACCGAAAGGAGUGUCUAUCUAUUUGACCCUACAAUCAUGUGGAAUAUAAUAAGGAAAUUGGGUUUGCAUGAGGAGUGUGAUUAUGAUAUCCUACAUCGAAUAUGGGAAAAAGUUUCUAAUGUUAUAUAUGUAUGGACUCCUCUUAACCUUGUAAACGUGUUUUGAAAUUGUAAAUGUCACUUAAGUUUAGAGUGGACAAUAUCUAUACAAUUGGGAGUAGGUUGUUAUAAUAAUUUUGAUUUUCCUUCCAUAUAUGUUUAAUUGCAUAACAUUAUCAUAGAAAAAUAUUCAUCUAUCAUAAUGUAGCGUCUUGUAAAGCUUAUGUUGGGUGUUAUGAUUUUAUCUCUCAUCAUUUUUAUUAUUCUGAUUCAACAUCAUCUUAGCUUAUAAUCAAAAGGCUAUAAAUUGUAGGAUUCUUUUCUCCAAUUUUUUACUUGAUAUCUUAUAAUGCCAUGAAAUGUCUAUAUUUUGAUGCAGAAAGUCGUUCAUCCUUCAUCUCUCUCACUAGUUUUGCAGAACCAUAGUCAUUAGGCACAUGCAAGCGUUAGACAUGCAGCCACUUCCAGUGUUGGAAGAGACUUUGAACUACCUCUUAAACCUAUUAGAUCCACGGAGCAUCCUUUUGAAGUGGUUCAUGAUUUCAUCUUUGAUAGGACAAGAUCAAUAAGACACGAUCUUAGCAUGGAGAAUAUUGUUAAUGAUCAAACAAUUCAUACGUAUGAAGAAAUGGUAUAAAUUUCUUGAAACAUAAUCUUAAUUACCUUUCUUUUCUUAGCAUUAAUCUCCUCAAUAUACAAUAAGUUAGCCAAUCCACUACUAAACACACUCCUAGUUGCAGAAAAUAAUCAAAAUAUACAAGAGAUGUUGUAUAAUUGAGUCAUUAUCCUCUCUUUUUGCUUUAUUGAAUAAGAAAAUUCUAUUCAGUGGAGUCCAAAUGAGGUGAAACUGUGAUCACACAACUUUUAAAGCCUACUUUAUAAUGGAUAAAUGAAUGGUCUGGUUCUGAAUCUUUCUCGGCACAUUAGUUAUUAUCCAAUCCAUUCUAAUUAAGUUAUCCACUAUUGAGUGUCUAUUUCCAAUGAAAGUUAUGAAAGGCCCAUAGAACCCAAGCAACUCACACCGCUUGCGAUGGGAAUUGGUGUUCUUUCCCGUAAUGUCAAGUUUUCUAGUACACUUGGUGACUUUGUAGAAUAUGCCUACGGAAAGGGCUGCCACCUUCUAAUUCCCAAUCAUACAAGUUUCUUAACCAUAUUUCAAAAGUUGUAUUUCUUGUUCCGUCUCUUAAAGUUUUUUAAACCUAUAUCUCUUUAUCCUUGGCAAUUCAGAAAGAUGAGGAAACUAUUUAACAAGAACUCCAUCAAUUUGUUCCUCAAAAUUUUAUAUAGUUUCUCUCUCUCACUUUCAAUUUAAACUCUUGAUUUAAAAGAACAAAUUCAUGGCCAGCAACAUUUUUAGCCAAGCAAUAGAAUGUACAACAAGCAUGCAUAUGAAUGAACUGUAUUGUUUAAUGAUAAUAGAUCAAAUAUUUUAAUCUAAUCCUAAAACCUUAGAGUUAGCUAAAAGCCUCAUCUUAUGUUCUAACUUGUGGUUUGUUUCACAAUACAGGUGAAAUUUCAUAUUAUAUCCCACCAAAAGCUUUGCAAUUGUAGCAGCAAGCCAAAUUUUUAUUUAGUUAUUACCUUAAUAUGGAGCAACUGAAAAAGUGUCUAACAUCUCUAUAUGCUCUAUACAAAGAAAAUUGCAAUUCAAAUUUUAUUUACAAGAAUGAACCUGAGUUUUGCUCAUUUCACGUUCUUCUUCACCUUGGCUCUAACAGCCAACCACUGGUGGAUAUCUGCUUUCAUUGUUUGUUUGAGUUCAUCUUUUUCAGUAUUUGUACUAGUUUCUGAAGGUGUUACUAUUUUUGUUCUGAGGGGAGAGUCACUCUCUUUGUGGUUGGGUCUUGUACCUUCUGUCAUUUUGAAGUCAAAGGAAAAAUGUUUUGCCCAAGACUUUUAUAGUACGUUUGGUAGUGAUUUUAGGAAGUGUUUCUAGUCUUUUUUAUGCUUGAAAGAUAAAAAAAAAAAAUUAAGUGGUAAAAAGACUAGAAACACUUUAUAAAAUAACUGCCAAACGCACUCUUAAGAUGACCAUAAAGCUGUUGUAGAUUCCACUUGCAUUUAAAUUGUUUUUAUUCCCUUUACAUUUAACUCAAUGUAGAGUGGUUAUGUUUUUCCGUUGAUUUUUUUCUCUUUUUUAGUACCCAAUGUUAAAGUUUUGUUUCACGAACUGAAAGGUCCGUCUUUUCUAGUGACAGUGGAUGGGCAAUUAUAAGUGUUUCCUUUGUACUACAACAAUUGAGGCAUCAUAUUUGCAAUAUUACAUUAUUAUUAUUUUUUAUAAAUGAGCACAAAAUAUAUAAUAAAGGGCGGAAAGCCACAAAGCAUACAGGGAGUAUACAAAGCAGCUAAAAAGCAAAAAACUCAUAAACAGAACAAACUCACCAGCCCUUAAAGAGCCGCUAACCACUCUAAGAAGCCUAAAAUCAAAGAUGACUCCUCUCCCAUAUACAUCCUAGUCCAACUCCAUAAAUUACAUGCAAAAGAAUUCUUGAGUUUCUGAAUAGCUAAAGAACCCCAUCUAAAAGCUAACCUAUUUCUUUCCUUCCAAACCGUCCAAAAUAUACACAACGGGAUGGAAUUCCAAAUCUUUUUCCUCUUUUCCCCAUAAAAGGGCCCCUCCAACAAAAUAACACCUCUUUGACUGUCUCUAGGAACACCCAUUGAGCCCUAAACAAGGAAAGAACGAUCUCUCAGAGGACCCUGACCACUGUACAGUGUAAAAGAAUGUGAUUUACAUUUUCCUCUUCACAGCCACACAAAUAACAACGAUUAGGGAGCUGCCACCCUCGUUUUUGAAGCCUAUCCAAUGUGAGGAUUUUUUCCCAAGUGGCUUCCCACGCAAAGAAAGCAACUUUGGUUGGAACCUUAUCCACCCAAAUGAUUUUUUUCGGAAAGACGAGGGGAUUGGGGGUGAUUCGUGUUUUCCCAGCUGGUGUACCUUGAUUUUGGUCCCCUGAUGGGAGUAAUCAACAAAAUUUAUAACCUAUAUCACCAUGCACUAGGAUAGCCUAAGCUAGUAUAGCAUAGUGGCUCUAGGAUCGUUCACUGGGAAGGGUUUUCAACUUACAAUUGAUACCAAUUCAAAGUUGAAUUGGUGCCUUUUCAUUUCAAGGUUAGCUUCAAAAGAAAACAUAAACUUUGGUUGAAAAAGGUUUGGUUUCAAGCUAACUAAAAAGAAAGUAAUGGGAAUUACUUAUAAAGAAAAAGCGUCUCUUGGAGUUUUAGGAUCACUGGGGUCAGGCUCCUCAUGCAAAAACAGAGUUCCGGUCACUUUGGUUCUUUUCCUCGCAUUGGAGAAUUAACAUAUAGUUCAUUCUCCAACCGGUGUUGUACAGAUGCUUCCCUUUUAUAAAUUUCAGCACUAGUUCCCUCUCACUGAUUCAUCUUGCAAUGGCUCGUGCCUCUCACCUAGCAUUUGCCAUUCAAGGUGAUCAUUAACCUUGGACUUCCCUUCUCAAGCUCGCAAGAGAUAACUAAUGGAUGCCUCCUUAGAGUCCAAAAGCUUACCAAGUGUUGGCAAUUCUAGAAAAUCCUACCUUCAGGUCACCUCCCAAAAGCUCACAAGAGGUAAACUAGUGCAUCUCUGUGGACAGAGAUCACUUGCCUUACCAAGUGUUGGCUCAGGUGAAUUGAAGGCGUUUUAAGUUAACUAAAAACAUAGAAAUCAUAAACGGGUUACACUUUCUCUUCAUUAAAAGCUGAAACAUCAAAACUACCAAUUCUUGCAUUCGACACCUUCCCCGGCUACCUUAGCUCCAAGAAACAAAAAGCCUAGCCACCCAUUCUCUGAAGAAACAUCAUCAGAGCUUGUUUGGCUAGUAAAUGAAAAAUACAAUCAAAGUGAGAAGGUAAUGCAGAGCAAAGACUCUGUAUUUUACUUCCUUUCAAACUUUUACAAAAGGUUCGUCUCCUUGAUAACAGGCUCCUGAGAGCUAUUUAUAUGAAAAUUACAAUAAUAAUUAUUACCUGGAUAUUUACCCUUUUUCCUAACUUAAUAGCUAAGGAAUCCUAUAAGUGGUGGAUUACAAUGAGAGAAUUGGGAUUUAGACAUCAAAUAUCUGAAGCAAAAUAUCAAAAAUUUGUCGGUCGUAAAUAUCUGGAAGCACUCAGGAGAAUUUCGCAGGCGCACAAAAUGGCUGCGAAAUUUCGCAGACGUACAAGAUGGCUGCAAAAUCAUUUCGCAGCCAAAGGCUGAUUUCGCAGCCUUGCGAAAUUGGCCUUCAGCUUGAUGUGAUCAUCUUCCAAUGGCUCUAACUUCUUCACUUCAACUCCGAUUCGCGAACCGUUUAAAGCGUUAGAUUUUUUACUUCCCAAGCUUCGAAACAACAUAUAGUAUGCAACAAAUGGACUUCAGGAAGUACUCCAAAAGUGUCAAACAGUUGAUGUCCUCUUGGAUUCUUCAUGUUAGAUUUUUCUCUUUGUUUCAUCCUUGCAUUCAUGAUUUGUUUAUGGCAAAGGACUUUAAGGCUUCAGUUCUUCAUGUUUCUGAGCUUUCCAUUGCUUUGCCAUGGAUUCCAAAGAACUCUCCUCAAUCUCGGAUUGCUUUGGUGAUCAAAUUACUAUCAAAAACACCAAAACUUACACAAUUUGAUUAGAAACGAUUACAAAGGUCCUUAAUAUGUUAAUUGGGUUAAAAGGUAAUAACUACUACUCAAAAGUGUUUAAAAGAGUUAAUUACAAGCUAUCAAAUAGCCCUUUUUGAGUAGUAAUCAAGGGGUAGUGAUUCAUGCCCAAUUGGUGUCUUAGCUGAUUCGUGUCCAGCUGGUGUUCCUUGAUUGAGGGAGUAAUCAACAAAAUUUAUAACCUAUUACACCAUAUACUAGGGUAGCAAAGAAAAAGCUACUAUAGCAUAGUGGCUCUAGGAUCGUUCACUGGGAAGGGUUGGCAAAUUAUCAAUGAUACCAAUUCAAAGUGAAUUGGUAUUGUUUCAUUUCAAGGUUAGCUUAAGAAAUAAAACACAAACUUUGGUUGGAAAAGAUUUAGAUUUAAACUAACUGCAAAGCAAGUAAUGGAAAUUACUUAGGAAGAAAAACAUUCCUUGGAGAGUCAGGUUUACAGGGGAGGUUCCUCAUGCAAAAACAUAGCUCCGGACAGUUGGUUCAUUUCCUCGCGUUAGAGAAUUAACAUAUAGUCAAUUCUCUAACCGGUGUUGUACAGCUACAUCCUUUAAUUAGAUUUCAGCUUUGAUUCUCUCUCACUGAUGCAACUUGCAAUGGUUCGAGCCUCUCACUAAGCCUUAACCAUUCAAAGUGAUCUUUAACCUUGAACUUCCCUUCUCAAGCUCGCAAGAGAUAACUAAUGGAUGUCUCCUUGGAGUCCAAAAGCUUACCAAGUGUUGGCAAUUCCAAAAAAUCCUACCUUCAAGUCACCUCCCAGAGGCUCGCAAGAGGUAAACUAGUGCAUCUCCAUGGUCGGAAAUCACUUGCCUUACCAAGUGUUGGCCCAGGUGACUCUAAGGUGUUUUAAGUUAACUAAAAACAUAGAAAUCACUAAAAGAUUACACUUCCUCUUCAUUCAUGGCUGAAACCACAAAGCUAUUCAUUCUUGCACUUGGAACCUUUCCCGGCAACCUUAGCUCCAAGGAACUAAAGGUUUAGUUACUCAUUCUCUGGGGAAACUUCCUCAGAGAGUGCAUAACUUAGUAAAUGAAAAAUACAAUCAAAGUGAGAAGGUAAGGCAAAACAAAGGUCCUGAAUUUUACUUGCUUUCCAACUUUUUACAAAAAGGUUUCUCUCUUGGAACAGGCUCCUGAGAGCUAUUUAUAUGAAACUACCAUCAUAGCUAUUACAUGGAUAUUUUUCCUUUUUCCUAACUUAAAAGCUAAGGAAUCUUAUUAUUGGUGGCUUACAAGGAGAAUUUUGGGAUUUAGACAACAAAAAUCUGAUGAAAAAUAUCUCAUUGUGUCGGUCGUAAAUAUCGGGAAGCACUAAGGACCAUUUCGCAAGUGAAAACGAGGUCUGCGAGAUUUCUCAGAUGCACAAAAAGAGCUACGAAAUCACUUCGCAGCAAACGGUUGAUUUCGCACCGCUGCGAAGUGAUCUUUCAGCUUGCGGCAUUCGGCUUCCAACGUGUCGGGAAACUUCAGGGGGAAUUCCUCAGCACUGUGCAAAAAGGCUGCGAAAUCAUUUCGCAACAAAAGGGUGAUUUCGCAACGCUGUGCAAAAUUCUUCCUUCAGCUUGGAGUGAUCGGCUUGCAAUGGCUGUAACUCCUUCAUUUCAACUCCAAAUUGCAAACCUCUUGAAGCAUUGGAUUGUUGACUUCCUGAGCUUCGAGACGACAUAUAGCAUGCAUCAAUUGGACUUCAGAAAGUGCUCCAAAAGUGGCUGACAUGACUGUCAUCAAGAAUAUGCUUCAUGGCAGAUUUCUCUUUGCUUCCUCUCCUUGCAUUCCGGAUUUGCUUAUGGAAAAGGUCUUCAAAGCUUUGGUUCUUCAUGUUUCUGAGCUUUCCAUUGCUUUGCCAAGGAUUCCAAAUAACUCUCCUCAAUCUCGGAUUGCUUUGGUGAUUAAAAAGCUAUCAAAACACCAAAACUUAACACAAUUUGAUUAGAAGUGAUUGCAAGGGUCCUUAACAUGUUAAUUGGGUUAAAAGGCAAUAACUACUACUCAAAAGUGUUUAAAAGAGUUAAUUACAAGCUAUGAAAUAGCACUUUUUGAGUAGUAAUCAGGUAGCCAUCAAAUUAUAAGCAUCCCGAAUCCGAAAAAUAUCAAGACCCCCUCCUUUCCAUAACACUGAGUCCUCUUCCAUAUCAAGCCUUUUUACAACUAACUUGGGCAUUCGAAAAAGGGAUAAUUGGUAGAUGGGUAUACUGGCCAAUGUACUUUUAAUGAGGGUAAUUCUCACACCCUUAGACAUGUAUUGCAUUUUCCAAAUAGCUAAUCUUCUUCUUAUUCUUUCCUCCACCCCAUCCCAUAUAGACAAGGCCUUGUGAUGGGCUCCAAGGGGCAGCCCCAAAUACUUAGUAGGAAAAGCCCCCACUCUGCACCCUAACUUCUCAGCCAUAUCCUCAAUAUCUUCAACCUCCUCAACAGAAAUUAAUUCACUCUUAGCUAGAUUAAUCCUAAGACCAGAAGCUGCCUCAAACCACCCCAAAAUCCAGCCAAGAUGAGUUAGAUGCUCCUUCCUUGCUUCAUAGAAGAUGAUUGUGUCAUCAACAAAGAGCAAGUGGGACACAUUCAUCUCCAUCCCCCAUUUUCCUCGAAGUUUGCAACCAGAAAUGAAGCCUCCAUCAAUAGCCUUUCUUAUAAGUGCACUCAGCACUUCCAUACCCAAAACAAAAAGGUAAGGAGAAAUGGGAUCUACUUGACAUAGCCCCUUGGAACUGGAAAAGAAGCCUACUGGCACCCUGUUGACAAUAAUAGAAAAUUUUGCAGUUGAGAUGCACCACCAAAUCCACUCCAUCCAACGAGACCCAAAGCCCAUCUUGUGCAAAACCUUCAUGAGAAAGUUCCAAUUAAUACUAUCAUAAGCUUUUUCAAUAUCCAAUUUGCAAACCAGUCCUUUCUCUUUAUGUUUCUGCCAAUAAUCAACCACCUCAUCAGUUAUGAGAGAGACGUCUAGAAUCUGUCUUCCCCUCAUAAACACAUUUUGAUCCACCGAGACCAUCUUACCUAACACUUUCUUCAACCUAUGGGCUAGCACUUUGGCCAGAAGCUUGUAUAGCCCCCCUAAAAGGCUGAUAGACCGAAAAUCCCCGAGGUCCACAGCCCCACCUUUUUUUAGGAUGAGGACCAAGAAGAUAGUAUUUAGACUUUUGGCAAAAUAUUUUUGGUCAUAAAAUUCCUUAAACAGCUCUACAACCUCCUCCUUCACAAAAUCCCAACAAGAUUGCCAAAAGGCCACAGUAAACCCAUUCGGCCAUUCAUUUCCAACAGAGUUAAGUGAAUUUCUUCCUCAGUAAAGGGCAUCUCCAGAGCUUCAACUUCACCGUGGUUUAGACGUUGAAGGUGCAACCCCUCAAUGUCAGCUCUCCAUCCUGGCUCUUCUGAGAGCUAUUGUUGAAAAGCAUUCACAAUCCCCUCCCUCACCUCCUGCUCCUCAUCCAACUCCACCCCAUUGAUCUUGAUUUUAUCCAAGGAGUUGUUUCUUCAGUGGGCAUUGGCCAUUCGGUGGAAAAAUCCUAUGUUCUUAUCCCCUUCCUUUAGCCACAGCUCCCUUGACAAUUGUCUCCAAUGGGUUUCUUCUAAAAGCACCCACUUUUUAAAGGUUUCCUUAGCUUCAUUUUUCAACUCCGUUUCUCCUUCUGGCGGGCCCCUUUCACAUUCCACCCCAUCCCAAAAUUCAACUUGCUGGAGAGCUGAGCUUUUAUUAAUUUCCAACCUACCAAACACAUCCUUGUUCCAAACUUUGAUUUUUUUCCUUCAACACCUUUAGCUUAGCAGCCAGUCUAAAGUUGGUCCUCUCUCGCCUCCCCGCUCCCUACCACCAAUCCCGAAUGAGAUCCUUAAAACCAUCAACUUUAAGCCACAUGUUUUCAAACCUGAACGGGGAGGGUCCUCGUCUUAACCCGCCACCCUUCAAUAGAAUGGGAAAAUGAUCUGAAGUGGGCCUGGGAAGCCUACUUUGGACAACCUCCCUAAACAAGUCAAGCUAGUUUUGGGUCACCAGGAAACAAUCCAGUCUAGCCCAGGACUGAUUGUUCCUAUCUCCACUCCAGGAAAACACAACCCCUUGCAAAGGAAGAUCUAGGAGCUCUAGUUCAUCAACCACCUGAGCAAACCUUCUCAUUGCACCAUUUAAACUAUCCUGACUGCUCCUUUCCCUUUGGAAAAGGGUGACAUUAAAGUCGCUCCCUAAACACCAGGGAUCAUCCCAGAUGCCCCUUAUUGGCCUUAGCUCAUCCCACAAAGUCUCCAUUUCAUUCCUAGUGAACGGUCCGUACACUCUUGUGAAGAUCCAAACAAGCCCAUCUUCAACAUUCCUGAGCCUACAGGAAAUAGAAAAUUGUCCCACCUCCAUCUUUAGCAUUUCCAGGGACCUUUUAUCCCAGCAAAUCAAAAUCCCACCCGCAAAGCCUUGAGCACCCAUGGCUCCCCAAUCUAGAAACCUCCCAGAGCCCAAAGUCCUCACCACACCCACUAACAUUGACUGAAUUUUCAUCUCCUAAAUACAGAACAAAUUCACCCUCUGACUUCCAAUCAUAGCCUUGAUCACCUUUCUUUUAGAGCUAUCGUUAGCUCUACACAUGUUCUAGUUCAACAACCUUAACUUCAUUAGACAACCAAAAUCUGGCACCCUCUUCCUUGCAUGGUACCUUUUUAUUUCCUCCCCCCUUCAUAAUUAAUGGAUCAUUCAAGUCUCUUCAAUUCCCUUUCAAAUUUCGAUUUUUCUAGAAGAGUUUCACUAUGAACUCUUUCCCUUCUUUUUUUUAUUUUGACCAGAAACUCCAAAAUGUCCUUCAAUCUCUCUGUCAAAAACCCCAAAAACCUGCUGAACCUCACUAGAUCGCUUUCCUCCCAACUAGUUUCCUCUCAUCCUCUAACUUCGAGUGGCAUAGCACUAGCUAAGCAAAGUUCCUCUCCACUUUCUUCAAUACUACCAUUAUUAACUUUCAUUAGCUCCCAACGAGUAACAGUCUCCAUCAUUGAAGACUCCGUACCAUUAACCAUGCAGCCCGGUCAUUCCCUCUGGAAUUUUUCCAAUCUGGCCCUAGAACAGUCGUAAUACUCCCCCAAUUGAGUCCGACCAGAAAAAGAAGAGGGGGGAGAUGAGAAAUCACAAAGCAACGUUCCACAAGGGUUAGAGGUGUUCUCAUACCUCGAAGCUUCCUCCAUUAGAGCACAGUUAGUCUUCAAACUCUUCUCUAAAAGUUGUUCCUUAGUCGAAGGUCUUCGCAGACCUUCGUGCACCCAAAAGGAAAAGAUGGAAUGGUCUGGAGCCCCCAAAAGUCUUAGGCCAAAAAGAUUGUAAAGACGGGAUGCUCCCAGCUGGGCUCUUCCCUCAGCUAAGGGCAAGGUCAGGCCUCGGCAAACCAGCCCAAGCACCACAAUAGGCUCCUUUUCCUUGGCCCACCUAGAACCCUUAAUAAACGACAACCCAAAAUGAGAUGGCCCAGUCUCGCAGAGAAAGGCCACAAGAGGAGCAGGCCCAGUAAUCACAAUGGGCUCUGCUCAACACGGUGACGAAGACCAACCCGAACCUUGGGACCCAACUGACAGCCCAACAAAGCACCAACCAUGACCCAUGGCCUGUCCCGACCCACUAGUCUGCCCCCUCGUCCCAUCAGCAGGUAGUAGCAAGUCCUCAAGCCUCGAGGCAUCGUCCUCCACCCGCACGCGCUCGAUUGUGCAUGCGAUGGCCUCACCCCCAACCUCGCCUUCUGUACCGAUAAUGUUUCCACUCUUUCUUGCCAUCGUCAUUCUCAGGAUUGGCCUGACCUCCCACCGGAGGGUUACCUCGUAGUAGAAUUCCUCAGCCCAAACCUCCACCACGUUGGGAAGCUUCUCGUCGUUGAGCUUCAUCAGGAUCCUUGCCCACUGCAAAUCCUCCAGCUUCUCCAUUUGGGAAUCGACUGCGAUGAAGCCCCCGCACUCCUCCCCUAUCCUUCUCAUAAUGGCUCGAUCCCAUAAGGAAAUGGGUAAUCCCAUAAUACGCACCCAAGCCUUGCUCUUUUUCACCCCAUCCAUCAGGCAUCCCAUCUCGGGCCUCCAUUUCUCCAAACGAAUGAGAGACCCCCCAACCGAAAUACCCCCGAUUUUUAAGGUUUUCUCUGCUUCUACCAAAAACUCAAAUUCAAGUAAAACUUUGCCCCUUUCCAAUUUCGCUAGCCCUAGAUUACCCUUCAGUCUCCAAAUAUUCUCCAAAUGGGUCCUUCUACUUCUUAGGUCAUCCCCUCUCACAGAGCUAGGAUUCCAAAUCCCAACUAAACAGUGAGCCAGCUUGUUUAAGUUUCGGCUCAGCUCCUUCUUUCUUAUCUCCACCCUAAUCAUUGUUUUUUCUUUUCCUCUUGGCUAUUUAGCCACUUCCGCGUAGGUUUUCCCCAUGCUAGAUUUCGACAACAACGCUUCUUUUUUUUGGCAUCCCUCUUCUCCGUUAGUAAAACCCAAUCGCCAUAGCGUCUCCACCAUUGAAACCCAGCCACCCUUAGCUCUUCUUCCUUUUGGAAUAAAGAUGCAAAACCUUUUGUUUUCCAGGUCCGCAACCUCUAAUCGAAGAAAAUACCCCCCUUAUUUUGAUCCCGCACCAGAGAAUAGGCUCUCCCACUUUCCUUCCACUUUCUUUCCCUUUUACCAGUUCCCGCGUCCUUAAUACAAAGAACUAGACCAUCGAAAAAAAACCCAAUGAUCUUCGGUCCCAACCUAAUCCACGAGAAGAUCCCUCAUUUCAGUUCCACAAUUGUAGCUUGCACUUUACCUUUCUGCUCCUCCACCUCGACCUCGAACGACUUCAACUCCACUCCAAAACUACCCUUUCUAAAGCUUUUCCUAGUCCCCACGAAGACAACACCCUCUGCACCCUCGCUCGCUCCACCAUCUACACUUUCUCUCGCUCGCCGCACGCCUCACUCUCCAUCGGAGCUCUCGCUCGUUCUCUCUCUAGCCCUCUCUCCUCCAUUUCUCAUCUGUCUACUAUAUUAUUGAACCUUACAUCAAUGAGGUUGCUUAAAUAUGUUGAUUUUGCUAGGUUUCUCAAUUUGAAAAAUAUAUUAUUCUCUGUUCAUUUAUUGUUUUCCAGAUUCAUCUCUGAGAAUAUAUCUAAAAUCUAGAGUUGAGUAUUUGUGCUUUUAGGUUUUAUUUUCCUUUCAUUUUUGUUGGUAAUUGUAUUUCAUUAUUCUUAAAUUUCUCACCAGCUAUUUCUUUAUAUGGUUUAUUGUCCCUCACUUUCUUCAUCCAUCUAAAGUGUUCAGAUUCAAUUAGCUUGUUUCGUAAUCUAGGUCUUAUUUAGGAGUUUCUUCUCAACUGCCUUUUUUAGUGCUUCUAAAAGACAUGCCUGAUUUAUAUACAUUUUUAUUGGUUUUUUUUUUUUACCAUAAAAGGUUCAAGCAUUGGCAUUGUCAUGUGUUAAUUAGUGGCUAUAAACUUCAUCCGUAUCCAAUUGCACACUUGUCCAAACUCUUGAUGAUGAAGGUAUGGUUGCAUUUACUAGUAUGAAAUUGCUAAAAUUUGUCAUCCAAAGUUUCAAUUUCUUUUGAAUCUUGAAGACUUAAUUUGCAUUCUUGUAGGAAUUAGAUGUGGAAUAAUUUUGCAAUGUUUGUUGUCUUAAGACCAGCACUGAUGAACGGGGAAAUAAGUUCUUAUCAACCAAGCAAACAAACUUCCAUUAUCCCAAGGAAGUCUUUCCAAGCUACUGCCUUUUAGGUUUGGAACACUUUUAGAGGUAACAAUCAAUAGGAAUUAGUUAUUCUUUCAAACUUCUUAUUGUACAAAUAUAACCUGCAUGUGCAACCAUUUAUGAUCCCAUAAUUUCAAGAAUUUAUGACACCUUCUAGUGGUUAGUUUUUCUAGGAAUAGAGUGAGACAAUCUAUUCACCCCCAAAAACCAUCGUCAGAGGAACAGUAGAUAACCCGCAAGACCAAAUUUAUGUGUGUGAAUGGAGAUGCAUGUUUUUUACAUCCCAGUCAUGUAGUGUUGUGUCAAAGGGAAUAAUAGCAGGUGAUGAUAAGUGGUAUUUCUAAAAUGUUCGAAGAAUAUUCCAUCUGUCAUGUAAUAUUGCUUUCUCAAAACUGUUUUUGAAGUCUUAUUUUUAAAUAUUAGAGUUGACCUCUUGUACACUAUCAACUGAUGUUGUAACUUAACUAGAAAGAGAAAUUAUAUAAACUUAGCCUUGGUUUGGAUCUUGAAAGAUAGCAAGCAAAGAAAAAUUAGGUUAAUAGUGAGUUGAUUUAUUCUCUUCCCAUGGAUGUAAGCACAUUCUUGAAUCACUUAAAUUAUUUUUUUCUUGUCUAUUAUUCAAUUGUCUCUGAAAAAAAAAGUGGUAUCAGCGUUUUUUCCAACACAACAAAUGAUUCAUGUGACAACUGCCAAUAAAGGAAGCACUUAAGAAGGAGUUUGUAAGGUGUUACAUGGCAGGUUGAACAAAACCAAUAGCUAGAGAGAUAUAUGAAAUAUUUGGGGGCCAUUGAUCCAACAAUAGUAGAGAAUAACAUAAGAAGAGACCCUCUAAUCACCAUUUUUGCUUUCGAUUCUUCUCUACAAAACAUCAUCUCUUUAUACAAAAAGACACCCCAUGGCUGAGCUCGUAUUAUUCUCUGCAUAUCCCAAAACUGCUCUCCAAAUUUUAGGGCAUGGUACUCUUUUGAGUGGUAUUUUUGGUACUAAAUUUAAGUAUUCUCUCAAAUACCUAAAAUGCCCUCUAGAUUUUAGGGCAUGACCCACUCUUUGAGGUGGUAUUUUGGGUACUAAGUUUUGUUAUGAGAGGUUUUGGUGUGGAAAUCGGAGGGCCUCUUGGGAAUAUGAAAUUAGAAAUGUUACACACGUUGCAUGUAUUUUCUUUUGCGUGCAUUACACUUAGAUUGGAGUUUAUGCAGUUACUCACUUUUUGUGUGUCCAACAGUACUGUAUGUCACAUCACCAUAUGAUGGGCCCUUUAGCCUUUUUUUAACCCCCUCCCCCCAAGAAAAAAAAAACCUAAUACUAAAAAUAAAAAAAUAAAAAAAAACCUAAUACUAAAAGGACCUUAGCUUGCAAACUAUGUGGAGGUAGGCCUCCACAUCCAACUUCUUAGAGGGACCAUGAUCACUUAGGCCAAGGAAGUUUGAGGCAAUAAUACGUCUACGAUGCCCUUAGAUGUUUUGGGCACAUGCACGCUACACUAAUGUAUUCAACGAGUCUGUAACCUUGACUAACAAGCUUAGGUAAUCUUUGAAAUUUCAUUAUGAUGGGGAAGGUUCCACAUGAACGACACUUGCACAUGGGUUAGUUAAUCCUAAGAGAUGGGGGAAGCUCGUCAGACAACGCGUGACACUCGAGCUUUGAAAGGUAAUUGAGUUAACAUUCCUAAACCGGGACAUGACGGUCUACAACAAUGUUAGGUAGUCUGAAGAGUCAUGUUAAUUGUUAUCGGUAUUUUUAUUUAUUCAAUAGAAAUUGAGGAUUUAAAAAAUACCACAAAAAUUAGAAAAAAAAAUUAAUUAUAUGAAUAACAUUUCAAAUAUUUAACAAAAUGUAUGAAAGUUGAAUAUCAUACACGAUUAAAUGGCUAGAUCAUCUUCUUUAGUUUUUCCAUGAUCUCAUCCUAUUAAAUGACUCAUCCAAUAUUAAUUUAUUUUAAAGGUAAAAUUAAUUAUAUUAUAAUACUUAAAUACUUUACCAUGCUAUAAUCCUCUAGCUAAUAAAUGAAAUCAAAACUUAAAAAUCAUUUUUAUAUAUAGAUAUAUAUUAUUAAGUUUAGGUAGUGAAGCAAUUAAUGUGGGUAUAAAAUUAAUGCCAAAACUUUUGAUUGUUCCUUCACAUUCUCCACAGCAAAGGAAAUAAGAAAAAUAAAGAAAGAAAUUUAGGGUAGUUUUAUUUUUUGUUCUCAUCUCAUGGUGAAAUUAAUAGAGGAAUGCUUGGGUUGGUGCUCAACAAUCAAGUGACAUCCGAUAUAAUGAUUCUUCCAAUCCUGUAAAUAUUGUCCGCUUUAAUUUUAAUGGAUCAUCAUCACUUUAAAUUGCAUUCACAUUGUUAAGAGCAAUUCAUACGUACAUAAUAUUAAGAACUUUUUCUUAUUCGAUAUGGAAUAUAAAAUUGGGUAUCUUUCUGAUUACUACCAAAAAGUGCUAUUUUGUAGACCUAAUUAUAAUGGUUUUAAGCACCUUUGAGUAGUAAUCAUAUUCAUUUAACCCAAUUAAUUCAUUAAGGUCCUUAGUAAUUGGUUUUAACCAUUUUGUGGCAAGUUUACAUGUUUAUAUCAGCUUAUGAAUCAAUUCAAGCAUGCCAAAUGAUGGAGGAGCUACUUGGACAAGUUAAAUCAAGCUUUUAGCUACACCAAAGCAAGCCAACAAAAGGAGAAAAGCAAAGAAAAGCAAAGAAAAGCAAGGAGGAAAACAGAGGACAGCAGCUGCAGUCUUCGUUGGCACUUUUGGAGCACUUCCCGAAGUCCAUUCUCUACAUGCUAUAUACCAUUUCAAAGCUCAGGAAGUCAAGAAUCCAACGCUUCAAACCGUGCAUGAUUUGGAGCUGAAACGAGGAAGAUAUGGCCUUCGGAAGACAACUGCUCCAGGUGUGCGAGAAUUUCGCACACCCCCCUUUAGCUGUGCGAAUGGUGUGCGAAGUUCGCACACCUUCUUCAGGUGUGCGAAAAUUUCGCACACCCCAUGCGUGGUGCGAAUUUUCCCCUGUUUCUGCCGACUCCACUUUAGAUCUUUUCUUUUAGAUAUUUUUGUAUAAAUUUCCAUUCUUCUCCUUGUAAUCCACCAAUCAUAAGAUUUAUUAGCUAGGAAAGUUGGAAAAACUUCUCUAUUUAUAUCCCCUUGCAUCCGUUGUAACAAAUAAUUGAUAUAUAGAUAUAUAAUACAUAUUACGUUUUACACUCUCUCGUUUUCUCUUUUCUCUUCACUAUUUUAUUUUCUUGGUAGCCAAACAGCCUCUAAGGGCUUUUCCUCAGAGGAUGAUUGGCUAAAACUUUUAGUUUCUCAAAGUAUGGAUGUUAUGUGAUGACUUGGAUGCAAUCCCAUGGAAAUUUCUCACACCCGGAAGGUAAGGUAGUCGUUUUUCAUUAAAGGUUCAUUAAUGCAAAGUUUGGUUUUUAUUUCCUUUGGACAACUUCCAACGGCCAAUACUUGAUAAGCUUUUGGAUUUCUAUCCAUUAGUUAUCUCCUACGAGCUAUUGGAAGGUGAGGUUUUCAAUUCCAAGUUUUGUAUUAAUCCGUUAGAACCAAUUUCAAUGGCCAUUGAAAGGUGAGUUUAUCACCUGGAAUGACUUUGAGUUGCCAAUAUUUGGUAAGCUUUUGGCUUUAGACCAUUAGUUAUCUCUUACGAGCCAUUCAAAGGAAGUCUAAGGUGAAUAACCAUUGAUGAAAUUCACUACCAUCUGUUUUGCCAUUUUAAAGGAUUAAAACGUGAUUUGCUAAAUCCAUACCGGUUCGGGAAGCAAGCAUCACCAUAGUUGCAACCCCAACGCGAGGAGCCUAUCCUGAGAUUUCCAAUUUGCAUAAGAGCCAGAGCAUAGCUAUCCUAUCUUUGAGAAACUUGUUUUUACACCCUUUCAUUUUAGUCUUUAAUGUUAGCUUAGAUUAGUUUAAAUCUUUCUAAAACAUUUACAUCUUCUUUUAAAGCUAACAUCCAUAAGAAAAUCACCUAUUUUCCUAACUUGAAUAUCACUUGUGUUUGCGAAAACCCUUCCCAGUGAACGAUCCUAGAACCACUAUGCUAUAGUAGCUUGGCUACUUUAGUAAUAGUAUUCAAGGUAUAAAUUUUGUUGAUACGCCUUUAAAGCUAAGCUACCAUGAGUCGCAUCACUUUCAAUUUUAGAUGUUGCAUAAGCAUUCCAACUCCUAUAUAGACACAUUGCGUAAAUAUUCUUAUUUAAUAAAAGUUUAUAUGUCAUUAAAUAAAUAUAGAAUUUUAACAUUAAUUGCAGUGCUAAGUGCAAGAGAUCUCAUGUUUAAGUCAUUGAUUAAGAUUUAUUUGAAAACUUAACAUUUGUUACUUAAAUAACUUAAGUUGACUUUAAAUUAUAUUAUAUUUAAAUUAUUUGCUUAAAAUUUAUUGUUUAAUAUUUAUUUUAAGUAUUAAAGUUAUUUGAUAAAGUUAAUUUAAAAAAUAUUUUAAAUCACAAAUUGUCAUAUUUACCUUCAUUAAUUUGAAUUAGUAUUUACAUUCAUUAAUUUUAUUUAAUAUUUAUUUUUAUUAAUCUUAAAUAAUAAAUUUGUUUAUUAAACAUUUAACAGAUUCAUAAAAUAACUACACAAUAUUCACAAUAAUAAAUGAGUCAUGAAUUUGAAGUCAUGAUUUUAAAAUGUACGCUAACAAGAUAUGAACAAAUGAGACAAAAAAAAAUGAGAUUAAAAAUAAGUUAAUUAUUUUGAUUUAACACUUAAAAUUAAAAGUAACUUUAAAUUAUAAUAUUAAGUUAUUUUAGCAAAUAUAUUUAAUCUAUUUAAUGAAUUAAAUUAAGUUAUUAAGUCAAAUGAUUACCAAACACCCUAUUAAGACCCAGAAAAUGGAAUGAGUUUUAAUAGUAUUCAGGAUGGGCAUGACUAGGUGGUGGUUCAAUGCUGAUUAAUCAUAAUUUAAUCUAAGCAAAAUAUGUAACGAAACUCAAACUGCACUAUCCAAAUGGGCGCCAAGAACGUUACAUUUGACAAAUGCCAGUAAACCUCUACAGCUAGAAAUUAAAAGAUCACUCUCUUGUUGUAUCUCUCUUUUUCUCCAAGCCCCGGAAGGAAAAACUCGAACCCCAUUAUUUUGAUCACAGAAAAAGUGGCAAAAAAGUGUGUUGUAGUUCAUCUUGAAGCUCAUUAACUUCAUCUUAAUUUGAUCCAAAUUGCAGAAACAUGGGAAACUCCAUGAAUCUAUGGUGCUAUGGUGGCCUACAUUCAUAUAACUGGGGACACUUUGGUUUAAACUACAAUGACCCCAAACAGGGUUUGUAGAGACUUCAUCGAGAUCACUAGCUUCAAAAGACUGAGGAAGAAAGAUGUUCUCAAUGAAAACUUGGUGUCAAAUUGCAGAUAAAGACCUAAAAAUCCCACUUAAUGUGUUCUAGGAAUUGUUGUUUGAUAGGGAGUAAGAACAGAGUGCACGAGUUUUGGGGUGGGGUGAUACCUAAAGCACUAGAGUAGCACGUGAUCAAGCCUCACUUAGUGAAAAGCUGUUUGGUUUGUACAUGUCUGCUUAGUGAUACUUAGGAUUGGCGAAGUAUACAUCUCCUUUGUGAUCAGGUUUGUAUAUGGGCAGAUGAAUGUUCAUGUGAGGUUCAUAUAUGUUUCUGAUACAUAUCACCCUGGAAGAAUCUAGAUCAAGGGGAUGAGUUUCUAAGCUUGACUAGGUUUGAGAUGUUUGAGAAUUGGUGAGCAUGAUAUAUAUCAUGAUAUUGCAGAAGACAACAGAGCUUCUGAAAUAUGUCAGGUUCAAUAGUAGGAAAUCUUAUCAGCUGUCACUUACUUUAAUCCUAUGAUCUCAAUAUUCAUUUGUUGAAGAAGAAAGAGGUAUCUUGAAAAAAAUUUGCUUUCACACUAUUCAAUUACAAGAGGAUGUUCAAUUAUAGAAGAAAAUAAUAUUCACUAGACUCUUUCAACUUAAUCAACAUGCAGGGAAAACCAGUCGGGUGACCAAUUAUUCACAUAAUAACUUAGGUGGUGUUUGUUUUUUUGGCUUUUUGCUGAAAACCAUUUAGUUUUAGAAUUUAGGUAGUUUGUUUUUUUACUUUUUCAUAACUUAUCAUAAACUUUUUACUAAAUAGAAAAAGCCAAAAUAUGUGGCUUUUUCUAAAUAGAAAAAAUAACACAAUGGUUUUUUUUACUUUUUAAUACUUAAUAGAAAUAAAAUACUACAAAAACAAACAACCUAAUAUUUAAUACUAUUAAGUAUUAAGGUUCUAUUUAGAAUUAAGUAAAAAAACAAACACCACCUUACUGUCUUUCUACCUCUACUUGUUAAUCAUCAGCCAAGCUUAUAGUAAUAUAAGCUUGGGUUCAUCUCUCUAUGCCACUGAUGACAACUCCACAUGGGCUUCCCCUUCUGGUGAUUUUGCAUUUGGAUUCCGACCGUCUCCAAGUGAAAAGGAUCUAUUCCUUCUUGCUCUCUGGACUGCAAAUGGAAGUUAACCGGCGCCAAGAGGAUCAAAAGUCGAGCUUGCUACCAAUGGACAGCUUGUUCUCCAGAGGCUAAGAGAUAUGGAAGACAAAGACUGGUAAUGUGAGCAGCAAAGCAGUGCAUGGUGCCAUGCUUGGAGAUGGAAAUUGUAUACCUGUAUAUGGGAGAGCUUCAAGCACCCAACUAAUACCAUAUUGCCAACUCAGGGAUUGGUGUUGGAGCCUACUGUGCAGUUGCCAUUUUUGAGAACCUGAGGUUUGCAAAUGGAACUGGUGUAUGAGUUUAUGCACAAUGGUUCUUUAUCAAGCUUCCUUUUUGGAGGCGCCCAAGGACUGGUGUACCUACAUAAAGAAUACAGUAAACAGAUCAUCCAUUGCGACAUAAAGCCCUCAGAACGUAACUCUUGGAUGAUUCUUUUACAGCCAAAGUUGCAAACUUGGACUGGGAAAGCUUCUGAUAAGCAACCAGACUAGAACACUCACAGGCAUCAGAGGGACUAUGGGGUAUAUUCAGACAACUCGGGCAGCCUAUGUCUCUUAUAAUAACACGUUAUGAAGCAUCAGCUCAAUGCCGGGGUUCAAUCUGCAAAGCAAGGGAUUCAUCAAUGUUUCCUUCAAACUAAAUGAUAAGGAACAGAAAUGGAUCAUUCUGCAUUUUCAGUGGUGUUUGUUAUAGCAUUUAUACAAGAACUCUAGGGGUUUCUAUGUAUAACUUCAUUCCCAUUUUGUAUAAUCCAAAUCUCUUCAAUCGAUUAAAUGUAUAAAUGAAUCCUAUUCAUUGUUUGGAGUAACAACAAAAUUCUGGAAGACUGGGAAAGUUUCAACACUGGAGAGAAGACAAAAUGACCAGACCAUAAAUUCUGGAAGAGGGCUUUGCUUUCUAACCAUUACCAUAAUUUUAGAGCUCAACCCGGAUGAGUAAAUUAUAUUUCAGAAUGUUCAGGAGAUAAUUCUAAAGUGAUGAACCUUCUACUCACAGUUUUUUGUUCUUCUUGAACAGAGCAAUGAACAUCAAUAGUUCAGCACCCAGGAAUCUCCCCUUCCUCCAAUUCCCCCACUGGGAAAAGUCACCUUUCCAGUUAAGAAAAUCAUCAGGAUUAAUUUGAGCAAAACAUCAGAGUAUACAUCAAGAAAGCCUUGAUCAAAAUCAAAAUACAUCAAGAGCUGCCAUUUUCUUCUAUUUCCUCUUCCCUGAAUGGAAUGCCUUUUGGACUGAGGUGAUCAAUGGUAACAGUCUAACACACUCCUUAAGCUCUGAUUGAGGUCAACGGGGAUUGGCACAUUUAAUGACUUUGAAAUCAUAGCUGUGUGAAGGGAGGCAAACAUGAAUCUCAGGAUAAUCAACAAGUCAACAACUAUCAAUCAGUAAGGAAAAGGAAAUACCUUUGGAUAUUUACAAAUCAAAAAAUUGAGAGUCCAGCUUCUCUGUACAGAAAGGCUUGAGCUUAUUCCAUGGCCAGUCUGAAUUACGGAUGAGAGGGUUGAGUUUUCUUUCAUUCUGCAAUAAGAUUAAAAACAUCAAUGAAACGCUAAAAGUUUAUAUAUAGAAGCCCUUUAAAGAUGAGAAUUGGUCAGAGAGCUCACCCAUGGUCUAGUAAAACAACAUCUGUUAGAUAAGUAACCACCAUUCUAUUGUCCAGCUAAUGCAUUUAGAUCUAAGAUAAGCUAUGGAAAAAUAGUCAAAAAUAGCUAAAGACAGUCCAAAAACUCAUUUGACUAAUAAUUUUCUAAAAACAGUAACAUAAAACCUGGAUGAAGAAUCCACCCCUCUACCUCACACCACUGCAAUGCCAAAUAAAAUGUUACAAUGACCAUAUAUGGUCUUAAGAGACAAUGGGUGUUGUUUGGGCUCAAGACCUAAGACAAGCCAAAAAACAAGAAGAAAACAACAUCAAAAAUAGAUGGCAAAAUAGAAGGAUAAGGUCACAGACAGGACAAUAUUAAAAGAAAUUAUUAUUUUUCCGACCUGAAAAUCAAGGCAUUCAGAAGAGUACAAGUUUGUAAGUAGUCCAUGGAAACCAGGGAACAUAUGCAGAUGUUGUACUCUAUUGCAUAAGGCAAACACUCAAUACUUACAAGCAUAAUCAUGCCCAGAAAGCCGUGAAUCCCUUUUUGUUUUGCUUUUUUACCUAUUCCCAUCUCUUAUGGCCAGAAGUUCCUUCUGUGGCUGGUUUGUUGUGAUGGCCAUUUCGGGUCCUAACAGACUUGCUAUUGUUGUCUGGGCACCUGCCUCAGAGAAAGCCUGCCAAAGAUCGGAGUCUGGGCCAGGGGAAACGGAUUUUCUUUGCUGGAGUUCCCAGUCUGUUGCUUCAAUCUUUUCUCUGUGCUGUUAUGAGAAGAAAACCUAUCAGACACAUGAAUGGGUACAAAAAGGUAAACUUCAGGUUUUGGUUGUAUUGAAAAGCACAGGAAACUUCACAAGAGGCAAAUUAUACCCCAGACUUAUUGAAGAAAAAUAAAGUACAAUUGACUUACCCAAAUGUCUACUUUCUCAUUUAUAGGUUUCCUCCUAAACAAAUCCCCACAUCUAGGACAGGAAAAGGAAGAAACUGGGAGUCGACAUUUUUUCAACCAAAAGCACUAACUUAUCAAAAAACAUAGUUUUCCAUUCAAUGCCCAUUUCUUCAGGCUUCUUAAAGUGCUUAUGAUUGGUGGAGGUUCUUCCAAAAUCACACAACUUCCAUAAUCCAUUAGGGCCCAAUAGAAGAUUCUCAGCAUUUAUAUAAGAACUUCAGGGUUUAUACAUAUGAUCAUGUUACAGUAUAAAUCAUAGUGAACUGGUGGAAUUUGAUCAUUAGCCAACCUCAUCAAAAACUGUUUCACAGUUGAGGGGAUUGUUAACCUUGCCAUGGGCCAAGCAGCAAUUUCUGAAGAAGCUGGGUGACAAAGAGUACCAUCAUUUGGACUAGUUUCAAUGGAAAUUCCUCUGUUUCUAUACAUGAUAUCUUCAGCUUCAGCUUUUCCUUUUGCUUUGACAUGGCUGAAACUGAUCCUGAAAUCAAAAAUCCCAUGCAAGUAGAUAUUUAACAGAAGAGGAUCCGAAUCUCUUCAAUUGAUUAAUGUAUAAAUGAAAUAAUCAAAAUUUUUAGAGAUAAUUAUAGGGAGAUGAACCUUGUACCUCUGAGUUUCUUAGUCUUCUUGAACAGAGCAAUGAGCAUCAAGUGUUGAGC